AUAUUGCUUAGCUCUUUUUUAUACAGUGACUGCAGUUGGUUGAAGUCUAACUUUGCAAGCUUCAGUAAAGCUUUACUAUGUGACGCUUCAUCCUGGUAGAUAGACAUGAAAGGCCUUGCCUCUAGCCUCUCCAAGCCUUUCCUCAAGGGCCUGUAUAGGGCAUGAGUUACUUGUGCUGCAAGAGGGUAUUCUAAAUGUUCUACCAUAGACUUGAGGUGAGUGGUGGUGAAAGCAAGUGCUUCAUCUAGUAUGUCUUCUUCCCACACCCUGAGAUGUGCAGCUUCAUACAAGCCUAGUAGGCCAUAUGCAUCAUUGAUCAAAGACUCCUUGAACCUUCCCUUUUCAUCUGUGUACCUGUUGAAUAUAUCUGUAAUCAUCACCAAAACAUAGAAUGUUAUAUGUGAGCUUUGCUAGAUGAUAUUCAAGCACCUUAUAAUACAUGAUAUUCCUGAGGCUUACCACAUGAAAUAUUGAAGCCUUGUUGUCUUAGUAGUCGAAAUCGAAGCACAACAUCAUAGAGAUCAUCAUUUAUGUCAUCAAUGCAAUGAUAGUUAUCAUAGGUAUUUUGUAAUGCUUCUUCUAUCUCCUUUUCAAAGUGGUAUGCCACCCCAAGCCGUUGAACUGCAUCGAUAAACUUCAGCUGUUUUGAAGGGUUACUAGCUGAAGCCAUCAGCUCUCUUCUAACUUCCUCCUUUAGAUCUUCCAACUGCUGCUCUUUAUGGGCCAGAGUUAUCUGUAUCAAUAAAUUGCAAGAACAAAAAGUGAGAAAAUCUUUAGGUCUUGUUAUGAAAACUACAUACAUGAUCAGAAAAUCACCUCAUCCUCAGGAGUGUGGCUCACGAUGAAGGUAUUGCCCCAAAUGCUAGGCUGAUAAUUUGCAGUUCGGCGAUUAGUCUCUGGAUUAGCAACUGGGGCUGGAGAAGACCUGUUGCUGGUAGCGAGAAUUAAGGCCAUGUGUAACUCACUCGAGCACUCAAUAUAUGAAUCAGAUGGCUUGCAACCUUAGGUAUUUGUAGGAUGGAAAAUGGUUCAUUACAAUGAUUGAAUAUCAAUCCGAGAUUCCCAGUAGCAUGGAUACAAUUAAUUCAAGAUCACCUAUCAUAUUUAAACCAAGUUUAUUAAAAAUUAAAUAUUUAAAAUAUGUUUUCUGUUCUCUUAGAAAUACGAAAAGUGUAUCUUAUUCCCUUAAUAAUUCUCAACAUUCGACCAGCCGCCAAACAUUGAUUAAGACUUUUUCACGGGAAGAUAAAACUUACGAUUGAUCUUUUAUUGUCCAAUAAUAUCCUAAUAAUAGAAGAAUUUUGAUAUGACUAGGAAACUAAGUUCUUUUAUAUAAAAACCAAAAAUUAUUUUAAAAAAUUAAUUAAACAAUUAUUAUGUCUUCAAAAAUACUAAUGGCAUUUGUUCCCGGAGAAAUUUCUUUUGAUGACAAAUAUCUAAUUUCUCCCAAUAAGGAAAAAGAAAUGGUGGGAGAAGUUUAAGGACUUAUUGGUUUAAGUGUCCCCAUCAUAGUUUUGAAACAUGGAGACUGAUUUCUUUUUAUGAGGCUACUUUCAAUUUGAGUACAUUUCUGGGAAAUUUUUAAGAACAAAGAAUCUGAGAAAGCAUUUGAGCUUUUGGAAAUGGUGGCUAAGAAUUAAAGGUCAUGGGACAUGCCAGCACCAUAGCUGAGCGCUGGCCAACUACCACAUCGAAGGCAUUCAUUGGCAACACUGUCAUUCAGUGGGUCAAUGGUUGUAUGUUGUUGAAAAUUAAGCAAGUGAAACUUGGUUUAAUUUGGGGCCCAUGGUAAGAAACAUUUGUGGUUAGAAGAGACUGAAGACAAGAAAAACACUGGUCUUCAAUAGUCUCUGGCUAAGUUCCCUCAAAAAAUCCGGACAAGUCAUUAUUAUUAGGUAUGCCUCGAAUCAAAUUAUUGUCCUAGCUGUCGAAAAUUCAACUCCUAACAAUUUUAGUUGAUAAAAUUAUAAGUAUAAAGUUAUAAUUUCUCAGUUUUAAAUUGCUUUGUUUAAAAUAAUAAUAGUAAUAAUGAUUUUGAUCUAUAUUUGCAAAAAAGCAAAUAUAAUCUCCAAUUUUAUCAAUUAUACCUAUUGAAUAGGUAUUUUUUCAAUUCAUGUCAUGUUUCUAAUUGUAAAAUACCUUUCUCUAAACUCAAUAGCUAUUUUUUGAAUAAAUAAUAUUAUAUGAAGAGCUUGAUUUUAUUAUUUAUUUAUUGUUUUUUGAAUUUUGAGUUGAUUGGCUAGCUGGUGAGUUUGUGAUGUUAUCAUUGUCUAGCUAGUAGGAUUCAAUUGCACAAUGCUCAUCAUAUUUACUAAAAAAACAAAUUUAAUGAAUUUAUUUUGAGUUUUCUUAUAUAGUAUUGAAUUCAUGAGAACAAGAGAGAGAAAAAAAAAAGCAUAUCCUUACGAGAAAAUGAGCUUUGAAAUGAUAAAGGAUCCCGUAAAAAAGAAGGUAUUUAAAGAAGAAAAAAAAUGCCGAUGUUAUUGAAAAGAUAGGAUAGUUACAAAAGUUGAAUGAAUGAAUGAAUAUUAUUAAAAAAUAAUUAUUUGAAAAAUAAAUAUAAUAAUACCAUGUUUAUAUCUAUUAUCUUAUUUUUAUAUUAAAUUUGUCUAUUCAAAAGAUCAAUUCACUUUUUCAUAUUAAAUUUAUUUAAAAAAAAUAAAUAAAUAUUAGGUUGUUUGAAUCACUUGCUACCUAGAGGAAAAUCGAUACAAAGAUAUGUUUUGACUUCCGGUAGAAGAUAUUUGAAAUCCUAAUUUAUGGUAGAAUUAUUCUCAAUAGAACAAAUUUUUUAAAAUUACUCUACCAUGCAAAAAGUCAUUCAAUGGUUGUAUAUUGUUUGAAAAGCAAUUUGGAUCCGUUUGGGGGCUAAUAAUGGUAAGAAUGGAAGUGAUAAAAAUUAAAUUUGUAACAAACUUAAAAUAUAAAAUUAUAAAUAAAGGGUUACAAUUUCUCACUUUUUUUCUAAGUAAUAUAUGAUAUUUCCCAAGAAAAUAAAAAUACCCUUUUUCCAUUCUCAAUAGCUCUUUCUCAAUAAAUAAUAUAUGAAGCAUUUGAUUUUAUUUAUUUAUUUAUUGAAUUUUGAGGUGAUUGACUGGCUAGCUUGCAGAUAAGUUUUUUUAUGCGGUCAUUGAUCAAUAUCUAGGCCAAUAGAUAAGUUUUUUAUGUGAUCAUCAAUCAAUGUCUAAGCCAAUAGAUAAGGUUUUUUUUUUUAAUUUAUUUAUGUGGUCAUUAAUCAAUAUCUAGCUAGAAGGUUUCAUUUUCCACUAUGCAGCAUCAUACUCACAAAAGGGAAAAGGAAAAAAAAAAUGAUUUUUAACAUUCAUUUGAAAAAAAGUACAAAAUCGAAAUCCAAGUUUAUAAAAUACAAAUUUCAAGUAAUUAUUUAAAAAUAAUUAAUAUGUCAUACACUUUUUGAUUAAAAGUAGUCUUUGAUUAUUUAGAUACUACAUUUUUAUGAUAUAUGUAUUAUUUAAUUAGGUACUUAUUUUUUAUGAUAUAUGUAUAAUAUUUCAUCAUCUUAGAUAAUAUAUUUGAUUAUUAAGUAUAUAAAAUUUGAAUUAUUUUUAGAGAGUUAAUAUUUUAUAAUUAUUUUUACAUAAGUACAUGCAAGCUCACUAUUUCCAAAAAAAAGAAGUCGAUUUAAUGAAUUUGUUUAGUAUAAAGGGUUACAAUUUCUCACUUUUUUUCUAAGUAAUAUAUGACAUUUCCCAAGAAAAUAAAAAUACCAUUUUUCCAUUCUCAAUAGCUCUUUCUCAAUAAAUAAUAUAUUGAAUUUUGAGGUGAUUGACUGGCUAGCUUGCAAAUAAGUUUUUUUAUGCGGUCAUUAAUCAAUAUCUAGGCCAAUAGAUAAGUUUUUUUAUGUGAUCAUUAAUCAAUGUCUAAGCCAAUAGAUAAGGUUUUUUUUUAAUUUAUUUAUGUGGUCAUUAAUCAAUAUCUAGCUAGAAGGUUUCAUUUUCCACUAUGCAGCAUCGUAGUUACAAAAGGAAAAAGGAAAAAAAAUAUAUGAUUUUUAACAUUCAUUUGAAAAAAAGCACAAAAUCGAAAUCCAAGUUUAUAAAAUACAAAUUUUAAGUAAUUAUUUAAAAAUAAUUAGUAUGUCAUACACUUUUUGAUUAAAAGUAGUCUUUGAUUAUUUAGAUACUACAUUUUUAUGAUAUAUGUAUUAUUUAAUUAGGUACUUAUUUUUUAUGAUAUAUGUAUAAUAUUUCAUCAUCUUAGAUAAUAUCUUUGAUUGUUAAGUAUAUAAAAUUUGAAUUAUUUUUAGAGAGUUAAUAUUUUAUAAUUAUUUUUACAUAAGUGCAUGCAAGCUCACUAUUUCCAAAAAAAAAAGAAGUCGAUUUAAUGAAUUUGUUUAGUAGAAAGGGUUACAAUUUCUCACUUUUUUUCUAAGUAGCAUAUGAUAUUUCCCAAGAAAAUAAAAAUACCCUUUUUCCAUUCUCAAUAGCUCUUUCUCAAUAAAUAAUAUAUUGAAUUUUGAGGUGAUUGACUGGCUAGCUUGCAAAUAAGUUUUUUUAUGCGGUCAUUAAUCAAUAUCUAGGCCAAUAGAUAAGUUUUUUUAUGUGAUCAUUAAUCAAUGUCUAAGCCAAUAGAUAAGGUUUUUUUUUAAUUUAUUUAUGUGGUCAUUAAUCAAUAUCUAGCUAGAAGGUUUCAUUUUCCACUAUGCAGCAUCAUACCGACAAAAGGGAAAAGGAAAAAAAAAAUGAUUUUUAACAUUCAUUUGAAAAAAAGUACAAAAUCGAAAUCCAAGUUUAUAAAAUACAAAUUUCAAGUAAUUAUUUAAAAAUAAUUAGUAUAUCAUACACUUUUUGAUUAAAAGUAAUCUUUGAUUAUUUAGAUACUACAUCUUUAUGAUAUAUAUAUUAUUUAAUUAGAUACUUAUUUUUAUGAUAUAUGUAUAAUAUUUGAUCAUCUUAGAUAAUAUCUUUGAUUGUUAAGUAUAUAAAAUUUGAAUUAUUUUUAGAAAGUUAGUAUUUUAUAAUUAUUUUUACAUAAGUACAUGCAAGCUCACUAUUUUCAAAACAAAGAAGUCGAUUUAAUGAAUUUGUUUUGAAUUUGUUUAGUAUCGAAUUAUACUGAGAAAUAACAAAAAAGGGAAAAAAAAAAAAGUGACAAAUAUGGUCAUAAAAGGCAGUGCAAUAAUAACCCUUUUAGGCAUCGGAGGGAGCAACCCGGAAGCUACUCCGGGUAGUCCUUGUUUGUUUUGUAGGUCCCGAGGGCUCGCUGGAAGACAGAAGUUUCCAAGUUACCAACACCAAUACGAGAAAAUGGGCUUUGAAAUGACAAUGGGUUAUCAAUAUCAAUCCUUAAGUAUUUAACAGAAAGACCCUGCUGGCGUGAUUGAGCUUCUCAGCUUCCUUGCCAAUGCAAUUCACAUGUAUGAAGAGACACAUGUCAAGUCGAACUUUCCCACAUACGAAUUUUUUAAAAUUUGGACAACUUUUCUACAAAAUUUGUCUAAUUCCUAUAAGUUAAAGCCUAUCAAUACCAAAUUGUAUUUAAUUUUUUUAAUCUUAUCUAAACUUCAAAGUGCUACCAUGAGAUUGCAAUAGUGUAGUAGUUCCAAGUAAAACAAAUUUCUGCAAUUUCUUUACAUUGAAAAGAAAAAAAAAUGUUAUUAUGAAAAUGUGAGAAUAUGUGAACUACUCUUUACAUCAUAUUUUUGUGAAAUUUUAUGAGUUAGGUAGGUGGCCAUGUUAUGUUUAAUUUCAAAAUUAUUUGAGUCAAAGUUAUGUAUGAGGGUGAAAAGGGUUAAGCCGUUAUUUUAAUAUAUGAUUUGAUGCCUAAAUAAUAUGAUUACUGAUCUUCUUUCAUCAAUAUAUUUUAUAAAAUUGCUAAAUAACUUUUAAGCUUUCUAUGGUACACCUGGAUUGAGUUAAGGAAUCAAAAAGGGGGAUUACAGAUAUAAUGUAAUGACCUACUUUGAACCAUGUAAAUAUUGUCCAUCUAUACUUAAAGAGUUCUCAUAACUUUAAAACAUGUCUAUAAGAUUAAGAUGAUCUCAUACAAAUAUAAUAUCAGAAUAUUUUUAUUCUCUCUGAUUUGAGAUGUCGCACAAAAUAACCAAUUAUGUGUCAAUUUUUUAUUUAAUUAAACAUAUUUUAGCUUAUAGCCACAGAACUUGAUAUAAAGGGCAACAAUUAAGAUGUUCCUCUAUCUUAAUAAUAGAGGAGCAUUCAAGGAAGUGUGAUGCAAGAUGGCUAUCAGUCUAAUAACCAGCCAUUUAGGACAUAUAAGAGACUAUUUUUUCAAUCACCAAGUGUGAGUCCCCUUUCAUAGAUUGUCUUCCGUUACAAUGCUCAGCUAGCAAACUUAAAACAAUUCAUUUUGUUGUCAUACUUUAUAGGGUUUAUGAUCAUUAGAUUGAACUUGAGGAGGUUUUCUCCACUUUCUGAGAGCCUAAUGUUAACUUGGAGAAUUUAAAGAAGAGAUUAUUUUCUUUUUCUUUAAAAGAAAUGGGUAAAGAAUGGGUAUAUAGCUUGACAACAAGGAGCACUGACUCUUAGGAGAAAUUACUUUUGAUGACAAAUAUAUCUAAUUUCUCCUAAUAAGGAAAAAAAAAUGGUGGGAGAGGUUUAAGGACUUAUUGGUUAAGUGUCCCCAUCAUAGUUUUGAAACAUGGAGAUUGAUUUCUUCUUUUUAUGAGGCUACUUUCAACUACCACAUCGAAGGCAUUCAAUGGCAACACUGUCAUUCAAUGGGUUAGUGGUUGUAUGUUGUUGAAAAUUAAGCAUGUGAAACUUGGUUUAAUUUGGGGCCCAUGGUAAGAAACAUUUGUGGCUAGAAGAGACUGAAGACAAGAAAAAUACUGGUCUUCAAUAGUCUUUGGCUAAGUUCCCUAAAAAAAUCCGAACAAGUCAUUAUUAUUAGGUAUGCCUCAAAUCAAAUUAUUGUUCUAGCUGUUGAAGUCGCGACCCACCGGGAUAUCUGUGUCUCCUUGACGUUGGUGCUCAAUCAACUGAGAAUGAUGCUUCCUUCCUUGUUACUGUAAAAGAUGUCUGGAUAGGUUGUCCAAACACACUCUCCAAAGCUCUUGUUAGUUUGACAAUUCUCUUUGAUCUUUCCUUUUGGGAGUCAAUCUGAAGUUUGUCUUACCUCCUCUCUUCAUUGAGUUCCCUCAAGGGUUUUAUAUUGUCUGGAGUUUUUGUUGUCACAUCUAAGCUAGUGGGGUCCAUUUACUUCCACAGUCAUCAUGGCUACUCAUAGGGUGGCAACGCAAUCAUUACUCUUUUGGGUGAUGGAUGGUGAUUGCUAAUGGGGCGAUCGAGCGGCGCAUCUGUCACUUCAUUCCGCAGACGGCACAGUGCAAAAUGUGUCAAGUGGCCUGAAAAGACAUGAAGAUGUCCCAGCUAGCACGCCUUUAAUGGAAGGCGAAUGAUGGAAUGUGGAGUAUGGUUAGAGACGUUGUUUGAAGCAUGUCCUGUGGCUUCAUAAAAGCAUGGGCAUCUGGCCAUUGAUCAUUGGAUCCGGAUAGAAUGGAUCCAACAUGUAUGUUACUGGCCAAUGGAUCCUGUCCGGAUAAAGGCGAAGGUUGCCAUAUGUCUACAGAAGGUUUGCUAGUGAGGGUAAGGCAGGCCGCCAUGUGUCAGCUCAGGAGGAGGGUCCUACAAUACCUUUUUUUAACCCGUUUGAUCUGUCUGAUCAGAAAAUGUGUGUUAAAAUGAUUCAUUCAAAAAAUUUUUGGGGAUUGUGCGACAUGUGGCGCCUGAGCGGGAUAUUUAUGAUGAGACACCGACCUUGAAAUUACCACCAGGCGGCAUGUCGUUUCAAAAGUAGUGCAGUUGGGUGCCUUAUCGUUUGGGGUUCUUAGGGAUUCUAUCCUAUAAAUAAGAAUCCAAUCCCCAUUGACGGUACUUUUUCUUCAUUUCGCCUUUUGCUUCUCCCUAAAUCAUUCCGACCAUCCAGAAACAGCAGUUUUGGCAUUCAAUUGGCAACGCCUUCCCCAAAGAUUCCUUAACUUGUUAACUCAGGCGAUUGUAGCUCGGUUCAUCCCCAUCUUGUAAGCAUUCACCAGGUUCGCUUCUUCUUUCUCUUCCACGUCUUCUACUUCUUAUUUUCCAUUGAUUGAGAUGUUUGUCUAUGGUUGGGGGUUUGUGGCGACGCUUAAGAGAUUCGGUGAGUCAGGGGAUGACUUUUCUAGAUUUUGCAGAGAAGGGCAUAGGGUGAUUCUGGGGUAAUAUAUCCCGCCAAGGUCGCGUCCUAAUGGGCCUUAUUAGGGUAUAUUUUAGUUUUCGCGUUUUGAGGCUCUACCAAGUCUACUAGAUGUGCGUUUUCCUUUGGUGUGCUUGUAAGUCGUAGAGGGUCAAUCCCUUGCUAGGGUUAGGAACUGGCCAAUGGAACUGGAGUUCCUGAUUUGGGAUGUCGCUAAGUCGGGCGUAUUACCCAAUAAGAUUUCUUGGGGGUGUUGUUCUUGAGGCAGUAGGGUCGGGUGACUACUUCUUAACUGUCGGCAUUGUGCCAUGCACGUUUGACUCGGCCCGACGCUUCAAGAUGCUUGCAAAGAGGGGUACUACCUCGUCCAACGCAGCUGGGCAAAGUGGGAAAAGUGGCUGGACAGCCCCGAGUUCUGUACUCCCUUAUCUGGAGAAGCCCACUAAGCUUCUCAAUGAGCGGGAGUUUCGCGACCACUUCUGUUUUACGAAUCGUAUCUCCAUUCAACUGGUAGAGGGGGAUCCAAUGCAUAUGGAAAAAACCGGACACAACGCUAUGUACUCCACCAAGGAGCAAUUCAACGCGGAGCUUCGCUUUCCCCAUCUGUCCCUUUUCAAGCAAUUCCUUCACUACACCCAAAUCCCCCCAACCUUUAUUGAUCCCAAUAUUGUUCGGGUGCUGAUGGGGUGCAGUAUCCUGAAUAUGCUCUUCCACCUAGACCUUUCCCUAUUGGAGGUCCUUUUCAUCUGUACCAUCAAGAAGGGCAAGAAGGACAUCUUCAACAUGCUUGCCCAUAUCCCAUCCUUCAAGCUAGUGAUAGGCCUCCCUAAUUCGAACAAAGGGGAAGCCAAGGGGCAUGCGCUAGUCAGGGGAGCAUGGGCAGGUUUGAUAGAGCACCUACAAAGGGACUUUUAUCCUAACCAUUUGUUGAAGAUUCCGGGUAGGGAUGACUCUGAACACCUCCUCCCUGUUAAUAUUUUAGCACUGGGUUAGUUCCACUAGGUUGCUAACACUCUUCGUUUUGGUUGGUGUAGGUACAAAUAAGAUGUGUCAUUUGGUUGAGUGGGUAGAGAAAGCUUCGUUCGUCCGUUUGAACAAGCUGUUCAAGAUCACUACAAGCGAAAUGAAUUAUCAGACGCUCAUUUCUGCCCGGAAUCUUCUAGCGGUUGUCCGGGAAACUCGACCAUACGUCCUUAAUAUCCUCCCUAGACAGUUGCCUAAGGUUGUGGUGCCCAGGGAGCAUUUUGUUUUGUGAGACCUCCCCCUUUACGAAGAGGCAUGCAAGGCGGACGCAAAGGCUCAUCAAGAGCAUCUCGAGCAACGAGAAGAGAGAAGGCAAGAGGGGACCCUACGGAGGGCGCCUGGUGAGAAGGGUCGCGUGCAAUCAUCUACGGCUCGUCCUUUAGCAGAAAAGAAAAAGAAGAUGACCCUUGUAAAAGUGACCAAAGCCCCCCACUCCGGCUCUUACCUCUCCAUCUACUUCUUCUCCUUCUGCGUCGGACAACUCUGCCCACGCCUCUGAAGGUGUCUUUAGCUCCUUGAGGCUUGAUCCUAGCAAUCCAGGAACCUGCCCUUCCGAGCUUGAGCCAGAGCCUAUAGCACUUGGAGUAAUAAAUGAGCCAGAAGAAGAAGAAGUAGACAUGUCAGCUGACUUGAGAGCUGGCUUCAAAGAGAGGCAUCACAAACACCUCUAUGAAGCCAUUGACAUGGUUCCUCCUCCUACUAAGAAGGCUUGUCCAGAAAAAGUUCGGGAGGAAACCGAGAGAGAGGCUCCUACAACACCAGUGCCCCAACUGGAUGUUAUGGGGCCAAGCAGUGUGCCCGCUGCUGAGGAAGAGGUUGGCCCGGCCCCAGGGGCCCUCUGAUGGCACUGCUCCUGAUGAAGAAGUCUUGGAUUAGAAGGACUCUCUUGCACCCGCUUCUCUUCAUAGUUGGGAUGAAAUGAUGGAGAUGUUAAAGCAUAUCCCAUGCUUUACAGAUGCUGAGUCGCCCUCUACUAAGAUGUCCGACUUCUUCCCUCUCACCAAGCGGAUAUUUGUGAACCUUGGUGGUGACCCCCCUUCCUUUGUCUCAGCCAAACUUUCCUUCAGCACGCUUAAGUCCACAAUCGCCCAUAUUUAGCAACUUCAGGAUUGUACUAUGUCGAAAAUUGCAUAAGUGGUACUUUCUCAUACUUUGCUUCCUUUUCCGGAUUGAUGCACACUCCACUUAAUUAAUGCUAAUUUUGUUUCUGUUGCAGUUGGUGGCUAGUAUCCGCAACAUGGUGCGACAGCGCACCCUCCUUUUUGUGCGACUAAAGGUUGUUAAAGCCAUGCAGUCUUUCAUUUCCUACCGCCUGGGUGGCAGCGAGGAUUUCGCUCAAGGCUGGAGCGAUCAGAGACCGAUCUCGCUGCUACUCAGAAAGCUGCUACGGAAGGAGUCGAGGCUUUGAAAAAGGCUGGGGAAAAGAAGGAGGUGUUCCAGGUUGAGGCAAACAAGCUGAAGAAUGAGGGAGAGGUCGCGAAGGCCAAGCUUAAGAAGGCGGAGCAGGAGACUUCUCAUCGAAGAAGGAUACAGAAUAGCUUCGAGAUAGGCUCGCGACUAAAAAAAAAAGACAUAGAGGAAUUACAAGCAGGUUUCGUCGCUCAGAAAAUGGAACUAGAAGCCAGAUUUGUGCUCAAAAGAAGGAACUGGAAGUGAAGUACCAAAAGCAGGUGGACAAAAUGUAUUUCUUCGGCUAUCGCUGUUGUAUGAAGGAAAAUGGUAUCAUGCAUGAUAUUCCCUCUCUUUCUUCUAAUGACGAGGAUGAGAUACUCGCGCGGUCCUCCUCAAUGAGAUAGUGCCCUCUUUAUGUAAUUUUUCUUCUUGAUGUAAUUUUUGUCGUGAAGUGGUUCGACUGAGUAUUUGUAAAGACAAUUUUUAAUAUGUUUAAGCUAUGAAUAUAACGUUGCUUUACUUUUCCUUUUUGCUUUCAUUGAUAAUAUUGCUUUAAGUGAACUACAUUCCAUGGGUGGAGUAAAGGGGUUUCGUCUAGUUUCUGCAGAUGGUAGGCUCCAUUCUCACUUGCCUUUGACACAAUGUAAGGACCUUCCCAAUUUUCUCAGAGUUUCCAGCUCAUUUUUCAGCCGUGUUUUCAAAGACUUUCCUGAGGACAAGUGUCUCAACUUUGAAGGUGCGGGGUCGUACCUUUCGGUUGUAGUAUGCAACUACCCUUUGCUGAUAAGCAAUCAUUUGGAUAGAUGGGACUAGUGCUUUGCAAGUUCCAUAUCUUCAUUUAUCUACCCCUGUACGGUGGUCCGGGCCGUGGGCAUGCCUACUUCUGUGGGGAUGACUACGUCCAUUUCGUAUGCAAGAGCGAAAAGGGUGCUUCCUGUUAGUCGCCCAGGUGUUGUCCGAUAGGCCCACAAGACGUCGGGCAAUUCUUCCACCCAUCUUCCCUUGGCUUGUUCCAGCCUUUUCUUCAAUGCGGAUAGCAGAGUUUUGUUGGUUGCUUCUGUUUGUCUGUUGCUUUGGGGGUACCGAGGUGUGGAGUAUAAAUUCUUGAUUUUAAGCUCCGAACUGAUAGUUCUGAAGGCAACACUGUCAAACUGAUGGUCGUUGUCAGCUAUGAUCAUUUGGGGGAUUCCAAAUCGGCACACGAUGUUCUUUCAAACGAACUUUGUGACGUCUUUAUUCUUGAUGUUAGCAUAAGCUUCGGCCUUUACCCAUUUGUUGAAGUAAUCAGUGGCAACAAGUAGGAAUUUCUUUUGUGCAGCUGCAGUAGGUAAGGGUCCCACAAUAUCCAUCCCCCACUGUACGAACGGCUAGGGGCUUAUUACCGAGUUGAGUGUUUCAAAGGGCAUAUGCGGUAUAGGCUCAUACCUUUGGCACUUGUCACACUUCUUGACAUACGCUUCUGCAUCUUGCUUCAUAGUUGGUCAAUAAUAUCCUUGUGAGUGUGCGUGAUGCACUAGAUAUCAGCCUUCCGAGUAGUUGCCACAAACACCUUUGUGCAGUUUUGUCAGCACAUAUUGGGCUUCCGACUGGUCUAAGCACCUGAGGUAUGGGUCUCCGAAAGACCGUCUAUAGAGGUAAUCUCUAAUCAAAGUGAAAUGAGCAACUUGCACCCGGGUCUUAUGUGCAUGCUUGGAGUCUUCAGGCAGAGCACUUGUCCGGAGAUAUGUUUUUAUGGAGUUUGUCCAUUCCUAGUUUUCCUUGAUAGUGCGGCAGACGGGCGACUCUAUGAUGGAUGGAGCGGUAUGGAUACAUAUUGGCAACAAUAUAGAUUCACUUAUGGGAAGUGAGGCGGCUAUGCCUGCUAAGGCGUCGGCUUGCAUGUUACCUGCUUGGGGAAUCUUCUUGACAGUCCACUCGUCCAACUGCUGAUUACUACUCACAAAGUACUAUUUCAUAACUUGUAAUUAACUCUUUUAAACACUUUUGAGUAGUAGUUAUCACCUUUUAACCCAAUUAACAUAUUAAGGACCCUUGCAAUCGAUUCUAAUCAAAUUGUGUUAAGUUUUGGUGUUUUGAUAGCUUAUUGAUCACCAAAACAAUCUGAGAUUAAGAAAAGUUCUUUGGAAUCCUUAAGCAAAUCCAGAAUACAAGGAGUAUGGGAUCCUGCACAUUCCAUCCGACUGCCGCGCCAUUCCAUCCGGCUACCGCCACUUUACACCCGGAUGUAUCACAUCCGGAAAUCUGCUACUGUCAUCAUUCCAUCCGGAUGUCUUACAUCCAGAAUUCAAGAGCCGGAUGGGAGAGGAGGGCGUUUCAACUUCUCCGGACAAACAUAUCAGGAUCCGCCGAUAGCAUUCACCCGGAGGAUUUCGCAGCAAUUUUGCACAGUGCCGCAGUGUUCUCCUGAAGCUUCCCGAUAUGUGCGACCGACAUCUUUAGAUAUUUUUCUUUAGAUAUUUAUCUUUAAAUAUUUGAUGUCUAAAUCCCCAAACUCUCCUUAUAACCCACCAAUUAUAGGAUUCCUUAGUUAUUAAGUUUGGAAAAAUGAUGAAUAACCUUGUAGAUAUUAUUAUUGUAAUUUUCAUAUAAAUAUUUCUCGGAAGCCUGUUCUCGAGACGACGCAACUUUUGUAUAAUUUUCAAAGGAAGAAAAAUACAGAGCUUUGCUCUGCUUUUACCUUCUCAUUUUGAUUGUAUUUUCUUACUAGCCAAACAAGCUCUGAGGAUGUUUCCUCAGAGAAUGAGUGGCUAGAAUUUUAGUUCCUUGGAGUUAAGGUUGCCGGGAAAGGUUCCAAGUGCAAGAAUUAGUAGCUUUGUGGUUUCAACCAUUAAUGAAGAGAAAGUGUGACCAGUUAAUGGUUUUAUCUUUUUAGUUAACUUAAAACGCCUUUAAAUCACCUAGGCCAACACUUGAUAAGGCAAGUGAUCUCCAUCCAUAGAGAUGCACUAGUUUAUCUUUUGCGAGCCUUUGGGAGGUGGUUUGAAGGUAGGGUUUUCUAGAAUAGCCAACACUUGGUAAGCUUUUGGACUCCACGGAGACAUCCAUUAUUUAUCUCUUGCAAGCUUUUGAUUACUACUCAAAAAGAGCAUAUUUUAGAUAAUAAUUCUCACGAGUUUCACAUCUUUUGAGUAGUAAUUAUGCCUAAAACACUCAAUUAGCAUGUUGUUGCCCUUGCAAGAGUUAUUAAGAAGUUUUAUGAAGUUUUGGAGUCAUUUCAAGGUAUAAUUUUGAUAAAUUGGUGACAAAAGAGAUUAAUCAAAUUGAAGAAAACAAAUAAAGUUGAUGAUGAUCCAAAUGCAUAAUGAAAGAAGCAAUGCAAUCAGUUUGGAUUGGGAUUUGGAGCUUAAUUGAAGGUGAUGGAAAUGGAUUAAACAUGAAGAAAUGAGAGAAAUUACAAAGAGGAGUCGGAAAAGCAUAUUUCUCGAUUUCGCAUGACCAUGCGAAAUGAAACAGCAUGGCUAUUGGCUGCAGCACAUAAGGGAAUUCUGAAAAGCAAUUUCUUUCGCACAGUCAUGCGAAAAGCUCCAGAAGAACUAAAAUGAAGCUGAUGGACUCUCCACUUUGCACCAUCAUGCGAGAUUGCUAGGGGCUCAUGCGAAAAUGCAUUUUCUCCAGAUUCCUUGAUGAAGAAGCAUCUGGAAGACCUCUAAAAUGUUGCCAAGUGUCCUUUUAACCUUAGCCUAUAAAUAGAAACGAGAUUUGACUCAUUUAAGAACUUUUGAUACAUUUUCUAAUCGUAGAACUUUUCAUACUUCUUCUCUCUAUAUAAUUCUCUACUUUCCUUCAGUUUCUCUUAUUUUCUCGGUAGCUAAACAUGUCUUGUGAGAUCAAAUCUCCAAGCAUGAGUGGCUAAAUCUCAUUUUUCUCGGAGGAGGGAGGAUCUAGAGGCAAGAUCUAUGGUGAAUUAGAGAAUUGAGCUUGAAUUGCAAAGGUAAUUUGAUCUAAUUGAUUGAUUAAUUGAAAUUUGGGGAUUUUUCUUUUCAAAUUGUCUUGGAUGAUUACUACAAUGCAAGCUAGGUAGAUUCAUCAAAUUCUUAAUGCUAGAUUUGAUAAGAUUGAAUAGUUGCAUUGUGUGAAUCAUCGGAAGAUAAUUUAAGAUGAAUUGAAUAUAUGAUUCAAAUUGAUCUCUUGGAUUAGAUUACCUGAUUUGAAGAGCAAUUAGAUCUAGAUCUAAAGCUAAAUCAAAAAUUAGUUUAGAUGAAAAUUUAGGUUUUCAAUCUAACUUGAUGAAAAUUAGAUCUCAACACCUAUUCACCAUGGAAAUUGCUCUCUAGAAAAUCCUAACUCCGAGAAUCUCACCUCUUAUUAAUUUUCUUCUCUUUUACACUUCAUUUUCCUCUCAAUUUGAAUACAUUGCUAUUUUGGAAUUUUAUCAUGCAUUUUCAAAUCAAUUUCAUUUUAUCACAAUCAUUUCUUAUCAUCUCAUUCAAGCCUUAAUUACCAAGAAUAAUCCAUCCUUGUGGACGAUACCUAACAACCACUAUACUACAGUAGUUUGUACUAAAACCACUUUUUGAUCGGGUACAAAUUGCUAUAGAAUAGUGAGUUAGGUUAUAAAUUUUGUUUUGAUCCAAUAAACGACAAAAUCUAAGCGGUAAUCCAAGGUUAAAGAUCACCUUGAAUGGCAAGUGCUAGGUGAGAGGUAUGAGCCAUUGCAAGGUGCAUCAAUGAGAGAGAAUUAUUAUUUGAAUCCAUUAAGGGGAAGCAACUGUACAAAACCAGUUAGAAAAUUGACUAUAUGUUAAUUCUCUAAUGCGAGGAAAUGAACCAAAUGACUGGAGCUCUGUUUUUGCAUAAGAAACCUCCCUUGUGAACUUAAACCUCCAAGGAAUGUUUUUUUUUAUAAGUAAUUUCCAUUACUUCCUUUGCCGUUAGUUUAAACCUAAACAUUUUUCAAUCAAAGUUUGUGUUUUAUUUCUCAAGCUAACCUUGAAAUGAAAAGACACCAAUUCAUCUUUGAAUUGGUAUCAUUUAUGAAUUGAAAACCCUUCCCAAUGAACGAUCCUAGAGCCACUAUGCUAUAAUAGCUUUGUCUUUGCUACCCUAGUCAUGGUGUAAUAGGUUAUAAAUUUUGUUGAUUUCUCCCUCAAUCAAGGAGCGCCAGCUGGACAUGAACCAGCUGAUACACCAAUUGGGCACAAAUCAAAUGGCGCCUUUGUCGGGGAAGGUGCCAACUUCAUAGUGAUAUUAUUUCAGAGUACUUGUGAUUUUCAUCACAAGUUUGGUAACUUUUCUUUCAUUUUACUAAUUCUUAUUUUUUUAUUUAUUGUAUCUUUACUUGUUCAUAAUCUAAUAUAUCUUUUAAAUCCAAUUUAGUUCAUUUUAGUUUGGUAGCCCUGCUUUCUUUUGUUUUCUUUUAUUUUUAUUUUAGUUAUAGUUGAUACUAGUUGUGUAUGCCAAAGUGGAUACAAGAUAGUGGAGGAAGGCUUGUCAAACGUGAUAUACCUCAUAACAAGGAAUUGGAAUUGAGCUUAAAUAUCAUGGAAGCUACACCUGAAGAUCAGCAUAGUCACCAUGGUCAUCAGGACAAUCCCAAUGAAUUCAUAUCAAUGAGGGACCGCAUGCAUCCACCUCGUAUGAGUGCACCAUGAUGUAUAGUGCCCCCUACAGAGCAGCUAGUGAUCAGACCCCAUAUUGUGCCACUUCUACCAACUUUCCAUGGAAUGGAAAGUGAGAAUCCCUACGCACAUAUCAAGGAAUUUGAAGAUGUUUGUAAUACAUUCCGAGAGGGAGGAGCUUCUAUCGACCUGAUGAGGCUUAAACUAUUUCCUUUUACUUCAAAGGAUAAGGGCCAAGAUUUGGCUUAAUUCUUUAAGGCUAAGGAGUAUCCGUACUUGGACUGAUUUACAAGUUGAAUUCCUCAAGAAAUUUUUUUCCCACUCACAGAACAAAUGGCUUGAAAAGGCAAAUUUCAAACUUCUCAGCUAAAGAGAAUGAGAAAUUCUAUGAGUGUUGGGAAAGAUACAUGGAAGCUAUUAAUGAUUGUCCUCACCAUGGCUUUGAUACAUGGCUAUUGGUGAGUUAUUUCUAUGAUGGGAUGUCUUCCUCAAUGAAGCAACUCCUCGAGACAAUGUGUGGAGGAGAUUUCAUGAGCAAGAAUCCUGAGGAAGCUAUGGAUUUCUUGAGUUAUGUAGCUGAAGUCUCAAGGGAAUGGGAUGAACCGCACAGAGGAGAAGUGGGAAAGUUGAAGUCUCAACCGAGUGCUUUCAAUGCUAAGGCUGGGAUGUAUACCUUGAAUGAAGAUGACGAUAUGAAAGCAAAGUUUGCAGCUAUGACAAGAAGAUUGGAGGAGCUAGAACUGAAAAAGAUGCAUGAAGUGCAAGCUGUUGCUGAAACACCAGUGCAAGUAAAGCUGUGUCCUAUUUGUCAAUCUUAUGAACACUUGAUGGAGGAGUGCCCUACACUUCUAGCUGUAAAGGAAAUGUUUGGAGAUCAAGCAAAUGUCAUUGGACAAUUCAAGCCCAAUAACAAUGCACCAUAUGGAAAUACUUACAACUCAAGUUGGAGGAAUCAUCUAAAUUUCUCAUGGAAGGCAAGAGCACCUCAGUACCAACAGCCGGCUCAACCAUCUCAACAAUCUUCAAGUCUUGAACAAGCAAUAGUGAAUCUCAGCAAGGAUGUGAGAGAUUUUUUUGGAGACCAAAAAGCAUUCAAUGCUCAAUUGGAAGACUUUGUUGGAGCCCAAAAAGCCAUCAAUGCUCAACUCAGUCAAAGGAUUGACAGUAUAGAGAGUACUUUGAAUAAAAGGAUGGAUGGAAUGCAAAAUGAUCUAUCUCAAAAGAUAGAUAAUCUCCAAUACUCAAUCUCAAGGCUCACUAACUUGAACACAGUGCAAGAGAAGGGUAGAUUUCAUUUUCAACCUCACCAAAACCCCAAGGGUAUCCACGAAGUGGAAACUCAUGAGGGAGAAUCUUCACAGGUGAGAGAUGUUAAAGCCUUGAUCACUCUGAGGAGUGGUAAAAAGGUUGAGUCACCAACACUCAAGCCAUAUGUUGAAGAGAAGAAAGACGAAGAAACAAAGAAGAGGGAGGAAAUGAAAGGAAAGAAGAAAGAUGUCAGUGAAAUGAAAGAGGACCAUGAUUCAAUAGUGAAUACAAAUCCGGAGAAAGAGCUUCUUAAGGAAGAAAUGCUAAAGAAAUCAACUUCUCCACCUUUUUCUCAAACGUUGCAUGGGAAAAAGGGGAUAAAAAAUGCAUCAGAAAUCCUUGAAGUAUUGAGACAAGUGAAAGUCAAUAUCCCAUUGCUGGACAUGAUUAAGCAAGUUCCAACAUAUGCAAAGUUCCUAAAGGACUUGUGUACUAUCAAAAGAGGGUUGAAUGUGAAUAAGAAAGCCUUCUUGACUGAGCAAGUAAGCGCAAUCAUACAAUGCAAGUCUCCUUUGAAGUACAAAGAUCCGGGAUGUCCUACCAUUUCAGUCAUGAUUGGAGGAAAGGUAGUGGAGAAAGCUUUGUUAGACUUGGGAGCAAGUGUGAAUUUGCUACCAUACUCUGUCUACAAACAAUUGGGACUUGGUGAGUUGAAGCCAACAUCAAUCACCCUAUCUCUAGCAGAUAGAUCAGUAAAAAUUCCAAGGGGGGUAAUUGAGGAUGUCUUAGUUCAAGUUGAUAAUUUCUACUAUCCGGUAGAUUUUGUUGUUUUUGAUAUGGAUUCUACUGUAAAGGAAGCUAAUUCAGUUCCUAUCAUCCUUGGAAGGCCAUUCUUUGCUACCUCAAAUGCAAUCAUCAAUUGUAGGAAUGGACUCAUGCAACUCACUUUUGGCAACAUGACACUUGAGCUCACCAUUUUUUAUAUGUCAAAAAAGCAAAUCACUCUGGAAGAAGAAGAAGGUCCAGAAGAGGUAUGCAUUAUCGACACUUUAGUGGAGGAGCACUGUAAUCAGAAUAUGCAAGAUAAGCUGAAUGAAGGUCUUGGGGAUCUUGAAGAAGGGUUGUCUGAACCCCCUGAUGUGCUUGCUACUCUACAAAGUUGGAAGAGAAGAGAAGAGAUUCUACCUUUGUUCCAUAAAGAGGAAGGAGAAGCUGCUGAAGAAGAGACCCCAAAGCUCAAAUUGAAGCCUCUGCCCGUGGAGCUGAAAUAUACAUACCUUGAAGAAAAUAAUCAAUGUCCUGUUGUUAUAUCUUCAUCUCUUACCGGUCAUCAGGAGAUUUCUCUACUUGAAGUUAUCAAAAGGUGCAAGAAAGCAAUAGGAUGGAAAAUAUCUGACUUGAAAGGAAUCAGUCCUUUGGUUUGUACACAUCACAUAUAUAUGGAGAAAGAAGCUAAACCAAUUCGUCAACCUCAAAGAAGAUUGAAUCCUCAUUUACAAGAAGUGGUGCGGACUGAGGUGCUGAAGCUACUCCAAGUAGGUAUUAUUUAUCCCAUAUCUGACAGCCCUUGGGUGAGCCCUACUCAAGUGGUACUAAAGAAGUCAGGGAUUACUAUGGUUCAGAAUGAGAAAGGAGAAGAAAUUGCUACACGCCUCACUUCAGGUUGGAAGGUGUGUAUUGAUUAUAGAAAGUUGAAUGCUGUGACAAGGAAAGAUCAUUUUCCAUUGCCGUUUAUUGAUCAGGUGCUGGAGAGAGUCUCUGGCUAUCCUUUUUAUUGUUUCUUGGACGGGUACUCAGGGUAUUUCCAAAUUGAAAUUGAUGUUGAAGAUCAGGAGAAAACCACUUUCACAUGUCCGUUUGGAACAUAUGCCUACAGAAGAAUGCCUUUUGGUUUAUGCAAUGCACCUGCAACAUUCCAAAGAUGUAUGCUUAGUAUCUUUAGUGAUAUGGUGGAGCGAAUUAUGGAGGUUUUCAUGGAUGACGUCACCGUAUAUGGGGGUACAUUUGAGGAAUGCUUAGUCAAUUUGGAAACAGUUCUUAAUAGAUGCAUUGAGAAGGACUUGGUGCUCAACUGGGAGAAAUGCCAUUUUAUGGUACGUCAAGGAAUUGUCCUUAGCCAUAUCAUCUCCGAGAAAGGCAUUGAAGUUGAUAAAGCAAAUGUGGAGCUUAUUGUCAAAUUACCGUCCUCAACAACUGUGAAAGGAGUAAGGCAAUUUCUUGGCCAUGCAGGGUUCUAUAGGAGAUUUAUACAAGACUUCUCUAAGCUUUCAAAACCUCUUUGUGAGCUUUUGGCUAAGGAUGCUAAGUUUAUAUGGGAUGAAAGAUGUCAAAAUAGCUUUGAUCAACUGAAGCAAUUCUUGACAACUGCUCCGAUAGUAAGGGCUCCUAACUGGCAACUACCCUUUGAAGUGAUGUGUGAUGCCAGUGACUUUGCUGUAGGAGCUGUACUUGGCCAAAGAGAAGAUGGGAAGCCCUACGUGAUCUACUAUGCAAGCAAAACAUUGAACGAAGCUCAAAGGAACUACAUAACUACAGAGAAAGAUUUGUUAGCUAUGGUGUUUGCCUUAGACAAGUUUCGUGCUUAUCUAGUAGGGUCUUUCAUCAUUGUUUUCACUGACCAUUCAGCCUUGAAGUAUUUAUUGACAAAGCAAGAUGCUAAAGCAAGGUUGAUUAGAUGGAUUCUUUUGUUACAAGAGUUCGAUCUCCGAAUCCGAGACAAGAAAGGGGUGGAGAAUGUGGUAGCUGACCACCUUUCAAGGUUGGCUAUAGCACAUAAUUCCCAUGUAUUACCUAUUAAUGAUGACUUUCCUGAGGAAUCACUUAUGUUGCUAGAGAAAGCUCCUUGGUAUGCUCAUAUUGCUAACUAUUUAGUUACUGGUGAAGUUCCAAGUGAGUGGAAUGCACAAGACAGGAAGCACUUCUUUGCAAAAAUUCAUGCUUAUUAUUGGGAUGAGCCUUUCCUUUUCAAGUAUUGUGCAGAUCAAAUAAUACGGAAGUGUGCCCCUGAAGAAGAGCAACAAGGAAUCCUCAGCCAUUGCCAUCAAAAUGCAUGCAGAGGCCACUUUGUCUCUCAGAAAACAACCAUGAAGGUCUUGCAAUCAGGGUUUACUUGGCCAUCACUUUUCAAAGAUUCCCACAUCAUGUGUAGGAGUUGUGAUAGAUGCCAAAGACUCGGGAAGCUUACAAAAAGAAACCAAAUGCCCAUGAACCUCAUCCUUAUAGUUGAUCUUUUUGAUGUUUGGGGUAUUGACUUCAUGGGACCUUUCCCAAUGUCUUUUGGUAACUCUUAUAUAUUGGUGGGGGUUGACUAUGUUUCCAAAUGGGUUGAGGCAAUCCCCUGUAAACAUAAUGAUCACAGGGUGGUUCUCAAAUUUCUUAAGGAGAACAUCUUCUCAAGAUUUGGGGUGCCCAAGGCCAUAAUCAGUGAUGGAGGUACUCAUUUUUGCAACAAACCUUUUGAAACCGUAUUAGCCAAGUAUGGAGUGAAGCAUAAGGUAGCUACACCUUAUCAUCCUCAAACUUCCGGGCAAGUGGAGCUAGCAAAUAGGAAAAUAAAAAACAUGCUGAUGAAAGUGGUGAUUGCAAGCAGAAAAGAUUGGUCUAUUAAGCUACAUGAUUCAUUAUGGGCAUAUAGAACAGCUUAUAAGACUAUUCUUGGCAUGUCCCCCUAUCGUCUCGUCUAUGACAAAGCAUGCCACCUCCCUGUGGAAGUUGAAUAUAAGGCGUGGUGGGCAAUCAAGAGGUUGAACAUGGACUUGAUCAGAGCUGGAGAAAAGAGGUGCUUAGACCUUAAUGAGAUGGAGGAAUUAAGAAAUGAUGCUUACAUCAAUUCCAAAAUUGCAAAACAGAGGAUGACGAAGUGGCAUGAUCAACUAAUCUCCAACAAAGAAUUCCAUAAAGGACAAAAAGUUUUGCUUUAUGAUUCAAGACUCCAUGCCUUUCCAGGGAAGCUCAAGUCAAGGUGGAUAGGCCCUUUCAUUAUUCACCAAGUGCAUCCUAAUGGAGUGGUGGAAUUACUGAAUUCCAAAACCACCGACAUUUUCAAGGUCAAUGGUCAUCGUCUCAAGCCAUUCAUUGAGCCAUUCAAACCAGAAAAGGAGGAAAUCAACCUCCUUGAGCCACAGAAAGCCUGAUCAGAGAAGGGAUAGAUGGACUUGGUUUCACCAAAGUCCAUGAUUUUGUUAAAUAUGUUAAUUUUUAAGUCUUAUAAAUUAUUUGAUCGUAAAUUUGAUCUUAAAUUUUGUUAAUUGUAAGAUCAAGAGCUCAGGCCCAGCACACUACCAUCCUGGGGCAGAUCCAGCAUCAUCUCGGCAUUACAUUAGCUCCUAAGCAUGCCAUUUCCCAGCUCAUCAGAGCCAUCACAGGCCCCUCCUUUUGUUGAUUAGCCUAUGCCUCAUUAAGAGCCUCCUAUAGGAGAGGCAGCUGAGUAUCACUCCACGUCAUUCAGGAGGUACCACUUCCUCCCUAUGUUUCAAUCACUUUUAUCACAUUGAGGACAAUGUUCAGCUUGGUUGGGAGGAGAGUUGAGGAAUUAAGUUUUUGUUAUUAAUGCGAAGUUAUUUUGGUAAUUUAGUUGCUUUUUGCUUAAUUUUAAAAUUUUAAAAGUUUUUAUUCUACUCUCCAUGCUUAUUAAGGAAAAAAAUUUCAAAUUGAAAUAGGAGAAAUUGAAUUUUUGUCUUUUCACUUGACUUAGAGUUUGUAUUAUGCUUAUUAAAAUUGAUGAAUUGUUGAAACUUCUAUUGAAUUCGAGCUUAUGUCUUCCACUUUAAGCUAUUCACACACUGUGCACAAUAGGUUCCGAGUAUAAGAUGAAAAACUAUUUCCCUUUUGACUUAGGAAAAUUUUAGACUUGGUACCUUUGACCUUAUUUAAUAGUGUUGGAACACCUUAUAAAAUGCCAAUGAGCCUUUGAAAAAAAAGAAGAAAGAAAAAAUGUUUGCUUGCCUUGAAACCCGAGUAAGGUCCGAGGGGUAUAUGGUGAAAAUCUUUAAAACCUGGUGCCCUAAGCCUUCAUUGGUUGGGAGUCACCGACCUCAAUGCUCAUUACAAGGGUGAAUAAGUGGAGUUUAACAUACUGUAGGUGCUUGGGUAUUAAAAUUUUAUUCUCAAAAGUCCGGGGUAAAAUCCAAGGAGUUAGUGGUUGAAAUAUCCUUAAAGCUUGAUGCCCUAAACCUUAAUUGGUUGGGAGUCAUCGAUGGACCCUCGUUACAUGGACAAUUUAGAAAAGAAUACCCUUAAGCCUUGUACCCCUGCAAUGAAAAAAAAAAAAAAAGGGUGCGUUCUUAGCCUAUUGAAGUUGGUCAGUUUGCUAAGUGUUGAAAAAAGCUAGGUUGGGGGGAGAGAUUAGUUUAGCAUACUAUAUUCGGAAGCUAUCAAGUAACACUUAGAUUUUUGUGGAAGAGUAAGGAUUGGUCCUUUGGAAGUGGAAAUGAAUUUAAAGCUUAAAUUUGCAUAAUGCCUUCUCUUUAAGAAUUGUGAUUAGAUAAGUUAUUUGAUAACUCUUGAUGAAGUUUAAGUUUUAUUUCUUUAAUGUUCCAUGUGAGAGUUAGAUCAUCAUGCCACUUGGAAAUUGUUUUUGGAUCAGCAUGAUGUUGUAAAUUAUAGUACUGUUUAUUUUUAUUUUUCUCUCCUUCAUUGCUAAGGGACUAGCAAUAUGUCGGUUGGGGGGAGUGAUUACUACUCACAAAGUACUAUUUCAUAGAUUGUAAUUAACUCUUUUAAACACUUUUGAGUAGUAGUUAUCACCUUUUAACCCAAUUAACAUAUUAAGGACCCUUGCAAUCAAUUCUAAUCAAAUUAUGUUAAGUUUUGGUGUUUUGAUAGCUUUUUGAUCACCAAAACAAUCCGAGAUUGAGGAAAGUUCUUUGGAAUCCUUAAGCAAAUCCAUAAUACAAGGAGUAUGGGAUCCUGCACAUUCCAUCCGGCUGUCGCCACUUUACACCCGGAUGUAUCACAUCCGGAAAUCUGCUGCCGCCAUCAUUCCAUCCGAAUGUCUUACAUCCGGAAUUCAGGAGCCGGAUAGGAGAGAAGGGCGUUUCAACUUCUCCGGAUAGACAUAUCUGGAUCCGCCGAUAGCGCUCACCCGGAGGAUUUCGCAGCAAUUUUGUACAGUGCCGCGGUGUUCUCCUGAAGCUUCUCUAUAUGUGCGACCGACAUCUUUAGAUAUUUUUCUUUAGAUAUUUGAUGUCUAAAUCCCCAAACUCUCCUUGUAACCCACCAAUUAUAGGAUUCCUUAGUUAUUAAGUUUGGAAAAAUGAUGAAUAACCUUGUAGAUAUUAUUAUUGUAAUUUUCAUAUAAAUAUCUCUCGGGAGCUUGUUCUCGGGACGACGCAACUUUUGUAUAAUUUUCAAAGGAAGAAAAAUACAGAGCUUUGCUCUGCUUUUAUCUUCUCAUUUUGAUUGUAUUUUCUUACUAGCCAAACAAGUUCUGAGAAUGUUUCAUCAGAGAAUGAGUGGCUAGACUUUUAGUUCCUUGGAGUUAAGGUUGCCGGGAAAGGUUCCAAGUGUAAGAAUUAGUAGCUUUGUGGUUUCAGCCAUUAAUGAAGAGAAAGUGUGACCAGUUAAUGGUUUUAUCUUUUUAGUUAACUUAAAACGCCUUUAAAUCACUUGGGCCAACACUUGAUAAGGCAAGUAAUCUCCAUCCAUAGAGAUGCACUAGUUUAUCUCUUGCGAGCCUUUGAGAGGUGGUUUGAAGGUAGGAUUUUCUAGAAUAGCCAACACUUGGUAAGCUUUUGGACUCCACGGAGACAUCCAUUAGUUAUCUCUUACGAGCUUUUGACGGGUAAUCCAAGGUUAAAGAUCACCUUGAAUGGCAAGUGCUAGGUGAGAGGUAUGAGCCAUUGCAAGGUGCAUCAGUGAGAGAGAAUUAUUAUUUGAAUCCAUUAAGGGGAAGCAUCUGUACAAAACCGGUUAGAGAAUUGACUAUAUGUUAAUUCUCUAAUGCGAGGAAAUGAACCAAAUGACUGGAGCUCUGUUUUUGCAUAAGAAACCUCCCUUGUGAACUUAAACCUCCAAGGAAUGUUUUUUUUUAUAAGUAAUUUCCAUUACUUCCUUUGCCGUUAGUUUAAACCUAAACCUUUUUCAAUCAAAGUUUGUGUUUUAUUUCUCAAGCUAACCUUGAAAUGAAAAGACACCAAUUCAUCUUUGAAUUGGUAUCAUUUAUGAAUUGAAAACCCUUCCCAGUGAACGAUCCUAGAGCCAUUAUGCUAUAGUAGCUUUGUCUUUGCUACCCUAAUCAUGGUGUAAUAGGUUAUAAAUUUUGUUGAUUUCUCCCUCAAUCAAGGAGCGCCAGCUGGACAUGACCAGCUGAUACACCAAUUGGGCACGAAUCAACUGUUGCAAGGAGUCUUGGACUUUCAAUAGGUAUUAGGACAUGCGUUCGUCUUUAGCUUCAUAUUCUUUUUGUAUAUGCCCCACGAUGAGCUGAGAAUCACUAUAGAUCCUCAGUUUAGAAGCAGAGAGUGCGAAGGCUAGGUUUAGUUCAGACAAAACUGCUUCAUAUUCAACUUCAUUAUUUGAUGUAGGGAAUCCUAGCCGGAUAGCCUGCUCUAGUUGUUUGCCUGUCGGAGAUCUUAGAAGGAGGCCCACUCUUGAUCUGGACGACCGGGAGGCUCCAUCAACCUACAAAAUCCACCACCCUUCCUCGCCAAUCUCCGUGCUUUAGGUAUGCUGUCGGGGAACCUCGGCUAUGAAAUCAGCCAUGACCUACCCCUUCAUAGACAACCUAGGUUGAUAUUCAAUUCCAUACUCACUCAACUCUAUGGCCCACUGGAGCAUUCUUCUUUAUAUGUCUGGCUUAUGCAAGAUACUUCGAAUUGGUUGGUUAGUGAGCACGACUAUUGGAUGAGCUUGGAAAUAUGAGUGAAUUCUCUAAGCGGCAUUUCGCAAAGCUAAGGCGGUCUACUCCAUUUUUUAGUACCUAGUCUUUACGUUGGCCAUCGCUCUGCUGAUGAAAUAGACAGGUCUUUGUUCUUUAUGCAACAGGGAAUGAAACAAUACAAUGCUAAUCGCCCAAUCAGAUACUGCAAGGUACAUGUACAAUUGCUCUUUAGGUUGAGGGUUGCUCAAAAUGGGGGGUUGUGUAAGGUAAUGUUUGAUUUCAUCGAAUGAAUUCUGGCAGCCGUCCAUCCACUCUGUUGCAUUGGCUUCUCUGAGCACUAGAAAGAAGAGUUGCAACUUGUCUGUGAAUCAAGCUAUGAAUUGUCCGAGCGCAACAAGCAUGUCUAUGAGGCGUUGCAGCUUUUUUUUGCUCCUAGGCUCAGGUGUAUUCAUGAUUGCCUUGAUUUGGUCUGGUUUGACUUCUAUUCCCCUCUAGGAGAUCAUGAAUCAUAGGAAUUUGCCUAAGCUUACACCAAGGUGCAUUUAGACGAGUUGAGCUUCAUACUCUAUCUUCUCAACAGAUUGAAAACUUCUUGCAAAUGCUGGGCAUGCUUUUCUCGGGUUUUUCUUUUGACCACUAUAUCGUCAAUGUAUACCUCUACCAUGCGACUGAUCAGAAGUUUGAAGAUUUUAGUCAUCAACCUUUGGUAAGUGGCUCCAGCAUUUUUGAGCUAGAACGACAUGACCUUGUAAUAGUAGAGUCCGUGCAGCAUUAUGAAGGUGGUUUUUUCUUUGUCCGUUAGAGCCAUAGGGAUCUGAUGAUAUCCAGAGAAGGCAUCUAGGAAAGAGAGCAUCCCAUGUCCAAAGGUGGAGUUCACUAUCUGGUUUAUCCAUGGCAGUGGAAAACUAUCUUUGGGGCAUGCGUCGUUGAAGUUAGUGUAGUCACGCAUACUCGCCACUUCCUUUUUUUCUUGGGAACCACCACUACAUUAGCCAGUCAUUCUAGAUAAUCAACUUCCCUAAUGAAUUUAGUUGCCAACAACUUUUCUACCUCACUUUGAAUGAUCUUUUGUCUAUCCGGAUGAAAUCGUUGGGCCUUUUGCCGUAUAGGUCUUGAUGAUGCUAGGAUGUUGAGUCAAUAAGAGGCGACCGAUGGAUGGAUUCCAGGCAUAUUGGACUGUGUCCAUGCCAAAACAUCUCUGUUUUGCUGGAGUGUGUUUUGAAGGUGUUGCGUCUCGUUUGGCUGUAAGAGGGAACUGAUGUGCAUAAAGUGAUCUUCUCUCUUCUAGACCUGAACGAUUUGCAAGGGAUCUACUACCGGGGAAUCCUUAUCCGCUGGAUAUUGCAAUUUCUAUUGGUCAGGCUAGUCUGCUUGCUUAGAGGGAGACUCACGAUCCUUGCUGGAUCUAGUCUCCCAUACAACUUGGUAACAUUGAUGGGCAACCAACUGUCUACCGUAGAGAUCGAUCUAUCCAUCAUGUGUGAUGAAAUUCACCAUCUGGUGAUGUGUGGAAGGGAUGGCCUUCAUGCUGUGCAACCAGGUACGCCCCAGGAUAGCAUUGAAGGGUGAUAAAUCUUCUACCACUGAUAAUUGUACAUUAAGGGUGAUUGGACCUGCUUGGAUUGGUAGUACGAUAUCCCCAAGGGAUGUUGUUGAGGCCCCAUUGAACCUUGACAGUAUCCGUCCCGGGUUCUCCAAGCUGGAGGGCAUAAAUCCCAUUUGUUUAACUACAAACACUUGUAAGAAAUCUGUCGAGCUACCCGGGUCAACCGGAAUCCUCCUCACAUCGAAGUCACCAAUUCCUAAUGUCAAGAUGAGGGUGUCUCGGUGCUGUUGCAACACCUGGGCAAGGUCCACUAGAGGAAAGAGGAUUACUUCAUCUAUUGGGUGAGCGUUUCCGCUAGCUAGAUCAAGCCGGAUGGAGCUAAUAUGCUCUCGGACCGUGACGGCUCGUAGCAACCUCUGCCUCUUCCUCUUGGAGUUGUACUUUUCAUCCAAGGGUCCAUCAUGGAUGUAGUUAAUUAUGGCUCUGGGAAUAACGGGAGCUAAGGGAGCCCUGGGGGCUUGAUUGUGACUCUUUACUCCUGAGUGGACAUACUAUUUUAGAUGUCCUACUUUUAUGAGUUUUUCCACCAGAUAAUGGAGACUUCUGCAUUGCUCCGUGGUAUGUCCAUGCUCUUUGUGAUAAGCACAUUUUUUUUAGUGAUCUCUUUUGGUUGGAUCCGUUUUCAGUGGUUCUGGCCACCUGAAAUUAGACAGCUCACGAAUCAAAGAGAGUAGCUUCUCAUACGUCACGAUGAGAGGUGUAAGCGGGGAUUGUUCCUGUUGGCGUUGCUCACCUUGCCUCAUUUCGGGAGGCCUUCUUUGACUUGAAGGCUUGAGGUUCCUUGCCGCGUCGUUUCUGACCGAUUGGCCGGUGACUAAGAUCUAUUGUGUGGCUACACGGACAUCAUCUUCCAACAUAGAAUAUUUUUUUGCGAGCCGAAACAGAUCAUCUAUAGUCGUGGGAGGUUUUUUGGCAAGAGAUUCAAAAAAUAGCGCACCCAGACAUAUGCUACGCUUGAAAAUUUGGAGGACAACAUCCAAGUUGUAGGAUUCCACUUGCAAUACAGCUUGUCCAAAGCCCUUCACGAACUCUCUUAGGGACUCAUUCUCCUGCAUUUUUAUGUUUUGCAAGGUGUCGAUAUUUUGCUUAUACCGAGCUAUGCAUAGGUAUUGUCCCACGAAGGUUUCUAACAGAUCCCUGAAAUUAUCAACCAAAUUCAUGGGGAGCCGAUGAAACUAUGAGAGAGCUUGGCCUUGGAGGCUAGCGGAUAAGACUUUGCAUAAUAGCAUGUCAUUCCCUAUGUCCAAAGUCAUGAGCUGCCGAUAGUUCAUGAUAUGGUCAAACGGAUCGUUGGAUCCAUCAUACGCAAAAAAUUUUGAGACGAGGAACCCUCUUGGGGGUUCGUAGUUGAUAAUAUGAGGAUUGAAAGGCAUGGAGAGCAUGUCGUCCAAUCAUCUGCUAAUGGAGAUUGAGGGGGCUUCAUUUGCUGGAUCUCCCCCGACUUGUUGUAGUGGUUGGUGCGGGGUAUAACCCUAUGAGAUGGGCGCGGCUGAGGGCCCGGGGUAUGUCCCCUAUGUCAUGGCUAUGUGCGACCUAUCUUUGCCGGGAGCUUAAGGUCCUAACCUUGCAUGCAUCGCGUCAGAUAAUUGGGGUCUCUUAUCACGUUGCCUCUUUGAUGAGACACGAGUAGAGUCAGAGUUUUCGUCUUGCGGUGCGCGAUACGCAGGUAAAGGUCCUUUGUUAGGCCAUACACCACGUACAUUAGGGGGAGGUCCCGCUCUUCCAAGAUAUGUGGCCUCCUGGUUAUGCCUAGAGUUUGUUCCUUGGUCUCUUGGUCGGUGGUCACGAGGAGGUUCUGAGGAUGAAACUUGGAUUCUCAACACCUUGUUUUCCUCCUUGAGUUUCCUCGUUUCUUAGAGCAAGGCUUGUACCUGCCAUUUGCUUUCUUGCUGUCGUCUUUCCAUGCUCUUAUGCUAGUCAAAAUAACCUUCAUUACUCAUAGUUGAUGAACGACUUCUUGAGGGUGUGGACAUCUUCGUAAAGGAGAAAGUCGAGUUCCCACAGACGGCGCCAAUGUUGAAGUCGCGACCCACAGGGAUAUUUGUGUCUCCCUGACGUUGGUGCUUGAUCAACUAAGAGUGAUGCUUCCUUCCUUGUUCCUACAAAAGAUGUCCGGACAGGUUGUCUGGACACACCCUCCGAAGCUCUUAUUACUUUGACAAUUCUCUUUACUCUUUCCUUUUAGGAAUCAAUCUGAAGUUUGUCUUACCUCCUCUCUUCGUUGAGUUCCCUCAAGGGUUUUAUAUAGUCUGGAGUUUUUGUUCUCACAUCUAGGCUAGUGGGGUUCAUUUACUUCCACAGUCAUCAUGGUUGCUCAUAGGCUGGCAGCACAAUCAUUACUUUUUUGGGUGAUGGAUGGUGAUUGCUAGUGGGGCGAUCGGGCUGCACAUCUAUCACUUCAUUCCAUAGGCGGCAGAGUGUAAAAUGUGUCAGGUGGCCUGAAAAGACAUGAAGAUGUCCCAACUAGCACGCCUUUAAUGGAAGGCGAAUGAUGGAUUGUGGAGUAUGGUCAGAGACGUUGUUUGGAGCAUGUCCUACGGCCUCGUAAGAGCAUGGGCAUCUGGCCGUUGAUUGCUGGAUCCGGAUAAGAUGGAUCCAACAUGUAUGUUACUGGCCAGUGGAUCCCGUCUGGAUAGAGGCAAAGGCUGCCACGUGUCUACAGAAGGUUUGCCAGUGAGGGUAAGGCAAGCAACCACGUGUCAGCUCAGGAGAAAGGUCCUACACUAGCAGUCGAAAAUUCAACUCCUAACAAUUUUAGUUAAUAAAAUUAUAAGUAUAAAUUUAUAAUUUCUCAAUUUUAAAUUGCUUUGUUUUAAAAAAAAAACAUAAUGUUAUUGAUUUAUAUUUGCAAAAAAGCAAAAAUAAUCUCCAAUUUUAUCAAUUAUACCCAUUCACAUAUGUAAAAAUCCAUUCAAAUUUAUAUCAUGUUUCUAAUUGUAAAAUACCUUUUUCUAAACUCAAUAGCUAUUUUUUGAAUAAAUAAUAUUAUAUGAAGAGCUUGAUUUUAUUAUUUAUUUAUUUAUUUAUUGUUUUUUGAAUUUUGAGUUGAUUGCUUAGCUAGUGAGUUUGUGAUGUUGUCAUUAUCUAGCUUGUAGGAUUCAACUACACAAUGCUCAUCAUAUAUACUAAAAAAAUAAAUUUAAUGAAUUUAUUUUGAGUUUUCUUAUAUAGUAUUGAAUUCAUGAGAACAAGAGAUAAAAAAAAUAAUAAAUAAUAAUAAAUAAAUUAAAAUUUACCCAUACGAGAAAAUGAGCUUUGAAUGAUAAUGGAUCCCGUCAACAAGAAAGGUAUUUAAAGCAAAAAAAAAAAAAGUCGAUGUGAUUGAAAAGAUAGGAUAGUUACAAAAGUUGAAUGAAUGUAUGAUUGUAAAAAAUUCCAUGAAUGUGAAGUUGAACUUUAAGAUUGUUCUCAAGAAACCAAUUAAAUACUAUUCAUUUGUAUUUUGUAAUCUUAUGUAAGUUAGAAUAGAGUCAUUGAAACUUUUACAGAUCCGACAAGCGAAAAUCCUUUCUUUUCUUGAAUGAUUACUUGAGUUCAACAUAUUUAGACUAGUUCUGAGUCCUAAUUUUCAAUCCUUGGAUGAACUUAUGGGUCUAAUUAGUACAAUGGACCUUGAAAGAAUAUUGAAUAUGUUAGUUGAUUACAUAAUAGAAAGAUCUAAAACUUAAGGAUUAAAAAGGUAAAAUUUUGAGAGGUUGAUAGCAUAUACUUCAACGGAUUCUAGACAUCAAUUCAUGAGGAGUCUUCAUGUAGUGAAUAAUAGGGUAUAAACCCAAGUUUAUAUUUUCUUCUAAUAUUGUAGGGUACUACAGUGAAGUUGACUCUUUAUAGUGGGAUGCCAAGUCAACUUCAAAAUUUAAUUUUGUGGGAGCUAGUAUUUGUUGGGAUAGAGCCCUAUAAAGCAAGUCAUUUUGUGACAGAUUUUAGAUUAAUUAAUCAACUUAUUUAUUUAUGGUUCUGGUUCUAUUUAUUAUCUCUUCUUGCAUUAAUUUUUUAUCAAAGCAUCACAUUUUGUAUCAUUUAUGUUAUAUAUAACUUGAGUGCAUUAGGAGUUAUAUAGAAGAUAUAAGUCAUAAAUUUUUGAGAAGGUGAUAAGUGAUUUACAGUCAAUUUAUAGAUUUUGACAAUUCAUAAAAAACUGUAGUGCACUAUCUCCUAAUUAAAGAGAUAAUUUGUCUUAAAUCAUCAUGAUAGUUUGAUUUGAAAUUAUUUUUAUUAAUUAAUAAUUCUUUGUAUUAAGUAUAGUUUGAUUUGAAAUUUAUUUAUUUAAUGAAAAAUUUUGGAGAGAUUAAAGAAAAUUUUUAAAACAAGUGUAAUUCAAAAGACGAUCAUACUUGAAGAUUUUCAAUUCAUAUCAAUAUUGGAUCGUGGAAAUAGAAGAGGAAAGAUAUCAUGUUAAAUUUUCAUUGCUUUUUUAUGGGUUUUUUUUAAAAAAAAACAAAAUUUUGUUAAUGUUUUUGUUUUGUUCUUAAAAAUUGAUGAAAACAAUUUCAACUUCUUUUCUGAAAACCAUUCUCUAUUUCAUCAUGUUUUUAAAACCUGGAAACAUAAGACAACAAUCAAAUAAUGAUACAAAUUUUUUAAAAUUGGUUUUCUAUUAUUAAAAAUAGAAAUAUAUAUAUAUAUAUAUAUAUAUAUAUAUAUAUAUAUAUAUAUAUAUAUAUAUAUAUAUAAUCACACUACAAAAUAGGUUAUUAGUUUUUAUAUGAAAAUAUAUCCAUUUAUGAUAAUCCCUAGUUUAAUAAAAAAAAUAUUUAUAAAUUUAUUUUAAGAUAAUAUUUAUUUUGCAUAGAUCUGAUAUCAUAUUUUUUUAUAUUCAUAUUUUUAUAUUUAUGAUAGUCAUCUUCUUAUUAUGUUACGGGUUGCACAAAGCCCUUUAUGUGAUUUUUCUUCAAUUCUUUAUUUUAAAAUUUUUAAAGAACAAUUGAAGAUGAUCAUUUGCUAUUUUCACUCUUUCUAUUUUCUUAACAUAGUUUUCCAAGAAAUGAAAAUGCAAAAAGACCAUCCAAACAUGGUUUGAAGCAUGAUUUUUAUUUUCUUUGAACCUUUUUUCCCCUGCCACCAUGUUUCCCAACAAUGCGGAAAAGCUCCUGGGCUUGUGUUUUUGUCUCUUAUUCUCUUCUACUAAAGGAUAUUCCUAGGAUGCCUCCUGUGAUUCUUUCAUGUGUCUUGAAGUUUAGGGAAACAUUUGGAAAACAAUAAAAGGUCUUCUUUGUAGCUAUAAAAUAGUUCUUUCUCCAUCCGCUUGGGGAAGGCCCUAUGCAUUCAUUUUCUUCAUGUUUUAAGUAAGAUUAGUGUAACUUCUUUUUUAAAAGCAGAAAAGGUAUGAAUUUGUAAGCUUGUGAGUGUAGUCUCUUCUAUGAUUCUUUUAGCUUUUCUUAAGCCUUAACCCUGGUUUGGACCUUGAUGUGUCUUAAAUUACAGCUCGAACCUCUGCGUUUCUUAAGCUAGCCUUGGACUUUGGCAUAUCUUGAUCACCUGAACUUGGACAUUAACAUGUUUUGGGUCGGGCUCAGAUCCUAGUAUUGUCUUAUGUUAGGUUUGGACCUUGACAUAUCUUGACUUGAGCUUAGACGUUGCCAUGUCUUGGGUUGGGCUUGGAUGUUGGUUUAUCUUUAACUAUGACAUGGACUUGGAUUUCGGCUUGUUUGAGGCCAGGGUAUGGACUUAUACCUUGACUUGUUGAUGCCUAAAAUUUAAGCUGACGACUUUAGAUUUGCAUUAUUAUCUUUCUCUGGAUGAGACAAUUAUAGAAAAGGGGGUCUUGCCAAUCCACUUUUAUUCGAACUGUUUGUUCUUAUUCUCAACCAAGGAAGCAUUUUAUUUAAAGCAGAACACUCUAAAACUGCAGGGAUCUAGCGGCCAAAGCACAUAUUCCAAUCUUAUUACAAUGACAUCAAUAUACAUUAUUCCCUUAAUUUCCAUUGCUGACAUAUGGAAGAAGCUGGAAUUAGCUUUCAUUUGGUCAUACUGGCACAGGGUCAAUGAGCAAGGAUGCAAUAUUAUCAUUCAUCACUUUCCCAACAUGAGUGCAUUCAUUGUUUUCCUUAUAAGUGAUGUCUACCACUUGUGUAAGAUUCAGAACUCCGGUAAGAAUUAGGACCAACAUGGAAGUAGGUCUAAGGAACCCUUGGUUAAUUCCUUCCAUGCAUUCACAAUUUGCUUGUUAAACUCGUCAUAAGCUUAUUGCUCUAAGACACUAUAUUGCUUGACAUAGCAUUCAAUGGCUAAGGCAACAUGCCCUCUCUCUUGUUCAAACUUCACACAAAUAUAUAGUAAUGCAAAAUAUGAGGAAAAAACCACUAUACAAAUUGUUAUGAAUGAACCUAGAUGUAAUAUAUUCUACACGCAUACCUAAUGUGCAAUCAUGUCGUUCAUGGCUCAUGAGCCUAGUAAUUAAACAUACAGCUACUGUAAAAAAGUCAUUGUAAACCCCAUCAAAGGCUUCUUUUGUUAUCAUUUCUCCUAUUCCAAUGAAAAAAAAUGGUUGUGGCCAAGGGGAAGGCCGAGCUUACUCAUGCAACUUGCAUGUAUUACUGUAUGGUAGGUACAUGUUCUUAUUCCAAUCUUAUUACAAUGACAUUAAUACAUGUUAUUCCCUUUCCAUUGCAGACAAUAUGGAAGAAGCUAGAAUUAACUUUCAUUUAUUUACUCAUACCGACACAGGGUCAAUGAAUAAGGAUGCAAUAUUAUCCUUCAUCACUUUCCUAACACGAGUGUAUUCAUCGUUUUCCUUAUAAUUGAUGUCUACCACUCGUGUAAGAUUGAGAACUCCUGUGAGGAUAGGGACCGACAUGGAAGUAGGUCUCAGGAACCCUUGGGUAAUAUCCUUCCAUGGAUUCGCAAUUUGCUUGUUAAACUUGUCAUAAGUCUAUUGUUUUGAGACACAAUAUUACUUCACAUAGCAUUCAAUGGUUGAGUCAACGUACAUGCCCUCUAUUUUCUUCAGCAUUCCUAGCAUACCUUUCUUUCCUUCCCAAGGCCGCACAUGUUUUUUCACUUAAAAUUGGAGAACCUUCCUUUCUUCUCACCGAAGCAGUGCACUUUACUUAUAUUUUUCUUCAAUUGGUGCACUUUUAUCUAAAACUUGACUGCUUCCUAUCUUCUUUUCUUCUUCUUAAAGUGGUGCACCUUUGUUACUUGACACAUCUUUUUACCUUAGGGACUUGGUGCACCCUUGGAUUGUGCGACCAUGAUAUAAUAAAGACUUCGUGAUUUUUUUUUUUUUGAUGACGUUAUUGUGUCAGGAUAGAGAAAGUUGUGAGAGAGGUCAAGGAAUCAAAAUGAGAGAAGUUGGGGUUUAGAGUGGGAACGAAGAAUGGUAUUUGAUGAAGAUCUCGGUUUAAAAUUGAAAAUUUAGUCUUCAUAAUAUUUUUCUUUGAUUUGAGAUUUGAUUUCAGAAGUAUACGAAAAUUAAAAAGGAAAUUUAGGAUUAGAGUUAGGGUGUAAUUUUUUUUUUCUCCUAUUUAAGGUUUGAUUUAGGAAGAGCAUAAAGAUUUGAAAUUAGAUUUUCUUUGUCCAUUUAAGGUUUCAUUUGGGACGUGCAUAAAGAUUUUUUUUUAAAAAAUUAAUAUUUUUUUUCCACUUAGGAUUUGAUUUGGAAAUUUAAGUUUUCAUUUGGGCAAUAGAUGAAGAAGAUUAAAAAAGGAAGAAAAAGAUGAUAUUUUAAUUUUUAUUUAAUAUCUUAAUUUUAAUUAUCUAAAAUUAUUUAAUUAUUCUAAUUAAUGAUACUUUGAGGUUAAUUGUGAUUAUUAUAUUUAAUUAAAAUUAACUAAAAUUAAUUAUAUAUAAAAAUCUUAAAUUAGGAUCAAUGGUAUUUUAGAAAUUUUUAUUAAGUUUAGUUGGUAGUAAUUUGACUAGAAUUAGGAGUAGAUUAUUUUGUAGAAAGUUUAAUUAGAAUGAAUUAAAUCUUUAUAUUAAAAAAUUACUUAAGAAUAAUUAGAUAAUGAGAUAAGAUAUACUAAGAUAAAUAAAAGAUACUUUAGGCAUUUUCUUUCUAUUCUUUAACAGUGACAUCAUUAAUCAACUAACAAUCAAUCCUUAAGGUUAGUCAAUGAUUGAUUGAUGGUCAAGUUAUAUAAUGGUUGAUCAAGGGAGUGUUGAUAUAAUUUCAGAAUCCUGAAGAAUUAAAGAUAAGUUGCUUCAAUGAUUGAUUGUCGAUUGAAAUUUUACUCCUAAAAUAUGCUUGUGGCUUUAGCUUGUCAAAGAAUAUGCUGGGAAUCAGUUAUGCUUGGGUUACGAGUUCCAUAAGCUUACGGCUUUAGAUUUUCAAGAUUGUCUUUCUUUGGAUGAGACCGUUAUAGAGAAGAGGGCCUUGCCAAUCCGCUUUCAUUCAAACUGUUUGUCCUUUUUCUCAAUGAAACUCUAAAACUGUGAGAAACUAGCCGCCAAAGCACUUAUUCCAAUCUUAUUACAAUGCCAUCAAUGCAUAUUAUUCCCUUAAUUUCCAUUGCUGACAUAUGGAAGAAGCUGGAAUUAACUUUCAUUUGCUCAUACUGGCACAGGGUCAAUGAGCAAGGAUGCAAUAUUAUCUUUCAUCACUUUCCCAACAUGAGUGUAUUCAUCAUUUUCCUUGUAAAUGAUGUCUACCACUCAUGUAAGAUUGAGAACUCCGGUAAGGAUUGGGACUGGCAUGGAAGUAGGUCUGAGGAACCCUUGGUUAAUAUCCUUCCAUGCAUUUGCAAUUUGCUUGUUAAACUCGUCAUAAGCCUGUUGCUUUGAGACACUAUAUUGCUUCACGUAGCAUUCAAUUGCUGAGGCAACAUGCCCCCUCUCUUGUUCAAACUGCAUACACAUAUAGUAACGCAAAAGAUGAGGAAAAAAACUACUAUACAAAUUGUCACGAAUGAACUUAUAUGUAAUAUAUUCUACAUGCAUACCUUAUGUGAAGUCAUGUCAUUCAUGAGCCUAGCAAUUAAACAUGAAGCUAUUGUAAAAGGGUCAUUGUAAACCCAUUCAAAGGCCUCUUUUGUUAUGAUCUCGUCCAUGCCAAUGAAAAAGAUGACUGUGGUAAGGGGUAACGAUGAGCUUACUCUUGCAACUUGCAUGUAUUUGUCUAUGGUAGGUACAUUUCCUUCAUGGAACCAUUGUGCUUCAUCAAAGUAAGCGCCAAUCUGAAUUUUCAUCUGACAAAACAUUCCUCCACAUUACAUACUUCUACUUAUGCUUUAAUUUUUAGUAUAAACUUCUCGGAAGGUAAACUUAAUAUGAUUCCUAAACAUAACUUGAACCCAACACAUUUAUUUUUCUUGGAUUUGGGUUGAGUGCAAGUGAGUUUAGGUUAAGUUCAUAUCAAUCUGUAUAACCAUUUAAUAAAUAAAUUAUUUUUUUAUCAACUUGAAUGAUACUAAUUUGAUUUAAAUUGACCUAAUCUAAUAAUCAUAUUGAUUAACUUGAUUAUAAUUCUAGCUUAUUUAAUCAAUAUUCGAUUCAUAUAAAGCUUGAUUUUGGAUAUACUUUAAUUAAAAUUCAGUCACAAGCAUGUUAGGUUGGGAGAUCAAUAAUAUAAACCAUAUAAAAUCUAAUUCAAUUUUAUUAUUAAAUAACAUGUAAUUAUUAAAUAGGUUAUAUUUUACAUGUUUAAUAAUUAGGUGAUAUUUGAGUUGACCUAUUUAUUCGAUCUAUGAUAUGACACAAAUAGGAUCCAGACGAUUUGCCAACCCUAGGUUUCUAUGCCACUAUAAACCAACAUCAAAUCAAAUAGUAGGGCAGCUACAAUUAGAAAUCUCGUACCGCUUCUUUUGCAUGGUGGAAGCUGUAUGCUUUUCCUUCUUUAUCCAUCUCUUCUUCAAUUUCUUUGUAGACAUCUAAGAGUGCCUGAUAUAUUACUUUCAUGUGUUCUGGAAGUUGAUCGAUGCUAUUGAUAUCCCACCUGAGAAUCAAACAACACCAAGGUGGUGUUUGUUUUUUUGGCUUUUUGCUGAAAAUCAUUUAGUUUUAGAAUUUAGGUUGUUUGUUUUUUUACUUUUUCAUGACUUAUUAUAAACUUUUUACUAAAUAGAAAAAGCCAAAAUAUGUGGCUUUUUCUAAAUAGAAAAAAUAACACAAUGGUUUUUUUUUACUUUUUAAUACUUAAUAGAAAUAAAAUACUACAAAAACAAACAACCUAAUAUUUAAUACUAUUAAGUAUUAAGAUUCUAUUUAGAAUUAAGUAAAAAAACAAACACCAUCCAAGUCUUGAUUAAGUUUAAACACGAGUAUUUCAAAAUUGUGGACAAAAUCAAGGUGAAUUAUUUGCAUAUUAGAAAACCUUUCAAUCAUUUCUGCAAAAAGCUUAUGUUCUUCAAGCGAACCAUAUGCAUCAUACAUAUCAUCUAUAGUGGAUAUUAUGUAAAGUACUUUGGUCAGAAUUCUUCUAGCUCGUGAGUAUUGGGGCUCAAAAUACAUUGCAAGUACAAAGAAGUAGACCUCCACGACUCUAUCUCGUGCAAAUGAUAUCUUCACGGUAAAGCCUAGUUCUGUAUGCCACCUAAAAUAAAUUAAUAUGGUUAGCAGUAAGGGAACUGAUCAUAAAAUCACUAAGUAUAUGCGUGGGUGAUUUAAAAAUUGACCUAGAAAGAUUGCUCAGCUCUUCCUUGUGCAGUGACUGCAUCAGGUUGAAGUCUAACUUUGCCAGCUUCAGCAAAGCUUUAUCAUGCGAAGCUUCGUGUUUGUGGUAGAUAUAUACCACCUCGCCUCUAGUCUGUUCAAACCUUUCCUAACGGGCUGCUUCAGGGCAUGAGUAACCUGUUCUGCAAGAGGAUAUAUUCUAAAUGUUCUACUGCCGACUCGAGGUGAGUGGUGGUGAAGACAAGGGCUUCAUCAAGUAUUCCUUCUUCACGCACCCGGAUAUGUGUGGCUUCAUACAACCCUAGCAUGCCUCUCACAUCAUUGAUCAAAGAUUCCUGGAAGCCACCUUUUUGAUCCUUGAACUUAUUGAAUACAUCUACAUUUAUUCACAAAAAUAUGAUAUAAAAGCAUUCCGGAAUAAGAUUGUGAUGAUAUUAUGAAGAUUUCAUUUUAUCUAAUAGAUGAUAGUUCAUGCCUUACCACAUGACAGAUUGAAUCCUUGUUGUCUUAGGAGUCGAAAUUGAAGAGAAACAUUGUAUAAAUCAUCAUCUUUAUGCUCAACAUCAUAAUAGUUAUCAUACAUAUGUUUUAAUGCUUCUUCUAUCUCUCUUUCAAAGUGGUAUGCCACCCCAAGCCGUUGAAUUGCAUCUAUGUAGUUCAGCUGUUGUGAGGGAUUACCAGCGGCAGUUAUUAGCCUUCUUCUCACUUUCUCUUUCAGAUCUUCAACCUGCUUCUCUUUAUGGGCACGGGCUAUCUGUACCGGCAAAUUGCAUAGACAAACUAUUGCUGAGAUAGAUGGUUAAUAUACAUAUAUAGAUAGAUAGAUAGAUAGAUAUUAGAUAUCGUGAAUUACUUCAUCAGCUGGAGUGUAGCUAAUGAACCUCUCACCCCAUAUGCUAGGUGAAAAAUCUGCAGUUGGACGAUUAACCACUGGUUUAGCAUUUUGGGCAGGAGAACAUGCUGAUACUCUAAGGGGCAUGUUGGUUGGAACAAGAACUGGGGCACAGGUAAUGACCUGGUUACCCCAAGUUCUAAGGUGAAAGUUUGACAUUGGAGGGUGAAAGUUCAGUUUAGGAUUUUGGGCUGGAGAACAUUUUGAGAAGCUUAUAGACAUGUUUGUUGGAUUAACCAGUGUAUUUUUGUAUUCAUAAAUACACCGUCACUUUAACAAAGUACACGUCAGUCAUAACCUCAUAUUUUUGUAUUCAUAAAUACACCGUCACUUUAACAAAGUACACGUCAGUCAUAACCUCCAUUGGCAGCCAAAUGCCCAUGUAGUGCAUAUUGUAUUUAGUUUUUUCAAUCAUUCAACUCAAAUUAUGUUUGAAAGCAAAAAGGAUAAGCUGUUACUGUAGGAUAUAUAAUUUUAUUCAAUAGAUAAAAUAACAUUCAAAUGACCUUAAAUUUUUAUCAUAAUAUUAUUGAUAUGUUUAUAUUCCUCGCUUAUAAUCUCUUGGUAGUUGCAGAGAAAUCGAUCUUUUUGUAGAUGGUUAGAGUUUGUAGUAUUAAUUUACUUUUUAGGAGAAUUUUGGGCUUAUUUAGAGUUUUUGAAAUCUGUUUUGAAAAACUGUUUUUAAGACCAAUUUUUUUAUGUUUUUAGAAAAACAUAAUUGUGUUUAGAAUUGAAUUCUGAAAAAUAGCUUUUAUUCUAAAAAAAAACAUAUUUAAUUGAGUUAAUAAAAAAAAAAUAUAACAAAUAAGACAAAAAAAUAUAUCUGGAAGUUGUUGUUGUUUUUAAUUGAGAUUUUUUUUAACUAACUUGAUAUUGUAAUCAUAUACAUAAUUUUUAGAUUUACAUUUUAAUUAAAUUAAAAAACUAUUAUAUUAUGAAAUUUAUUUGCAUGAGUUAUAAUUUUUUCAACAAAGGAUUACUUUACCAGUAUAUUAUACAGAAUGGAAGUCUACAAAUUUGUCCACCAUUACUUCUUCACCUCAUCCUUGGACUACUAGUUCUUCAUUGCUUGUAGUCAUUUCCUUUGCAUACUCCUUUAGUUUAUACUCACUUUAAAAGUAGCCAUUACAUGAAAACCACCAUGUCAAAGUACACACUACAUGAGAAGAAUGUUUCAUUGUAAUGUAAUUGAUGAAGGGUAAUAAAGGGACUCAGAAAUGAAUACAACACCUUCUCUCCUUGUCAGCCCACCUCUGAACAAUUGAGCCGAACCUAACUCAAUGGUGUAGUUAAUACUUAGAUCAGGCCUACUUCCCCUGGAAGUUGUAAAAAUAGUCUAGGAAGAAUUUGUAGUGAACCACUCCAAUGCUAUGAGCACCUGCAAAUCAAAACAAUGGAACAGACAAAAACCAUUUUUUGUGACACUACAAGAACUAGAACAAGAGUAGAACCCGUAAAAUCAUAGUAAUCAAACACCAAAGGUCCCAAACCAGUGAUCCAUUUGCAAGAAAAGAGAAAUCAAAUUAAUGAAACACAAAUCACAAUCAUUUUAAAUAGAGCAGAGAUCAUUCAAAACCGAUGAAACUCUAGACGAUGUGUUAAUGAACCAGGAAAUAUUCUAAGAAAUCACACGAAGUGAUCUAUAUUAGCCUAGUGUUAAUAUAAAAGAUUCAUAAUUCCAAGAACAUAUGAUUCUCCAUUUUUGGAAACCACAACGCAAGAUAAGGGCUUCAAAGUAUCUAUCCUUUUUCAUAGUCUUAGUUUUUUAUCAACCAAAAUAGAGAAAAAAAAAAUACACAGCCUAUAAUCAAACCAAUUAAGUAAAAGACCACAAAUAUAUAUAUAUAUAUAUCAAAUUAAAGAUAUACUCCAAUCCAAAUCUCAAAACCAUAAAUUACUUUCAUGGAGAAGACAAAGAAAGGAAGAAAAAGACAAUACCUAAGAAACUGACAGUCUCCUUCUCAAUGAAUCCCCUUGAUGCAAAAGAUGCUAAGGUUAUUCUUAGCCUAACUGUUAGGCGAAAAGAAUCCAUAUGUUGCGACAUCUGCAAAAGCCUAACUGUUUUCUCUCCUGCCAAUAUCCAGAGGGUAGAAUAGGCCACCAGCCUAAAAUUCAAAGCUUCAUAACACCAUCAAAUAGCGUACAUACAAGAACAUGAACACAUAGAGAGACUUUUUACCCGAACAACACCUUCUCUGGCAGCUAAUAAAAGAAUAUCAGCACAUGAAACAAUUCCAGGGUAGGUUGCUUCCAGCUCUUCCUUGAUGGAGUCAAUUAUAUCAAAGCCUUUUAGAGUUUCAUUAGAAAGCGAAUCUUUCUUUGAAUGGAUUCCAUUAACCGCAUCCAACAGUACUGAUGCAUCACAUCCCUUGAUCAAUUUCAAUUAGCAAGUGGUGCAAACCAAUGACAAAUAAUCUUAAAAAUUUCCUCAUGAAUAUAGAAACAAUUUCAAGAAAUGAAAUGAAAUGAAAUGAAUUCACCUCAAAAUCUGAAAAAAAGAAAAAGAAAAAAAAAAAAAGACAAUCCAGACUAAAAUCAAUAAUGAAUAGGAAAAUUUUCUUCAAAACCAAGUUUGAAAUCAGAUUGAUUCUAGAAGAUCACUAGAAAAUUAAUGAAUCUUAGAUUAAAUAGUGAAAAAAAUAAUGACAAAUACAAGUGAACAUCAAGGAAAAUGAAUAAGAAAAAUCGCUUCAAGACCAAACUUGGAACCCAACUCAUGUCGAAUUCAGAAAAAAUACAAGAAACCCAUAUCAAAAUCAGUAAGAAAGAGGAAGAAAAACACCAAUGCAAAAUAUCAUAAACUUCUUCCCCCUUUUUGGUUUUUUUUCCAUUUCUGGUGCUUUGUUUUUGGACCCAAAACUACUAAGAACUUGCAAAUCACUGUCCUUAUGAAGAAAAGAAAAAAAAAAAAACCCUAAAUCUAGAUUUUCUCAACAACUAAGCAGAGUAACCAAGAAGAAGCAUGCAUGAAAACUAAAAGCCCUAUAGAAAUUUCAUGAUAAAUCAAAUGAGAGUGAAGAGAGGGUUGUGAAUUGCACUUGGGAUUUCUGCUGUAGGAUCUAAUUUCGCAAAGACUUCAUGAACAACUUGAAGUAGAUCAGGAUCAGUACCAGCUCCACGUUUAUAUUGAAACAUUGGAUUAAGAAAGAAUGCUACAAUAGUAAAGUAGAAAUGUAGAAUUAGAAUGUUAUGAAAAAAAUAUAUUAAAUAGAAAUAACUUUUGAAGAUGGAUAAUACUUAGUUACCUGCUGCAUAAAGAGGAUGUUUAAGAGUUCUAUCCCAACAAUCUGUGAUUAUUUCUAACACCCAUUCUCUAGCAUUAAGCCGAAUGAGGUUCUCUUUCAUAACUCAAAUCAAUUUGUACACAAAUGGCAUUGUAGGAACAACUUCUGAAUGGACAAUGCGAAGAAUCAUGUAUAGCGCCUCAUAGAUUGACACUAGUUUUCCCAUUCUCUCCCAAUACGCAUGGUCAAACAUAAGUUUUUUUAACUUUUUUGUUGAUUAAUGUGCGACUUAACUUGUGUUGUGCCCAUUCAUCACUGAUAAACACUUUAUUCAAGUUCGCCUUCUUUUUUAAAAGACUUUCAAGGGAAAUAUAAUUGGUUGCAAAUCUUGUUGUUCCAGGGCGAACCAUGUCUCCACCACACACCUUCCACAUCUGCGCAAGCAACCAACUAUGGUUAUAGAUGAAGUUGGUUAUCUUUCGAGCCUUUGUAAUCACAUGUGCAACACUCGACCUUUUACCGAUGUCUUCGAACAUUAAGUCAAUGCAAUGUGCUACACACAGAGUCCAAUAUAAAUUGUAUUUCUUCAUUAACAACUUCCUCGCCUUCACAAAUGUCGACCCAUUAUCCAUAACUAUUUGUACCACAUUUUGUUUGCCAACUUCCUUGAUCACAUCCUUUACCAAACCAUAUAUGUAUUUGUUGUCUUUUAUAUAAUUUGAUGCAUCAACAGAUUUGAGGAAGAUUGUGCUACCUUUUGAAUAUACCAUAAAAUUAAUUAUCCUUAAUUUCAUAGGCCUAGUCCAUCCGUCACACAUAAUCGUGCAUCCAUAAGUCUUUUAUUUUCUCUUUGAAUAUUAACAUAAGCUUCCAUGUCUUUGUACUCCAUAUCCAAGUACUUGUGUUUGAUUUCAUAAGGAGACGGUGGUUCUAUACCCAUACCUACCUUCCAUAUAUAAUUAAAGCAUAUAAGAACAUUUUUGGCAAUCGUACUUUAUAAAUAAUAAUGAUAUUGUUAAAAUGAAUACAAUUUUGAAAAUUAUAGUAAUUACCUACUUGUUGUGCAUCAACAAUCAUGUUCUUGAAGUGGUGAGAGUCUGCUUUAUUAGGCGCAACACUUUAAAAAAUGAAGAACUUACUGACAAACGUCUCAUGGUUUCCUUGAUGGCACCACCUUUGAAAAUAUUUUUCAUAUUUUUCUGUCUUGCUGCUAAAGAUUUGUACAAUGAGGGUGCACUAGGCGGUGAUGGAUCCGAAUAUCAAACACUUUGCAAUCUUCGCAUAUGCCUUAUUGGAUUAGUUAAAUGUGAAGACUCACCUAUUAAAAUUAUUAAAAUUAAACAUAUAUGUUAAUUUAAUAUUAUUGAUAAAGUUGAUAAGAAAUAGUAAUAAUUCAAAUUGAUAAGUUAGUCUUCCAUUUUGCAUAUACCUGUCUCACUUUUGUCUCUUACAAAAUGUUCUUUUUCUUGUUGAUUCCAUUCAAUAGCUUUUGAUGCUCGAACCGCCGCUCUAUAAGCAUGCUGCUCAUCAAGGUGCAUGUCAGCCGGAUACAUAAACACAUCAUCAUCAUCAAGGUUUUCCUCAUCCUCCUCAUCAAUUACAUGUCUAUGUAUUCCUCCCAUUGUGUCUCGCAAGUAAGCUUGGAUCUCUUCUAUAUCUAUAGUCUUUUUCGCUUUUGCCUUUUUUUUUUUUUCCUUUAGAAGUCAUCUUAUUUCUUGUUUCACUUUUAAAGGCACGUUAGGACAAUUUUUUGUAUUUGAAUGAGGUUUGUAUGCGAUAGGUGAAAUUUAAAACGAGUAAUCCUACCACUCUUUAUUGUCAACCUAUAAUAAUUGCAUGUUGUUCCAUUUUUGUUCCCUUCCAUAGGUGUACAAUAUUUCCAACAAGGAUCUCGACCCAUGAUACCGCUUCCACUUCCACUAGCUAUUUUCUAAACAUGUAUUUUAAAUUCUCAUACGAAACUAAUAUCAAAUUUAUAAUUAUUAAAGAUAAAACAUCUAAGAAAUUUAAUAUUAAUAUUAUUUAUGAAAUUGAUAAGAAACAUUAUUAAUAAAAAUUGAAAUUACAAUUGACUUAUGCAUAUAUGAAAUUGAUAAUUAAAAAGACAAACAUUAUCAUAUAUGUGAUGUGAUAUUGUAGACCCUCCAUUUUGUCCUACUAACAUAUGCCCUAUUGCCUGUUCGUUUAGUACUUUACAACAAUUCCCUCGUGGCCCAUUACUACUUGUGUAGCCUAUCUUUUCUAAGCCACUUUGGGGACUUUGGUUGAGGGAUUUAUCUAACCCCAUUGUGACUCUUGGCAGCCUUAAUUUAGACUUAGGCUCACUUAGGUACCUUAUGCCCACUUGGGCACCCUAGGCCCAUUUAGGCACACUCGGCCCAUUAGCCACCACCCUAGGCCCACUUAGGCACCUUAGGCCCACUUAGGUACACUUGGUCCAUUUAGGCACCCUAGGCCCAUUUAGGCACUUUAGGCCCAUUUAGGCACCCUAGGUCCAUUUAGGCACACUAGGUCCACUUGGCAAUUGCAUGGAUGCAUGGUUUGCAUGGCUUACAUGGUUGCAUAGCUCGUAUGGCUUGCAUGUACAUGAUUUUGUUUUUGUUUUUAUUUUUAUCUUUCUCUACACACCCUAGGCCCACUUAGGCCCACUAGGCCUACUUAGGCAACCUAGGCCCAUUUAGGAAUCCUCACAUUCUUCGUACCCUCCCAAUUCUCCACUUAUUUGGACUUUUUAAAAUUUUUUGGGACUUCAUAUGGGUUGGAUGUUGUUUAAAUAGAUUCAUUACACUUAGAAGGUGGUGAAAUGAUUUCCGGAAAAAUCCAAAUCCAAAAAUAUUAAAAAAUUAACAAGGGUACGAAGAAUGUGAGGAUGUUUAAAAUUUGUUGGGACUUCAUAUGGGUUGGAUGUUGUUGAAAUAGGUUCAUUACACUUAGGAGGUGGUCAAAUGAUAUCCGAAAAAAUCCAAAUCCAAAAGUACUAAAAAAUUAACAAGGGUACGAAGAAUGUAAGAAUCCUCACAUUCUUCGCCCCCUCCUAAUUCUCCACUUAUUUGGACUUUUUAAAAUUUGUUGGGACUUCAUAUGCGUUGGAUGUUUUUUAAAUAGGUUCAUUACACUUAGGAGGUGGUCAAAUGAUUUCCGAAAAAAUACAAAUCCAAAAAUACUAAAAAAAUUAACAAGGGUACGAAGAAUGUGAGGAAUCCUCACAUUCUUCGUACUCUCCCAAUUCUCCAUUUCGUUGGACUUUUUAAAAUUUGUUGGGACUUCAUAUGGGUUGGAUGUUGUUAAAAUAGGUUCAUUACACUUAGUAGGUGGUUAAAUGAUUUCCGGAAAAAUCCAAAUCCAAAAAUACUAAAAAAUUAACAAGGGUACGAAGAAUGUGAGGAAUCCUCACAUUCUUCGUAUCCUCCCAAUUCUCCAUUUCUUUAGACUUUUUAAAAUUUGUUGGGACUUCAUAUGGGUUGGAUGUUGUUUAAAUAGGUUCAUUACACUUAGUAGGUGGUUAAAUGAUUUCCGGAAAAAUCCAAAUCCAAAAAUACUAAAAAAUUAACAAGUACACACAUGUAGUUGAUUAUCGUCCCCUAUGUAUUGCCUUGUGGAAGAAGUAAUAUCUAAUAAAUCAUUAUAAUAAGGUGAGGGAACAAUACGUAAUAAAUCAUUGUAAUAUGGAAAGGGCGACACAUCAUAUGUAGCACCUAGUUUCUCUGGGUUCAUAGUGUUUUACUUUUGAAUAUUCCCUGAAUAUUUAAAUAAGAAUAUGUAUUACUUAAAUCACCUAAAUAUAUUAUUUAUUAUAUUAUAUUCUUUAAUACAUAUGUAUUAUUGUGAUUCAACUUGAGGAGUAUUGAUACUGAGUCUUAAAAUACAUAUGUAUGUAGAAUAUAUGUCUACAACAAAUCUGGAUCUCCUUGUUAAUGUGUAAUGGUGUUUUGGAGUACUACAAUACUCACCAAAUUAAUUAAAGAUUUCACUCUAUAGCAAAUUAUUAUUAUUAUUGUUGUUGUUAUUGUUGUUGCUAGCGUUAUUAUUAUUUAAUUCAUUAUUAUGAAAAUUAUUAUUAUUAUUACCAUUUAAUUAUUAUUAUUAUUAUUAGCUAUUAAUUUUAGUUUUUUCUUUUUCAUCUUUUCUUUUUUGUUGUUUGUUAUAUACUUCAUAAAAUUAUAAGUUAUGGUAUUUUAUUAGGUUGAAAUCGGAAGUUCAAGUUCAUUAAAGUAUGACAUAGUUAACUUAGGUUCACUAAUUUUGUAAAAAAUUUAAUGCAUUUAUAAGAUAAUUAAAUAAUACAACAAACUUAUCAUUUUACUAAUUAAGGUAUUUUAUUUUAUUUUAUUUUAUUUUUAACUUUUUUACAUGUAAGAAUACAAAAAUUAUGGUUCAAUGUGAAACUUUGGAAUUGCAUGCAUAUGAAAGUGAAAUUUGUUGGUGUCGUUCCCAACUAGAGUUAGGUUCAUCCAACUUCACUAGAGUCAGGUGGACUGCUUCCUUUCUCCAAGUCGUGAACUUAGCCGAUACUAAGUGAUUACUACUCAAAAAGUGCUAUUUGAUAGCCUUUAAUUAAUCCUUUUUAUCACUUUUGAGUAGUAGUUUAGGCCUUUUAACUCAAUUGGCAUGUUAAGGAUCCUUUAAAGCAAUUUUGAUCACUUUGUGCAAGUUUUGGUGUUUUUGUUAGUAUUGUGAUCACCAAAGCAAGUCAAGAAUGAGGAGAGCUAUGAGGAAUCUUGGGCAAAGCUUAGAAUUCAAUUGCCAAGAGUGAAUCCGGAUUGCAAGGAGAAAAAGCAAAGAGAAUCUGCCAUGGAGCAUAUUCUUGAUGACAGUCGUAGCAGCCACUUUUGGAGCACUUUCUGAAGUCUAAAUGAUGCAAGCUAUAUACCAUUUCAAAGCUCAGAAAGUCAACAAUCCAAUGCUUCAAACGGUGCGCGAUUUGGAGUUGAAACGAAGAAGUUGCAGCCAUUACAAGCCAGUCACUCUGAAGUGCUGCGGAAUCAACCUUUUGUUGCGAGAAUUUCGCAACACUUUUGUACAGUAAGGUGUUUCUUCUUCUGACGAUGCACGAACCAUGCCGCGAGAAGGGAGCUGGAAACUUCAAGAUGGAAGCCAACUUUGCAGCCUGGUGAAGAUAGCUUGGUCUUGCGAAAUAAUUUCGCAGCCCUCUUGGGUGUCUGCGAAAUUUCGCAGGCACCACUUUUCUCCUGCGAAAUGGCUCCUGAAGCCUCCCGAAGCUUGCUACCGACAUUGGGAGAUAUUUUCCAUUAGAUUUUUGUUGUCUAAAUCCCAAAAUACUCCUUGUAAACCACCAAUUACAUGAUUCCUUAGUUUUUAAGUUAGUAAAAAGACCAAAUAUCAGUGUAAGAAUUAGUUUUAUAUUGCUUUAAUAUAAAUACCUCUCGGGAGCCUGUUCUCAGAGAAGAGUUUUCUUCUGAAAACAUUUGGUAAGGAAGUAAAGGUCUUUUCUUUCUACUGCCUUACCUUCUCACUUUGUAUUUUCAUUUUAUUUCUAAGUUAUGAAUUCUCUGAGGAGUUUUCCCCAGAGAAUGAGUAACUAAACCUCCAAUUCCUUGGAGCUAAGGUUGCCGGGGAAGGUUCCAAGUGCAAGAAUGCAAAGCUCUGUGGUUUUAGCUAGUAAUGAAGAGGAAGUGAAAUCCUUUAGUGAUUUCAAUGUUUUUAGUUAACUUAAAACACCUUGGAGUCACCUGGGCCAACACUUGGUAAGGCAAGUGAUUUCCAACCAUGGAAAUGCACUAGUUUACCCCUUGCGAGCCUCUGGUAGGUGACUUCAAGGUAGGAUUUUCCGGAAUUACCAACACUUGGUAAGCUUUUGGACUCCUAGGAGACAUCCAUUAGUUAUCUCUUGCGAGUUUGUGAAAGGGAAGUCCAAGGUUAAAGAUCACCUUGAAUGGUAAGUGCUCGUGAGAGGCAUGAACCAUUGCAAGUUGCAUCAGUGAGAGAAUUAAAGUGAAAUCUAAUUGAAGGAGUCUCUGUACAUCACCGGUUAGAGAAUUGACUAUAAGUUGAAUCUCUAAUGCGAGGAAAUGAACCAUCUGACCGGAGCUAUGUCUAUUGCAUGAGGAACCACCCCAGUGAACCUAAAUCUCCAAGGAAUGCUUUUCUUCCUAAAUUAUUCCAAACUUCUGUUAAGUUAGUUAGUUUAAAUCUCAACCCUUACCAAUCAAAGUUUGUGUUUUAUUCCUUAAGCUAACCGUGAAAUGAAACAAGACCAAUUCACUUGGAAUUGGUAUCCUUGAUUGCUUGCAAAUCAUUCCCAGCGAACGAUCCUUAGAGCCACUAUACUAUAGUAGCUUUGUAUUUGCUACCCUAGUGUAUGGUGUUAUAGGUAUAAAUUUUGUUGAUCACUUCCUCAAUCAAGGAGCACCAGCUGAACACAAAUCAGCUGAGACACCAAUUGGGCAUGAAUCACUAAGUUAUGUGAUAGCACCCAAUUUUUCCGUUCGUGCUUCUUGAGAGUCCGUCCAGUUGUACUGGAAUCAGACAGACUUCUUCCCUGCACAAAAGGAUGUCCAGACAGGUGAUUUGAGCACAUCCCUCCCAAACUUAAGUCAGUUAAGGAUAGCUCUAACUUAUUUUUGUGGCAAAAAAUGAGUGUAUGGGCAUGCCUACCUUGUUCGUGCUUUUUGAGGGGUUUAUAUAGAACUGAUGAUACUGUCCCUAUAGUGUUGACUAUACACUCUAGUCUUUCUUGUAAUGAUGAUUGCCCUUAGGGCGGUUGAUUGGUGCCAUCUAUUGAUGUGCCAAAAUCUCAAACCAUGCAACUAAUUGUCCAUUUAGCUUGCCAAUGUCUGGGAUUGUGUGUAACAAUUAAUUGACAUUGACUUUUGGGUAUAAAUGGAGUCCCGUCCGCUGCUUAGAUGUCAGGCGUCUAAUCCGCCGCUCAAAUGUCAUGUGUAUGGGCCAACGCUCAGACAUCAAGCAUAGUUGAUCAUGCAUGCCAGAAAUCCUAAGGACUUGAUUAGACUGAUUUUUUCGUCUGAGAGUCCAACGAGCCCAGCCUAUCGAUUCCCUCCGACCUUGUGGAAGAAGAGAAACCUCUCACUUCUUGUGUCAGACAUAACUUAUCUUGGUCCAAACGGAUUGAUCCCAGACGGGUUACAAGUUUGUCCUGGUCGACCAAGGGGUCUUAAGCUUGAAAAUGACACAUGAAGGGAAACCCCCCACAAUGCCCCUUUAAUCCGUUUACUUCUAUUCAAAUGAAGAGGAGAUGUUUUUGGAGCGUCCAGUUAGUCUCCUAUCUGAACAGGAAUUUCGGGAUCAUUUCCAUAUUCCAGACAAUAUCCCUAUCCUUCUAAUAGACGACGAGGCGUUAUCCUCCGUUGACCUGCCCAACAACAUGAUGUAUUUUUCUAAGGAACAAUUCAUUGCAGGGCUCCGUCUACCUAUCCCCUCUCUCUUCAAGCAGUUCCUUCAUUUUAUGUAAAUCCCUUCAGCUUUUCUUCAUCCGAACGUUGUCCGGGUAUUGAUGGGAUGUAGUGUUCUAGACAUGCUCUUUUAGUUGAAUCUCUCAUUGUUGGAAGUUUUGUUUGUUUAAAAUGUCAAAAUGAGCUGGAAGGAAAGGUUCAGCUUUUCUUCCCAUAUUCCUUACUUGCAGCCGGUGACUGGUUUUCCUGAUUCAUGCAAAGGCUAGGUAAAGGGGCAUGUCCUAGUCUCCGGUCCUUGGAGUGGUUCGUCUAAGGAACCAAAUGGAGUCUUUUCUCCACAACAUUCAUUGGAGAUUUCGAGUAGGAUACACUUCCAUCACUUUCUCUAUAUUUUGCAAUUAUUUCUUCCUCGUUGUCAAUUUAUUGUUGAUCUUUUUGUUUGUGUGAUAUAGGCAAGGAGAGGCGGGGACGCCUUGUAGAGUGGGUAGACAAGGCUUCUUUCACCUACUCAACAAGUUGUUCGAAAUAAACGCAUUCGAAUGGGCCCCUAAAGUUCUUCUGUAAGAUAAUAAGUUGCUAACGCUAAUCGAUAAUCCAAAGUCGUUCAUCAUCCCCGUAUUUCCUCAUCUGGCUCCCCCGUCUUUGGUACCUGGUGAACAUUUCGUGCUAAAGGAUUUUCCAUUCUAUGAGGUUGCUCGUCUGGCAGAUUAUAAGGCACGUUAGGCACAUUUAGAGGAGUGGGAGAAAAAACAUCAGGAAAGGACAUUGAGGCAAGCUCUGACUACUAGUCUUCUAUCUUCCAAUUUUGUUGUCCAUCCUCUCACUGAAAAGAGGAAGAAACCUACUACUUUGCCUAUCUGGAGGGUAAGGACUCCACCUCCUUCAUCUUUAUCUUCUCCAUCAGCUUCAUCAUCUUCGUCAUCUCCAUCUUCUUCAUCUUCCAAUGGCAAGCCAAAAGCAUGGGUUGUCCAGGUAGUGUCCCUUAUUAUUUGUGAUGAGGAAAAAGAAGAGGAUAUGGCUUCAAACUUAAGGGUCGGAUUUCGUGAGAGGCAACACAAGGGCUUGUCCAAAUCCAUUAUUGUCAACCCUACCCCCUCUAAGAAAGCUUGUUCAAAACCUACUUCAGCUUCUGCGCUCGUGUCGGUUCCUCUGACUACUGCUAUAGUCUUCACCCCUAAGCUAGAUGAGAAACUUCCUUCUGUUGAUGAACAUGCUUAUCAUAAGACGAGGAGACCCUUCAUCAGCCCGAACAACUUCAACAAGGAAUCGUUCGAAUACAUGACUUUUUUUUCUCUUUGUUCGAAGUCAACCUAUGUCCCCAAUCGGGAGGAGGUAUUCAAGCUUUUGAAGUGAAUCCCUGUCUUCACCGAAAGAGAGUCCUUGGUACAAAACAUGGGGUACUCUUUCCAGCUACUCAACAAAUCCCAAUCGAGAUAGACAACGAUCCCAGUCGAUCUUUCAUGACCUGGCUUCUGUACGACACUCCGAACAUUGCCAUUUCUCGCAUUAUUCCCAUGCAAGACUAUAAGGCUUUUGAAACGACAAAUAUGGUAAGUCACCUACCCUUUUCUUCUCAUUUUUCCUUAGCCUCUUGUUUCACAACGAUUUCUUUAUUGCAUCUUCAGGUGAUAGUCGAAGUCUGAAACCUCAUGCGGUAGCACGCUCCUCUUUUCUAUCGAUUGGAAACAAUCGAGACCAUGAGGCCAUACUUUGCCCAUAAUAUGGAUGGGAAUGAGAAUCUUCUUGCCAGCUUGGAGACGACAAAGAGUGAAGCCAUUGUUGCCCAAAAGCUUGUUAAAGAAGAAAUCGGUCUGUUGAGGAAAACCGAGGAAGAGAAUGAGACAGUUCAAACUGAAGCUCGCCAGCUGGUUGAAAAGAAGGAAACCAUGGUGGUUGACAAAAAAAAAAAAAGGCUGAAGAAGAGGCUGCCUAGUUGAGGCAGGAGCUACAAGAUCUCCGAGCAGGGUUUGCCUCUCAAAAAGAAGACUUGGAGGUUCACUACCAAAAGCAAGUGGAUGACAUGUUCUUGUACGACUAUCGUUGUUGUAUGAAGAAACAUGGCUUCAUCCAUGAUGCUCCCAGUUUUCCUUUGGAUGACGAGGAUGAGUUUUUAGGCGACCUUGCCGAGGGAGGAGGAGAUGUUUUCAAAGGCGGUCCUUAUGGCGAGUAGGCUUGAUCUCUUUGUUUGUAUUUAUUUAUUAUGGAUGGACGUGGCCUAGACUACUACAUCUAUAAAGACAAUGAAUGCUUUAUUUUUUCAAAUAUAUUUACUUUAUCCGUUUGUCUCUCAUACAUUGUUUUCAUAAGCAAACUUUAUUGAAAGUAAUGCUUUAAAUUGGAUACAUUCCAAGAGCAGAGCAGGGGUACGUUGUCUAGUGUUUGAAGAUGGUAUACCCUUAAGUCUCUAGCCUUAGUUACAACAUAUGGCCCUUUCCAGUUAGCUUGAAGCUUUUCGGCUCCUAUUUCAGCUGUGUUCUCAAAUAUUCUUCUGAGGACUAAAGUUCCUAGCCAAAAAAACUAUGGUCGUGUUUUUUUGUUGUAAUGAGUGAUCGUCUUUUGAUGGUAAGAAACCAUUCAGAUAGUUUUGUCUCCUAGCAUUUCAUCUGCCCAAUCCAGUUGUCUUAUGAGUUUUUCAUCAUUGUUCCUCUUAUCUUAUACAACUGUUUUAGCGGUAGGCAUGUCAAUUUCAGUUGGAAUAAUGACCUUCAUCCCAUAAGCAAGGGCAAAAGGAGUAGCUCCUGUUGGCCAUCUGGAUGUCGUUCUAUAAGCCCAUAAGACUCCGAGCAGUUCAUCCACCCAUUUUCCUUUAGCUCCUUCCAGAAUUUUUUUAAUGCAUUCAGUAGGGUUUUGUUUGUCGCCUCAGCUUGCCCAUUACUCUACGGAUAGCAAAGUGUUGAAUACAGAUUCUUGAUGUUUAACUUCGAACAGAAAGUUCGGAAGACGGUACUGUAUGAUUGCUCACAAAACUCCAAAUCGACAUACGAUGUUUUUCUAGACGAACUUGAAGACAUCCUUAUCUUUGAUGCUAGCAUAGGCUUCUGUUCCACCCACUUGCUGAAAUAGUCAGUUGCAACGAGUAAAAACUUCUUUUACGCUAUUGCAACAAGCAAGGGAUAGAUUAUGUCGAUCCCCCACUGCGCAAACAACCAAGGGCUUGUAACCAGGAUGAGAGCUUCAUAAUGUACACGGGGAAUGGGAGCGUGUCUUUGACACCAGUCACAUCUCUUAACAUAGUUUUCAGCGUUUUGUUUCAUGGUGGGCCAAUAGUACCCUUGCAUGUAAGCACGAUGUGCCAAGGUUCGUUCGCCUGUAUGAUUUCUAUAUACGCUUUCAUAGAGUUCGGCUAGGACAUACUUGGCUUCUGGCUUGCUCAAACACCUUAGGUAUGGUUCUCUAAAUGAUCAUCUAUAAAGCAGGUCAUUGAUCAAAGUGAAGCGGGAUGUUUGCACGCAGAGUCUGUGCACUUGCUUCUAGUCUUCUAGUAAUUCCCUCGUCUAGAGGUAUUUUACGAUGUCAUGCAUCCAGCCAAGGUUUGCUUCAUUGGUACUGCACACUAGUUCAGGUGUGAUUAAUGGUGUGGCUUGGAGGUAGAUAGACAACAUCAUUGCCUCUUUUAUAAGGAGAGUGGCAACUAUUCUGGCCAAUGCAUCCGCCUUCAUGUUCUCCUUUCGGGGUACCAGUCUAACAAUCCACUCAUCUAGAUUUUUCAAGCGAUCUUCCACCAUGGUGAGGUAGCGAGCCAUGCGUUCGUCCAUUACUUCAUACUCUCGUUGAAUUUGCCCGACAAUUAGUUAAAAGUCGCUUCUGAUUUUCAACUUUGUUGCAGCCAGUGUUAGGGCAAGAUCUAGCCCAACUAGGACAAAUUCAUAUUCUACUUUCGUACAAUCUCUCACAAAAUUCGUACACUCUCUCACAAAGUUCGUAUCCUCUCUCACAAAGUACGUAUCCUCUCUCACAAAGUUCGUACUAUCUCUCACAAAGCCCAUACCAUCUCUCACAAAGUUCGUACCAUCUAUCACAAAGUUCGUACCCCUUCUAACAAAGUUUGUACCCCCUCUCACAGAAUUUGUACUCUCUCACAAAGGUCAUACCCUCUCUCACAAUGUUUGUACCCCCUCUCACAUUGUUCAUAUCAUCUAUCACAAUUUUCGUACCCCCUCUCAUAUUGUUCGUACCCUUUCUCACAUUGUUUUCCUUCUUCAAGAUAUAUAAAACUUCAUCUUCAAAUUUAAUCUACAAAUAAACAAAAUAAUAAUAUAAAAAUAUUGAUGACAAUUUCAUAAAAAAUGACUAAAUUGUCUCAAUUUGAUUAAUAAUAACUCAUAAAAAAUUCAAAAAUCUAAAUGUUAUAAAGCAUUACAUAUUUAAAUGUCAUUUAACAUGACAUUUAUACCUACAACAAUUAUAUUUAAAUGAAAAAAAAAAAAUAUCAAAUGUUACCUUUUAACACUUGUAAUCACUUGACAUCCUUCAUAUAAUGUCUUCUUCAAGACAUAUAAAACUUCAUCUUCAAAUUUAAUCUAUGAACUUACAAAAAAAAAUGAUAUAAAAAUAUUAAUAACAAUUUGAUAACAAAAUUUAAUAAUAGACUCAUAAAAAAUUCUAAAAUUUAAAUUUUAUAAAUCAUUACAUAUUCGUUAUUUAACAUCACAUUUUUACCUACGAAAUUUAUAUUUAAAUAAAAAAUAUCAAAUAUUACCUUUGACACUUGUAAUCACUUGAAAUCUUUCAUCUUUUUCGUAUAAUAGAAAUUUUAAAUUUUCUCCCUCAAAAAGUUUCAAACUUGAUCUUCAAAUUUGAUUUAUCAAAACACAUCUCACAUAUUUUAUAAUAUGGUAGUUGAAACUAUUUAAUUUUCAUAUUAAAUUAGUAUCCCUUUUUGUAUAUAUGAAUAAUGAGAGUAUAAGGGUAGUUGGUAGAAUUUUCUUUUUUUGAUAGAGUUAAGUAGCAUUAAAUAACAAAUUAUAUUUGAUAUUUAAUAAUAAAUUAUAAAAAAAUUAUAAUAUUUAGAUAUGUAUGAAUUGCAUGUGAUUAUUUCUCACAAACAAGUAAGUUUUUAAUUUUUUUUUUUAAGUGGGUAGGUACCUAAAAUAAAGAGUGGGUACCAAAGAACGAUAUAUAUUUUGUCUAUAUUCUGUAAGUGGCUGAAUGAUAAGAUGCCUGUUGGUGAAAGAGAUGCCUGUACGUCGUCUUAAAAGAUGUUUAUAUCAAACAAUAUAUAUUUGUCUAUAUUCUGUAAGGGGCUGAAUGAUAAGAUGCCUGUUGGUCAAAGAGAUGCCUGUACGUUUGUCUCAAAGAUGCUUGUUUAUAUCUAAGAAACAAAAGAUUCACAAAAAAAAAAAAAAAAUGAUGCUUAGAUUAUAAUAUUGAUCCUUGUUCUAUUUGGUUUAAGAGAAUAGUUUGACAUACAUGCAUAAGGUAAUUAUACAAUUGUAUCAAACAAAUUCCUGGUCAAGUGUCACGUUCAAACAAGAAGAUUAAUUAAUAAAAAAGGUCAUUUCUAGGAGUAAAAAAAUUAUGAAAAAUAUAUCAGUUUUAACCACUAAUAUUAAUUAUUAGCAAAAGUCACUUUGAACCAUAAAAAUAAAAAGAAUAAAAAAAAUUGAUAACAAAAUAUCACGUUGAACCACAAAUAUUAACUCACAGCAAAAGGUCACCCUACGCCAUACCUACUAACAGAAACAUGUUCUGUAGUUAACAUGUACACCAAACCAUCACUUUAACAAAGUAACGUCGGUCAUAACCUCCAUCUUACAUAUUUUAUAAUAUGAUAAUUGAAAUUAUUUAAUUUUCGUAUUAAAUUAAUAUAUUUUUUUUAUAUAUGAAUAAUGAGAGUAUAAGGGUAGUUGAUGAUAAGAUUUUCUUUUUUUAGAUAGAAUUAGGUAGCAUUAAAUAAUAAAUUAUAUUUUUGAAUUAAAUCUACCGCAUUCAUUGAACUGACUUAGUCCCAUUUUCCCAAUCAACUUAGCACGUUGUUUGAAUUAAAUACCUACGGAUUGAUAUUGUUUGAAACUCAAGCAGACCAAUAUUUUAUAGUCUAUUCUGAGCACGACUGUUUCACACCGUGGGCCCCAAAACUAAACCAAAUCCCACGUACCAUUCAACUUAAUACAACCGCUGCACGCUACUGACCAAUUCUUUCUAAUUUUAGUAAAUAGUACAUAAAAAAAGGACAAGAGACUCUAAAAAAAGGAAAAAAGAAUAGAAAAAAAGGUCCAAUUCAUACCUUAGCCGCCCCUAACGGUUUGGGCUUUUGCGUGAAUUUAGGCAAGGGGUUUCUCUUUCAUGUCAUCAAUCUCUUUCAUACAUUAUAUUCAACAACAUACAGCUUCAGGAGGCCAUUGCUCCCCUAUAAAUGCAAUGGAGCUUCCCAAGCUUUUGCACUCAUACUUUGCAAGUCAGUUUUCAAAGAAGUGUUCUACUACCAUUCCAAAAAAUUAACAUGUCGGGUCAAGUCUUAGCAAGCCCUCUAGGCCAAUUUCCUGAUCUGGAAAAUCGUCCAGUGGUCAAGUAUCACCCUAACAUUUGGGGUGACCAGUUCUUAUCCCACACUCCCGAAGACGAGGUAAUUGAAUGAAAAUCUGUGUUAAAUACCUGUAUAUUCGAAGGUUGUUUUUCUUGAUGUGUUGUUUAGUAAAAUUACUUGGUUGCCAUAGGUAACACGUGCCUGCAAAGAGAAGCAGCUUGAAGAUCUGAAAGAGGAAAUUCGAAGGAAGCUAAUGAAUACAGCUGGUAACACUUCCCAACAACUAAAAUUUAUCGAUGCUGUGCAACGUCUUGGGCUGGCAUACCACUUUGAAAGAGAGAUAGAAGAAGUGUUACAACAUAUUUAUGAUAGCUAUCCUAAUGGUGAUGAUAUGGAAGGUGAUAUCUAUAAUGUUGCUCUUCAAUUUCGGUUACUAAGACAAGCUGGGUUCAAUAUUUCAUGUGGUAAGAGCCCAAAGAAUUGUCAUGUAUAAGCUAAAAUGUAUCCUUCUCAUAAUUCCAAUCUUAUGUAUGUUUAAAUUACGGUAUUGUGUAGGCUUGUUCAAUGAGUUCAAGGAUGAAAAGGGUAACUUCAAGAAAGCUUUGAUCAGUGAUGUAAGAGGCAUGCUAGGCUUGUAUGAGGCUGCACAUCUCAGAGUUCGUGGAGAAGACAUACUGGAUGAAGCACUUGCUUUCACCACCACCCAUCUUAGGUCCAUGGUAGAACAUUUAGAAUAUCCUUUUGCAGAACAAGUUGUUCAUGCCUUGAAGCAGCCCAUUAGAAGAGGUUUAGAGAGGCUAGAGGCAAGGUGGUAUAUAUCUAUCUACCAGGAUGAAACUUCGCAUGACAGAACUCUACUAAAGCUGGCCAAGUUAGAUUUCAAUCUAGUGCAGUCCCUACACAAGGAGGAGCUAAGCAAUAUUUCUAGGUUUGCUUUCAAAUCACUAGCAGAUAUACGUAGUUACCUUCUCAUUUUAACCUGAGCUAAUUGUUUCAAUGAAUUUUAGGUGGUGGAAAAAAUUAGACUUUGCUACAAAGCUACCUUUUGCGCGAGAUAGAUUGGUGGAAUGCUACUUCUGGAUACUUGGGUUUUACUUUGAGCCUCAAUAUGUCUGGGCUAGACGAAUUCUAACCAAAACAAUUGCCUUGACAUCCACUAUGGAUGAUAUAUAUGACGCAUAUGGCACAUUUGAAGAACUCAAGCUCUUCACCGCGGCCAUUGAGAGGUUUGAUACAUGCAAAUUACCAACCUUCAUCAUUUAUACCGUAUGUGAUACUUAAAUCAGGCCUGGUUUUAUUUUCAGGUGGGAUAUUAACAGCAUAGAUCACCUUCCAGAAUACAUGAAACACUUUUAUGUGGCACUCUUAGAUGUGUACAAAGAAAUUGAGGAAGAGAUGGAGAAAGAAGGAAACCAAUAUCGGGUUCAAUAUGCCAUAGAAGCAGUAGGACAUUCUGCAUUGACUUUGUUUUGUAUACUAACAUAUCGUUGGGAUAUAGAUGUGACUUGAUUGAAUGUUUGACAGAUGAAAAACCAAGCUAGAGCUUAUUUUCAUGAGGCUAAAUGGCUCCAUGAAGGACGCAUACCAACAGUGGAAGAGUAUAUGAGUGUAGCACAGGUAAGCUCAGGUGACUCCAUGCUUACAAUCACGUCUUUCAUUGGUAUGGGAAAAAUCGUAACAAAGGAGGCCUUUGAUUGGGUGAUCACUAACCCCAAGAUUGUCACUGCAUCAUCUGUAAUUUCUAGGCUUAUGGAUGACAUCACUUCACAUAAGGUAUUGUGAAUAUAGUAUUUCUUGUUAAGCUAUAAUUUGACCUUAACCUUAAAGCUCAAUCAAACAUAUUUACUGCACUGUUCUUCUAAACCAUAUAUGCAGUUUGAGCAAAAGAGAGGACAUGUUGCCUCAGGCGUUGAAUGUUACAUGAAGCAAUACGGUGCCUCUGAGGAAGAGGUAUACGAUAAGUUUCAGAAGCAAGUUGAGGAUGCAUGCAAGGAUAUUAAUGAGGAGUUCCUACGACCUACGGCUGUUCCGAUGCCUCUCCUUAUGCGUGUGCUUAAUCUUUCUCGAGUGAUGUAUGUGAUCUACACGGGGGGAGAUGGGUACACUCAUGUUGGAAAAGUGAUGAAGAAUAAUGUUGCAUCACUGCUCAUUCACCCUAUCGCAUGACCAAAUGGAUCAAGUUGAUGAGCAUCUACAUAUUUUGCCAUACCUAAGGAGUAAGAUGAAUAAAAAUGAUUGUAAUAAUAUGGGAUAUUGUUACAAUGUUUGAUACUAGUUUCUCUCUCGGUUUGGUCGCAUCCAUUUUAAUAUAUGUUUAAAACACAUGGAUCAAGUUUGAUACUUUUCUGUCAUUUAAAGUUCACGUGAGGGAGAAAAUUCUCCAUAGAAAAUCACUUGGCGGAGAAAAUUCAAACAACACGUGUAUUCACUAUGGAAGUUACCAGGAAAAAGAUGUUUUGGUCAGACCGCUUAUAUGACCUUAUUAGCAGAAGAGGGUUCAGAGCAAACAAAGACAUAAAACACUAAAAAAUUCAUCCUAACGGGUAAAAUAUGAUUAUUAUUAUUAUUAUUAUUAUUAUUAUUAUUAUAAUAUUAGACAUGAUAAAAGUUUUAUUAUAUAAGUUAUGAUAUUACAUAAGAUUGGAAUUCAAAGUUCAAGCACAUUAAACUAUGCAGAGUUUAAAUUUUUGCCAAAAAAAAAAAAAAAAAUUGGAGAAUCAAUUCAAUCAACUCAUCAUUUUCCAAGCAAGGAUUACAAUAUUGAAAAUUAUAGAAGGAUCGAUGAUUAUAUUUUAAAAAAAAAUCUUGGAAUGAAACAAUAAUACAUGUAUAGAAGUUUUUUAAAUAAUAUAUAUAUAAUAACAUUUGUGAUAUUGAAUAAUAAUCCAUAGAGCUUGAAAAUGCAUUUAAUUAUAAAAUAUAUAUGAUUCCAUGUAAUUUGAUAAUAAGUAUUUAUAAUUUCAUUUACAACAUUAUUUCUUCCUCAUUAUUUAAUUGAUAUAGACAAGGUAUAAAAAAAAAGACUUACAAAAAGAAUUAUCAUAAGGUUUUAUUUUUUUAACAAUAAGUUAAAAUAAAUUUGAAAAAAAAAGAUAAUUAAAAUUAAUACAUUUUUAAACAUUUUAUUUAAUAUUUUAUCUUGUGCAUAAAUAUGUCAUAAGAAUAGGAUAAAUAUAGUACAUGUGAUUGUAAACAAUAAGGCCAAGUAGCCUAGGUGGCGAAGUAGCCACCUCCCUUCCUAAUGUAGUUGAAAUUACCAUAAAUUGCCAAAAUUAGUGAUUAAUUGAAAAAAUAACAAAAGAACAUGAUUAAUCAAGAUAGAUUAUCAAAAUUUCAACAAAAAUUCAUUGAGUGAAAUUCUCCCAUAAUUUCCUAUAUUGGUGAUAUUUUAAUUAAGAUUAUGUUCUAAUGGUGAUAAAAACAAAUUAAGACAGCCUUCAAAUCAAAUGUACUUUGCAAUGAAACAAAUUAUGCUUAGUAGACAUAUGUAUGUUUUUGAAAAGGAUGGAUGUUAAUUUCAGAUUUUGCUUUGAAAUUAAGCCAUCUGACACAGUUGUCUUUUAAAGACGACUUUAGUGAAUGCAACUUCAAAUGACCAAUAAUGCACGGUAGCAGUAAGCGAAGACUCAUUAUUUUGACUUCAAGGCAUUAAUUCAUAUUUUAACCAUUACACAACAGAAUAUAUAUAAUAUUUAUAAGUAACAACUUUCUUCUUAAGCAAAGCAGACAAGAAAGACUACAAAAUCUAUACCAAACAGAAUAUCUACUAGGAAUUUAAUUGAUUGGCUCGAACCCAAACUACCUAUGGACAAAUUUGGAUAAUUAUUUCUAACACAAUGAAUUUUUCACAUGUUCCUACUCAAUGAGGAUACUCAUUUAUUAUGAAAAAUGAUUAUUUGAAAACCCUUUUUAGGUUUUUUAGAGUGAUCAUUUAUUUUAUUUAUUUUUAAAAAAGGAAAACAAAAUGAGAAAAAAAAAAAAAAAGACAAGUUCAUAAACCAAGAUUGAGUUAGAAGUCAAAUUACCUAUUGGGAAAAUACAAAGAUAAGUCAUACAAAACAACCAUCUAAGCUUAUAUACCUAUAGUCUUUACUAAGCAAAUGAAAUAAAUUAUGACAAUUAAAUAAUUGAUUAUGGAUGCUCAAGAAAAGAAAAACACAAAUAUAAAACAAGUCAUGGUGUUUAUCAUGUCAGAAAAAUAUUAUUAAAAAAAAACAAAUGAUAAGAGAAUUUGUAUAAAUUGAUUUAUGAAACUAAUUAAAAACAUGGGUUUAAUUAUUUCUAAAUUCAAAGGAUUAAAAAAAUUAUUCCAAUUUGAUGGUUUCAAUCUAUUUUAAGUAUAAACUAAAUUUUUGAUUUCGUUUUUUUUUUUAGAAAAAAAUGCUUCACUUUAUUCAAUUUAUAAAAAAAUGUUUUUUAUUUACUUUUUCUGCAUAAAAAUAUAAAAAAAAUGGUUUUUAUUUACUUUUUCUUCAAAAAAACAAAUGUAGUUGUCCUAUCUGGUUUUUGUCAUAGUUGGCACCCGAUCCAAUUGGUCAUGACAGUUUAGUAUCGUUUUCAACGUAAGGUGCACCUGCACGAUCAGUCAUGUUGUUGUCCUAUUUGGUUUUCGUCACAGAUGGCACUUGAUCUUAUUGGUCACAACAACUCAGUAUCAUUUUUGGUAUAGACCCUACCUAUACGAUCGAUCACGUGAAGGGAAAAACCCAGAUCUCUCUAUUUCCCAAGUUCGGAUAGGUUAGGAACAUGCAUAACUAUCCUAGGCUUUUUCUAAAUCAUAUACACAAUAAAUAAAUAAAACAUUUUAUACUUUCAAAGGAAUCCAAAAGUGAUAAUGAAAACCAUACCUCAUACAUAAAUGUUCUUGAAUCAAAUCCGCAUAGGGAAAAUAAAGAAGGAAAUCAUAGAAGUCUUGUAAACCCGAAGUCUUCUGCCCAAUGAUUGGAACCUUGAUCUUGGCAGACUUCCGAUGGGGAUGGAAGGGAGGGUGGAAGCUAUGACUCUUUCUCUCUCUCUCUCUGGAGGUGGAAAAUGACUCUCUAGAAAAACUAUGGGAACCCUAACCCCUAAGGGGGUAUUUAUAGGGUUUCCUAUUAGGAUUAGGUGACUUGAGCCCACUAAGGGCUUAGGUUACUUAAUGUAACCUAAAACGAGGACCUAAUUGAUUAAUUAAACCAAUAGGGCCUACUAAUUAAUCAAUUAGCCCAAUCUAGAUACCUUAUUCACUUACCUUGCAUAAUUACCAAAACAUCUUUAUGAAUAAUAGUGAACCUAGAGCAAAUCCAAUCCUCAUAACCAAUUCUAACAAGGUAUAUGAGCACAAAACGAGGACGAUUGGGACCCAUAGGAAUAUUGGCUUCCUUAUAAUCCAAUUCUAAAGUUGAUUCAACAUUCCACUAUAGAGAAUCAAUUGAACUCUAGUAUCCUAUGUAAAUAACAACGAGACACCAAGUGCUUAGGUUUGUGACAUGUUAUCCAUUGUGUUUAAUCUCCCCAUGAACUAGUGUCCUUAGUUAACAAGGUGAAAACUAUCAGCCUUUCAAGACUACCUCUACCAUAUUUGAGUUAUAGAUCCUCCUAUUGUGUGUUCAAUUGACAUAUUUUAACUCUCAAAGAGCCUAUGUCAAGUUCCACUUAAGGAACUACUAUGGCCAUAGUUACCAUGAACACAUCUCCUUAGGAUCACCCAAGGGGACACACUAUCUUAAUCCUAAGAGAUAUCAUGUUGCCUCUAUAUACCUAUUGAGAAUACCUAUUGCUAUUGGCUUUCAUCAACAAUGACCCAAUCCAUAGGGAAUAUAUGAUCAACUUACAAUCUCACCCGUAGGUCAAAGCCACUACUAACUUCAGCAUAAGCUUAUUACUCUCUCAAGGUUGAGAGAUAAACACAAUGAAACAUCUUAGUGGAGUCAUGACUACUUGAUAGCCUUAAGUCAUAACUCACCAUAGGUCCUGUCUAAUGUGCAACCUACACACUAGUGCACUCACCAUGGGAAACUCAUCCCAAUAGCCAAGACCAGUUAUCCCUCCAAUUAGGAGGUGGUUCACUAUAGUCUCUAAUGGAUUGCCUAGGCCCAUGAACCGAUUGUGAACAAGUCAUCAAUUUGUAAGGAACCCAUGACUUAGAUCGUAUGUGCAACUCCUAAUGCACCUAAGUCACGUACAAUGCAAAAUACGUAGGUAAGAAUGCUCAUAAAGUAUAAUACAUGUAAUAAGGAUAGGUAAGAGUGAAACUAAAACAUCAUUAAAUAACUAAUAAAUUCCAAACUUAUUACAUCAUGUCAUGCUUUUAAGGGCUCUAUCCUAACAUCACGUCGUUGUGCUACUUGGUUUUCAUCACAAAUGGCACCCAGUCUGAUUGGUCUGAUUGGUCAUGAUAAUUUUCCUGGCCAAAAAGUGAUACAUAUACUAAACAUUCCUUUUUUAUUUUUAUGCAGAAGUGAAUACUUUUAUAAUUUUUGUUACAACAUGAUUUUUACAAUUUUAUUUUAAAAGAAAGUAUCCAAAUCUCAUCUUAUGUGCAAGAGAAUCUUUUUACAAAUUUAUUUUUAAAAAAAUAUUUAGAAAUUACUUUAAAAAAGAUUUGUACAAAUUUAUUAAUAAAAAAUAAAUAUUCAGAUCCAAUUUUAUUCACAAAAAAAAAAUGAAUUUUCUUUUUUAGUUUUUAUUGAAAAUAAGACUUUUACAAUUUUAUUUAAUUAGUAUGAAAAUCCAAUUCCAUUUUAUUAAUACUAGAACUGAAUUUGAACCAAUAAUAAUUAUUUAAAUGAGCAAGUCUAUUUUAUAAAGAGACAAUAAAGUUUGGAAGGAAGUACACCCGUGUUGGACGUUGGUUUGGAGUGGGGGACCAUCACCAUUGAAUAACGACCUUCAGUGUUCUUCUAUAUAUAGAAAGGGAUGUGAGGUGAUGUUGUGGGUUUUGGAUGUUAAUAUGAAAAAAAGGGUCAAGUGUUUUGCAAAUGGCCCCACUUGGUAUUACUGAGUGUGGAUAUGUUGGAGUUGUUUUGGGGCUUAAAGUUUUAGUUUGACUUGUUUAAAUUUCCCUUUUUUUCACGUACAUUGUAUUGACUCUUCUCAUCGUUGUUGUCGCAUUCCUAGGUCCUUAUUUUAAUAAUUUAUUAUAUAUAUAUAUAUAUAUAUAUAUAUAUAUAUAUAUAUAUAUAUAUAUAUAUAUAUAUAUAUAUAUAUAUAUAUAUUUUAUAUGAAAUGCAAAAUAUUUGAGUGGUUGCUUAUAAUAAUUUAAAAAAGGUUGAGUAUAUAAUAUUUGGUCAAAUAUGUUUCUACUAUCAUUUAUUAAAAGUGGUAAAUAUUUGCUAUACCAUUUGUAAAGAAAUUAAGAUUUGUUCUACUAUCAAUUGUUAAAGUCGUAAAUAUUUGUUAUACCAUUUGUAAAGAAAUUAAGAUUUGGCAACUAUAUUUCUUCUAUCAUUUGUUAAGGUGAGUAAAUAUUUGACUAUAAUAUUUCUAAAGAAGUUAAGAUUUGGUUAUGUGGACCCCUACAUUUUGGAUCAAUGAGUUCCAUUCGAUGGCGAACUCGUUUUUUAUUUGAAAAUAAUUUUUAUUUAUUAAGAACAUGACUUGGAGUCGCCAUUUAUUUUUGUUUUAUUUUUAAAAAGGGUAAACAAAAUAAGAAAUAAAACCCUAAGUAUGACUUCUUAUUUUAGAAAAGAUGGUCCAUGAAAAACCGGAUCGGGAUUAAGGGUCAGAUUACUUAUCGGAAAGGUACAGAAAAGAUCACAGCACCCUCUAAGUCCCUAAAAUCGGAUUUAUAAAAUGAAACUGAUGUGACAAUCAAUAAGAAAAUCAAUUGAUACUCAAAUCAAUCAUGCACAUAUCGAAAUCAGAACGUGCAUAGAGAAUGACCAGAAUGGGAGUGGAUGCGUACUUGGGCUACAAUGCGCUAUCAAGAAAUAGGGUUAAUGCAUAAUAAAUAAAUAUAAAAUAUAAUACACAUGCAUCACUAAAUAGGGUAAAAAUAGUCAUUAGAUAGCACUCCACACUUCACUCAAAUUUAUUUUUAAAACUUGGAUGUUGGGCCUCCACCAAAACCCAAUUUAUCACAAAUUUCAUUAUUUCAAAAUUAUGAAAAAUUUGUUCUAACUUAUGCAAAAUAAAGAGAAACAUAAAGUUAUUUGAAAACCAUAAUAAAAUUAAGACUGAUCGAGAGAAAACUAGAUUUUUGAAAUUUAUUUGAAAAUUGGAGUUUCGAAAAUUAUUUGAAAAUUGGAGUCUUGGAAAUUAAAUUUAAGAAUUGGAAUUUUGAAAAAAAAUGUUUAAAAAUGGAAUUUUAAAAUAAAUAAAUAAAUAAAUAGAAUAAUAAUAAUAGCAAAAAAUAAUAAUGAUUAAAUAAAUGAAUGUCAAUAUUGAAAAUUUUUAAAUUGGAAAAAAAUUAUUUAAAGAUGAAAUUUUAAAAUAAAUAAAUAAAUAAAAUAAUAAUAAUAAUAAUAAUAAUAAUAAUAAUAAUAAUAAUAAUAAUAAUGAGAAUAAUGAUUAAGUAAAUAAACGUGAAUAUUGGAAUUUUUGAAAUUAGAAAUUAAAUUUGGAAUUUUGAAAAAUUGUUAUUGUUUAAAGAUGAAAUUUUAAAAUAAAUAAAUAAAUGGGAUGAUAAUAAUAAUAAUGAAAAUAAUAAUUAAAUAAAUGAACGUGAAUAGUGGAAUUUUUAAAAUCAUAAAUUAAAUUCGGGAGUUGGAAUUUUGAAGAAUAGUUAAAAGAUGGAAUUUUAAAAUAAAUAAAUAAAUAGGAUGAUAAUAAUAAUAAUAAAAAUAAUAAUUAAAUAAGUGAACGUGAAUAGUAGAAUUUUUUAAAUCAUAAAUUAAAUUUGGAAGCCGAAAAAAAAUAAAAAUAAUAAAUAAUAAAUGAAUAAAGACAUAGACACCACCUAUAAUCUAUUUCUAUUUCCAUAUGUUUGGUUUCUAAAAUUUUGAAGACUAGCGGGGUUUUACUGCAAAUUCGGGUCGAUUUGAUAAAAAGGGUUUUUACGGAUACUGCAACUGGGGUUUGGGGAUGCUGCUUGAGAUGGACAGGUAAGAGUGAGGUAGAUUUGAGUUUGCUGGUUUGGAUUGUCUGAACAUUUCCCUUUUUUAUUUUGGGGGUUUAAUCUUUGAGUUACUCUACUCUGGUGUUUGGCUGAGCCCAUUUGGGGAUGUGAUUUGAAGGCAGAGCAAAAUAAUUGGGUUUUUGGAAAAUAAACAAAUGAAUAAAAAGAAUAAUAAUAAAAACAAAAUGAUAAUUAAAUAAAUGAAUAUGAAUAUUGGGGUUUUUUUUUUUAAAUGAGAAACUAAAUUUGAAAACCGAAAUUUUAAAAAAUUGUUUAAAAGUGGAAUUUUGAAAUAAAUAGAAUAGUAAUAAUAACGAAAAUAAUAAUUAUUAAAUAAAUAAAUAUGAAUAUUGAGAAAUGGAAUUUAGGACCUAAAAAUUUUAAAGAUGAAAGAUUAGAGAGUUAAAUUAUUUGGAAACUAGAUUUUUGAAAAUCAAUUUUUAAGGAUUGUGGGCUUUGGAAAUGGGCCAAGAAAGGUGGCCAUGCAAACUGGAAUCAUGCACGUGGACCCAAUCAUAGUUGGGCUCAACCUCUUUCAAAGAGCCCAAAAUAUCAGGAAUGAAAUACUUGUGGUUUCUCAGUAAACAACAUCUCCAAUUGGAUUCCGGUUGAAGUAGCCAAACAAAACAUGUCUUGUGAUCACUACUAGGCCUUCGCUCCUAGCCUUCAAUGAUACCAUCAUGCGCACGUACUCCUCAAGCUUUUGGACUAGGAAAUAACAAUCUCCAUGACUUCAACCCCAAGCUGAACUUCACCAGUAUGACCAUGUUCAUGGAAAUAACAAACUCUACCUAAAUCAGUUUCUAUCCAAUUAAUACUAUAUCGAGAUAUUUUCAUUGUAUAACUAGGUCCAAUUUAAACAUGAAAUAAGAGGUGACUAGUUAAAGAUAUGAUACCAGUAAUAAAUAUAAUAAUUCCAUGCAUUAAUAAAAGGAACUGAGCAUUCAAGGCAAGUUGGUAAUUAAUUUAGCAAAAAUGUAGUGCUUUGAAACUACAUGUCCUUUUGCAAGGUGUCCUAAUAUCAUAAGAAUCAACCCUACUUUAGGCAGGUCAUGACUCUUAUUACUAAGAUAGAGACCCUAUUUAUUUGAUAAACUUGCCUUAAACUUUAAAAGUUAACCUAAGGCAUUGAUCAACAUACCUUUCUUGUUUAGCCCUUAACCCAUGCAAUUGGUACUACUUGAAGUGAUUCUACCUCUUCAUGUCCAAGUUAAGUGUGUAACAAAGAUCCUUGACAUAAAUGUUAACAAGUGAAGAGUUUCAUCUUUAGGAUUGGCCGCUCUCACCACAAACAUAUAUAGUCUCAUCCAUAAAGGAUAGUCCAUAUCCCUUAAUUCCUUGGGUCAUCCCCUCUUUAGGAUGGUGAUGUACCCAAAAUCAAGAUGGGCUCGAUCUUGGAAGCUAUGGGCUUGCCUAUAGCCCUCUUCCACUUAAUCUUUUGAAAUUAGAGCUUUUAAAACAUUAGUAAUUGCCUAUCCUCUUUAAAAUUUCAAUGAGAGUAUUUUAUCCACAAAUGAAUUUUGAUAAAAUGUCCAUUCUCAAAUUUUAAAAUCUAUUUUUCAUAAAAAAAAAAAAAAAAAAAUCUCCUUCUUUACACAAUUACAAUUAAUAAAUAUUUUGUCUAUGAAAUUGUGGACCCCGCAUUUCGGCUCAAUGCGUUUCCCACUCGAUGGCAAGCUCGAUUUUUAUUUUGAAAAAUAAUGAUUUAAUCGGCUAAAAAAAAAGCGGAUUUGGAGUCACCACUUAUUUUUGUUUUAUUUUUAAGGGUAAACAAAAUAAGAAAUAAAAACCCUAAGUGUGACUCCUUGUUUUGGAAAAGGUCGGUCUACGAAAAAACAGAUCGGGUUCGGGGGUCAGGUUACUUAUCAGGAAGGUACGGUAUGAACCGUAGCACCCCUCUAAGCCCCUAAAAUGAGUCUCUACUAAUAAAAUGAAGUAGUCAUGGCAAUUAAUUAGGAAAUCAAUGAAUACUCGGAACUAUCAUGCACAUAUGAGAAUCAGAGUAUGUAUAGUGAAUAAUCAGAAUGAGUGAAUGCGUACCUGGGCAACAAACAACAACGCGCUAUCAUAGAAUGAGGUUAGUGAAUAAACACAAAAUGGUGAUAUGCAUAUCAUGGAACAUAGCAAAUCAAUCAAUCAAUCAAUUAGUCAUGAAUUCACAUAUGUAGGGCCCCCACCAAAGCCCAUUUUAUCUUACCUGAAUCAAUUCCGAUAACUCCAUCGUUCGGAAUUACGGAAUUUGAUUCCUUGCUUAUUUCAAAACAUUUUAAAAACAGAGGAGGUAUGUAAAUUACUUGCCAGAAAUAAAAGCGGCGGCAAAGUGUUAUUGAAAAUGUGAUUUUGGAACCUAAAGAAACUCUAAGGAUGAAGUAUGAGACAAUUGGGAUUAUUUGAGUACCAGGAUUUAAAAGAAUUUACAAAAUGGGAUUCCGGAUGAGAUAUCCGGGGAAAGCGGAACGUCGGCAGGCAGAAUUCCGGGUGCGAGAUGUCCGGGUGGAAUGUUGGGGGGGAGGAAUUCCGGAUGCGAUGCGUCCGGAUGGAAUGGCGGCGGGAGGAAUCUCCGGAUGCGGGGGGCGUCCGGGUGGAAUGGCGGAGGGAGGAAUUCCAGAUGUUGGGGCGUCUAGGUGGAAUGUUAGCGGAGGAGCGGGAGGCAUUCCGGGUGCGAUGUGUCCGGAUGGAAUGGCGGCGGGGGAAUUCUGGAUGCGAUAUGCGUCCGGGUGGAGUGUUAGCGGAGGAGAAAUUCCGGAUGCGAUGGGCGUCCGGGUGGAAUGGCGGCGGGAGGAAUUCCGGAUGCGAUGCGUCCGGAUGGAAUUAACAUGGUUGUGAGUAGCAUGAAGAAUGGGUAUGGACUGUAUGGACAUGGGGGCUUGGGUGAGUGGUUUUAAUGGGUAUGCAAAGGAGUGAAGGAUGGCAUGCACCCGUGAGACUCCAUGUAAGCGGGGGAGUGGGAUGGAGAAUGAAUGAGAGGCGGAUAGGUGUGGUGGAGGAUGCUUGACUCCUGCAAGCUCGAGUGAGGAAAAUGGAUAUGACGACCUAGAGAGAGAGAUAGAUAGAUGAACGAUGGGUAUGUAGGCAUAUUGGAUAAAACGAUGAAUAACAAAUGAAAAUGGGUAUGGAGAGGCUGAUGAGGUGAGCUUUGCCGCCAUGACAACUACCCCAGGUUUUUUAGGAUCUCUUUCGAGCGGGGAUGAGAAAUUGGACGCGUACCAUAACGGACAUCAAGAAACAGGGGAAGUAGAGAAACAGAACGUAAAAGAAGAUGAAUAAAUAAAGGAAAAUAUCAGAAAAUCCACUUCAUGAAUCAUGCAUAAAUCUUCUGAGCAGGUGGGUAAACCAUAUCGGAUGCAGCCACCCUCAUGACUCUCAAGCAUUUCAUAACCACAACAGGAACAUAUCAAAUUAAAAUGGACAAUGGCAAACACGUUUGCAAGGUCAUACUUCAACAAGCAGACUGGUGGCCUUCAUUAUCCACCCUAAACAACAUUAUGUUAUGGAAAAUCAGUGAAUAAUGAGAGACGAGGAGAAAACUGUGUACGUACCUGGUUCCUCAAGCAAAAAGAAAUCAAGUCUCAGCUCUCUCAAUGGAUUUUCUCUCUGCCGUCAAGAACUCUCCCCUGGCCAUGGAAGACCUUGCCGAGCAAAUCUCCUUUCUCUCGAAAAUCCCUCAUCUAGCCAACUCUUCCCUCACAAAACUUUCUUCCUUCUUUCCUUUCUUUUCUCUGCCUUUCUUUCUGGAUUUACCUUCUCGACCAUCUCUGCCGCAGCCACCUUUUCUCUGCCCUUAUCCCCCUUCUGCGGCCACCUUUUCUCUGCUCCACUCCUUCUACAGCCACAUUUUUCUAAUUCACUCAUUCUAUAGCCACCUUUUUGUCCCACUCCUUUUGCAGCUUCAAAAAGCGAAGUUGAUUCCUUAUGGCCACUAAGGAUGUGACACGUGGCCCGUUGGGAUAGUGACACCUGGGUAAAAAUGUGAUCUGCAAAAACAAAUAGAGAAGAAGUGACCCAUACCUAAAUGGGGGUCUACAAAUAUGCCCCUCUUCGGUAGAACUCACGAGUGCAAGGAAUAUGAACACUGAAGUGAAAGGGAAGUGUGAAUAGUGAGUGGAAUGAAGUGAACUCUACCGAAGAACCAAGGAGACCCCCAUAGGGACACUAGCAAACACUACAAGGAAAAUGUAAAAAGAUGACGUUUUUUAAGCAUCAAGAUAGAUAUAAGAUGACGCUUUCCAAAAGCGUCAUCUCUUAGACUGACAUCUUAUGAAUUUCCAAUUGUUGAUGCUUUUCAAAAGCGCCAUCUUCUUUGGCGGUUAACCAUGACGCUCAUAGAAAGCGUCAUUAUUCUAAACCUUGGCACUCUAUAAGUGUCAUUGUAAGUCUGCAAUUUCAUUCAUCUCAAUAUUGACACUCAAUAAAGCAUCAUUGUAUAGGUAGGAGCAACAUCGACACUCAUGAUAAGUGUCAUCUUAUAGCAUUUUUCAACCUUGACGCUCAAAAAAAGCAUCAUGUUCUUAAAUCUUCAACCUUGAUGCUUAUGAUAAGUGUCAUCUUAUAGCAAUUUUCAACCUUGACGCUCAAGAAAAGCAUCAUGUUCUUAAAUCCUCAACCUUGAUGCUUAUGAAAAGCGUCAUUGUAUAUUUUAAAGUGACGUUGACACUCAUAAUAAGUGUCAUCUUCUGCCUUUAUUAUCCUAUGAGAACAAAGCAUGACGCUUUAAAAAAGUGUCAUCUUAUCUCAUUCGAAAUUUUAAUAACCCAUAAAAGUCCUAAUUAUGCCCUGUUUUAUAAUUUUUCACAAACAAUGAAUGAGUAAUAAAAAGUUAAUUUAAGAAAGUCCUAGGAGAAAAAGUACUAAUUGUGGUGUUUCUCUUUCACUAUUAAAAUUUACUAAUAAACAGACAUAAUUAAAUAUGAAUUUUCUUAGCAUUAAAUUUAGUUGAAAUUGUUCAAAAAACUAAAAAAUUUACAACUUCUUUUUCAACUUUGAGUUGUUCAUAGUCUUUUGCUGCAUCUAGUUCUACAUCAUCUUUCUUCAAAAUGUAUAAGGAUGGUUACAAGUCACAUUCUAGAUGCUCAACCUGCAAAAAUAAUUGAGAGGUUACAUAUAACUAAUAUUGACAAAUAGUAAAAUAAAAAAACAACUCUAUAAAUGAAAUGUGUAUAUACCAAUUUUUUAAAUUUCCAAGAUAUAUUUCUUCUACUGCAAUAAAUUUUAACAUGUUGGAAGAACUAAACAAACCCCAAUAAUUUUGUUACACCAAAUUUCUAAAUAUUCCUUGAACUCUUGUUAUGUGUUUAAGAAAGCAAUCAAUAAACCACUUUCUAGUGUUUUCCCAAAUGCAAUAUUUGAUUUUGUCUAACUUGGGUUGAAUGCAAUAAUUAAAUUUGUCCAACUCAUAUUAUCAUUCAUAUUGUAAUCAUGAGUGAAUGAUGACUUGCAUCCAUGGUUAUCAAAAUAUGUUAUAAGUAUAUCUAACUUGGGUUGAAUGUAAUAAUUAAUUUUUUUCAACUCAUGUUAUCAUUCAUGUUGUAACCAUGAAUGGAUGAUGACUUCCACCUAUGGUUAUCAAAAUACGCUAUCAACAUAUUGGGUCUUGUCUUAAAUUUAAAGCAUGUAUACACUUAAUCAUUUUCUUAGACUAACUUAUUAUGGAUAGAAUUAAACCAAUUAAAUAACUAGGUUAGGUGGUUUCCCUUCAUCAAUGAAGAUUGUAUAUCCAUGUGGUUGCCUUCCUCCCUAAUUAGGCAUUACUAUGAAUUACAAUUAGCUAAAUGACCCAUUGUUCAUCAACUAUCUCCAUUAUAUGAUGGUCUUUUAGCCCUUCCACCCAAUUGGCCUUUACAAGUCAUCAAUUAUAUGUAUAAACAAAUGUCUCUAACUCUUAAAAAACUCAAAAAAAGAAAAGUCUUGAUCUUAGUGACUAUUUUGGUAUGAUUUAUAUCUUAUACAUGAAACUUCAACCAUUAACAUCUUUUCAUCCUUCUUAUAGGUCCUACAAGACACUGGAUGUUUUGCAAAGAAAGCAAGUAAGGAAUUAAAAGGAAAAAACUAUAAGUUUGAAAAAUUCUGAAAUUAUAAGUUAAAAUAUCUAUGUUCUUCCUACUGUUAAUAUCUAUUAUAGAUGAAAUUUACAAUUCAUUGGUUUUAUCUAUUUAACCAAUUAAUGUAGUUGGUAUGAAGUAUAAUGUCAAGAGAAGAGCUAGCUUGCAUGGGUACAUUAACAUCUAAUCAUGUGAGGAUAUCUAUUAUCCUAAGUAAACAUCCUAAAUAUGAAACUUACAUGAAAUGAUUUUGUAAACAUGGAAUUUAUUCAUAAAACUAACAAUAACCUAAGCAUCUUACCUCAACAUUCUUUUAUGAAAAUUUUCAACUAUUGCAGGGAGUCCUUCAUGUCAUUGAACAUGUUUAGGUCUGAAUAAGCAAGAGUAGUAGUGACGUACUUAAGAGAAUGACCUAUGUCUUUCAGUACAACCUGAAGAAUAUACAAUAAACAAUUUAGCAACAAAAUUAGAUUCUUAAAAGUUUUAACACAUUAAAUUCAAUAAGCUCAUUAAUUUCAAAGAAGGUUGGUAGCCAAAGGUAGUAGAAUAAUUGAGAUAAAGAAACUAGGAAUAAAGAAAAAUUAAUUUUAGGUAAAACAUUAUAAUUAAAUUGAUAUUUUAACUUGACAUGUUAUGAAUCCAUGAAAAAUAAUACAUUGGCAAUACUUAAUUGAUUAAAAGAGUAAAAUAACACCAAAUAUAGCAAAAAACUACAUGAUAUGGACAAAUGGUUUAUUUUUGUAACAGUCAUUAGCAAACUAAAAUUAAAAGGGCCUUGGUGGAGGAAAAAACUAUUAUAUCAAAAUGACUAGUUUCUUUCCUUAGAAUUGCAUUUAGAUUGAGGAGCUAUUAUUCAAGUUGAUACCCUAUUUUAGACAACGAGGCUUUGGAGGCCUAUUUAGAGAGAAUGAGAUGUUUUUUUUUUUUUUUUCCUUAGGCUUAUUUGUAAGAAGUCUUAAUCUAAUUUCCUAUUUUUUUAAUGUCAAAGAAAAUAUAAGUAUAAGAUAUUUUAAACUUUAAGCCCAUUAGUUUAGGAGGAGGCCUCUACAAAUUUAAAUUGAAAAAAGUUAUACAGCAAGUGAUCUUAAGGAUCUAAAAUGUUUUUUUUUUUAGGAUAGACAUAUUCUUAAUGCAUGCACAUGUAAUGAGACUAAAGACUUUCCUAAAAAUAGUUUGAAAAUGCAUGAAUUUUCGUACCAUUACAACACUAGGAUUUCAACAAAUCCAACUAAUAAGGAUGUAUACAGGAAAUACACAAAGGGUGUGACACCUACCAUGUCUACUAGGCUUCACCUCUCAAUUUGCCAAUUACACAUCCAUCAAAAUAGAGCAACCAUUGGAUGAUCCAUAUUGAAAACACUGCCAACUAGGAGUACCAAGAUAUAUAUUAACAAAUCAUGACUAAGAAUAAAUUAUAAAAUUAACAUUAACAAAAUAUUCACUAGAUCUUUAGAAUAAUAUGAAGUUAUAUUAGACUAUAGGUCAUACAAGGUACCUUCAAACAUGAGUAAUGAUUAAUUGAGUCAUUAACAUAACCCAAUCUGAGCGAACUUCAUUAAUUUCCAUUUCACUAUAUGUUUUUCUCCCAUUAAACUGAAAUGGAAUAACAUACAUCUUCACUAAGUUGAAAUGGAAAAUCAAGUGCUAUAGAAAAAUGACCAACCAUAUGAAUUGCAUUGCAUACAAACCUUUGAUGUUAGUUGGUUUGGAUUAGCAAUGAUUUCUUUCAUGUAUCUCAUCACGUAAUACCCACAUUCCACACUACCUGGUUGUCUUGGACACUAUGGCAAAAGUAUCAACAAUUACAACAAACAUAGCAUGAUGUUCUUACUUCUUUAGUAUCUAACUGAUCAUCAUAUUAAUCAUCGCCCAUUUCCUAAUUUUGUGUAGUGAAUUAAGUGGUCAAACAAUAUAUUUUAAUCUAAAGGAAUAAGUACUUACAACCACUUUCACCCAAGUCGGCUCUCUCUUUGAUGUUUUCUGUUUUUCUGGUGGGUUGAUUCUAAUUGCCCUAUAAAAAAGAAAUGAUGUUCUAUAGAUAAUAUGCAUUGUACUAAAAUAUGAGAAGUACACACUUACAUGUUAACUAUCUCCCUAAGAUCAUCACAUGGUUGACAAGCCAUUGGAUCAAGGUAAUAUGCAAUCAUUCUCUUCAUCUCCAGUGACACUAAGACCCAGUGGAAACUAAAGAAAAAAGAAAAAAAAUUGUAAUAUAAUAUCCACAAAUUAAUACAUCACAAACUAACUUAUAUACAAUAUAUCGAGAUUUGGGAUAAAAGGUUACUCUGGAUUGUAUGGAAUAAGCAUAUAUUCAGCAUGUUUUGCAUUCCUUAGUCGAUCCGCAAUGACCCUUGACCUGUUUUCUUUACUUCCCUCUCCCAUUCCAGCUUUUGAAACCAAUGCUGGAUUGACAAAAACAUAUUGUUCAACCUGCUUUCCAUCAAUCAACUUUCUAUGCAGGUGCCUAAUUAAAUCCCACAUAAUAAGUUAUCAACAAUCAUUAUAGGUCAUUAGCAAAUAACCUUUUACCUAAAAAAAGUGUGAAGAGUAAUUAAAAAAAUUAUAAAAUCCCUCACCAGAUGUAGUAUAAGAUACAAUUGGAUGACACUUCUUUUGAUGAUAUAAUCAUGUCCAUAUCUUCUUUCAUUAGGAAGGUCUUGAAACUCUCACCAAAAACAUCAUCUGGGAAGUCAACAGGAUGUACUCUUGAGGUACUCAGCAUGAGGCCAACCAAUGCCUCAAAAUUCUUGAUAUCUUGUGCUUUCUCACCCUUAGAUUUGACUUCAACUUCAUUUUCUUUUUGUUUCUUUCCUUUCUUGGAUGUCUAUACAAUUAAGAACCAUGAUACAAAUCAAAUCAACUAGUUGAAUAUACAAAAAAAAUGAAAAAUAAAAUAAAAUUUAAGGUUAUCAUAAAGCUUGGUAAAUAAAUUUACUCACCGAGAUAAGAGUAUGAAUGAUGACUAAAUGAGCUGGCCACAAAACUUGGUAACCAAUUGCAGCCCUAACAGUAGUAGUUUGUCCAGGAAUAGGAAUGGGAAGGGGUGCACUUGAAUCAUAAGAAGCAUCAACAACUACUAGAUAGUUGGGACCACAUUCAAGUAUAAUUGUGCCACCGGCCACUAUAUUUUCCUUGGUCUCCACAGCCAACUCACAUUUUCUAACCUACAAAAUGAAGUUAUAUUAUUAGAUAUGAGCCAAUAUUCUAUAUUUCAUUCUUUCAAGUCUACAUCUUCAAAAUAACAUUGGUUAAUAUUGAAAGCCAUCUAUAAGGUACAAGCAAAAAUGUGAGAUAUGAAGUAAUUUUAGAUCACAUUGGAAAGAUUAAAUGAAGGCAUGCAAAUUAUUAUGUGUUUAUAUAAAGAAUAGCUAUUCUUAAAAUAAAAGAGGUUAGUAAUGCAUAAUCAAUCAAAAUAAUUAUUGAACAUUAAAAAGUUUCAUAAUAUAUGAAAUAAAAAUCUCAUAUGAUCUAAUUAUGUAGACAACAAAAUUAUAUUAUCUAUUUUGUAAAUGCCCAAAAUGCUAAAAAAAAAUUUGACAACUUUUUGAUUUUCUUAUAUUGCACCACAUAAAAGAAAACCAUAUAUGUUCCACCAACAAUUAAAUUAAAUUCAAACAAAAAAAUUUACCUAAAUUAUAUCUCCUAUUACAACAAAAAUUAUCAUCAAAUUAACUAGAUAAAUACCUUGUUCUUUGGUUCUAUUGGCACUAGUGGACUUGCAUCUUCACCUCUACGGAUUGGCUUCUCCACUACUUCUAGUAGGAGAAGCUGUUUUUGUUUCAUGUUCGAACUGCUAACAUCAGAUUGGGGAGUGACUACUCCCACUUGAGACAGUUUUGCUAGCACUUCUGCUUGAAAGUUUCUUUGCUCUUCUUUAGAUGCUGCUAUAAAAUCCCUAACAGCACGAUCUACAGCACUAUUAAAAUAUUGACGAGGUAUGUGGUGCUUCCCUUUGGCUCUAACUCGACCACUAUACUCAGGAGUACCCAAUGCUUCUACAAGUAUAUCAUUACUCCCAUUGACACUCCUACCAUUCUCUUGAGACUCUUUCAACAACUUAUCCUUAAAAAAAAUGUUAAUUAUGAAGUUCAAUUAUAAAUUUGUUAUCAUAAAUUAGCUAUUAUAAAUAAAUGAAAUUAAGGUUGAAAAUAUCCACUUACUAUUUUUUCAAUCACUGGUAUGGCCACUUCAUCAAAGGUGCCAUCUUUUUUUUCUCUUGCUUUCUUCCAUAAUAUGCUUCGAUCAAUACUUUCAGUUGACCCACUUGCAACCAUCUUUUAAAAGGAGACAAUGUAUAAUGUAAUAAGCAUAUAACACUAUUAUGUAUUAUGUAUAAAAUAAAUAAAUAAACUAUAAAUUAGUAUAAACUUACCAUCUCUUCCUCAAGACCAGCAUUUCCUUUCCUACUUAGAUGGUGAUUAUAAAUGUGUUUCUUUCUUCUUUCUUUUUGAACUUCUCGAUAUUCCUAUAAAUUAAAAAUGCAUAAUUAAUGAAUGUGAAUACAAGAUAUGUAAAGAGUUGUAAUUAUACCUUAAAUCUAUCAGACAAUCGAUCUUUAACAAACAUUUUCCAAUCUUCAUCCUCAAUAAAAAUAUAUUGAAUUGGCGGUUUUUUGAGGAGCUCCGGUUGGUCUUUGAAAGGAAGAAUGUACUUCACUGUUAGCAUGUUCUUAAAUGAUCGAAAACAUUUUCCAAUGGUUAGCAUACAAUUCCUCCUACUUUUGGGAUUCAAUGAAAAAGCACCCUACACAUUAAUAGUAUACAUGUUAGUAACUUAAUAUGGUUAGGAAUGAUUGAUGUUUUGCAUAAAGAUGAUGUAGGUAAGAAUGUGUUACCUCAAUGCUAUCCCAUAACUUAUCCUUCAACUGUUUAGGUACAACAUGCCACGUUUGAUAUCUUAUUGGCACCAUAGUGUGUGCUAAUACGCCUAAAUAGCUUGUUAGAUGAACUGCUGAUUCUCCUAUGAAAAUGCCAUCAAGAUUGUACUUAACCUGCAACUUGAUCCCUUUGCUUCUGUUCUUGGUAAUCAUGGACUUUCGUGUCAUUCCUCUGUACUUCCUUUUUGUGGUUUUUUCUCCUUUCUCUGGAUCCAUUCUGGUAACAAAAAACAAAAAAACAAAACAAAACAAAACUAAUAAAGAUUAGUUAACAUUAUAUUAGAUAUAACCGUGUUAGAGAAGAGUUGUAAAAAGAAAAUUUUAGACAAAACAAUCCCUCAUCAUUGCAUAAUGAAAUGCCACCAAUGAAAUGGCCUUAUCUAUUCUCAGUUUCUUAUUCACUUGUGCCAUAAAAGUGAGACAACGAUAGUCUUUAAUUAAGUUCAUUUAGUUGUGUGCUUCAAUUAUUUGGACCUUUUGUUGUUUCAAAUACUUUUUUUUAGUGAAUUGUAUGUAUUUAGAUCAUACAUUUCAUGGACCUUUUUUUUGGAAUGGUUCAUCACAUAACGAAGUUGACAUUUCAGUUUAGCUAUUUUUUCUCCCUCUUUCUUGCUCAUUUGAUUUAUUUUAAUUUAAAUUUGUUUUAUUUUAUGAACUUUUAUAUUCUAGUAUGUGUUUCUCUUAUUAUUUUUUUCUAAUCCAUUGUCAUUUUCUUUUGAAUUUUCCUAUGAGAGCCUUUUAGAAUUGCAUAUUUAACUUACUGAAUUGUUAACUAGUUCAUAUCAAAACUAAAAUUUACAUAUAAGAAUUUUACAAGAAUCAUACUUGAUAUUUGCUUUAGUAUAUCAAAUUUUAAUAACAAGAAAUGUCAAAUGUAGAAGCAAAAUAAUAAUAAGAAUAAUAAUAAUAAAUAAUAGUAAUAAUAAUGUCAAAAUGGCAUCAACUUAGGCAAUCAACUUGAUGUUCUUUGGAAACAAAAAGAAUUAAAAUUACCUGUUUUGUGGGAUCUGCAACCCACUCGGCAUCCUUUAUUUCUACAUCAUUAUUAUAAGUUUACAAUUCAGCUACAUAGAGGAUUUGUUCUCAAUCCAAAUCCCCUCACAAUCACCUCUUAUACAUAUUGCAUCUGAGUCAUCCAUUGCAUCAAACGCUUCAACUUCUGGCAAUGUCCCUAUAAAGGGAUGGUGUUCAAUAGAAUUGUCCACAAGGUCAUCACUUUCUUCCUUAUCCAAGAAAUCUUUUUAAGGAGUUGACAAAACAACUGAAUAUCUUGGAUCAAGUUGGUCUUGCACAUAAAAUACUUGCUUGGCUUGAGAUGCCAAAAUGAAAGGAUCUGAUUUAUGAGCAAUUUUAUUAAAGUCAACUAAUGUAAAGCCAAGAUCGUCAACUUUUAUGCCAUUCUUAUUAUCAAUCCAAUCACACUUGAAAACUGGUAUCCUAAACAUGGUAUAAUCAAGGUCCUAGAUCUCGUUAAUAAUCCCGUAGAAACAAAGCUCACCAAACACUGGCUUUUGAUCCUUGGCACUUGCAAUUUGCAUUGUUGAAGCUAUAAUACUAACUCCGCUAUUUUGGGUAGCUCGUAAGUCAUCACGCUCCUUACUAUGGUAUCGACAUCCAUUAAUGACAUAUCCAUGAUAUUUCGAGACAUAGUGGCUAGGACCAUGAGCUAUCCACUUAAGGGUCUCAGAUAUAGGUUCAUUGUUACCAAUUGCAACUUCAAUCUGCAAUUAUAAAUAAUAGUUACUAUGUAUGUUCAACAUUAGUAAAAAGAAUAGUUCAAAUUUGAGCACCAAUUUGAUACCUUUUUUCGAAACCAAUAAGUAAAUGUUCGCAUGUGUUCAUUCUGGAGCCACUUUUGUCUUUUAGAUUGACGAGGAUUUUUCAAUUUCAACCAUUCCAUGUGCUCUCUAUGCAAUUAUUUAUAAAAAUUUCAAAGUUUUUGUCCUGUAGUUAAUUUAAGUAUAACAAAUAAAUAUUAAGUGUUAGUAGUUCUUACUCGAUAUAAGGUUGGACAAUAGUUGUAUUCUCUAAAACAUAAUGAUGUGCAUGCAACCACAAAUUAGAAUCAACGAUCACAACUUGACCUCCAGGUAUCGGUGCCCCAAUUUUUUGGUUAAUGUUUACACUAAUAGGAAUCCCAAUUGCAUCUACAUUUGAUAAGUACUCUGUACAAAAUUCAAUAGCUUCCUCCACAAUAUAGCAUUCGACGAUGCAACCUUCGGGUCGGUUACGAUUUCGCACAUACCCUUUCAAAACUUUCAUGAAUCUUUCAAAAGGGUACAUCCACCUUAGGUAAACCGGUCCACAAAGUCUGACCUCUCUUACAAGAUGCACAGUAAGAUGGAGCAUGAUAUCGAAGAAGAAAGGUGGGAAGUACUUCUCAAGUAAGCAUAAUGUCACCACUACAUCAUUUUGUAACUUAUCCAAUGCAGGCACAUCAACCACUUUGCUACAAAGAGCAUUGAAAAAAAAACUCAAUCUACAAAUAGCAUGUCUUACAUGCUUUGGUAAAACUGAUCGUAAUGACACUAGCAAUAACUGUUGCAUUAAUGCAUGAUAGUCAUGGGAUUUAAAACCAUAAAGCUUCAAGUCUUCCAUUGACACAAGGUUUCUCAUGUUAGAGCAAUAACCUUUAGGAACCUUUAAUUGUGAUAAAGUUUGGCAAAAAAGCUUCUUCUCCACUUUAGAUAGUGUGUAACAUGUAAGUGAGAGGUAAGUUCGAUUUGAUUCAAACCUUGGCCCUAAUUCACACCUUAAGCCCAUCUCCAGAAGGUCUAAACGAGAAUUAAGUCCAUCCUUUGUCUUACCUGGAAUGUUAAGUAAGGUACUGAUGAUGCUUUCACAAACAUUUUUCUCUAUAUGCAUUACAUCCAAGUUAUGACGAACAUGUAGGUAUUUCCAAUACUCAAGAUCAAAGAAUAUAGACUUUUUCUUCCAACAAUUUCUAGUUUUGACAUUCAACUUACCUUGAGUCAUCUUAUUUUUUCCCCAUGAAUUACAAAUGACAUCAAUUUUCCUUAGAAUUUCCUCUCCACUCAAUGGUUGCAAAGGUGACCGAAACUCUUGUUCCCCAUUAAAUGCUUUUUUUGUUUCCUAAAAGGAUGAUUGCAAGGAAGAAAUCGUCUAUGACCUGUAUAUGAGUUCUUUUUCCCAUGCUUCAAUCUAUGAGAGUAGGUAUCUUCCCCACAUAUGGGGCAUGCAAAAUAUCAUUUAACUGUGCAACCAGAUAAGUUUCUGAUAACCCGACUCUUGGUAGCUUGGCAUGUAAGGGUAUCAACAAAAUUUAUACCUAAGGUCCUUACACUAAAGUAGCAAAGCUACUGUAGCAUAGUGGCUCUAGGAUCGAACACUGGGAAGGGUUUUUACUUUAACUAGUGAAGUUCGGAGGAUGGAGUGAACUUUUCUUAAUAAAAAUUAGGUUAAGAUGAAAACAUAAAAAGAUGAAGGUGUUGUAAACUAAACCAACAUGAAAAUAGGUUAAAAGAUGGAAAAAGAAGUUUCUCAAAGCUUUGGAUAGCCAUGCUUAACUCACUGUGUAAAAAUGGAGAUUUUGGGACUCUUCACCUCGAGUUGGGGAAGCAACUAAGGUGAUGCUUACUUCCCGAACCGGUAUGAGUUUAACAACUGAGUUUUAGUCCUUGAAAACUUACAAAAAGGGUAGUUGAACCUCAUAAAUGCUCUUUUAAUGAUAUAGGUCAUCUCCUCGACUUGCAAUACAAUGGCUCGUAGGAGAUAACUAAUGAACAUCAGUGGAUCUAACAAUAAGAAUCCACUGAGACCAAAAGGUUAUCAAGUAUUGGCCAUUCAAAGCAAGUCAGAGGGAUUAAAAGCUUUACUUUGAAUGAAAACAUUUAUGACGCUCAGCUACUUACAUUCAUGGCUUGGAAAUCUCCAUCCUGACACGGGAGCUUCACAUGGCAUCCAUUACUUCAAGAAACUAAAAGGUUUUAGCCUCUCAUCCUUGGGGAUUUCAUCCUCCAAGGGUGUUUGGCUACUAAGAAAAUGAGAAAGAAAAGAGAAAAGAAGCUUCUGAACAAAAGUGCUCUUAUAACUUAUAAAGUUACAGGUUACAAGAUUUUAUAUCCUUGUCUGAGGCUCUUCACCUUUAUUUAAAGACAAUAACAAGCUAAAUUACAAGAGCUAUUACAAAAGCAACCUAUUCAUUGGUUGAUUACAAGGGUAAAAUAGGUAUUUACAAAGCUAAAAAUCAAGCAAAAUAUCUUGGAGAACCGGUAGUGGAAUAACAUCAACAACGUCUCAAAACAGGGGAUUCAAAGGAAUUUCGCAAUGUGCCUAAAUCCUCCUUGCGAAAUUUUCGCAAUGUGAAAUUCACAUUGCGAAAUGGCAAAAUUUCGCACCAUGAAGAAAAUCCCCUUGCGAAAUGGCAAAAUUUCGCACCAUGAAGAAAAUCUCCUUGCGAAAUUGGUCAUUUGACAUGAUGCAGUUGCCUUCCAAAAGUCAUAUCUUCCUCAUUUCAGCUCCAAAUCAUACACGGUUUGAAGCGUUGGAUUCUUGACUUCCUAAGCUUUCAAAUGGUAUAUAGCAUGCAAAAAAUGGACUUCGGGAAGUGCUCCAAAAGUUCAAAGGAAGACUGCAGCUGUUUUCUUCACUCUGUUUUCCUCUUCUCCAUUGCUUGUGCUCGUGUUUCCACUUGAAAUUCAAGCCUAUAAACGUACAAAAUCCUUGCUUAACUCGCCCAAGUAGCUCCUCCAUCAAUUGGCAUGCUUGAAUCGAUUCAUAAGCUGAUAAAAACAUGUAAACUUGCCACAAAAUGGUUAAAACCAAUUACUAAGGACCUUAAUGAAUUAAUUGGGUUAAAUGAAUAUGAUUACUACUCAAAGGUGCUUAAAACCAUUAUUAUUAGGUCUACAAAAUAGCACUUUUUGGUAGUAAUCACACCCCCCAACCGACUCAUUGCUAGUCCCUUAGCAAUGGAGGAGAUAAAAACUAAGUAAACUAUAAUAAUAUACAUAAAAGGGAUCAUGCAAAUCACUCCAAAAAAUGAUAUGAGUGGCAUGAUGGACAUCCAUGGAUCAAUAAAGAUGUGAAACUCAACCUAUAAUAAGAGUUGUCAAAGCAUUCACUUGAUCAUAGAGUACAAAGAAUGGAUAUUAUGCAAGUUUAAGCAUCAAAAGAAUUUCCACUCUCAAAAGAUCCAAAUCAAAUUCUUCCACUACAAGCUAAGUGUUAAUGUGAUUAGCUUCCGAGUAUAGUAUGGAUAACUAUCAUCUCCCCCCAACCUAAGUCUUUCUUUAAGCUUAGCAAAAUUAACCAUCUCUUGAUAGGCUAGGAACGCACCUCUUAUUCACAAUUCUUUUCACUUACUAAACUUAACCAAUUCACCCAUGUAACAAGCAGAGGAUCGGUGACUCCCAACCAAUAAAGGCUUAGGGCACCAGGCUUUAAAGGCUUUCGCCACCCCUUCGGACCAUGCUCAGGUUUCAAGGCAAGAAAAGAAGUUUAUUCUUUUUUUUUUUUUCUUUUUCUUUUUCUUUUUCUAUUUUUUCAAAGACUCAUUGGUCUUUAUGAGGUGUCCCAACACUAUUAAAGAGAGGUUAAAGGUGACAAAUUAUGAUUUCUCAAGCUUAGAGGGUGAGAUAGUUUCACAUCUUAUAAUCGGAAUCUAAUGUAUGUGUGUGCGAAUAGCUUAAGGUGGAAGAGAUAAGUUUGCAUGCAAUGGGAGCUUCAACCAUUCAUCAACUUUUAGAAGAGCAUAAUACAAACUCUAAGACUCAUGUAAUCAAGUUGAAACUCGACUUCUCUCAUUUAAUUUUGAGAGUUAAUCCUUAAUAUCCAUGGAGUUUAAAGCAAAAAUUUUAAAAAUUUAAAAAAGUAGCUAAUUUAACUAAGUAUGAUAAAAAUUUAAACUAAUACUUACUUCCUCAUCUCUCCCCCCAACCGAGAUGAACAUUGUCCUCAAUGUUUGAAUCGAAAAUAAGGAGGAAGGAAGUGGUACCUCAUGUGAUGUGGACUUGGAGUUGAGAAGGUUGAACACCUGUUUCAAAAUUCAAAAAUUGAAUGAGAGAGGAAUUUAUACUAAAUAUUUACAAAAAUGAUGAGUGGGCCCCACUUUGAGCAGCUGAGGACAAGACUCAAAGGGUCCAUGCCAUGAUGGUAUAUUCAUAUAAGUUGCAAUGACAUUUGAAUGUAGCUUGCAGGGGUGUUAAAAUUGGAGAUUUUUGGCUAAAACAGGGGAAAACAAAGGAGGAGUGAACAGUGAGUGCCAAAAUUGGCACAGUCACUGUUCACCUCCUUUGAAGCCCGACUGUGUGUUUUCCAAGUUUUGGGAAAAAAUUCAAAAAUGGUUUUUUAAAAGGUAUGGUUAGGCUCUAAACAAGAUUCCUGAGGUGUUUGGGUAGUUUUUAAAUGAUGAAAAACAAAAUUAAAUGAUGGAAAAUGAAAAUCAAAGUGGACGGCCAUGCAUGGAAUGGUUUUGAAAAUUGAUUUUUAAAAAGUUUUGGAUGGAUGGGAUUUCUAAAAUUGGGUUUGGAUUUGAAAACAAAAGGUUUGGAAAUGCAUUCAUGAAUUUUUAAACUUGGAAAAACAUGGAAUUCAAGAAAAAGGCCUUUCCGAGAGCUUUGUUUUUAGAAAUUAGCUUGAAAAUCAUUUCGCACCAAGAUAAACAAGGUGCGAAAGUUUUCGCACUGGUAAUUGAGGUGCAAAGAUAGCAUCCCGGGAGGCUUGGCUUUCCAAAAUGUAUAGAAAUUCCUUUUCGCACCAUGCACUGUCACUGUGCGAAAAAUUCGCACUGAGUGUGUUCAUGGUGCGAAAUUCCACUGAGAGCUUUGCUUAUGCAUUUUGGCUCCCCUGUUUCCUUUGUUUCACCUCCAUUUCGAUUUUUGCAAGCAUCGUACCUGCAUGAACACUUCAAAACUCAUCUUAAAACCAUAUUAAAACUAAAUUAAAGCUAAGAAUUCAAACUAAAACAUGCAUAAAUUUAAAGAAAGCAUAGAAUUUAAAUGAAGCUGAUAGCAUGUACCCCAAAAAGAAGAUGAACUAUUUAGCUCAUCCUCACUCACACACCCACUUCAUGCUGAAUUCCCCCUGGAUCCCAAACAAAAUUGGCAUCCCUCACUUGAGACUUGCUUUGUAUGAUCUUGCCAUACAAAGCUUGGGGGAAAAAUGGAUGCAUCUGUUUCUUCAUUAUUUCUUCUUUGAUGACUAUCUUCUGAGGUUCUUCGUCUAUAUAGUCAUCUUUCUCUAUGCUUUUCCCCUUUUUCUUUCCUUUGAUUUCCUCCCUCUUUUCUUUCUCUAUUUCAUUCUCUACCUCAUGCUCUAGUUUGCAUGUGGGCAGAUCAACCUCUUUAUCUCCCUCCUUAGCCUCCAUUUCAUGGAUACCCUUUUGAUUUUGAUGAGGUUGAGAAGGAGAGUUUUCUUUCUCUUGCAUUGUGUUGAGGUUGGAAAACCUUAAGAUUGAAUCUUGGAUAUUAUCUAUCUUUUGAGAUAGAUCAUGUUGCACUCCAUCCAUCUUUUUAUUCAAUGAACUCUCUACUCUGUCAGGGAGUGAUAUUUUUUGACUGAGCUGAGCAUUGAUGGAUUUCUGAGGUUCAACAAAAUCUUCCAUGACUUUGUUAAGAUUCAUCAUAGCUUGUUCAAGGUUUAAGGCUUGCUGUGGUGCUUGAGCAGGUUGCUGGUACUGAGGUGGCUGUGGUUUCCAAGAGAACUUUGGAUGUUUCCUCCAAUUGGAAUUGUAGGUGUUGCAAUCACCAAACAUUUUCCUUACCACUGGAAUGGUAGGACACUCCUCCACUAAGUGCUCAAAAGACUGACAAAUGGCACAAAGCAUAGCUUGCAAUGGUGUCUGAGAGAUGGCUUGCACUUCUUGCAUCUGGUUCUUUUCUAGCUCUUCCAAUCUCCUCUCCAUAGCUGCAAUCUUUGCCUUCAUGUCCAUGCCAUCAUUCAAAAUAUACAUCUCACCCUUAGCUUUAGGUUGAGACGUCAUUCUUCCCAUAUCUCUAGCAUUUGGUUCACCCCAUUCUCUUGAAAAUUCAGCCACAUAACUGAAGUUCAUGGCUUCCUCUGCUAUCUCAUAUUCAAUAUGGCAUGCACAACUAGCAAUUUGUGAAUUAAAAACAGAGAAAACAAAAGAAAAUAAAAGAAAAUAAAAUUCUAAAGAAAAAAAAUUAUUAAGAUUAACUAAAAACUAAAUAAAAGAUAUACUAACACAUGAACAAAGAAAAAUAAAAUAAAAUAAAAAGUUAGUAAAAGGAAAAUAAGAUAGAAUUCACCUCACUCAUGAGAAGUCUCACAAGUUACCUCCGGCUGAUAUAUUCAUAGUGAAGUAGCACCUUCCCCGGCAACGGCGCCAUUUGAUAACCCGACUCUUGGUAGCUUGGCAUGUAAGGGUAUCAACAAAAUUUAUACCUAACGUCCUUACACUAAAGUAGCAAAGCUACUAUAGCAUAGUGGCUCUAGGAUCGAACACUGGGAAGGGUUUUUACUUUAACUGGUGAAGUUCGGAGGAUGGAGUGAACUUUUCUUAAUAAAAAUUAAGUUAAGAUGAAAACAUAUAAAGAUGAAGGUGUGUAAACUAAACUAACAUGAAAAUAGGUUAAAAGAUGGAAAAAGAAGUUUCUCAAAGCUUUGGAUAGCCAUGCUUAACUCACUGUGUAAAAAUGGAGAUUUUGGGACUUUUCACCUCGAGUUGGGGAAGCAACUAAGGUGAUGCUUACUUCCCGAACCGGUAUGAGUUUAACAACUGAGUUUUAGUCCUUGAAAACUUACAAAAAGGGUAGCUGAACCUCAUAAAUGCCCUUUUAAUGAUAUAGGUCAUCUCCUCGACUUGCAAUACAAUGGCUCGUAGGAGAUAACUAAUGAACAUCAGUGGAUCUAACAAUAAGAAUCCACUGAGACCAAAAGGUUAUCAAGUAUUGGCCAUUCAAAGCAAGUCAGAGGGAUUAAAAGCUUUACUUUGAAUGAAAACAUUUAUGACGCUCAGCUACUUACAUUCAUGGCUUGGAAAUCUCCAUCCUGACACGGGAGCUUCACAUGGCAUCCAUUACUUCAAGAAACUAAAAGGUUUUAGCCUCUCAUCCUUGGGGAUUUCAUCCUCCAAGGGUGUUUGGCUACUAAGAAAAUGAGAAAGAAAAGAGAAAAGAAGCUUCUGAACAAAAGUGCACUUAUAACUUAUAAAGUUACAGGUUACAAGAUUUUAUAUCCUUGUCUGAGGCUCUUCACCUCUAUUUAAAGACAAUAACAAGCUAAAUUACAAGAGCUAUUACAAAAACAACCUAUUCAUUGGUUGAUUACAAGGGUAAAAUAGGUAUUUACAAAGCUAAAAAUCAAGCAAAAUAUCUUGGAGAACCGGUAGUGGAAUAACAUCAACAACGUCUCAAAACAGGGGAUUCAAAGGAAUUUCGCAAUGUGCCUAAAUCCUCCUUGCGAAAUUUUCGCAAUGUGAAAUUCACAUUGCGAAAUGGCAAAAUUUCGCACCAUGAAGAAAAUCCCCUUGCGAAAUGGCAAAAUUUCGCACCAUGAAGAAAAUCUCCUUGCGAAAUUGGUCAUUUGACAUGAUGCAGUUGCCUUCCAAAAGCCAUAUCUUCCUCAUUUCAGCUCCAAAUCAUACACGGUUUGAAGCGUUGGAUUUUUGACUUCCUAAGCUUUCAAAUGAUAUAUAGCAUGCAAAAAAUGGACUUCGAGAAGUGCUCCAAAAGUUCAAAGGAAGACUGCAGCUGUUUUCUUCACUCUGUUUUCUUCACUCUGUUUUCCUCUUCUCCAUUGCUUGUGCUCGUGUUUCCACUUGAAAUUCAAGCCUAUAAACGUACAAAAUCCUUGCUUAACUCGCCCAAGUAGCUCCUCCAUCAAUUGGCAUGCUUGAAUCGAUUCAUAAGCUGAUAAAAACAUGUAAACUUGCCACAAAAUGGUUAAAACCAAUUACUAAGGACCUUAAUGAAUUAAUUGGGUUAAAUGAAUAUGAUUACUACUCAAAGGUGCUUAAAACCAUUAUUAUUAGGUCUACAAAAUAGCACUUUUUGGUAGUAAUCAGUUUCCAUACGCAGGAAAAUCAUUGAUUGUCCACAGUAGAACAGCUCUUAAUGUAAACAACUCUUGUUGAUGUGCAUCAUAAGAUUCAACCCCCACCUCCCACAACAAUUUUAGGUCAUCCAAAAAUGGUGCUAAAUAAACAUCAAUGUCAUUUCCAGGUUGUCGUGGACCCGAUAUUAACAAAGACAACAUCAUAAACUUCCUUUUCAUGCAUAACCAGGGAGGAAGGUUAUAAAUUACCAUUAUAAUAGGCCAACAACUGUGUCUACUACUCAUUGAACUGUGAGGAUUUAUACCAUCUGCUGAAAUAGCAAGUCUAAGGUUUCUAGGUUUUGAAGCAAAAUCAGGCCAUCUGUGAUUGACUAGUUUCCAUGAUGGGGAGUCAGAUGGAUGACGUAAUUUUCCAUCAAAUUCUCUUUCUUGGGCAUGCCAUAUGAGGUAUUUUGCAACUGUUGGGGACCGAAACAAUCUUCUAAAUCUUGGAAUAGGAGGAAAAUACCACAUUACUUUUGCAGGGACUCCCUUCCUCUUUUUAGUUUUUGUUCUAUCUAACUUCCAUCGUGAAGUUCCACAAGUUGGACAUGAAGAUGCAUCCUUCAAAUCAUUCCUAUACAAUAUGCAAUCAUUCGGACAAACAUGUAUUUUCUCAUAUUCCAUUCCCAAUGCAUUCAAUGUCUUUUUUGCUUCAUACAUAGACAAGGGUAACUCAUUGUUUAGAGGUAACAUAUCUCAAACAAUUCCUAAAAGCUCUGAAAAACUUUUAUCAGACCAUCCAUACCGUGCUUUCAGGUUGUAUAAUUUCACCAAUGCAGACAACUUUGUAAAGUUUCUACAACCAGGAUAUAAAGGUUUUUGGGCAUCUUCAAGCAAUGUUUCAUAAAAUUCUGGGUCAUUCUUACAAUCAUCAUGUGCAGCUGAACCAUUUCUACUGUACUAUCCACAUCAGUAAAUUGAACCGUAUGAUGACAUUCUGCCCGACUAGUUGGUGGUCCACUUGGAGCGGCAUCUCCAUGCCAAUACCAUGUAUGAUAACUCUGAUCAAUUCCAUAGAAAAAUAAAUGCUCUCUAAUUUUUUGAGAAGUAUGGAAUAUCAUAUUACCACAUUGAAGGCAUGGGCAUUUAAUGGAGUUUUUAUAUGCAGAAUGUUUUAAUGCGAAUGCGAGAAAGCUUUCUACCCCAUCCGCAUAAUCCUUUGAUCUCCUAUCCUUUGUCAUCCAAGAGCGAUCCAUUUGAUGUACAACAGAGAAACAAAGCUCCUAGAUACCACCAACCACUAAAGUUAUUAAUAACUAUCCUAUUAAUAACCUCAAAAUAUAUGAUCCACCAAUUUCAAAUUUCAAACAUUGUCACAAAUACUUUUACCAAUCCAAAAAACAAUAAUGUGUAAGUCAUCUAACUAUAAGCAAUAUGACAACAAAUAUAAUUAGUAUAUUAGGUUAUUAAAAAAUUAGAAUAAAAAAUGGAUCUGAAUUCCAUCAUUAUGUUUGGUUUGUGCAUGAAUAGGAAUCAAAAGUUAGAUGUAACUCUCAAUCUUGUGUUCUAUUCUCAAGUACACCAAGUUUGAAAUUUUAAAAAGUUUGAAAAAUACUAAAUCACAUAAUUUCUGUAAUGCCACAAGAUGAGCAAGACACAUGGAUGGAAAUAUCUUUUUAAUUAUGGGUUGAAAAUCAUUUCUUUUAAAUCUAAGUAUCUUCUUAACAUCAUCUUGAUUGUUGAAUAGUAUCAAACAUAGACAUAUGAAAGAGUAAUAAUUGAGAUAAUACCAACUAAUACAUAAAUAUCACUAUGGAAAACAACAAAAGUUUCCAAAUGUUUCAAUUAAUAGGAAAAAAUGGGUUUACUCCAUCAAAAUUUGAUAGAGUACUUAAAAUGAGACUUAAAAGUUCACUUGUUAGAUGAAGCACAAAAUAAGAAAGGUAAGUAGAAGGAUGAUACUCAAUGAUAAAGCUUUCAUCAAUUUCAUUGAAUUUGCUCCUAGAGGAGACAAUGAUAACAUGAACUAAAAAAGUGAACUAAUAUGGCUAAGCUUUCGAUGAGUACAAGCAAGUGAUUUAUGCAUGAUUUAUGCAUUCUAACAUCUCCAACAUCCUUAAUUAGGUAGUGGUUCCUAUCCCAUAUAGGAAUACAUAAUCCCUAUGUAUCAAUUGCCUUGUACUCAAUUUAAUUUUAAAGAAAUUUCGGCAGCAUUUUCCUAUAGUUCUCCAAGUACACAAAAUGGACAAGGCACAAUAUGUAACCUUGUCCAAAUAUGCACCCAGAGAACAAGAGGAAAGACUACCAAACUUUCUAAAAAUUGAAUUAAGAACAAAGAAUUAACUUCAUAGAUAUUAUGUUUUCCUAUACUGUCCUAUUGGACAAUUCAAGCAUCAUUUGUAGAGAAAAGAACUUUAUCACAAGCUAGACAAAUUUAAAAGUUGUCAACUUGAAAAUGGCCUAGAUAGACAAUUUUCACCAUUUGACAACUUAAAUGUCUUUAUUAUGUAAUAAGAGAACCUUUUGUCUUCCAAUGAUACUUGAAUGGGAGCUCUAAGGUUUCAUGCAUGCAUGUUUGAUUAAAAUUAAAACAUCAUAAUGAUUUAUUGAAUUAUUAUAACAUAGCAACAUAACUCUCAUUCUAUCAUGUUUAUCUCAAAUAUAUAACAUUUAAGAUGGAGCCAUAAGAACCUUUUCACAACUUAGACCAACAUCUUCUACAAAAAGGGUUCAUAGUAAAUAUAAUCAAAUUAAUAUGAUUUGACAAUUUUAAAUGCACAAUAAGUAAUUAUCUUACAAAACAAAUAAUAAGAGAACUAAAAGAAAACCAUGGUGACAUGAUCAUGCAAAUGAAUUGCACCUAGAAAACUAGUAAUAUGAAUGUCACUACUUAUAAUAGAAUAUAAGGUUCAGGAGGAGGUGGAUAAGCAUGCAAAGGAAAAGUCAUGACUGAUAACCCAUUUGUUGGUUUUAGUAGCCCAUUUGGACACUCUUAGACCCUUUUAGGCACAUUUGACCCAUCUAGGCUCAAUUAGUUUAAUCUAGGCACACUUUGGAUCACCUAGACCCACCGUAAGCAUACUUAGGUCACCAUUUAGGCAUUCUUUACGUAACUUGCAUGGUUGCAUGACUUGCAUGACCCUCAAUUUAUUUAUUUAUUUUUAUUUUUAUUAUAAAAAUAAAUGGAGAGAUUAAGUUUUAAAUAAAAAAAAUCAGGAUACUUUUUAAACGGAGGAGUUGACACUUAAAUGUUUUUUUUUUAAAAUAAAAUAUUAAGUUUUUAGAUUUGAAAAUCAGAUUUUUAUUUUUUUUUAAUAAAAUUAAUUUUGUAAUAAAAUAUUGAAAAAUUGAUGCCAUAAUAUUUUAUGUUUUUAAUAAAAAAAAGAGAAUUAACUUUAUUGUUAUUAUUAUUAUUAUUAUUAUUAUUAUUAUUUAUUUAUUGCAAAAUCAUUUUUUUUAUUGGAGAGAUUAAGUUUUAAAUUGAAAAAUCAGGAUAUUUUUAAAAUGGAGGAGUUGACACUUGAAUGUUUUUUUAAAAAAAAUAAAAGAUUAAGUUUUUAGAUUGGAAAAUCAGAAUUUUUUUUUAAUAAAAAAGAAGAUUUUUUUUAAUAAAAAAGAAGAUUUUUUUUAGUUUUUUUAAUAAAAGAUUGAAAAAUUGAUACCGGAAUAUUUUAUUUUUUAAAAAAAAAAAUAGAAUUAGCUUUAUUGUUAUUAUUAUUAUUAUUAUUAUUAUUUAUUUAUUUUUUUAUUGAAAAAUUAUUUUUUUUAUUGGAGAGAUUAAGUUUUAAAUCGAAAAAUCAGGAUUUUUUUAAACGGAGGAGUUGACACUUGAAUGUUUUUUUUUUUUUUGGAAAAUAAAAAAUUUAAGUUUUUAAAUUGGAAAAUCAGAAUUUUUUUUAAUAAAAAAUGAGAUUUUUAUUUUUUUAAUAAAAUCAAUUUUUUAAUAAAAGAUUGAAAAAUUGAUGCCAGAAUGUUUUAUUUUUUUAAUAAAAAAAAGGGAGAAUUAGCUUCAUUGUUAUUAUUAUUAUUAUUAUUAUUUAUUGAAAAAUCAUUUUUUUAUUAGAGAGAUAAAGUUUUAAAUCAAAAAAUUAGGAUAUUUUUUAAACGUAGGAGUUCACGCUUGAAUGUUUUUUUUUGAAAAUAAAAUAUUAAGUGUUUAGAUUGGAAAAUAAGAUAAUUUUUUGAAAAAAAAGAGAUUUUUAUUUUUAUUUUAAUAAAAUCAAUUUUUUAAUAAAAGAUUGAAAAUUUGAUGCCGGAAUAUUUUAUUUUUUAAUAAAAGAAAAAGAUAAUUAGCUUUAUUGUUAUCAUUAUUAUUAUUAUUUAAUUUAUUUAUUUAUUUAUUUAGUGGAAAAUUAUUAUUUUUUUAAAUGGAGAUAUUAAAUUUUAAAGAUCAAGUCAUCAAAUGAUUAGCCAUAAGGUUUUAAGAUGAGAUUCACUGUACAUGUACAUGUAUAAAAGGGAAACAAAUAUGGAAGUUGGUUGUUGUUUACAGUAAAUCAAAAUAAGAAUGAGAGAUAUAACAAGGAAAAAGGCAAAGAAUAUCAAUUGUAGCUCUUAACUCCUCCUAAGUGCUGAAUAACAUAUUAGUAUCAACCUCAUUUCAUGGUUAAGGUUUCUAUCAUGGCAUAUUCACAGUUUCUGUCAUGGCAUAUUCAUAGUGAUCCAAUGUGGAUAUAAUGGAUACACCACCAUUAUGCUUUUCAUGGCUCAUUUAGGACAAAGCAAUGCAUGGGUCUCUUUGAGUGUCAUAGGAGGGACUAUGAGGAAUCAAGGCAUGGAGAUACAAUGGUGCUUGUGCUUCUUGGCAGCUACCUAGUAGUUGGUGUAUUUGUAUCAAGAAAUAUUUAGUGAUGAAUGCAUAGGAAAACCUUUUGAUUUGCCAAAUCAUGAGAAACAAUUUAACCAUCACUUGAUUUUCAAAGUGGAAUUUCAAACUAGCCUUGAGUUAUUUCAUCUUACACACAAUUACUUUUUGCAUAUUAUAAACCAAGGUUUGGGUAAUAGAAUGGAUAAUCUGUCUUGAAAAACUAACCUGUAAACAAAAGUCAAAUGUGUCUGUAUGCCCUCAGAUUCCAGCAACCUUGAGGCCUCUAUUCCCUGAAUUGAAAACCAACUAUUAAGGGACCAUAGUGGGAUGAAAGUUAUUAGCUUCUAUAUACCAAGCACUAAAUUCAGAUACUCACUUGCCAAGUUGAAGGAAUUUUAAAUAACAAACACUUUGGAGGGACAUCAAUUUCAUUGUAUAGGGUCAAAAGGUCAUGCACCUACAGAUUAUGAUAAACUAAAUGCAUCAGACUACAUAAAAAUGUAAUUACUGAAUAAAGAAAAAGGUCAGCGUAUCAUAGUUUGAACCAUCCAUCUAAAUUCCCAAUAUUGUCUAUGUAUCACCCAAAAGAGAUCUUAGUGGAACAUGCUCUCUUUCUCUCGCAUACACGGGCACAAAAGCAAAUGCUUAGAAAUAUGCAGUAUUUUUGUUUGAAAGAAAAUUCCCAAGAAAGAGAAUUGCUACAUUGAGCUGCACAUUUUCAACUUGGAUCAGCCUUCAGUAACCAAAAGGGCCUCAUACAUUGGUUUUUUUAAAAAGAGCACCAUAAGAAGGAAAGGAAAAGUGAGACCAGUCAUCACCAAACGCACAAGCAAAAAUCUCCAGCAGCCAUUAUGAGUCAUUUUUCCUUGAAAUUGCUUCCAAAUGCAACCAGCAAUACUAUACAUAAAUUCAAAAUAUACUUCCUAAAAGCAUAAACUAAAUAGGUGUCACAUAGAUGGACAUUUGACCCUUUAUCCUCUAUAUGAUCCACCAACCCACUCCAUCCUUUCAUAGAAACGUGUUUGAUUGCUAUUUAAAAAAUUUCUUAGUACUUAAAUAUCUCUGUUGCAGCUGGCAUGGAUUCAUCAUACUCCUUGGCCCCACUGGCUACUGUCAGGUCAAGAUGUGUUUCAUUACCAAAGCAUGCCUUCUUACAAGAACUAUAGUGGAAACUAGACCCUCACAUAGAUUCUCUGUCCAUAACCAUCCAAUAUAAACAUUAAACUAAGUAAAUGAGAAUGACUAGCUUGUAACUUGACAAAGAAUAAAUCAAAAGGUAAUUUAAAAGGACAUGACAGAAUAUCAAUUAGCAUAUAAAAGGUGGAGGGUGUAGAAGAAUUAUCAGAAAAAUAAAGACAUGUCUUCAUUUUAAGGCAAUAAUAGAUAUGGCUUACAUUGAUAAACCUAGAUUACCAUUCCAUGUGAAUGGUUGAUAACAAAUAGGACAAGCUAAAAUGCUCUUGCUGAUGCUAACCUCCUUUUCAACUGAAAUAGAAUCCUGAACAUAAGAAAUAAGAUACAAUAUAUUGUGUCAUGACAGGAAAAAUUAAUUAUUUCGUAAUUCCUCAUGUGAACUGACUGUAAUUGAAAAAAUAAAAAGACAUCAUCUCAUUAGCACCGUAUGAUAAUUUUCCUCACAUUUUCCCUCAAAAUUUCCUAAAACCAAUUAUAGGGAAAAAGAAAAAGAAAUUAAAGCAUAAAAGAUGAAUUUGGUUGUAUAGAAUUUGCAGCCUUGGAAUUGAUAAUUUUCCCCUUUUGUGGUGGAUGCCCCAGUGUCAAGUCCACCGUUUGGUUGUUUUCUAUACCAACUGGAUUUCUAGUUGAAUUUAAAAGCCAUAAACCCAAAUUCCUCAAGAACAAGUAAGCAACUCCAAGAUAAAAGUUGGUUCUCCAGUUCCGUAAAAAUUGAACUUUGAACCAAAUCCAAUUCUACCCAACCAAAUGCAGCCUAAUUCUUCAAGAACCAUAAAAGAAUAAUGAAUGAAUCAAGAAUGGACAAAUACAUUGAAAAAAAAAAUCGGGAGCAGUACAAAUUCUCAAAAAAACUAAUCAUAAAGAAUCACAUAUGAAUUAAAACAAUUCCUAUGAAUUUUUUUUAUGCUCGAUUGACCAAAAAAAUAUAACAGUAGAACUUGUUUUGUCUCUCACGUACAUUCAUUGCACAUGCACACACAGUUACCAAUUGACACAGCCACCAAUUGCAAUGGAAAAUGGGGGCUGGUGGUUUUGGAGAGUGGAGGAAUUUAUUUUAAAAGGGACAUUCAACAUGCACAGAAGGAGAUGGGAAUAAAAAAAAAAAAAAAUUGGAAAGAUAAGGGGUGAGAAGACACAACCGAGAAGGAGGAUGUCUUUGAGGGUGGAGAAAACACACAGCUGGAACUCUCCACUACCAGCCACAAGAAAAGUAAAAAAAUGUGACCAGAUCAGGGCACAAAUGGGUAAAUCAAAAUGAACAAAACCCAUAUUUCAUGCCUAAUCAACAAAUCAAGAACAGAGUAGAACAGAGCAUGUACCACGAACCGUGUUUCUUCUCCACUACAGCCCAUAAAAUUAGGGCACGAUUUGAAACUCGACCAACAUCAGAACACUUGCAAUAAAUGAUGAAUAUGGAGUUGAAAGAGUGGAGAAUCACCUGAUUUGUCGCUCGUUGGUGGAAUUUGUAAGAGAAGAAUGGAGUUUCAGUGCUUAUUCUCUGUUAUGAGAGUCACAAAAUGGAGAUUCAAAAAUGAUCUCCAAUUUUUAAUACUUAAGAUCUCACACUAAGGCUUGGAAACACACCGUCUAGCUAGAUCUCCAAUGUCAAGAGCCUCAUCUGGAGUCAUUGAUCGACGUUGAUUACGGUUAACUGGGCUUCUAGGGUUUGUCGGGGUUUUGCGAAAAUGGAGGGAAUGUUUGGCACUAUGAGGUCGUGGGUAAGAAUGGGAAAUUUUUGAGCCAUAUAUAAAGGUGUUAUUUUAAUGUCACUUUUAUAGAGCGCCAAGGUAAAAAUUGAUAAAUGAAAACGCUUAUAUAAAACAUCGUGCUAUAAGAAGCACCAUCAUCCUUCAGCAUAAAGCGCCAUGGUCUAAAAUUUUCCUUUUAAGCGCCAACUUCGACCACUUAUUUACUCAACUGCCACUCUAAAAGCCAAGUAAUGACGCUUAUUUGAAAGCGCCAAAGAAUCAAGCGCCAUAAAUUGUGUUUUUUGUAGUAGUGAAAACACGAAUUCGCUCAGGCUGACAGACUAACACAAAGGCUCUGAUCCUAAAACAAAAUGAUGUCUCAAAAUGCCUCUACGGCCACACUAAGGAUCCAAGCUCCCUCUAAGAUGUCUCCAAAAGUGACCCGAAGAUCGAUGUCGAAGAUGAGUAACGGUUGAACCACCCUAGAGUACGAACAAGAACGUGUCCAAAGGAGACUGCCCUAUGUGGACUACGAGAUGAAUAUGAGAUAAGCACAGGGUAAUGACGUGAGGAGAGUGAGAAUAAGUGCAAAACCAUGAGGGUAAGAUGUGCAAUGCCAAUGAAUAUGAAUGCUGGGAGCUGUGACUCUGAAUGACGGGACUGACUCUAAACGCUAAACUGAGAAAAACAACGGCUCUGGAAGCCAAACCAAAAAGCUAACUCUAAACGCUAAACUAGAAAAUAACAGCUCUGGAAGCCAAACAAAAAAAAAAACUAACUCUAAAAGCUAAACUAGAAGGCCCAUAGGUAAAGACCUACGAUGGUGAUACAAUAAAAAUGCCCAUAGAUGAAAAUCUACGGUGGUGAUAGCUGAAAGAAUGGGGAUUCCCUCAACAAACUAACGGUAGGGGGAUGCCCUAAACAAACCAACAAUAAUGGCUCUGGAAGCCGAAUCAAAAAGCUAACUCUAAACACUAAACUGGAAAAAUAAUGGCUCUGGAAGCCAAACAAAAAAAAAACUAACUCUAAAUGCUAGACUGAGAAAACAAUAGCUCUGGAAGCCAAAUCAAAAAACAAAACUCUAAACGCUAAACUAGAAAAUAACAGCUCUGGAAGCCAACCAAAAAGCUAACUCUAAAAGCUAAACUGGAAGAAUAAAGGUUCUGGAAGCCAACCCAAAAAAACUAACUCUAAAUGCUAGACUGAGAAAAUAAUAGCUCUGGAAGCCAAAUAAAAAAAAACUAACUCUAAAUGCUAAACUGAGAAAAUAAUAGCUCUGUAAGCCUAAACAAGAAGCUAACUCUAAACACUAAACUAAGAAAAUAAUAGCUCUGGAAGCCUAAACAAGAAACUAACUCUAAACACUAAACUGAGAAAAAAAAAAAAAGCUCUGGAAGCCUAAACAAGAAACUAACUCUAAACACUAAACUGAGAAAAUAAUAGCUCUGGAAGCCUAAACCAAAAAAACUAACUCUAAACACUAGACUAGAAGAAUAAUGGCUUUGGAAGCCAAACCAAAAAACUAACUCUAAAUGCUCAACUGAGAAAAUAAUAGCUCUGGAAGCCAAAUUAAAAAGCUAAACUCUAAACGCUAAACUAGAAAAUAACAGCUCUGGAAGCCAACCCAAAAAGCUAACUCUAAAAGCUAAACUGGAAGAAUAAAGGCUCUGGAAGCCAACCUAAAAAAACUAACUCUAAAAGCUAAACUGGAAUAAUAAAGGCUCUGGAAGCCAACCCAAAAAAACUAACUCUAAAAGCUAAACUGGAAGAAUAAAGGCUCUGGAAGCCUAAACAAGAUGACAGUAGGGGGAUGCCCUAAACAAGAUGACAGUAAUGGCUCUGGAAGCCUAAACAAGAUGACAGUAAUGGCUCUGGAAGCCUAAACAAGAUGACAGUAGGGGGAUGCCUUAGGUGAUAGCUCAUAAAGAUCGGCAAAUGGGUCUAACAAUCAUGGAAUCUGCACGAGGCAUGGCAAACCCAAAGAGAGGGUGUAUGACCCAGUAGGAAAUGUGAUAAAGGGGGUAUGCCCCGGUAUGAUGACUCACAAAGAUCAAGAAAUAGAUCGAGCAGUGAGGCAGUACACAAAAGGCCUGAUAAACUCAAGGACGGGGGUAUGCCCCAGUGCGGCAUGCCGUUGCAAAUCUCAAUCCGCUGGAAAUGGCUGAAAGGGGCUCUACGAGUCUCGAACGACGCUCCACUAAUAGCUCAUAUCGAUGAAGAGCUCAAGAAUAAUGGUCAGUGAGGCGAAUACAAUAUAUCCCGGCCGAGUGAUGGAAACUGUGGCGGACAUGUGAGAGAACGAUCGCCUCCAUGGCUAAAUGAGGGAAAUAUGCCCCAGUGUGGCAUCAGAUGUACCCGAUAUGCCCUGAUGACCCGAGAACAACAUCAUGGGGAUGCGUAAAAGGCCUUACGCGUACCCCACUAAAAUGAUGACGUGGGAAUCCAAGCACUCGACAUGACUUCGUCCAAGAACCACGACUAUAUCAGAGAGUAAUAAUCUGGCUGAACGACUCAAGAGAGGCUCCUCGGAGUAUCAGCACAAAAUAAAAUCGAAUCAUCAACCUAGCAUGUAUCUCAUAUCCGUGGAUGAUCAUGUAAACCAGUGGGGGAUCUCUACAUCUCAACCGAAAUGAGGAAUAUGCCCCAGUGUGGCACCAAGAAUGCAACAUGUCACAAAAUCAGAUGAGCUUAAAUCAUCUAUGCCUGCAACUGAAUCAAACCCACAUAUCAAAGAGGCGUCCCUCGGAAGGAAGCAUGACAACAUCUAAGCAUCUAAAAGCGCGGGCCUGGCUCCACUAAGGAAUCAUCGUGAGGAUAGCGAAUAUAUCAUCAUCUCUACAUACAUCUCGCAAAUAAGGAUAAGCACGCAACUCCCUCAUGAUCUGUAAAUCUCAUCUGGACGGAAAUAUGCCCCUGUAUGGCAUCUGAUUCGUGCCCAAUUGGUGUCUCAGCUGAUUCGUGUCCAGCUGGUGCUCCUUGAUUGAGGGAGUAAUCAACAAAAUUUAUAACCUAUAACACCAUACACUAGGGUAGCAAAGAAAAAGCUACUAUAGUAUAGCGGCUCUAGAAUCGUUCACUGGGAAGGAUUAACAAGCUAUCAAUGAUACCAAUUCAAAGUGAAUUGGUCUUGUUUCAUUUCAAGGUUAGCUUAAGAAAUAAAACACAAACUUUGAUUGGCAAAGGUUUAGACUUAAACUAACUAACACAACAAGUAAUAGGAAUAACUUAGGAAGAAAAACAUUCCUUGGAGAGUUAGGUUCACUAGGGUGGUUCCUCAUGCAAAAGACAUAGCUCCGGUCAGAUGGUUCAUUUCCUCGCGUUAGAGAUUCAACAUAUAGUCAAUUCUCUAACCGGUGUUGUACAGAUACAUCCUUCAAUUAGAUUUCACUUUAAUUCUCUCACUGAUGCAACUUGCAAUGGCUUAAGCCUCUCACUAAGCCUUAACCAUUCAAGGUGAUCUUUAACCUUGGAUUACUCGUCAAAAGCUCGCAAGAAAUAACUAAUGGAUGUCUCCUUGGAGUCCAAAAGCUUACCAAGUGUUGGCUAUUCUAGAAAAUCCUACCCUAAAGUCACCUCCCAGAGGCUCGCAAGGGGUAAACUAGAGCAUUUCCAUGGUUGGAAAUCACUUGCCUUACCAAGUGUUGGCCCAGGUGACUCUAAGGUGUUUUAAGUUAACUAAAAACAUAGAAAUCACUAAAGGAUUUCACUUCCUCUUCAUUACUGACUAAAACCACAAAGCUUUUCAUUCUUGCACUUGGAACCUUCCUCGACAACCUUAGCUCCAAGGAAUUAGAGGUUUAGUUACUCAUUCUCUGGGGAAAACUCCUCAGAGAGUUCAUAACUUCGUAAUAAAUAAUAAAUACGAAGUGAGAAGGUAAGGCAAUACAAAGAACUAAACUUUACUUGCUUACCCAAAACUUUACAAAAGGAUCUCUUCUCCAAGAACAUGCUCCCGAGAGGUAUAUAUAUGAACAUAAUAUAAAACUAAUUAUUACAUAGAUAUUUUCUCUUUUUUACUAACUUAAAAGCUAAGGAAUCUUGUAAUUGGUGGCUUGCAAGGAGUAUUUUGGGAUUUAAACAACAAAAAUCUGAUGUAAAAUAUCUCCCAAUGUCGGUAGCAAAUAUCGGGAGGCUCCAAGAACCAUUUCGCAUGAGAAAAUGGUGUCUACGAGAUUUCGCAGACACUCAAGAAGGGCUGCGAAAUCAUUUCGCAACAACAAGCUAUUCUCGCAGGGCUACGAAGUUGGCUUCCACCUUGAGGUUCCCAGCUUCCCUCUCGCGGCAUAUGUCGGGUAUCUUCAGGAGGAAAUACACCACACUGUACAAAAAGGCUGCGGAAUCACUUCGCAACAAAAGGGUGAUUUCGCAACACUUUGGAAAAUGCUUCCUUCAACUGGGAGUGAUUGGCUUGCAAUGGCUGCAACUUCUUCGUUUCAACUCCAAAUUGUGCACCAUUUGAAGCAUUGGAUUGUUGACUUCCUAAGCUUUGAAAUGGUGUAUAGCAUGCAUCAAUUGGACUUCAUAAACUCUCCAAAAGUGGCUGCUACGACUGUCAUCAAGAAUAUGCUUCAUGGCAGAUUCUCUUUACUUUUUCUCCUUGCAUUCCGGAUUUACUCUUGGCAAAUGACUUCUAAGCUUUACCCAAGAUUCCUCAUAACUCUCCUCAAUCUUGACUUGCUUUGGUGAUCAAAUUACUAACAAAAACACCAAAACUUACACAAAGUGAUUAAAAUUGCUUUCAAGGGUCCUUAACAUGCCAAUUGAGUUAAAAGGUCAAAACUACUACUCAAAAGUGUUUAAAAUGAUUAAUUAUAAGCUAUCAAAUAACACUUUUUGAGUAGUAAUCAACAUCGAAUGUGUGAUAAACCAGAAAAGGCCAAGUGUCAUCAAAUCAUCCUCCGUCAAAUGCACGAUCCCGAUAAUCCAAACACAACUGAAACGAAUCUAACCAUCAGAAAGACGUCUCCCAGAAGAAGAAGCAUGACAAUAUCUAAAAAGCAACCAGAUCUCAAACACCUGUCCAAGCAGAGGCUGUCGAAGACGACAUCUGAUCCCAUGGCCUCAGGGUGGUCUUAAGACACGGGACGUAACGUAGGCUAGGGUGAUAGGGUGAUAGAAAUGAAGGGAAACUAGUCCCAAAUACCCAAUGGUGCCUAAUGUGAACAUAGUGUAAAUGAGGAGACAAAUGAAGCAAAUCAAACUGAUAGUGAGAUGUGUGAUGAUGAUGUGAAGGAAGUAUCAAACCCAAGAUGGGUCACUGUAGGAAAAGAAUGAGAGGUGAAGUGAGAAUAAUGAAUCAGAAACGAAAACGAGGAUGAUGAUAAUGAAGCAAAUAACACCAAAAGGAGUAAUGAUCGACUCGGAUCAAACAUGGAGUGAAGUCACGUCAACUACGAACACGAUGAUGGAAUGGACAAUGAGCCAAAGCUCCUAAGAGAAGGUCACUCAUCCCGUUCACAAGAUAUACGACAAAAUGAAUACAAAGCCUGAGGGAUCCCGGGAAGCUCACAUACGAACUCCCAUCAACAAACAUGCUCGAUCAAGUGACCCUCGAAUAUCAAUACAUACUCAGUGAUAGAUAACAAUACACACAUGCUUUUAUUUCUUUUUCCUUUUUUUUUUUACAACAUAUAAAUGAACUGUACAUGCUCUCUGAACGCAUACAAAGAAGACUCAAAAACGGGAUUAAAAAUGAAUAAACAUGCUCUCAAAUAUCAAUAUAUCACAAACUCUCCCUGAUGAGGUGACCUUCUCAAACUGAGGAUCCUUGGAUCAGUGUCCAUAGGAUAGAUAGUGGAAAUGACAUGACUACCCUCCAUGUAAUGAACUGAGGAUGAUCAUCCUUCAGGAUGAAAGAAGAUGAUGUGAAACGAACAGUAGAUAGGAUAGGAUGAUGAGAUGAAUAACACAAACAGUGAGAUGAGAUGAAAUGCAAUGAUGUAGUGAUGAGAACAGAUAGUGAGAAGAAAUGCGCCCCUAUGUCUAAGGCUCAUGGAACUCUCAAACAAUGCAUGCACACACUAAAGGGCCCCGAUCCCGAUAUGAAAGUGCGAGCAAUUCAAUGAGAAAGAAAAGCUAUAAUGCGUGUGUGAGGCUCAAGUGGGGUAGCAAACGGACUGUAUAUAUCAGAAGGGGGAUAAAGGGAUAUAGCUAACCGAAAUGAUGGCCACCCAUCCUGCGACCAUGGACUCAAACAUAGUACCUCUUUAGCUGAUCCACGUUGGUCGACUCUGAGAAUUGGUUUCCAUCUAAAUCCAUCAACCAUGCAGCGCCCUCUGGAGACAACUCUCUGAUGAAGUAAGGUCCGCUCCAAUUGGGUCUGAACUUCCCUCUAGGAUCUCUGAUCAAUCCUCUGAUGGCUCUCAAAACUAAGUCACCUACAUGUAGUGGUUUGGGCUUGACCCGCUUUUUGAAAGCACGGGCCAUCUUCCUCUGAUAUGCACGGACGUGAUCUGCCCCCCUCAAUCUCUUCUCAUUUAGGAUAUUGAGCUGAUCAAAUCGAGCCUGAGCCCAAUCCAUCUCGGGAAUCUGCUGCUCUAGUGCUACUCUCAAUGAUCCCAUCUCAAUCUCAACAGGUAGCACUGCCUCCAUGUCGUACACUAAGGAAUAAGGUGUGGCUCCUUUAGAGGUACGAAAAGAGGUCCUGUAAGCCCAUAGUGUGAAAGGAAGCUUCUCGGACCAACCCCGAGAAGUCUCAACCAUCCUUCGCAAAAUCCUCUUGAUAUUCCUAUUCGCGGCCUCUACUGCCCCAUUCAUCUGCGGCCUGUAUGCAGACGACCUAUGAUGCCGGAUGCCAUAUCGCCGUACUAAGGCAUCAACCUCUGCUCUGAAAUGUACACCUCUAUCUGAAAUAAGCUCGUGAGGGACUCCAUAGCGACAAAUGAUAUGUGAUAUGAUGAAUCUGGCAACUCCAGCUGAUGUCAAUCUCGCAUAUGAGGCGGCCUCCACCCACUUGGUAAAGUAAUCAAUACCGACAAGGAUAAACUCAUGACCACUGGAAGAUUUCGGUGAAAUAUUCCCGAUGAUAUCGAUACCCCACACUGAAAACGGCCAUGGUGAAGUCAAUGCAUGCAACUCCGAGGGCGGCACGUGAAUGAGAUCUCCAUGUAUCUGACACUCGGGACAUCUCUGAACAAACUGGCAGCAAUCCGUCUCCAUGGUCAACCAGAAGUAACCAUUCAUCAUGAUCUUACGAGCCAACAUAUGUCCUUCUAUAUGUGGUCCGCAGACUCCCGCAUGAACCUCUCUCAUCACUCGAUCGGCAGAGGCGCGGUCCAAACACAAUAAUAGCAUCCCGUCAGGAGAUCGCCUGUACAGUGUCUCGCCACAGAUCACGAAUUGAGCAGCCAAUUGUCUCAAUGCUCUCUUAUCCUUGACCGUGGUUGCCUCAGGAUAUAUGCUAAGUCUCAAAAAGUGAUAUAUGUCGUGAUACCAUGGCAAACCAUCAUAUGGCUCUACAUCAUCAAUCAAGCAACAGUAAGCAGGAGCAGAUCUCGACUCGAUCAGCAAAGGUCGAACAGUGGCGUCAACAGGAAUAUCAAUCAUGGAAGCUAGAGUAGUUAAGGCAUCAGCAAACUGGUUCUGCGCUCUAGGCAGAUGUGUGUAUCUCAAAUCCUUGAAUUUCGCGACCAGUAACUCCAAAUAUGCGUGAUAAGGCCUAAGCUUCGCAUCUCUAGUCUUCCACUCGCCCUGAAUUUGUCUAAAUACCAAAUUGGAGUCACCAAACACCUCCAUCUGUCCAAUCCCGAGCUCAAGGGCCGUCUUCAAUCCUAGAAUACAAGCCUCAUACUCAACGAUAUUGUUCGUGGCCGGAUGUCGAUCCGAGAAUGUCAAACGAAUAGAUCUGGGAAUGUGAUCACCAUGAGGGGAUAUCAAUAAGACACUUAUCCCGUACCCAGAAUGGUUGGUUGUACCAUCAAAGUACAUGCGCCAACCUGACAGACUAGUCACAACUGCAACAUCCUCGUUUGGAAAAUCAUCGUCACUGGCAUCAGAAACUGGUAAUGAGGCUAGGUAAUCUGCGACAAUGCUCCCUCUAAUGGAUUUCUGAUUGACAUAAUGGAUGUCAAACUCAGUCAGAAGCACCAGCCAUCUCAUAAGGCGACCAACUAGAGCGGGUCUAUCAAACAAAUAUCUCAAAGGAUCUAGUUGGGAUAUCAAAUGCACUGAAUACUUUGUCAUGUAAUGUCUCAAUCGGCGAGUAGCCCAAACCAAUGCCAAGCAGUAACGCUCAAUCAUGACAUAUCUCGUCUCGUAGUCUAGCAUCCUCUUACUCAGAUAAUAAAUGGCCCGGUCUUUACCCGAAUCAUCGAGCUAAGCUAACAUACAUCCCAAAGCCACGUCUGAGAUUGAUAAGUAUAGGAAUAGAGGGCGGCUCGGUGUAGGAGGCGCUAAGACUGGAGGUGACAACAAGUACUCCCUGAUCCUCUCGAAUGCAUGCUGACACUGAUCACCCCAAACAGUAGGUUGACUCUUCCUCAAGAGUCGAAAAAUGGGCUCACAGAUGUCUGUCAAUCUGGCGAUGAAUCUUCUGCUGUACUGAAGUCUGCCCAAGAAGCCUUUGACCUCUCUCUCUGUCCUCGGUGCAGGUAUGUCAAGGAUGGCUCUAAUCUUGUCCAGAUCUACCUCUAUGCCUCUCUCACUGACCAUAUACCCCAAGAGUUUCCCAGAAGUCACUUCGAAAGUGCACUUCUUGGGGUUCAGUCUCAAUUUGAACUGCCGGAUCCUAUUAAAGAACCUCUCUAGAGCUGCUAGGUGAUCUGAUCUACCUCGGGAUUUCACUAUCAUGUCAUCUACAUAAACCUCGACAUCCCGAUGCAUCAUGUCAUGGAAGAAGGUGGUCGCUGCCCUCUAAUAGGUGGCUCCUGCGUUUUUCAAUCCGAAUGGCAUGACUCUAUAGCAAUAAGUGCCCCACUCGGUAAUGAAGGACGUCUUUUCCAUGUCAUUUGGAGCCAUCAAGAUCUGACUGUACCCGGAAAAUCCGUCCAUAAAGGACAACAUUGAAUGACCUGUCGUACUAUCAACUAGCAUGUCGAUGUGUGGAAGAGGAAAAUCAUCCUUAGGACUAGCCUUGUUGAGAUCUUUGAAAUCAACGCAAACUCUCACCUUGCCGCCCUUUUUGGGAACAGGGACGACAUUGGCCAGCCACUCCGGGUACUCAACCACUGAUAAGAAUCCUACACUAAGCUGCUUCUGGAUUUCCUUUUUAACCUCCAGGCUCCAACGAGGAUGCAAUUGCCUCAACUUCUGCUUAACCGGUUUGGCAUGGGGCAGAAGCAGCAAACGAUGCUGGACGAUAGACGGAUCAAGGCCCGGCAUGUCCUCAUAGGACCAUGCAAAGACAUCCAAGUAUGCUCUGAGCAACUGGAUGAGGCUGUCCCUCUCAUCUAUAGAUAAAUCUGAUCCGAUCCGCAACUCUCUAGGUUGAUCUGCUGUGCCAAAAUCAAUAAUCUUCGUGUCCCCUACAGCGGGUGAAACUCUCCUAUCAACGAGAUCCGAAUCGGAAGCAGAAGACGAGUCAUCGUCAGAAUCGUGCUGUGCAAUCUCAUCAUCAAUGUCAAAAAUCUGUGAUGUGGGUGAAGAUGGUGUAGAUAGAUCAAUAACAUUAGAGAUAGGCAAAUACUCAAAGAUGCUCAAAUCCAUAGAUGAAACAUCGGAAACAAUGUCAGAACGGGAGACGAACCCCGAUAGAACGUCAAAUAAAAGAGGUGGGUCCACAAAGUCGGACGCUCCCUCGAUAAUGCCAACAUGGCUAUCAAACAAAUCAUAAAAAACUAUGAUGUCCUCAGCAGACUCUAAAGCAGAAGCAGUCAGGAUCUCCUCGGAAAGCUCGAUAGUGGACACCCCAAAAGGGUCAAAUAAUGAAGCAAGCCCUGGUUGAACAGUCUCCUCAAUCUGGCUCAAGCUUAGUGCGAGCAUCUCGUCAAUAUACUCGUCAUGUGGUGCGGCUCUGUCUACCAUGUCACUGAUCUCGACAAAUGUCCCGUGAUCAUCGAUCUCAUCUGGGAAGCAAAGCGUCAUAAGGCUCGUGCGAUCCGAAGAGGAAGGAGCAAUCAACACAGAAGUCGAAGGACCAGGGGCUCCGUCUCUCAAUCGUAGCUGCUGGAUAAGGCGCUGAAGCUCGGCCUUCUGGGUGGUGCUAAGUCCUCUGAUGAUCCCAUCAGAUGGUGUGUGCGGCUCCGAUGCCCUCAAGAAGUAAUCUGCUAGGCUCCUAGUGUACAGACGCAUGGGAUAAUAGAAAGGAGUAUGAGUCAGUCGAGUCCUCACUCUCUCCUUGCGCAAGCGCACCAUAUAUCGGUAGUCAGCCUCGGUGGGGAUGAACCCGAGCCCAAAUGGUACGUCAUGAUCAGGAAUGGCGAUGAACUCGCUCGGUCCAUGCUGACGUCGACCCAAUCCCAUGCCGGGAAGAUAAGACAUGCUCCGCAUAAUAUCGAGCACCACUAUGCUGCCGUGCUGGUCAAAUGACAUAGCUACAAAGUCUCGGCAAAAGUCCUCCAUCUCAAGGGUCUGCACCUCGUCAAAAGUGAACCCGAUCAGCAAUAAGUCAUCGUCACUAUGGCUGAUCUGGAGCACGGGCUCAACAGAAAUGAACAUGUGCCCUGUCGACUAUACGGUGACUACCUGGCCCUCAUGGAUGAAUUGCACUUUCUGAUGAAGUGAAAAAGGGAUGGCCCCGGCUCGGUGAAUCCAUGGUCGGCCCAAAAGUAGGUUAAAGGAUGUAGGAAUCCUCAAAACCUGAAAUACAGUGACAAAUGUGGUCGGACCUAUCAGGAGCUCAAUCUCCAAGGUACCCAUGACCUCUCUACGGGUACUGUCAUAAGCGCGAACGGUCUGAGUGGAGGGACCGAAAUCGUAUGGCGCAUAUCCAAGGGCAAUGGCAGUGGCAAGAGGGCAUACGUUCAAGGUCGAGCCAUUGUCCAAAAGGACAGAUGGGACUCGGUGGCCUGAACAGCCAACAGAUAUGUAGAAGGGACGAGUGUGGUCCGAGCCCUCCGAUGGCAAAUCGUCGCCCGAGAAUACGAUACAUGUGGCUCGGCCAGCUGUCAUCAUGUGAAUCAAACCCUUAGGAGUGGUGGUGGUCUCAACUCUGAUCUGGCUCAAGGCUCGAAUCAAUGCAUCUUGGUGAGUGCUCGAAGAUGCCAACAAACUCCAGAUAAAGAUACAAGCCUGAGUGCUUUGUAGCUGCCUCAAAAUCUCAUCAUCCUCUACUCGGACCUCCUCAGAAACAGAUGUACCCUCAACUGGCCUAGCUGCCGCGGGAGGUGGCUGUCGCAUCACUCUACCCCCUCGGAGAAUAUACUGGAUGUCCGGAGUCUGAGAAAUAUCAACAUGUGGAGCCCGAACCUCUUCAACAUCCGGGGCUAAAACGAACGGCGUCUGAACGCUAUAACGCAUGAAGGUCGGAGGCUCGACAAUGGACACAUGUACUGGGGCUGUCUCAGGAAAUAAUCUAAAAUGAGUGGGCACCUGAGGCUCCAAAGACAUGCUGCUCAUCUCAUAAAUAUCCCCCAACUCUAUGGGCUUCGGAUCCAUGUCAUCCCAGCUCAUCAUGCGGACAUGGUCAUCAGAAUCAACAAAGUCCAGGAAAUGAAUACCUCCGUCUGGUGGAGGAACUGCAUGCGUGGUAUGGGCUGGUAGUGGGUUUUAGGUUACACUUGGCUGACCCAAGUGAACCAAACCCUGAUCAAUCAAGUCCUGGAUGACAUGUCUCAGUGCGGUGCAUCGAUCAGUCUCAUGUCCUAGCCCCUAAUGAUAGGCACAACGCAGAUCCAUCCUGAAGUGAGGAGGUAGAGGCUGAAGGGGCGGUCUCGGAGUGAGUGCAGUCAGCAGAUCGGCCUCUGUGAGCUUCCGAAGAGCCUGGCUCAACGGCAUGCCUAUCUGUGAAAACUGUCUCUGCGUCCUCAAAGCAAAGGGUGUAGAGGUCUGCUGAGAUCGAGGCCUGGGGUAUGAAGGUGCGGGCCUCGGAGUGAACUGUUCAGUGUAGCACGGCUGUCCAGUGGCCGUGUAUGAAACAGGAGGCCUCUCAAUGCCCUGAGUGGCAUAGUAAGGUAGAGCCAAUGGUUGAGCCUGAUAUGUCUGAUCAAAAGUCGGGCAAGGUGCCUGUGGCCUGAACUGUUAAGGUGUGUAAGACGAAUGAGUCUCGAGGAGCUGUGGGAUCGGCUGAUGACGCCUAGGAGGCCUCUGACUGGAUGAACUGAUAACACUAACAUCUAUCGUCCUCCGUCCUACGAAUGGUUUCUUCCCCUUAACAUCACUAGGGGAAGAAUCUACCCAUAAACCUCUCGAGAUGACGUCCUCGACAUCAUACAAAGUCAUAACCAGAUACCCAAAAUCUGUGAACGAGACCCCGACCACAUGUCUGGCAAUCACCGGCUGUAGACUCCUCAAAGCCAUCUGAAUCUGGUCUCUCUCUGAUGGUCUAUCCACUAUCUCAGCUAUCUUCCCGCGCUAGCGGGAAAUGAAAGAAGAAACAGACUCCUCUGCCCUCUGUCUCAGAGCCUUGAGUUCUUUCCUCGAUACAUCUACGACAGUGUUAAGCGAAAACUGUCAUAGGAACUCCUGGGCCAAGUCAUCCCAUGUGCGGCGUCUUGAGGACUCCAGAGACGCAAACCAACGCUGAGCCGCCCCACUCAGAGAUAGGGGGAAAAAAGUGAUCAUUUGAGGCUCGUCUAGUCCAUGAGCCCUCAUCACGGUGCUGUACAGUCAGAGAUGGAUGCGUGGACAACCAAUGCCUAUAUACCUCUCAAUAUCCGGCAUCCUGAACUUAGCUGGCAAGCUGGCUACCGGCACUCCAUCAAAACCCUCCCAAGUAAUGGCUCUGUUUGAAGUCCUCAACUGCCUCAAACCCUACUCAAGCCUAUCCAGGCGAGCAUGUGGAUCCUCUGAGGUCGGGGUAGACAUGGUGAUGGGAGGCGGGGCAACCUCGGUCUGACUAUGCAGAGUGAACGGCAUGGCCUGUCGCGCUGACUGACUGGGUGGAGGGGGUGGUGGCACUGUAGGGUCAUACUGGGCGCCAUCUUGAGACGGGACCUGCUGGGCCUGCUGCCCAUCUAUCCUCUGGCCGAGGCUAGCCAAAGCCUCCUGGAUAGAAGCCAUGGCGGCCGUGAACUAAUCGACAGUGACGACCUGCUGAUCCAUAUCUGGUGUGUCUGAAACCCGAACUAAUCUGCCCUCAACUCUGACCCAAGAAGGUGUGUCCAGACUGCGAAUGAAAUCUGAUCCUGGCAAGGUGAGAAGCGGAAUGAGGAUACGGUAUAGGAAAAGUAUGAAAUGAAUGAUAGUCUGAACUGAAACGGGCAAAUGCAUCCAAGACGAAGACGAACUGUCCGACCAUACUCAAACUCAUAUCGAUCCCCAAGCACUCUCAACUGGAGACUAAAGAGAGGGAAAAUCGGAUCCGAACUGUAACUAAAGAGGCUCUGAAGGCCCUCAGAUACACCCACGUGUAGGGAGGGAGUCCUAAUCGGAGGAUCUAUGGCUCAACCUACAAGGUCAAGGUGACUCUAAAUGGAUAUGGGUGGACUUUAAAAGAUCCCUAGCAGAAGCGAUCUUACCCUCCGGCAGUACGCAACCCUCUGCACGCCUCCGAAGAGACGGGGCACUUCCAUGCAAGGUGGUCAUCACCUCCACACAUGCACUACCUCGCAUCCCAGGGGGCUUCCUAUGGUGAAACCUCUCACACUCUCAACACUCAAUAGUCAACUAAAGUGCACAGUGAACGGUGUGGGUACAUCCGAAAACCUUAAGAAGCUAAAACAUAAAAUGAAACACACUGGCCACACAAAUAUCCAUGAAACCUAGCUCCGGGCUAUACAGGUCUUCAAUGAUCGGACUCCAAUCGACAUCAAAGUGUCGCUCUCCUCCAGAAUGCUCCCGUGCAUCGGUAUAGCCCGUCGCUAGACCCUACUCCUAAUCUCUGGCUCGGUCAGAGAGCAAGCAAAUAGAAGGCCUCACACUUGCAAUAGUGAGAACCGGGAUGAAAGGAAUGACCGAAACUAAGAGAGUUGGAAGUAAGGGGAUAUAUGUGCGACCCACAUGGACAAGCAACAUGCAAUCAUGCAGAGGGAGGGCAAUCAUGCAUCAUACAGUCAAGCAGAGUACAAGAUAUAUCACUCAUGUCCACACAAAAAGCUACAACUAUCAGGAUGAAUAGCGAUAUGAACAUCAUGCUCAAAAGACGAUCAAGAUAAUAUGCAAGCCAGAGAAAAUAGCACAGCAAGUCAAAUGCUAUACACCAGUGAAUCCAUGCAUGUGAGGUGAACAGAACAAUCAUGGCAAAAUCAGAAUGACUACGCUAAGCAAUGCAAGAUGAUCAAUCAAUAUAAUCAGCAUGUCAAUGUACUCAACAAACAUGACAAUGAAGCACAGAAAAAUCAAAAUCCUCAAUGUGCAAUCAAGAUAUGAGCGUCCACUGAUCGUCCAAUUGAAUACCACGUUUGCUUCAUUCUAAGUUCAAGUUUGACCCUCUAAACAUCCCCAGCGGAGUCGCCAUUUUGUGGACCCCGCAUUUCGGCUCAAUGCGUUUCCCACUCGAUAGUGAGCUCGAUUUUUAUUUUGAAAAAGGAUGAUUUAAUCGGUUAAAAAAAAACUGACUUAGAGUCGCCACUUAUUUUUGUUUUAUUUUUAAGGGUAAACAAAAUAAGAAAGAAAAACCCUAAGUGUGACUCCUUGUUUUGGAAAAUGUCAGUCUACGAAAAAACAGAUCGGGUUCGGGGGUCAGGUUACUUAUCAGGAAGGUACGAUAUGAACCGUAGCACCCCUCUAAGCCCCUAAAAUGGGUCUCUACUAAUAAAAUGAAGCAGUCAUGACAAUUAAUUAGGAAAUCAAUGAAUACCCGGAACUAUCAUGCACAUAUGAGAAUCAGAGUAUGUAUAGUGAAUUAUCAGAAUGAGUGAAUGCGUACCUGGGCAACAAACAGCAACGCGCUAUCAUAAAAUGAGGUUAGUGAAUAAACACAAAAUGGUUAUAUGCAUAUCAUGGAACAUAGCAAAUCAAUCAAUCAAUCAAUUAGUCAUGAAUUCACAUAUGUAGGGCCCCCAUCAAAGCCCAUUUUAUCUUGCCUGAAUCAAUUCCGAUGGAAUUAUGGAAUUUGAUUCCUUGCUUAUUUCAAAACAUUUUAAAAACAGAGGAGGUAUGAAAAUUACUUGCCAGAAAUAAAAGCGGCGGCGAAGUGUUAUUGAAAAUGUGAUUUUGGAACCUAAAGAAACUCUAAGGAUGAAGUAUGAGACAAUUGGGAUUAUUUGAGUACCAAGAUUUAAAAGAAUUUACAAUAUGGGAUUCGGAUGAGAUAUCCGGGGAAGGCGGAACGUAGGCCAGAUGGAAUUCCGGAUGUGAGGUAUCCAGAGAAGGUGGAAUGUCGGCAGACAGAAUUCCGGGUGCGAGAUGUCCGGGUGGAAUGUUGGGGGGGGGGGGGGGGGGGAGGAAUUCCGGAUGCGAUGCGUUCGGAUGGAAUGGCGGUAGGAGGAAUCUCCGGAUGCGGGGGACGUCCAGGUGGAAUGGCAGCAGGAAGAAUUCCGGAUGCUGGGGCGUCCGGGUGGAAUGUUGGCGGAGGAGAAUUUCUGGAUGCGUAGGGCGUCCGGAUGGAAUGGCAGGAGGCAUGCUGAGUGCGAUGUGUCAGGAUGGAAUGGCAACGGGGGAAUUCCGAAUGCGAUAUGCGUCCAGGUGGAGUGUUGGCGGAGGAGAAAUUCCGGAUGCGAUGGGCGUCUGGGUGGAAUGGCGGCGGGAGGAAUCCUAGAUGCGAUGCGUCCGGAUGGAAUGAACAUGGUUGUGAGUAGCAUGAAGGAUGGGUAUGAACUGUAUGGACAUGGGGGCUUGGGUGAGUGGUUUUAAUGGGUAUGCGAAGGAGUGAAGGAUGGCAUGCACCCGUGAGACUCCAUGUAAGCGGGGGAGUGGGAUGGAGAAUGAAUGAGAGGCGGAUGGGUGUGGUGGAGGUGUAAACCCUCAAUUUUGUCCCUCGACACUGGCAUUUAUCCUUCGGGUGUCACAUCCACCCAUUGUUCGCAUAUGGCACCACUAGGGCCCCUUUUGGGCUUAGUCGAUGUCCGAGCCUUGUGUGGGUUUGUCUGUGGUCCAUUGUGGUGCAUAUGUGGUUCAUUUUGGAGGGUCACCCUGGCCAUUUUCCUAGUCGUUCACAUCACGCUAUAGGAAGGAAGUGGGGUCAUCCUGAUGUCUUAGCUUAGUUGGAGUUUAUAGGGGCAUGUUGAGGUUCGGAGCACUCGGGCUUGUUUUGAUCGUAUCUCCCUCAUCCAAACUCAGAAUCAAAAACCGUUUCUUUUUAUGGAUUCCUUAUUCUUCCAGGAACAUUCUGUAAAAUUUUCAAAAUUUUUUGCAACCGGUCGGCUGGUUGGCAGCCGGUUCAUCGAGUCAACCGGUGUAGAACACUGAUUUUUGGUAAUUGUUUUGAUCAUAUCUCCCUCUUUCGAACUUGGAAUCACAUACCGUUUUUUUUAAUGGAUUCCUUGCUCUACUAGGAACAUUUUGUCAAAUUUUCAGAAUUUUUUUCCAUCGGUUCGACCAGUUGGCAUCCGGUUCGGCCGGUUCAGCCGGUUCAUUGAGUUAGCUGAGGUAAAACACUAAUUCUAGUAAUUUUGAGGCCCAAAUCCUACAUGGCUCAGGCCCAUAAGCUCCAGAUCAGUUUUGGGCAAUGUUGUGGGUCCAUUUUAGGCCUUGGUUUGGGUUCCUUGCAGCCCACCAUGAAUCCAUAUGGAUUCUUGGUGGUGAAGCAAGCUGAAAAAACUGAAGGGAGUGAGCUGGCCUUGUAAGUCUAAGAGAAGUAAUGAGGGGUGUGGUUCCCAUGCUGAUGAAGGGAAUUUCGGUGCUGAAGGGGAAGGAACCCAGGAGGCUCAAAUGCUAAGAGGGGUAUGAGUAUAAAAGGUGAGAGGAUAGGAGAGCAAAUGACCUUUGACAUUUUGGAGAGGGGAAAUUCUGCUGGUGAGAAAAACAAAAGGUCAGUAGCAUCUUCUGAGUUGAGAGUGUGGGGGAAGCUUCAGCACUGUGGUUUUUUUGAAAAGGAGAGUGACAGCCUCUCAGUUUAGGAAGUCAUCAUCGGCAUGCACGAAUCAUAUUUGGUGGAGAUUCUGAGGUAACCACGAUGAAUUUUCUUUACUUACAGUUUAUCUUCCUUGUCUUCAUAUGCUUUUUCUCCUUCCUCAUCAUCUUUUCUUCCCUUUGAUAUGAAGAUUGUAUUGAUUGGGUGUGGAUAAUAAAGGCCACACAUGAUUGUUAUUGUUUUCUUCCUUGAUCACUUAGGAACUUUCUGACCGAAUUAGGGAUUUUCUACCAACCGGCUGAACCGGUUUGGAACGGGUUGAACCGGUUUAGCACCAUAGCUGGCUGCCUCUGUCAGCCAUGAGGAACACCUGCCUUUCUUUGUCCGAUUCUCACUCAUCCGAGCUUGGAAUUGAGAACCGUUUCUUUGUUCGCUUCCUUAAUCACUUAGGAACUUCCUGACCGAAUUUGGGAUUUUCUACCAACCGGCUGAACUGGUUUGGAACCAGUUCAACCGGUUCAGCACCAUAGCUGGCUGCCUCUGUCAGCCAUGAGGAACACUUGCCUUUCUUUGUCUGGUUCUCACUCAUCCGAGCUUCGAAUUGAGAAUCGUUUCUUUUGUUUGCUUCCUUAAUCACUUAGGAACUUCCUGACCGAAUUUGGGAUUUUUUAUCAACCGGAUGGACCGGUUGAGAACCGGUUCAACUGGUUCAGCACCAUAGCUAGCAGCCUCUGUCAGUCAUGAGGAACACUUGCCUUUCUUUGUCUGGUUCUCACUCAUCCGGGCUCGGAAUUGAGAACCGUUUCUUUUGUUUGCUUCCUUAAUCACUUAGAAACUUACUGACCGAAUUUGGUAUUUUUUUAUCAACCGGAUGAACUGGUUGGGAACCGGUUCAAUCGGUUCAGCACCAUAGCUGGUUGCCUCUUUCAGCCAUAAGGAACACCUGCCUUUCUUUGUUUGGUUCUCACUCAUCCGGGCUCGGGAUUGAGUGUCGUUUCUUUUGUUUGAAUCCUCACUCAUUUAUGAGUUUUCUAGAAAAAAUUGGGAAUUCUUCUCAAUAGGUUGUACCAGUUGAGAACUAGUUAAACCUGUUCUGCUGGAGAACUUUAGGUAGCCCUCGAUUUUGGCAUUUUUCGAGCCCUUAUCCAUGGGGGCUCAAACCCAUUUGCUAUAGGGCACUUGUGAGCCAUCUUGAAGGUUUAAGUCAGUGUUUGAUUUCAGUUAGUAUGGGCAAUUUUGAAGUUAUGGGUGGUGUGGUCUAGAUGAGUCUAGUUCGAUUUGUAUGACAUUUGGGGAGUCCCUUACCUCAUUUCAACCAGCUAUCUUCCUUUUUGGCACAAGCUUUGAUGCUUGAUUUUGAAUACAUGUUGCGUGACUGACUCACCCUCUACUGCAGCGCUUGGCUAGGGACCACAGGAAUGCAUCGUUGGCUUUGGUUGUUGAAUUCAUAUGCAUGCAUGGUGCUUAAUCUUGAAUGUUUGUUAUGUGUUUACCUGUGUUUGGUUGACCUUUUAUGCAGCACUUGGCUAAGGACCACAGGUACGCACCCAUUGUUUUGUUUGGUUGAAUUCAUAUGCAUGCCAAAUACCAAUUAGGAUUGUGUGAUCCAUGACAUCUAUUUAGCCUAGGGUUUCAUUUGACCUUUGACCCAUAUGCUCCCACAUACCCAAUUCAUUAGUAGAGACCGAGUUUCAGGCCUAGAGGGGUGCUACCUCGCAUGAGGUACCUUUCCAACGGGUAACCUGAUCCCCGGACCCAGAAUCUAGUUUUCGUAGACUGCUUUUUCCAUACUGGGGUCAUUAGGGGUUUUUGUUCUUACUUAAUUUUCCCCAUUUUAAAAACAAAAAUAAAAAGUAAGUGGCGACUCCAAACAACACCGUUCCUCACCAGGGGCGGGUUUUUUUUCAAAACUGGAAAACACCAACUUUUUCAUUUCUUUCUUUUCUUUUAAAAGCGAGUCGCGUCGGUCCGGUGGAUCGGGUGAGGGUCCACAGGAGGAUGCUUGACUCCUGCAAGCUCGAGUGAGGAAAAUGGAUAUGACGACCUAGAGAGAGAGAGAGUGAUAGAUGAACGAUGGGUAUGUAGGCAUAUUGGAUAAAACGAUGAAUAACAAACGAAAAUAGGUAUGGAGAGGCUGAUGAGGUGAGCUUUGCCGCCAUGACAACUACCCCAGGUUUUCUAGGAUUUCUUUCGAGCAGGGAUGAGAAAUUGGACGCGUACCAUAAUGGACAUCAAGAAACAGGGGAAGUAGAGUAACAGAACGUAAAAGAAGAUGAAUAAAUAAAGGAAAAUCUCGAAAAAUCCACUUCAUGAAUCAUCCAUGAAUCUUCUGAGCAGGUGGGUAAACCAUAUCGGAUGCAGCCACCCUCAUGACUCUCAAGCAUUUCAUAACCACAACAGGAACAUAUCAAAUUAAAAUGAACAAUGGCAAACACGUUUGCAGGGUCAUACUUCAACAAGCAGACUGGUGGCCUUCAUUAUUCACCCUAAACAGCAUUAUGUUAUGGAAAAUCAGUGAAUAAUGAGAGACGAGGAGAAAACUGUGUACGUACCUGGUUCCUCAAGCAAAAAGAAAUCAAGUCUCAACUCUCUCAAUGGAGUUUCUCUCUACCGUCAAGAACUCUCCCCUGGCCAUGGAAGACCUUGCCGAGCAAAUCUCCUUUCUCUCGAAAAUCCCCCCUCUAGCCAACUCUUCCCUCACAAAACUUUCUUCCUUCUUUCCUUUCUUUUCUCUGCCUUUCUUUCUGGAUUUGCCUUCCCGACCAUCUCUGCCGCAGCCACCUUUUCUCUGCCCUUAUCCCCCUUCUACGACCACCUUUUCUCUGCUCCACUCCUUCUGCAGCCACCUUUUUAUGUUUUACUCCUUCUGCAGCCACCUUUUUGUCCCACUCCUUUUGCAGCUUCAAAAAGCGAGGUUGAUUCCUUAUAGCCACUAAGGAUGUGACACGUGGCCCGUUGGGAUAGUGACACCUGGGUAAAAAUGUGAUCUAAAAAAACAAAUAGAGAAGAAGUGACCCAUGCCUAAAUGGGGGUCUACAGAAAUAUUUUCGAAGAAAUUUAUUUCCCUCAAAUUACUAAAUAUCCUUUUGGUAAUAACCUUUAAUGACAAAUUGAGACCACCUUAUCCAAUUAUGAAACAUUUAAUUCUUCAAGGAUUCUCAAAAAUAAAUUUAAGAAAAAUAUUUCAAAUUCUUAAGAAUAAAAUUAAAAAGGAACUUUAGCUCUCAUAUUCAAAAUUCCUUAUAAAUUUAAUUUCCUUAUCCCUACCCCUUUCCAAUUUAAUAAAUAUUCUUAAAUAUGAAAACUAAUUUUCAUAAUAAUUUAUUUCAUUAAAAUUACCAAAAACUAAACUUUUAGUAAUUCCUUUAAUGAUAAAGUAUUCAUCUUGAAAUUUUCCAAAAACAAUUAUUUAUUGUCCAAAUUAAGGAUUAGUGUAAUAAAAAAGUUUCCAAAAACUUGAAAAAUAAAAACUAAAGAGCACUUCAUCCAAAAGGGAACUGUGAGGAUUCUUAUCAAAAUAAUUUUAAAGAAAAUAAUUUAGAAUCCUUUGGAAUAAUUUAGAAAAUGAAACUUUGCUCUCUAAUUUAUUUUCACAAGUUUUAUUUUCUUAAUCUAUACUAUUUCAAAAUUAAGUAAAUAACAUGCUAUGGAAUAUAAUUUUCAAGAAAAUUUAUAUCCAUUAAAAUUACUAAGAGUUUCAUACAAUUUUCGUAAAAAAACUUUCAAUAAUUUUGGUGACCUUCUUAAAAUAAAUAAGAGAAUCUCCGCUUAAUUUAGAAACUUACAUCCUGAAAAUAAAAAUAAAAAUAAAAAUAAAAAUAAAAGAUCUUUUAAGGAUUUUCAGAAAAGGAAACUAGAUUGUCUCACAAUUUUUAAUUUUUUUUUUACAAAAAAUCAUUCCAUGUAAAAAUUCCUUAAUAGUAGCACCCUUCUAAUUUUGAAUAAAACUUGAUUUAGAAAUAACUUGCUCAUGAAAAUUUAUUUUCCAUAAGAAAAUCCAAAAUUAGUAACUUUGGAAGCACUUGCAAUAUUUUUCACAUGCAAUAUAACGAUAUGCAUCAAAAAGGAAAUAUUCCAAAGGAGAUCUCAUGGCCAAGGGAUAUUUUUCACAACUUACCAAUUGUGAAUCAAACUUAAUUGUCUUCAACUUAACAUUAAUACUUGGAUUCAAAACUUAACAAAAGAAGCUCUUGUAUAGCUUCCAUAAUUCAGCAACUUUCAAGCCCAACAAGUGGCCCUAAAGAUGAGCCUAAAAAAGCAAAAAAGAAUUGGACCCGUAUGCAAUCCCAUUACAACAUACCCUCUAUGCAGCUUUCCUUCAAACAACCAUAUCUCCGUCAUUUCAACUCCGAAUCGUGAACCGGUUAUGGCAUUCGAUUCCUGACUUCCUAAGCUUUUCUCAUUGCGCUUUUCUGUCAUUGAUGCGUCCAUGGCUUCCUAACUGAUGGUACCGAAUCAAGAGAAGGAGAACUUUGUUAUCUGACAACAUGCUUCAGCUUUAGGGCAUAUACUUAUGCAGGAGUUCAUAACCGGACCUAGGUUUCUUUCCAUAUGACCCCUAGAUUUGAAUGAGAGCCAAGGGUAAAGGAAAACCACAACAAAGGAACAUCCCAAAAACACGGCAUCACACAAACCCAAGAAUCACAAAAAUAGGUCUCAUCCCAUAUUGACAUCAAUGAGUUCAUGAGUAAAUAAGGAACUUAGGUGGGCACAAGACCAAAAACAUUAAUCUGAGCAUAUCACUAGACAGCUAAAAUAAAGUUAAGCCACACUUAAACAAGACCACAGAAAGAGCAACAUGCUUCAUCUAGGCAGAGCACAACAAUCUAGAGAGACAAUAGAAAUGGACAUAUAACCAAUAAUACCCAUGUUUAAGCAACGGGUGUGAGCCAGAAACAAUAAGAAAUGCAAAUAAAGUUAAAAAGUAAGGAAGAAGAAAAAUGAAAAAUACAGAGUGUUCAUACCUGGGAGGUUCUCUUCUCAAACAAAACUUCUCUCUAGCCUUCUCUCCGUGAACUUCUCUUUUUACUCUCUACUCUCCUUCCUCACAGCUCCAUUCAUUCAUUCUGAGGCUCCUCCCCUGGUUCACUCUCAAGUCCUCUUCGGGAAAAAAAAAACCCUCCCCCUCAAAGCUCUUUGCCACCUCCAAAAAAAAUUGUCUCCUUCCCCUGUUUUUUUUUUUUCUUCUCCCGCAAGCCAUUGUCUGCUCCACUGUUCCCAGCUCAGCAAGCCUCCAUCCAUCAUCUCUUGGUCCAACCACCACCAUGGAGAUGGUUACCCACUCCACCACAUGUCCCAUGCAGCUUAUUCAUCUCCAAGACCGUCCCAGCUCUUUCCCCACCCAAAAGAAAGCCUCUCCCCCCUAUUUUUAAAGGGGUCUACAGGUUCAUUUUUUCAAAAAUUAAAAUAUUUUUUUGGAGAAAUAAAAAUGAGAACAUGUUUUUGUGUUUAUUGUUUCAAAAAUAAAUUUUUGAAAAUAAAAAGAAUGAUUGAAAAUGAAGUAGUAUACUAAUUAUGAUUGUGACUCCUUUUUUAUUUAUUAUGUCUAUAAAUUCAUUGUUUUAGUUAGAGUUCAAUAAAAACUUAACUAAAAGUUUGAACAAAUAAUAAAAUUGUAGUUUAGAUUAUUUAUUUAUUUAUUUUUGAGAAUUUUGUUAACUCAUAACUCUUGGCGUCCCUAAUUGGAAUCAACAAGGACUUUUUUAAUACUAUUUUUUUUUUCUUUUGAGAAUUUGGGAUGCAAAUUUACUCCAUUAAUUUGGUUUAGGAUUUUGUAUUUUGUAUUUUAUUUUAUUUUUAUUUUUUUUGUGAUUUACACUCAUUUUCAACAUUCAAGUUUUUUGCAUAAUUAACUUGAGAUUCAACAAAUAAGUAUAACCAAAUUGAUUGAUAAAAAUGACCCAAAAGGCAUAAGUUUUCACAUGGAAAUUGAAAAUAAAAAUUUGAAAAUGAAUUUAAAUUUAGAAUUUAAAAAAGGAAAAUCUUUCAAAUCUCUUUUAAUUUUAAAAAAUAUUUUUAAAGUUUAAAAAAGAAAAUCUUUCAUUUCUAACAUUUUUUUUUCUUUUUUAUUUUUUAUUUUUGGGUAAAAUAUCAUUUAUAAAUUGAGCCAAGCCCACUAGGAUUUCUCUAAUAUAAAUAUCUCUUAGUUCUUAGAGAGUUUUCAAAGAUCACCCCCUAAACUUAAGCCAUUAUUCUUUGUGUUCAAUAAAAAACUUUCAAAGCAUUUUAAAUUUGUUUGUUGAGUUUGUGCUUUUGCAUCAGGAACAUGUUUGGGAUAUAAGUCUAUGAGAAUAAUAAUUGCUAGAUAACACUAUGUACUUAUUCUUCAAAUUUAGGGAAUUUUAAAUUUAUGGUCUUUGACCUUGUGGCUUUUAUAUCAUAGUCUCAAGAGGUUUUAUGAGUGAUUUUCCAUGUAAUCUCAUGUAUUUCCAAAUGAUUCUUUGUUUUAAUUUAUUCUUUAUAUCCUAAUCAAAGAACAUAUACAAACUAAAAAUUGGCAUACAUUGGCUUGAAGUCAAGAAGACUAUCUAUUCACUCCCUUCGAGGUGAUUGUGUGACACAAAAUAUGAAUAAAAUUGAUUGAGAACUAAGGGACUUAUAUUUAAAAAUUUUAUCCAUUCACUCUUAAAAAUUAUGUAUGUUCUUGAAGUGUCAACACUUAACCUAUGCUUCAUUCUUGAAAAACUUACGGAGAAAUACAACGAAAAGAAAAGAAAAUAAUAAGGAAAAAUAAAACAAAAGAAAAAGUAAAAAAAAUGUAUAUAUAUAUAAAGAUAAUGAAUUAUUUUUGUCACUUUAGAUCUAUUUUACCUAUUUUAACUCUUUUAUAUAAUGACUAAAUAAUUUGAAAAUAUAUAGUUUUCUCAUAAAUUUUAAUUAUAAUUCAUUUUCUUUCAUACUUUAAUUUUCAUUGAGAAUAUUUUCCUUUUUCUUUUUUAAGCACUUCCCUGAGAUCAAACAUUGCAUAAAAAAAAUCUCUUAGAGGUUUUUAUGGCCUUUGGAAAUGGAUAUUCAAUCGGCAAGAGUUGAAUAUAGCAUUCUGAAAUCCAUGAAGGUUUUCAUUUGGUUCUUUUAAUAUAUAUGUACAACAAUAUCAUUAUUUUUCACACAUGUUUUAGGGAAACUUAUGAAUACGGCCCCUUGAUUCCUUUAUAUAUAGUUAACAAUAUCGAUAUAUGUAUUUAGUGUUUAAGUUUAUUUUUUUUAGUUUUAAUUAUAUUUUUCAUAUUUUUAUUUUGUUGUUGGCCAUAAUUAAUAAAAAUUUAAUAAGUUUUAAUGAAAUUCAAAGUAAUCUCAAUAAUGUUCCACAUCUGCUUUCCCUUCCAGCCAUUCAGUCUGCUUUCCCACGUCUUGGAUUUCAAUAAUUCUAAUGAACCAUCCCAUCAAUACUGAAGAUUCCAAGCUAUCUUAUUCAUAUAUACUUACCAAUCAAGUGCUUGAGUGAGGUACAGUUCUUGUUACCAGCUACAUGUCUACUGAUCACUCGGCCCCAAAUGCUAAUCCAGAGACAAAUCGCCCGACUCCAAAUUAUCACCCUAGCAUUUGGGGCAAUCGUUUCAUCAUGACCAACACACCUGAUGAUGAAGGUGAUUUUGUGAUAUCUGUAGUUUGCAUAACAAGAUCUUAACCAUCUAAAGAUUUUCUUAAUUUUUUUUUCUUGCAAUUUAUUGGUACAGAUAACUCUGGCCCAUGAAGAGCAGCAGUUGGAAGAUCUGAAGCAGGAAGUGAGAAGAGAGCUAAUAGCUGCAGCUAGUAACCUUUCCCAACAGCUCAAGUUCAUUGAUGCAGUUCAACGGCUGGGGUUGGCAUACCACUUUGAAAAGGAGAUAGAAGAAGCAUUACAACAUACUUAUGAUAACUAUCAUGAGAUUGAUGAUAUAAAUGAUGAUCUCUAUAACGUUGCACUUUGAUUUGGACUACUAAGACAACAAGGCUUCAAUAUUUCCUGUGGUAAGCCUCAUGAAUAUCAUGUGUUAUAUAGCAAAGCUCACAUAUAACAUUCUAUGUUUGGGUGAUGAUUUCAGAUGUAUUCAACAAGAGAAGGGAAGGUUCAAAGAAUCUGUGAUGAUCAAUGAUGCUUGUGGCCAACUAGGCUUGUAUGAAACUGUGCACAUCUCAGGUUUGGGAAGAAGAUACACUAAAUGAGGCACUUGCUUUCACCACCACUCACCUCAAGUCUAUGGUAGAACAUUUAGGAUACCCUCUUGCAGCACAAGAAACUCAUGCCCUAGACCAGCCCAUUAGGAAAGGCUUGGAGAGGCUAGAGGCAAGGCCUUUCAUGCAUGUCUAUCUACCAAGAUGAAGCUUCACAUAGUAAAGCUUUACUAACGUUUGCAAAGUUAGAUUUCAACCUACUGCAGUCACUGUAUAAGAAAGAGCUGAGUAAUAUAUCGAGGUUAGUUCUCAAAUCAUUCUUGGACUUAAAUUCAAAUUAAAAAUUUACUAGGUCUUUUAUGUGGAUUAAUGUAUUUUAUCAGGUGGUGGAAAGACCGAGAUUUCUCUUCAAGGCUACCUUUUCCCAAGGGUUGUCUCUAUCAGUAUUAUUUUAUAAUAACAAAAUUCACAUUAUUUUAUCAUUACAUAAUAUGUUAAAGACUUGAUGAACAGUAACAUGCCUUACCAUAAAUUAAAGAAGAGUAGUACAUUCUUCUACCAAGGAUUGUAUGGAUUGAUGCAAUUCUAGUAUGUAAUUAGUUUUUAAUAAAAUAAAUAAAUAAAUAAAUACAAUUUUUUUUUUGUAGAAAAUAUAUUUUAUUUUUUAUUUUAUAUAAUAAAUAAUUAAAAAUUUUAACAAAUCAAAAUGUUAAAAACCACAAUCAAUUUUUUAUAUUUUUUUAAUUAAAAUAUUAAACAUUUUAAUAAAAAAAAAACCACAAUCAAGUUAGAUACAAAUAAGUAAAAAACUAAAUUUGUUCAUUAUGUAUUUAUUUUUAUAUUAAUUUUUUUUAUUAGUUAUUUAUGACAUAUUAUUAUUAUUUUUUGUUUAAAAUGUUUAUAAAUAAUUAAAAUCAAAGGUGAAAAAGUGAAAAAAAUGAAAUUAAAAAACAAAAGCUAAAAUAAUAUGACAUGUUGGUUCGCCGAAACUUAAAAACAUGGGUGAAAGAAAAAAUCCAUUAUGAACUUUUUGACUAGUCAUGUAAAAUAUUUUUUAAAAGAGAAAAGUACGGUAAUUGACUGCAGGCUAUAGGGCAAGAAAAGUUGAAAGGGCAAUUUUGAAAUUUUGACUUCCAUGGAAGUUACCAGGAAAAAGAUAUUCUGGCCGGACGACUUCCAUGGUUUAAAGAAUUCAUCCUAACGGGUAAAAUAUUAUUAUUAUUAUUAUUAUUAUUAUAAUAUUAGACAUGCUAAAAGUUUUAUUAUAUACCAUGUAAAAAAUAAAAGUUAUGAUAUUAUAUAAGGUUGGAAUUCGAAGUUCAAGCUUAUUAAACUAUACAGAUUUUAAAAUUUUGUCAAAAAAGAAAAAAAAAUGGAGAAUUAAUUAAAUGGACUCAUCAUUUUCCAUGCAAAAAUUAAAAUAUUGAAAAUUACAUAAAGAUCGAGGAUUAUAUUUUACAAAAACAUUGGAAUGAAUCAAUAAUACAUAUAUUGAAUUCUUUUAAAUAUAUAUAUAAUAACAUUUGUGAUAUUGAAUAAUAAUCCAUAGAGCUUGAAAAUGCAUUUCAUUUUGAUUCUAUGUAAUUUGAAAAUAAAUAUUUAUAUUCUAAUGGUGAUGAAAACAAAUUAAGCCGAGGCUUCAAAUCAGAUUUUCUUUGCAAUGAAACAAACUAUCACUACAAGAAAAUGUACUUUUCGUGACAAAAAUUUAGGGGCGAAUUCUAAUUUUGUCGCUAAAAGUAACUUUUACUGAUGAAAUUUUAGAUGUUGUCAAUAAUGUCAAUUUUCUAUAAACUUUUCCUAAUGAAUUUGAAAUUUUUGUCGCUAAAAGAUGUGGCGGGAAAAUUUAGCGCUUUUUUUUUGGCGCAAACACUUUUGUGACAAAAAUAAACUAUUUCCCUACGAAAAUAUUUAUCACUAAUUAUAAUUUUUGGUGAUGAAAAUAAUUUUCUUACUAAAAGUUACAACCUUUUAUCUAUUUUUGCUUACAAAAUGGUUUCGUCGGUAUUUAUAUUAUUUCCUGACAAAUUGAGUAAUUUUGUCACCAAAUAAUGUUAUUAAAUUGUGAUAUUAAUAAAGAAUAUUAAUAAAUAAGUAGAUUAUUUAUACUAUGAAAUAAUACAAUAUAUAUUUGUUGACACUUAAUAUUUAUACUAUAAUAUUUUAUUUAUAUAAAUAAUAAUAAAAAUUAAGGAUCCACAAAAUUAAAUACUAGAAUGUAGAUUUAUUUAAAUUUAAAUGUUCUAUUAUGUAAUAAUAGUAUUGUUAUGAAAUAACAAAAAUGUAAAUUAUUUAAGCAAUUAAUAUUUAUAGUGUAAUAUGUUAUUUAUAUUUAUAUAUAUAUAUAUAUAUAUAUAUAUAUAAAUAAUAACAAUAGAUAAUCCAAGAUAUGUAAGAUUACAUCCUAUGAUAUAAAUUUAUUUAAAUUUCAAUAUUAUUAUAUGGUNNNNNNNNNNNNNNNNNNNNNNNNNNNNNNNNNNNNNNNNNNNNNNNNNNNNNNNNNNNNNNNNNNNNNNNNNNNNNNNNNNNNNNNNNNNNNNNNNNNNAAUGUAGUAUUAAAUUUAUGUUAGCUAUGAAUAAGUAAAUUUAUUCAAAAUCAUACCUUAUCCACUCAAGAAGUAAAUUUAUACUAACAUUUAGUUACCUAGUUUAAAUUAAUAGAUUUUUUUUUAAAUUAUUACUUGGUUUUUAAAUAAUUGGUCAGAAUUAACUUUCUCAAAUAAAUUGUCUAGUAUCUAUAAAAACAUUCUACCUACAUAAAAUUCCAAAUAUUAUUUAUGUGUACGAAGAUAUCAUAUAUUAUUAAUAAAUAAAUAAGUAUAAGUUAAAUAUUAUAUGAUAUAAUAUAUUGUAAGUACUAUAUGCUUAGCUCUAUUUUCAUAUUUACAAAAUAAAAAAUGUCUUAUAUAUAUAGCACAUAUGAAAUUCUAUAUAAAUAUAAAGUUUUUUUAAAAGUUUUCAACCACAUCUUUAUUAAUAAUUGGUUAUUUUAUUUUUUAUUGAUCAAUUAUAUAUUUAUUAUUUUUAAUUAUUAAUUACUAAUUUAUCAAAAUUGAUAUUAAGAAUAAAAUCUUAAAUUAUACCGCAAAAUAGUAACUUCUAUGACUACUAACUUGUAAAGGAGUUUUUAUACUUGUAUGCAUUUUUAAUCAAAUAUUUAAAACAAAUGUAGUUAAAAAUAAUUGAAAUAUAUCAUAAAUUAUUAUAUGAUUUAUAUUUAUAGUGUUUCAUUAUGUUUGAUAUUUUUGUUUGGAAUAGAUGAGAAAGGGAGAGAAAAAAAAAUGAUGUAGAAUCCUAAUUUCAUUUUGAUCAUUAUUUUAUUAAUGUCAAUAUGAGUAUUACACUUUGGCAUUCUCCUAACAUUGUCUUUCAAUUAUACUUUUAUUUUAUAUUUCAAAUUUAUCACUUUAAUCCAUAAGUCUGGAAUUGAAUUUAUUAUAGAUAUUAAUAAACUAUAGUCCUCUAAUUUGUUCUCAUUCAACAUUAGGUUUGUUUAGAGGUGACAAAAUUUGAUAUGACUUAUCAAUAUGACUUGAAUCUAACACCCUUUCAUGAUUUUGGGUUGAGUAUAAUUGAGUUCAAGUCAAAUUCAUGUCGACUAUGGAGAGUGACCUUAAAUAAUAUAAGGUCCCAAUUUUGAUCACCAAUUGGUUUUCAGAACAAAUGGGGGCCUUGUCAUAAAAUACUCUGUGGUUAAGCGUGUUACAGUCAAAGAAAUCUUAGGAUGAGUGACCCACUGGGAAGUACGGAGCACCUCGAUCUACAAGUGAUAUCAAAGCUUGGUCAUAUGUUUGACGGGUGAGCUAGCACUGUGGGUGAAUGGCGAAGGCCUAGAGCGUGGCCAAGACAACUAACAAAGAUGGUAUACUAUCACCGACAUCACCGACGAAAUUAAUUUGUUACCAAAAAUAUUUGGCAAUAAAAAUAAAAUUCGUCGGCAUUAAAUAUUGACGACUUUUGGGACAAAUUUUAUUUUUUUCGUGACAAAAAUUCUUACUUUUGUUGAUGAAAUAUUUCGUUGGAAAACACCUUCAGUGACAAAAUUUUAUUUCAUCAAGGAAAACUUUGGGCGACAAAAUAAGAUUUUUGUCACGAAACUUUUAGCAACGGGUCUAGGGCGACGAAUAAGGCACGAAAGAAUUUUCGUUGGGGAAUGUUUUUGUAGACGAAAUUUAGACUUUCAGUGACAAAAUAUUUUGUCGCUAAAAGUCAAUUUUCUUGUAGUAUAUGCUUGGUAGACAUAUUUAUGUUUUUGAAAAUGAUGGAUGUUAAUUUCAGAUUUUGCUUUGAAAUUAAGCCACCUAACACAGUUGUCUUUAGCGAACGCAACUUCAAAUGGGCAAUAAUGCAUGGCAGCUUUUGACUUCAAAGCAUUAUAUAUAUAUAUAUAUAUAUAUAUAUGUAACAACUUUCCUCUUAAGCAAAGCACCCAAGUAUUCUUCAACUCUAACUCUAUUUUAGUUGGGCUCUUACCAAGGUAGUGACAUCUUGAAUCUAACAAAAACUUGAUAAAAUAUUUAUAUAAUAAUUAUAAUUUAUAUUAUUAUGGACUCAUGCACAUUUUUCACGUGUUCCUACUCGAUGAAAUUGAACUAUGAACCUUACUGAUGUGUACCCAAAUCGUACCAUUUAUUUAUAGUAUUGUCAUUAUAAUAUUGAAAUAUGGGAAAUUUUAAUAGACCAAACAGACCUCAAUAGACCAAAGCCACCAAAUAGCAACUGAAGAAACCGGAAAGCGUUUAUUCCAAACAUGGUAUACUCUGGAACAUGAAACAGAAGCUAGAGUAUACUAUCUUUAUUUGUGUCACAUAUAUCUCCACUCUCAUAUUGGCACAGGGUCUAUGAGCAGCAUUGAAAUAUCAUUUUUCAUCACUUCUUCAGGAUGUGAGAACAUAUCUUUGUGGCCCUUGUACAUCACAUCUCCUGAUCGAGCAAAAUUGAGAAGACGACUAAGGAGAAGCAUUGGAACUGCAGUAGGUCUGAGGCUCUCUUCAUUUAUAUCCUUCCAUGCAUUCUCGAUUUGCUUGUGAAGCUCAUCAUAUGCUUGUUGCUCCGACACACCAUGUUGCUUCAUGUAACAUUCGAUGCUUGAUGCAUUAUGCCCUCUCUCUUGCUCAAACUGCAGAAAUAGUAAUAUAAGGUGUAAAAAAGAAAUUGAUAUACAAUAGAUUUUCUUUAUCUUUAUGGGAUUGAUAUCCAAGUAUCAGUAGGAAGUGUUGUUUCAUUGUACCUUGUGGGAAGCCAUGUCAUCCAUGAGCCUCAUGACUGUGGAGGCAGCUCUAACAAUCUUAGGGUUUUGUUGCACCCAAUCAAAGACUUCCUUGGUUGCAGUCUCUCUCAUGCCAAUAAAAGACAUGAUUGUUAACGGGGGGACACCAACAGUUACCAUUGCGAUACCCAUGUACUCUUCUAUUGUUGGUAUGUAUUUUCCACGGAACCAUUUGGCUUGGACCAAGUUAGCUUGGAACAAGCUUUUAAUCUAGGAUAAAAAUUCAGCCAAGUAAAUAUAUCAUGCAAGUAUUAUAUAUAGCAUUUUAUUUACAGUACAAUAUAGGAUAUCAUAAACACAAUAGAGUUCAAAGAAUCCUACUGCAUCUUUCGUAUGGUGGACACAGUAUGAUCUUUCUGUGUUUUCCAUCUCCUCAAUUUCUUUGUAGACAUCUAGGACUGCCUGAUAGCACGGCUUCAAGUAUUCAGGAAACUGAUCUAUGCUGUUAAUAUCCCACCUGAAAAUCAAGUACCAAGUUCCCUUUUAAAGUUCAAAUAUGAAAUCAAUUCAUUGGUCGUAGGUAAUUUGAAUCUCGCAUGUAUCAAACCUCUCAAUUGCCUCUGUAAAGAGCUCCAGUUCUUCAAAUGUUCCAUAUGCAUCAAAUAUAUCAUCCACAGUUGUUAUCAGAGCAACUACUUUGGUCUGUAUUCUUCUAGCAUAUGAAUACUGGGGCUCAGAACAACUUAUUGCUAUCCAAAAGUACCCUUCUACCAAUCGAUCUCUGGCAAAAGGUAGCUUUGAAGAGAAAUCUAGGUCUUUCCACCACCUAAGAAAAUACAUUAAUCCACAUAAAAGACCUGGUAAACUGUUGAUUUGAAUUUAAGUGCAAGAAUGAUUUGAGAACUAACCUCGAUAUAUUACUCAGCUCUUUCUUAUACAGUGACUGCAGUAGGUUGAAAUCUAACUUUGCAAACUUUAGUAAAGCUUUACUAUGUGAAGCUUCAUCUUGGUAGAUAGACAUGAAAGGCCUUGCCUCUAGCCUCUCCAAGCCUUUCCUAAUGGGCCGGUCUAGGGCAUGCGUUACUUGUGCUGCAAGAGGGUAUGCUAAAUGUUCUACCAUAGACUUGAGGUGAGCGGUGGUGAAAGCAAGUGCUUCAUCUAGUAUAUCUUCUUCCCGCACCCUGAGAUGUGCAGCUUCAUACAAGCCUAGUAGGCCACAUGGAUCAUUGAUCAAAGACUCCUUGAACCUUCCCUUUUCAUCUUUGUACCUCUUGAAUAUAUCUGCAAUCAUCACCAAAACAUAGAAUGUUAUAUGUGAGCUUUGCUAGAUGAUAUUCAAGCACCUUAUACAUGAUAUUCAUGAGGCUUACCACAUGAAAUAUUGAAGCCUUGUUGUCUUAGUAGUCGAAAUCGAAGUGCAACAUCAUAGAGAUCAUCAUUUAUGUCAUCAAUGCAAUGAUAGUUAUCAUAGGUAUUUUGUAAUGCUUCUUCUAUAUCCUUUUCAAAGUGGUAUGCCACCCCAAGCCGUUGAACUGCAUCGAUAAACUUCAGCUGUUUUGAAGGGUUACUAGCUGCAGCCAUCAGCUCUCUUCUAACUUCCUCCUUUAGAUCUUCCAACUGCUGCUCUUUAUGGGCCAGAGUUAUCUGCAUCAAUAAAUUGCAAGAACAAAAAGUGAGAAAAUCUUUAGGUCUUGUUAUGCAAACUACAUACAUGAUCAGAAAAUUACCUCAUCCUCAGGAGUGUUGCUCACGAUGAAGCUAUUGCCCCAAAUGCUAGGCUGAUAAUUUGCAGUUCGGCGAUUAGUCUCUGGAUUAGCAACUGGGGCUGGAGAAGACAUGUCGCUGGUAGCCAGAAUUAAGGCCAUGUGUAACUCACUCAAGAACUCAAUAUAUGAAUAAGAUGGCUUGCAAUCUUCGGUAUUUAUAGGAUGGGAAAUGGUUCAUUACAAUUAUUGAAUAUCAAUCCCAGAUUCCCAGUAGCAUGGAUACAAUUAAUUCAAGAUCACCUAUCAUAUUUAAACCAUGUUUUUUAAAAAUUAAAUAUUUAAAAUAUGUUUUUAUUUCUCUUAGAAUAGGAAAAAUGUAGCUUAUUCCCUUAAUAAUUCUCAGUAUCCAAUCAGCCACCCAACAGUUUUCACGUUAAGAUCUUUGGGAAAAGUGGGUCCUGCUUCACUAAUUUAAAAAUAUAUAAAUAAAAACAACCCAAAUUUUAUUAAUCAAUUUUAUCUUCAUUAAUUCAAAAAUAUUUUAAAAUACAUGUAAUUUUUCAAAAAUCAAAUAAUUAUUUCUUGAAAUGACCUUUUACUUCACAAUAUUAAAUAAAAUUAUGAGAAAAAAAUUAAUUUAUCACUUUAAGUUAAUAAAAGCAUCUUACAAAUAAAUAUAUUAAAUUUUUUUAUAAUAUAAUAUGGGGUACAAAUCAUUGUGAAAAAAUUUCUACAUGAUUUUGAAGUGAUAAAUAAAAUUAUUUCUAAUCUUGUAAUUAAUAAUGAUUUUAUAUUAUAUAUUAUAUAAAUCAUUUCAUCUUCCUAUCUUUUUAAAUAAAAUUGAAUAAAAUUUUUGUUGGUUGACAUCAAUAAUAAAAUAAUUUAAAAAAAUAAAAUAAAAGUUAAAAAUAUAAAAAUAAAAUAUUGACUUUUACUUCACUCAUAAUACAUUAGUUAAAAACAUAGAUAUGAGAAAUAUAAUAGGAGUUAAUGUUUUAUUUAAUUUUUAUUUAUUUAUUUUUUGAAUGUAUUUAAUUUUUAAAAUUUAUUAUUUUAUUAUUGUUCAAUAUUCUUAACCAUGUUUGUUUAUAAAGAGAAUAAAAAAAAUCGUAAAUCCAAUCUCACAGUUGAAAGGACACCAUAACUAAAAGUGAGAUUGGUUAUUUACAAUUAAGUAUCUAUAUGCUUAUUUGUCCAUUGAUAUUAUUAACAUAAUAAAUAAAAGGGUUAUUUCAGGAAAUAAUUAUUUAAUUUAUGAAAAAUGCAUAUGUUUUAACAUAUAUUUAAAUGGAUGAAAAUAAAAUUAAUUUGUAAAACUUUUAAUUUUAUAUAUAUAUAUAUAUAUAUAUAUAUAUAUAUAUAUUUUCAAAUUAGUGAGUCAUAACCUAGUUUUCCCUUAACCUUUCAUUGUACAAUAAAAUUAAUAUCAUGGUAAUAAAAGAAUUUGGUUAUAACUGGGAACUAAGUUAUUUUAUUUACAACCCAAACCCAAAAAUUAUUGUCUAGAUUAAAAGAAAAUUGAAAAUAAUUUGUUUUUCAAUCACACCUAUGGUAAGAAUCAUAUUAUUAAUUAUUUUGAUUCUUAAUUAAAAAUAAAUAAUAAUAAUAGAAAUAUAAUUUUUUUUUUAAUUGAAAUGUGAUUUGAGUUAGGAUAACUCUUAAAUUUUUGACAAAUUUUCAAUCCCAAUAUUUCAUUUACGUAAACCACAUAAUAUUUAAUAACUAAUUCUGCUAUAUAUAGGUCGUGCAUCAAUGAAAUGAUGCUUGAUAUGUCAAAUGUCCUUUCACACAUGCUUCUCAAUUUCUUCAUUUUGAAUGUUUAUAAUGACAAAGAAAAAAAGUUACCUGAUGUGAUUCAAAUUAAACCACCAAGUCCCUAAAGGAGACAUAUGUAACCAGCCAAUCACUUCUUCACAUGAAAUCAUAUUAUUAAUUAUUUUGAUUAUUAAUUAAAAAUAAAUAAUAAUAAUAGAAAUAUAAUUUUUUUUAAUUGAAAUGUGAUUUGAGUUAGGAUAACUCUUAAAUUUUUGACAAAUUUUCAAUCCCAAUAUUUCAUUUACGUAAACCACCAAUUCUGCUAUAUAAUUGGUUCAAAUGUCCUUUCACACAUGCUUCUCAAUUUCUUCAUUUUGAAUGUUUAUAAUGACAAAGAAAAAAAGUUACCUGAUGUGAUUCAAAUUAAACCACCAAGUCCCUAAAGGAGACGUAUGUAACCAGCCAAUCACUUCUUCACAUGAAAUCAUUCCUCCACCUUAUCGUAAUAAUUGAUUCUUCACCCACCAAUAAUUUUAAACUCCCCUAAUAUGGUAAUUACAUCUCCUCCUUCUAUCAAUUUCUAAACCCCAACCUUAUAUUAAUCUCUAAAAAUUCCAUCCCUUAAAUCGGAGUGGUGUGACUUAAGAGUUCUAAACAAUCAAUGAAUCCAAAAUAAUCAUUUAAGUUAUAUUAAAUCAUUAUAUUUAUUUAUUAAACAUCUUUUAAGUAAGACUUAUUAUAAAACAAGACUUACUUAUUUCGUAAUUUAACUAUUUUAAUGUUUAAGAAAAUUGGAGGAUGCUUUGAAUCCAGAAAAACUAAAUCUCAAUCAUAGCAUGUCUAGUUUGAUUUGAUGUGAUUUAGUGUAAGAAAUUUGAUGUGAUUUCAUGGACCCUUAUGUUUAUGAAAGCUAAAAAUUGGUAGGCAAUGAAAAUAAAAUAAUUUAUAGGGCAAAAGCAUGAAUUUCAAUUAUAGGAUAAAAAGUUGUAAUAUAACAAAAAUAAUCAUAUGUAUAUAACAAAAGGACUACCAAUACUUUACCAAGGACCUUUGAAGACGAAAAGAAAAUAAAGGAAUUUGAUAAAAAGUUGCUAUUGAAACUUAGCAAGACAUCGUUUUUCUAUUCUAUAUAUAGUCAUUUACAAUAUUUCAUACAACAUACAAUAUUGUCCACAGUAAAAUUCUAGGAGAAAAUUAUAAUCUACAAUAUUCUCCAUAACAAAAUUUUGGGAAAGAAUUAUAGAUGUCAAGGGAGAGUUUCGGGAAAGAAUUACAAUACUUAUCAAAGCACAUAUUUUAGGGGACUUAUGAUAAUAAUUAUACAGUAGAUUAUGGGAGAAGAAUCUAAGAGAAUUCAACUUUGGUUUGGAUUGAUAACUACAUACCUAAAUAGGUUGAGGUUGACCACUAUUUUGCUUAACACCUCCCUUGCAAGCAAAACAAGAUUUCAUAUAUUGUGAGCUUGGAUCAUAGAUGAUGAAGUCGCAAUGAGGAUAGACCUUUUGUAAAAAUAUCAACCAUUUGAUCUUUUAUGGGCACAUUAUGAAUCUCAAGGUCAUAUUGCAUCUCUUCCUCUCUAAAAAAGUCAUUGUCAAUUUCUAUAUACAUUGUGCAAGCAUGAAAGACAUCAGAGAAUGACAAUAGAUAAAACUAAAGUUCUAAUGAAUUUGAAUCAAGAUAGUUUGGUAAUUGAUUUAUAAUAGCAAAGAAACAAGUAUAAAAUGAAAAACACCCGGAUGGAUUUUUUUUUUUUUAAUCCUUAUUUUCUAAGGAAAUAAUGGGGAAAAUAUAUUUUAUUUUUGGAUCUUUAUAAAAUUAAAUAAACAAAUCUUAAUCUAGAUGGAGACCUUCCAAAGAUUUUUUUUUUAAUUGUUUAAAACCAAUUAAUGAACAUAAAAUAGUAAUCUAAGGGUUAGAAAAUUACCUGAAAAAAACUGAUCUUUGAAUCCGAAGGUCUUAAACCUUCAACCCUAUGUUCGGUGAUUUCUUUUACCUCUAUGUAAAAAUGGUUUUUGUACAAUGAAGUAAGGGAAUCUAAUUUAUACAUUCUAAUUGCAUUGUAUGUAAGAAAUUUUGACAUGUUGCCAAUAAGUGCUUCAAAGAACUCUUUGAAAAUGUCGAACUUAUGUAAAUAGGCUAGUGAGUGAGUUUAAGUACAUUAGAAAUCAUAUUUGAAUAUCAAGAGCGGUUGUAGGUUUCAUACUAGGGCCAUGAAAGGAAGCAAUCCUACUAACACUCUCCCUAAAACUACACAAAUUUGGGAUAAGAAAGAAGACCUAAUUAUACCUAAAGGUUCAUUCAUUCAUUAAGAAAUCUUUUGGAGUUUCCUCUUCUAAUUAGCCUAUUUUGUUUCAUAGCUUAGAGUCUAGUAUUAGUGUUUCAUUCUUUAUCCUUAGUAUUAUAUCUUUUUUGGAGUCUCUUACUCUUUGUUUUAUCUUUUAUUUUUUUAUUUAGGACUUCCUUGUUAAAUACUCUUUGUUUAGUCUAGGUCUAGGAUCUAGGGGGGAGUGUCUUACUCUUUAAUGUAUGAUUUAUAUCUUGUAUCAAAGUUGUAUCUCUUUUAAAUUUUAGGGUAUGAUAUUUGGGGGAUGGGAUAUUGGUUUGGGGCCUAAGGUUUAAAAUCAUACCCUUUGAAAGUUCAAUACUUUUUUUGAAUUAUUAUUUUUUAUUUGUUUUUCAGAAUUUCAUGGAAUUAGGGUAUAUGAACAUGAUUAGAAAUAUUAGAAUUGAUUGAGACAAUAAUCUUUGAGAGUGAGGAUUUAUUUAAAUACUUCAUUAUGUGAUUUAAAUGUUUUCUAAAUUCUAAAGUUAUGAGAAUAUAUUUCUUGUCACUUUUAAAAGGAAUUUGAAUCUAAUUAUUUCUUCUUCUUCUUUAUUUUUGUGUAAAACAGUCAUGCAUUCGAUGAAACGGUUUUUUGAGAGGAAGUCUCCAGAACGGCCAGGGAGAUUUCUAGAGAGAUCGGGAAGGUUGUGAGAAGAGAGAGAGUUCUAGAGAGAUCAGGAAGGUUGAGAGAAGAGAGACAGAGAUCAUACCAGAGAGAAUAACGAGGGCCAUCUGAGAAGCUUCGGAAGGUGAGAGAGGAGAGUUUUCCACGGAUACAGAGAAAUUUUCUGGAUUUCUUCUCCCUGUGGAGAGCUUGCUGGUGCAUCUUCGAAGUUCGUUACUGCCAGAAUAGCUCGCCACUGUGGAGAGCUUGCUGAUCGUCGAUCAUACACCUCCAUUGGCAAACUUGAAUCAGACUAGCUAAGUAUCACUGGUCAUUUUGGGACUUCUCCAGAAUUUUCAUCAUCACCCUCUUCAUCUCAAGAUCGAUUUUAUGCGCGUCAGAUUUUCUCCAUGUCCAUAAUCAACGUACAAGUUAGUUAUGCUUGAUUCUUUUAGUUUGAAAUCAAUAUGCGAAUGUCUUGUGCCAUGUAAUCAGAGAUUUGCCAUAAAGUUCUUUAAAGAUUCAAGUUCCAAAUGAAAGAAUUAAAAAUCAGUGUAGUUGAUCAUGCAAUGUGCUUAGCUAGCUUUGAAGAAUCAUUAUCGAUGGUCUUUGAUUUGGAGUUUUUAAGAUAUAUAUGGAUUAAAUCAAUAUAGCCAGUUGUGAUCUGAUAAUUGUUUGUGUUCUCUUGUUUAUUUAAAGUAGAAAGAAAUAUAAUGAAAGCCAAGAUGCAGUAGCUGUUCAUUUCAUUUUUAUCAUCAUUCUAAUUUAUGGAAAAUGCAUGUUAGAAAUCAACAUAAAUGAAAUAUAUUGGUUGGAUUUUUAUAAGAAAAUGCAUGUUAGAAUGUAAAAGAAAUGAGGUGUAGAGAUUGAUUUUUAUGGAAAUAGAUGUUGGAUGUCAAAUUAAAAAAUGAGAUACCAUGACUUUAUAUAUAUAUAUUGAAAAUCAAUAGAAAAUAGAAUAGAGAAAUUGAAUUUCUUUAAUACAAAUGCAUGCUAAUGCUAAUGAAGCAUGAUCCAUUGAGUGAAAACUAGAAAUUCCAAUUAUCUUAUUGUUAAUGCUUACAUGAAAUUUGAAUUAAUAAUAUGAAGAUUAUUAAGAAAAAUAGUGUUUUAUUCAUAUAAUGGUGGAACAAAUAUUUUAUUUUUGGUUUGAACUUCAAUAUGAUGUAAAUAAAUUAAUUUUAUCACUAUUUUUAUUUAGGCCUUUAUUCAUUUCAUGAUUUUUGAAUACUUGUCCGUUUAAGUUGGGUGUGGACCAAUUGGGCCACACAUGAGUGUUGUUAAAAUCUGAAAUUUAGGAAGUUAAUGAUUAAAUAUGGAUUGUUUGAUGAAUUAUGACUGAGAUAUAGUUAAUUUUUUUUCUCCAAAAUUUCUUUUCAUCUAAGUAAGCCAUUGGAUAAUCACGUGACAAUUGGCUUUGAAUAGAUUCUCUUUAUUUUGAUUCAUGUAAAUUUGGGUUAUCUUAAUUUCCUAAAAUAAUCCACACAUGUACACUUACAAUUUUUUUUGGUAAUCCAAAUUCAUAAAUUUUAAAAUAUACAUAAACCGAUUUUUUAUUUUUUUUAAAAAAAAUUGAUUUUAUACCUCGUUCAUAACAAAACCAAUCUUAGUCUAUUUUAUAAUGAAUUAUUUUUAUAUUCAAAGCCCAUCUUAGUCUCUUUUAAGCAUAAAAUUUCCCUUUUUUUUUUCGGUAUACAACUUGGAAAGGUUUUAAAAAUGAAUUUUGGUCUUAAAUACACGCGAAUUAAAAUUCAUAGUUCCAACUAAUAGAUUCUUUAUGAAUAGAUUCACGUAGAUUAAAUGGGAUUCAAUAAAUAACUACAUAAAAAAAUUCAAAAAUAAAAAUUUCUAUUGAGACUAUUGACAGCCCACGGCAUAUUUGAACUCGUUAAUUAUAAUCCGGAAUUUAUAAACUCUUUAAAAAUUUUAUAAUUAUUCCAUGAUAUUCUAGACUCUUUAUACUUAAUUUUAGAAUUUUAUUUUUUCAAAAAUGAUUUCUCGAUUAAAAGAUAUAAAUCGUUCUUUUAGAAGGUUCAGAUUUCACUCUGUUUUUUAUACUCACUUUUGCUUUGCAAAAUUAAAUUAUUAAAUGAUCUCACUAAAAUCAUUGAAAUUUUUUAUCCUAAUUUAGACUUCCCAAACUCAGCGUUUGACAAUAAAAUAUUAAUAAAUAAUUACUGAAAAGAGAGAUAUGAGUUUUUAUUCUCACGCCCACUGCACAAGCAUUUUAUGGAGCUGAAAGGUGUUUACUUGUUUUUAAAUAUGUUAUAAAUAUAAUAUUGCCUUGUGAUUAUUUUUCAGUAAAAAUAGACAUAUUAAGCUAGUUUUAAUAAUUUUUGCAUGAUUUUAGAACAUCUCCAACUUAAUUAAAAAAAUUAGAUGUGAAAUACUUUAGCAAGAUGUCCUAUUUCGAACCUAUUGAUAUCAUUAUGAAAUCUGGUAUUAAAUGAAAGCUAGUUGAUUAAUUUCAUCACUUGGAUGAUAAACUAGACACAUAUAAUAUAUUCUCUGAAAAUUUUCGUAAUGAAAUUCAACUUCUAGAUAUUUGUUUUAGAUUUAUUAUAUAGGAUCUCCUGUUUUAACCGUUUGCUAAUUUUUUAUUUUUUAUUUUAUUUUUGUAAAGAAACCCACUAGUGAAUAAAUUUUACAUUGAUUAUACAUAAGUUUAGUUUGUAAUUCCUUUUUAAAUUCAUUACUAUUAUUUAUGAAUUAAUUCCAUCUCUAUAAAAAAUCUUUAAGAUGCUGAACCAAGUACGCAAACCUUUUCUUUACAAUUUAUUCAGAUUAGAGCUUGUGAUUGGAUGUUAUCUAUUAGUGUUUGUUGAUUAUGUUGAGAUUGUGUGACAUUAGACAUGAUUUGUUAUGGAGUAUGUGAUUGCUUAGAGUGUAAUGUGAUGUUAUUGUUUGCUAUUUUAACUUUUGUGUUUUCUGAAAGCGCUUGGAAUGCAAACCAAGUACACCUUUCUCUAUCAAAUUAAUGAAUUAUGUUCAUUUAGUUCAUAGUGUCUGUGAAUCAACCAAUUGAUCUUCACAAUUAUUUCAACUUACUCAAUAGAGACCUAACUUCUAGUGCUUAGAAGGGUGCUAAGUUCUUCACUGUACCUUCCGAAUAAAUAACUUGAUCCCCUGGAUUUAGGCUCAGGUUUUCAAAUACAAGCCUUUUUCAAGAAAUAGGAGUAAUUUUUAUAGGGUUUCUCUUUCUUAUUUUAUUUUCCUUUUAAAAAAAUAAAAUGAAAAUAAGUGGUGAAUCCAUUAUUUAUAAAAUUGUUUUUUCACAAACAAGAAGCGAGUCUCGUCAUCAAAUGAGAAUGCAUGUGAAAAUGUGGGAUCACAUCUCCAAUGAAGAGUAUGAUACAAACUAGAAAAGUCCGCAUGUCAAAAUAAAUGAAAUGAAAUUGCCAAUCAUAAGCUAUAUAAAAUGAGGCCACCCCCUGAAUGAAGGAGUAGUGGGGGUCUCUUCUCCCAUAUGCACCUUUAUUUAGAUUCAAAUUUUCCUUCUUUUUUUUUAAACAAAAUGAGGAAUCUUUUAAAAAAAUUCUAUCUCACAAAACACAAUUCAUCAAUUUUAAUCCAAUGUGCACCUUUCCAUUUUUCAAACACCUUUGUUGCACCCAUUUAGCAUGAGGGGCAUCGAUCAAAACUAAAAUUCGAGGAAGGGAUCAAAUCAAAAAGAAAGAAGAGAAAAAGACAUUUUGUCUUUCUUUCAAUACAAAUAAGAGAACAAAGAAGCCACUCCAAAAUAAAAGUUGGAUAAAGAAGUUCUAAUAAGAACUAGUACUAGACUUCUUCCUCCCUUUCUAGUUUUCCAAUCUCCUUUUAUUUUUGUUUUCACCUGGGCUUUCCAUUCUAUUUUAUAAGGAUUCAAGGAUAUUACUCUAAUAAUUAAUGUAGAAAGGUGAGGCACUUUCCCUAGCAUACGGGAAAGAAAAUCCAUUCCAAAAUAACUAAUAUACCAACAAACUAGUAUCAUUUUUGCCAAAAUGGAAAGAAAUUAUAUUUUUCGAAUUCGCUACCCUUUCUUUCUUGAUUAGCUAUUUAUGAUCAAACUGAUAAAAUAAACUGAGCAAAAGUAAAACCAGAAUAGAGAAACAAUUCCACUCUUUAUUUGUACUAAGACAACCAAUAAAUAGGCAAUACAACCAACUGGCUUGACAAAGCCAUAACAACAAAGGCAUAAAAAUAGGACCAUGAAACCAUGUUUCAAUAAAUCUGCUGCCACCAUCACCAAAAAUCAGGAGAUAAUAAAGAGACUCAAUAAACAAUUUCCUAUAGACCAGGACAACAUAACAGAUAUAAGACUCAACAUAAAACAAUUUAUUAAAGACUUGGUCAAAUGACCCAUUGCACAAAGAUAUUUUAUCACCCUCCCUUAAACUGAUAUCUGCAGAAAUCAGUUUAGGAAUCAAUUUGCAAAGCCUUUCCUGAAGCAGCCACAACCUCCUUUGAAGAACAAACUCCAAGCAUACUUCGAAGUUUCAUAAAAACAGCAGGCUUGAGGGGCUUAGUCAAGAUAUCUGCAAUUUGAUCUUCACUUUUGCAAAACACCAAAUCAAUAACUCCAUCUUUACAUAAAUCACGCAAGAAGUGGUACCUCACAUCAAUGUGUUUGCUUCUCCCAUGUAAGACUAGAUUCUUUGAGAGUUUUAUUGCAGAGAGGUUAUCAUAGUAAAUCAUUGUUGGACCUUGCUACUGGUUGUACAAAACUUCAAGUAACCUUCUUAGCCAAAUAGCUUGACAUGAGCUUGAUGCUGCAGCAAUGAACCCAGCUUCCGUAGUUGACAAAGUCACAAUCUGUUGCUUCUUUGAUGACCAAGUAAUAUCUCCAGAAUUCAACAUAAACACUGCUCCAGAAGUGCUCUUUCUAUUAUCAAGAUCUCCAGCAUAAUCACUAUUUGAAAAACCAAUCGAACUUGAUCUUUCACCCCUUUUGUAUAGAAUCCCAAAGUCUACAAUACCUUUCAAAUAGCGAAAAAUUCUUUUUGCAGCCAAAAGAUGAACUUCAGUUGGAUUCUCCAUGUAUCUACUGAUUAAAUUGACUGCGUGCAUAAUGUUUGGUCUUGUAGAUGUCAGAUACAUAAGACUUCCAAUGAUCUGCUUGUAAAGAGUACUAUCCACCCUCUUUCCUGCUCCACUCUUUGAGAGUUUCAGACCAACUUCACUUGGGGUGAUGACUGAAUUACAAUCCUUCAACAUAAACUUGUCCAAAAUCUCUAGAGCAUAUUUCUUUUGAGAAAUGAAAACACCAGCAGAUGAUUGCACUACCUCAAUGCCAAGAAAAUAGUGCAUUAAUCUCAUAUUAGUCAUAUCAAAUUCUUUCAUCAUAGACUUCUUAAAAUCAGCAAGCAUGGUUUUAUUAUUACUAGUAUAAAUGAGAUCAUCAACAUAUAAACACACAAUUAAAAUCUUCUUAUCAACACCAUAUUUAGUGUAAAGAGUGUGCUCAUAUGGACAUUUAAUAAAACCUUCCUCAGUAAAAUAAGCAUCUAUACGACUGUACCAAGCUCUUGGUGCUUGUUUCAGUCCGUAUAAUGCUUUCUUUAACUUAUAUACCUGAUUCUCAUAACCUUGCUUCACAUACCCAGGGGGUUGAUCAAUAUAGACUUCUUCUUCCAACUCUCCAUGCAAAAAUGCUAACUUCACAUCUAACUGAUGGAUAGACCAUGAGUUUUGGGCAGCCAUGGAUAACACCAAGCGAAUAGUGUCAAGCUUUGCUACUGGAGCAAACACCUCUUUGUAAUCCACUCUGAAUUCUUGCUUGUACCCCUUUGCAACAAGCCAAGCUUUGUACUUAUCAACUCCACCAUCUUUGUUCAACUUCAUUUUAUUAACCCAUUUAACACCAAUGGAUUUCUACCCUUUUGGAAGUUCAACUAGUUCCCAACUAUUAUUUUUCUCUAUAGACCCGAUCUCCUCAUUCAUAGCCUUAUGCCACUUUAAAUCCUUGAUAGCUUCUUGGAAUGUAAUGGGAUCACAAUCUGAUAACAAAGCAUAAUGGGCAAUUGUAUCAUAGUUAUCAGAUUGAACUCCAGUUACCUCAAAAUCUUGCAUCCAUGCGGGCCUUUUUCGAACACGGCGAAGUCAUGAUUCAGCAACUACAUUACUCUCUGCUGCUGUUGAUGAAGUUUCAGCGGUUGUUGGAGCAUCAUUUGGUGGACUUUCAGGUAUAGAAACCGUAGGAAUUUGUUGUUGUAGAAGCUGCUGCCUUUCUUCUUCAACAUCAUUGUCAAAAAUGACUUGAGUAGGCUGCUGCCCAUUCCAAUUCCAGGUGCUCUCCUCAUCAAAAAUAACAUCUCUACUGGUCACAAUCUUCUUCGUGAGUGGAUUGAACAAUUUAUAUGCUUUGGAUGCUUCACUUACGCCAAGAAAAACACAUUUUUCACCUUUAUCAUCAAGUUUAUUCCUUUUCUCGUCUGUGAUAUGUGCAUAGGCGAUGCAACAGAAAAUUUUGAAGUGAUCUACAGCUGGUUUCCAUCCACUCCAAGCCUUCUCCGGUGUCAUGUUUUGAACAGAAAAUGUAGGACUUCUGUUCAACACAUGGAUACUCCAAUUCACUACCUCCGGCCAAAAACUCUUUGGAAUUUUGCCCCUUGCAAGCAAGCUCCUCACCAUGUUGAGGAUGGUUCUAUUUUUUUUCUCCGAUACACCAUUCUGUUGCGGUGUAUAAGCAGCUGUGAGUUCUCUUCGUAUGCCUUGAUCAUCACAAAAAUGUUCAACUUCAUUUGAACAAUAUUCUCCACCACGAUCAGUACGGAGAAUUUUGAUGGAUCUCCCUGUUUCUUUUUCAACGCGUGCCUUGAAGCUUUUAAAUGCACUAAAAGCUUCUGAUUUUUCCUGCAAAAAAGAAACCCACGUUUUUCGACUAUAAUCAUCAAUAAAGAUAAUUAGAUAUUUUUUACCCCCAUUAGAAGUUGGAUUAAUUGGACCGCAAAUGUCAGAGUGAACCAGUUCCAAGACAUUCUUUGCUCUUCGCGACUUUCCUUGAGGGAAUUGAGAACGAUGUUGUUUUCCAACAACACAUUCUUCACAAACUUGAGAAGGAAUGGAAAUUUGAGGAAGACCUGUCACCAUAUGUUUCUGUUGGAGAGUUUUUAAUCCACCAAAAUUCAAAUGGCCAUAGCGUAAAUGCCAAAGCCAUGAAAGAUCUUUCACUUCAGCCAUUAAGAAAGACUGGACACUAUCAAUCUUCAAUGGAAACAACUUGUUUGAAGCCAUUUGAACAACAACAAUAGCACCUCUCGAAGGAUCAUAUAUCUCACAAGCACCUUUCUGAAUUGUUAUUAUGUAACCCUUUUCUUGCAAUUGACCAACACUUAACAAAUUACUUUUCAAGUCUGGUACAUAAAAAACAUUGGAAAUUGUUUCUACAAAACCAUUCUUGGUUCUAAUAUUAAUAUCACCCUUUCCCAUUACAUUCACAGUAGAACAAUCACCAAAGCUCACUGUAGAACGAAAACCUUCAUUUAGAAAACAAAAAGAAGACUUACUACCACACAUGUGGUUGCUGCAGCUUGUGUCCACAUACCACACUUCUGCUUGAGGUUGUUCAUUGACUUGAGCAGCCAUCAACAAGGUUUCAACUUCUUUCUUUUCUGCAUAAUUAGAUUUCUCUCAUUUUUCUUUGUCGUUAGGUAAUUUAGUAUAACAUUCAGAACGGUAAUGGCCAAAUUUAUGACAUCUAAAACACUCUACCUUGGAUUUGUCAAAUUGUUGAUUUCGGCCUCUGCCUCUAUUUUGGAAAUCUUGUUGAUCUUCAUCAACUCUAAAAUUGCCUCAUCCACCUCUUCCUUUACCUCCAUCUCUAACUCCUCGAACUCCUCUUCCUUUGCCUCUACCUCGAUCUGUUGAUCUAUUCAUUGUCAAAGCAUUGUUGUUAGUUGAAGCCUUUAAAGCUUGCUCCUCCUUGUCCUCCUGGAUGAUUUUCUGUUCAUGAACUAACAAAGAUCCUUGCAACUCGUCAAUUGAUAGUUCAUCAAGGUCUUUCCAUUCCUCAAUAGAACAAACAACAUAGUUAAAUUUUGGCGUCAUUGACCGAAGAAUUUUCUCAAUAACAGUCACGUCCUCCAUCUUCUCGCCAUGAAUUCGCAUUUUGUUGAUGAUUGCCAUUGUUCUUGAGAAGUAAUCAGAAACUGACUCCCCCGGCUUCAUUCGAAGCGUUUCGAACUUAGAUCGAAGUGCUUGAAGCUGCUGCCUCUUGGUCCUCGUUGAUCCCUGGUACUUCUUCUUCAUGGAGUCCCAAAUCUGUUGGGAGGUGUCCUUGCACAAAAUAGUUUCCAAGAUUGAGCGAUCAAUAGCUUGGAACAAAUAAUUCUUUGCCUUUAGAUCUUUUAAUAUCUGUCCUUCAAUCUCUGUUUUCUGCGCAUCCGUCAUUGGUGAGUUCGUUGCUGGUUCUGCUAUCCCUCCAGAGACUACUUGCCAGUACUCUUUAGAUCGUAAGAAAUUCUCCAUCAACAUGCUCUAAUAUUCAUAGUGACCAUCAAAACGUGGAAUUGCAGGUUGCACAAAAUUUUCAGAGGCCAUUGUUUUUUUUUCUACUGCUGAAAGAAAAUAAACAAAGCUGCUGCUAUAUGACUCUCUGUCUCACAAACUCUCUCUCUCUGUUUUGGCACUCUCAAUUCUCACUUUCUGGUUUUAACCCACUUUUCUAACGUUAACCGGGCUCUGAUACCACUGAUAAAAUAAACUGAGCAAAAGUAAAACCAGAAUAGAGAAACAAUUCCACUCUUUAUUUGUACUGAGACAACCAAUAAAUAGGCAAUACAAUCAACUGGCUUGACAAAGCCAUAACAACAAAGGCAUAAAAAUAGGACCAUGAAACCAUGUUUCAAUAAAUCUGCUGCCACCAUCACCAAAAAUCAGGAGAUAAUAAAGAGACUCAAUAAACAAUUUCCUAUAGACCAGGACAACAUAACAGAUAUAAGACUCAACAUAAAACAAUUUAUUAAAGACUUGGUCAAAUGACCCAUUGCACGAAGAUAUUUUAUCACAAACGAAUCUAAGUUCUGGAAUUUGAAGAAUUUAAAUUUUCCUCACAGAGAAUUGUCAAAGAACUGAAUUUGAACCAAUAAUAAUUAUUUAAAUGAGAAUCUCUAGAAAAUCCAAGUGGGCACCAUCACCAUUGAAUAACGGGCCUUUAGUGUUCUUCUAUAGAAAGGGAUGUGGGUUUUGGAUCUUAAUAUGAAAAGAAGGGUCAAGUGUUUUGUAUAUUGCCCUACUUGGUAUGAGUGUGGCUAUGUUGGGCUUGUUUUGGAGCUUGAAGUUUUAGUUUGACUUUUAUUAAAUCUCCCUUUUUAAAAAUAGAUUGUAUUGGCUUUUCUCAUUGCUGUUGUCACAUUCCUCGGUCCUUAUUUUAAUAUUUUUUAUAUGAAAUGCAAAAUAUUUGAGUACUUUUUGGGUGGUUGCUUAUAAUAAUUUAAAAGAGGUUGAGUAUAUAACAUUUGGGGAAAUAUGUUUCUACUAUCAUUUAUUAAAGUCGGUAGCGUAUACCAUUUGUAAAGAAAUUAAGAUUUGGUAACUAUAUUUCUUCUAUCAUUUGUUAAGGUGUGGGUAAAUAUUUGUCGAUAAUAUUUCUAAAGAAGUUGAGAUUUGGUUCAUUUUUUUUCAAAAAUUAACUUGAGAAAAUAUAUAUAUAUGAGAACAUGUUUUUGUGUUUAUUCUUUCAAAAAUAGAUUUUUGAAAAUUAUUUGGAAAAUAGGGUAUUUUUGAUAAAAAGUUUCAAUUGUUGUUAUUUGUUUUCAUUUGUUUUCUGUGCUCGUUUAAAAAAUAAUAUAUAAAUAAAAAGAAUGAUUGAAAAUAAAGUAGUAUAUAUAAAAAAAAUUGCUUUUUUUAUUGUAGAGAAUUUGACAAACAUGCUUUUAAUGUUAGAAAAUUAUUUUUUACACUAUUACAAAACAUAGUUGUCAAACAAGGAAUUCUAUGUCACUUUCCUUUCAUCUCUAGAUUUUGUCAAGGUAAUCAAAUUACUAAUUAUGAUUACAAACUCCUUUUCUAUUUAUUAGAUCUAUAAAUUCAUUGUUUUAGUUAGAAUUCAAUAAAAGCUUAACUAAAAAUUUGAACAAAUAAUAAAAUUGUUGUUUAGAUUAUUUAUUUAUUUAUUUUUGAGAAUUUUGUUAACUCAUCACUGUUACUUAAUUGGAAUCAACAAGAAGGAUUUUUUUAAUACUAUUUUUUUUGUUCUUUUGAGAAUUUGGUUCAAUAAAGGGUUUCAUUUAAAAAAAAAAAUUCAAUGUGUUGCAUGCAUUGAAUACUAGUCAUUAGGAUAUUUAAUUGAGAAAUGAGUGAUAUUGAUUGAUUUGUAAACCCUAAGAUUUAUAUAAUCAUUAUUUUUUUUUUAUAAAAUUAUCAAAGGAAAGAUUAUUAGGGUAUUAAUGCAUUACUCCAUUAAUUUGGUUUAGGACUUUGUAUAUUUUUUGUGAUUUACACUCCUUUCAACAUUCAAGUUUUCUACAUGAUUAACUUGGGAUUAAACAAAUAAGUAUAACCGAAUUGAUUGAUAAAAAUGACACAAAAGACAUAAGUAUUUAUAUGGAAAUUGAAAAUGAAUUUAAAUUUAAAAUUUAAAAUGGAAAAUCUUUCAAAUCUCUUUUAAUUUAAAAAAAAAUAUUUUUAAAGUUUAAAAAUGAAAAUCUUUCUUUCCUAGCCUUUUUUUUUUUGGUAAAAUAUCAUUUGUAAAUUGAACCAAGCCCACUAGGAUUUCUAUAAUAUAAAUCUCUUAGGAGAAUUUUCAAAGAUCAUCCCCUAAGCUUAAAGUCAUUAUUCUUUGUGUUUAAUAAAAAACUUUCAAAGCAUUUUAAGCUUGUUAAGUGAGUUUGUGAUAGAAGAUCGCAUCCUCUCAAGGUGUUGAAGAAUCCUCCAAGGAGAAUGGUACUUUUGCACCAUAGACGUGAGAUGAGGCGGAAGUUUGGGAUAUAAAUUUUUGGGAAUAAUAAUUGUUAAAUAACAGUAUGUACUUAUCCUUGAAAUUUAGGGGAUAAAGUUAGUGAAUUAUUUUUAUGUCACUUUAGAUUCAUUUUACCUAUUUCAACUUUUUUAUAUAAUGAUUAAAUAAUUUGAAAAUAUAUAAAUUUUUAAUAAAUUUUAAUUAUAAUUCAUUUUCUUUCAUACUUUAAUUUUCAUUGAGAAUAUUUUCCUUUUUCUUUUUUUAGCACCUUCCUGAUAUCAAACUUUGCAUAAAAAAAUCUCUUAGCUAGACAAGGUUUUUAUAGCCUUUGGAAAUGGAUAUCCAUUCGACAAGAGUUGAAUAUAGCAUUCUGAAAUCUUUAGUAAGGUUUUCAUGUGGUUCUUUUAAUAUAUAUAUAUAUAUGUACAACAAUCUCAUUAUUUUUCACACAUGUUUUAGGGCAAUUUAUGAAUACAGCCCCUUGAUUCCUUUAUAUAUGGUUAACAUGACGUUGCUCUACAACAUUGCUCUUCGUUUUCAACUAUCAUGACAUUGAUGAUAUAAAUGAUGAUCUCUAUAACGUUGCUCUUUGUUUUCAACUACUGAGAUAACAAGGGUACAAUAUUUCAUGCAUAAGCCUCAUGAAUAUCAAGUAUCAUUUAGCAAAGCUCACAUAUAACACUCUAUGUUUGUGUGAUAAUUGCAGAUGUAUUCAACAUAGCGUCACUGUCUCCAUUAACACCAUAGAGGAUACCAAUUGGUGAUGUAUUUGGAAGUGACACCAAAGUAGAUAAAUGGUGAUGCAUUCGGAAGUGACACCACAUAUUUCUAGUGAUGAUAGGGUGUCGUAUUAAAUGCAUCAUCUUUGAGUUAUGAUGUCACAUUAAAUGCAUCACCUUUGAGUUAUGGUGUCACAUCAUUGUAAAUUAUUUGUGGAAGAUAUGAUUGCUUUUAGUUGUAGAUUUUUGUAAUGCUUAUGAAUUAAUAAGUAAGAUUAACAUGUGUAUAUUUUGUCUAUAAAUAUAACAAUCAUAUUACAUAAAAAACAACACUAAACAAAACAAAACAAAAAGAAAAAGAAAGGGAAUUUUGUUGAAGAAAUUGGUAUGAAUUCAAGUCAUUUUGAUAUGAGAAAUUUUAAAUAUUAACCUGUGUAUAUGAAUUAAUAAGGAACUGUCUUCUAAGGCUAAUAUAAUAGAAGAAAAACCUAAACCCAAAAACAAUAGGUUCAGAAAACAAAACUCUAGGACCAAGCCCAAUGCAUCAAACAAGGUCCAGAACCCAACUACUAAAAAAUGGGGUAAUUGCUUUGUCUAUGGCAAGUUUGGACACCAUACAACUCAAUGUCCCCAUAGAAAGAGAACUAAGAAGUCCAAUUCAAAGGCAAAUUUGGCAGAGACAGAGGUGAUCACAAUAGUAAUCUCCUUUAAGGUGAGCAUGGUCACCGAUAUGAAGGAUUGGGUGGUAGACUCUAGGGCUACCAGGCACAUCUAUGGGAAUAAAAGUGGAUUUACUUCCUAUAUCAAUGUAAAGAAAGGAGAGGAACAAGUGUCCAUGGGUAAUUCUAGGUCUACUCCAAUGAUUGGCAAAUGGAAAAUUCUCCUCACGGUAACCUCUGGAAAAGUGCUCGCCUUUAGUAAUGUUCUUCAUGUGCUAGAUAUCCACUAGAACUUGGUGUCAAUAUCUCUUCUUGGGAAAACAGGAGUGAGGAUCUUGUUUAACUUUGAUAAAAUAGUUGUAACCAAGAAUGAUGCAUUCGUGGGGAAGGGCUAUUGUAAUCAGGGUUUAUUGAAGAAAAUGGUUGAAUUGAGUUUAAUCUUUAAGCUAUCCUUAGAAAACCAUGGAAAAUGUGAAUCAUGUGUAGAAUAAAAAACCACAAAGAAAUCCUACAAGUUAGUAGAAAGAGAAUCAGAUCUACUAAGUUUAAUACAUAGUGACUUAGGAUACCUAAAAAAUACAAUGAUUAGAGGUGGUAAAUGAUUCUACAUAACUUUCAUAGAUGACUACUCAAGGUAUACAAGGGUAUAUCUUUUGAGAAGCAAAGAUGAAGCAAGAGGUGCAUUCAUCAAGUACAACAAUGAAGCGAAAAAAUAACUAAGUAAGAAAAUUAAAAGGAUUAGAACUGAUAGGGGAGGAGAGUAUGAAUCCAACCCCUUAAAUUCUUUUUGUGAAGAUCAUGGGAUCAUUCAUGAAACUACUCCUUAUUCCCCUAAGUCUAAUGGAGCAGUAGAAAGGAAAAAUAGGACCUUAAAAGAAAUGAUGAAUGCAAUGUUGGUAAGUUCAGGAGCAUCCUUGAACUUGUGGGGGGAAACUAUCCUCUUCGUUUGUCAUAUUCAAAAUAGAACACCUUACAAGAGAACUGGUAAAACCCCUUAUGAGUUAUGGAAGGGUUAUGCACCUAAUAUAGCAUAUUUGAAAGUAUGGGGGUGUUUAGCUAAAGUUCUUUUCCUUGAACCUAAAAAAUGAAAACUAGGUCCUAAAACCUUUCAUGCAAUGUUCAUUGGCUAUGCUGAGAAUAGUGCGGCAUAUAGGUUUCUUGUUACUAAGUCAAAAAAUAGUUUUGUAGAUGUCAAUACCAUAAUAGAAACCAAGAAUGUGAAUUUCUUUGAAAACAUCUUUCUUAUGAAACUAAAUGGUGAACAACAAGUUCAUAAAAGGUUCGAUCCUGCUUCGUUUGUGGGCCGAUCAACCUGAAAUUUUGAGGAGAGGUUCGUGAUUCAUUGAUCUUCAAUCUGAAUGGUGGAGAUUGGAUUUGGAGAUCCAGACAGUCGUCUUUUCGUCCGAGAAUAGAGCCUCUAUUUUGAUGCAUUUUCUAUCCGGACAAUUUUGAUCAUGACCUCUGAUCAAGAUUAAUCCGUGGUUCGAUUGAGCCGAUUUUUGGAGAGUAGGUUCAGAGCUCAUUGAUAUUCAUUUUGAACAGUGGAGAUUGGAUUUGGAGUUCAGAAUAGUUGUAUCUCAAUCCUAGAACAAUGAUGUGUUUGGUGAGAUCUCUCCAUUAUUUUUAUGCAAAGUUGUUGAAAUUGUCAAGAUUAAUUUGUCUUGAGAUAUGGUUGAUGUAUGCCUCUAGUUUUAUCUAGAAAGAAUUGUGUAACCCAUUGAUUAUAUUAGUGGAGUUUUUAAGUGGCCUAAGGGUCCCGUGGUUUUUACUUUUCAUAUUGGAGAAGGUUUUCCACGCUAAAAAUUAUUGGUGUUCAUAUACUUGUUGAUUGGGUGAAUUCUUGUUGCUCUAUUUGAUUGAUUUCUAUUAGGUUCUCACAAAAGGGGAUAAAACCUGGUUGUGCAUUGUUUGUAUUUAUCCCAUUAGCAUGGACAGGAAAAAAUUUUCAUACAUUGGUCCCAAUCCGUGCAUAGACUGAAAUACCUUGUCAAGAUCAUCAAUGGGCCUUUUUAUUGCAACAAAACUAUCACAAAUUGAGUUGAAGGCCUUCAAGUACUCAUCCAAGGAUUGAGUUCCCUUUUUAAGGGUCAUUAACAGAAUCUUCAAAUGGGCUACCUUCUCCACUGUGACAGGAAGAAGAUGUUCAUCAAGAGAAGUUUAGGUGGUGCUUUUUUUUUUACUUAAUUCUAAAUAGAACUUUAAUACUUAAUAAUAUUAAUUAUUAGUUGUUUGUUUUUUUAAUAUUUUCUUUCUAUUAGACAUUAAAAGGUAAAGAAAAAUCAACAUGUUAUUUUUUUCAUUAAGAAAAAACCAAAUAUUUUGGUUUUUUCUAUUCAGUAAAAAUUUUAUAAUAAGUUAUAAAAAAAUAGAAAAAGAAACUCCUCUAAAAGCAAAUUGUUUUCAAUAAAAAGUUAAAAAAAAUUAAAAAAAAAACCACCACUUAGUAUUGAUUCUUUCUUAAUUAUUUACACGAGGGUGUUGAAUUUUGACUAUUUUAAUAUUUUCACAUUCUACUCCAAUAUUGCCAAAAAUUAGGGUAAUAACAUUUCCCAUGAUUUUAAAAAUCGAACCAAACUGGCCGAUCAAUGGCCUGUUCUUGGAUCAAACUAGGGUUGAAUCGUUGGAUUCUUCAAGCACUGAUCAAGCUAAAAUUGUCUAAAAUAUUUUAACAUUUUAACUGCUUUGGGUCUAUUGCUUCUUGCCCAUAAUUAUAAUAGUUUAAAUCUCAUUGGGCUGAUUAUGACCCAUGAACUUCUGUACCUAUUGUUAUAGAGUUGGAAGGGGUAUUUAUACCCAUGGAUGAAAAUAUCAAGAUAUCAUGUAUCAAAGGUUAUGGAAAUGAUAUUUGGUGAAGAAAUAUCAUUCUAGCAAAAUUUUAGAAAAAAUCGCCGAUAUUUCCUAAUAUAUCGGAUGGUCAAUGAGAGUCAAUGACGAUCAAAUGCACUAUAGUGCUUCGCUACAAUGCCUUCUAAAAAAUGCCUAUUUCACCUUACCACUAGGGCAAGUUUACCCCUUGUUAAAUAUAAUGCACUAAACAUAUAUAUAUAUAUAUAUAUAUAUAUAUAUAUAUAUAUUCAAAGUCAUCAUAUAAAGAAAAUAUUAAAAGAAUAUUUUAGAGAGGAAAAUUAAUUAUAAUUAUUUUAUGAUUAAAUGCAAAAUUUUCUUUUAAUUGAUUACCAAAAAUAUAAAAACUAUCAUGAUAAUUUUCUUCAUAGUGUUUUUAAUAUCAUUAAUAGAUUAAUUAAAUAUUAAUUUUAUAUCAUUUAAUACAAUUGAAUUAAAUGGAUCAUAAUUUUAAUAUUAAUAUAUAUUUUAAAAUUAGAAAUAUUAUAAUCAAAUAUCAUAAUAUUAUUAUGAAAUAAUAUUUGAUGUAAUUUAAUAAUAAAUGUGCACUUAUAAAAUUCAUACUUUUAUUAAUGCAUACGAUAUUAUUAUCAAAUAUGAUAAAUCAUAUUAUACAUAUGUCAAAUUCUUUAAUAAAACAACUUUAUACUUUUAAUUAUAUUUUUAUGAAGUUUUUCUUAUAUUUAUAAAAUUUUGAUCAAUUUUAGGUUUAUCGAUAAUUUUUUACAACAUAUCUGUUAAUAUAUUUGUAAAAUCGAAGUAUUGAUAUAUUCAUAAUUACUGAUAUUUUCAUCAUUGUUUAUACUCAUAUUUCCUGCCGCAUAACUAGUGAUCUUUUGAUUGGGAUUCAAAAGUAGAAAAAGUAGAUAAAAAUUUUGCUUUACUAAAGACUCAACCGUUACACCUUAGGUUACCAAAAUAAGAAGUAAACCAUUGGGGUAAAGAAGCAUUUUAAAUUAUUGUUAUUGUAAAACAUUAUAUAUUAAAGAAGUCCUUCUUUAAAAAUUUUAUUAUUUAAAACCCUUAAAUAAUUAUACUUAUUAUAUAAUAAUAUUUAUGAAAAUACUAUGAUAUUUUUAAAUAUUAUAAAAUAAUAAAAUAUACAAUUUUGGACAUAAAACUAAAUAUUAUAAUUUUUCUUUAUAAUAUUAUAUAUGUUUUAUUUAAUAAAUUUUAAAAUAUUAAUAUUUAUCCUUACCAUUUAAUUUGAUAACAUCAAAUAUAAAGAAUGCAUUAUUAUUUUUUUAUUUUAAUUUUUUAUAAAUAAUUUUAAUUUUUAUAAUAUAUAAAUUAUAUAUUUAUUAUAUCAUCGGUUCGACUGCAGUUCAACCACCAGUCCAACCACUAAACUGUGAAUCGGUAAUUUUUUUUGUUCAAGUGAGAACUAGGUCCCAUGUUCUGUUGUGAAGUAGGACAACAAACUCAUCAAACAAUGUUGGAUGCUAUGCUGAGAGUUUGAGCGCUUGAGUAACAAAUAUGGGUUUAGGAAAUUCAAGGGUGGCUUAUGCUAGGAACUCUAGAUUAUUUCGUUAUCAAGUCCUAGAUCUUGUAAGAAUGCAUGUAUCCCUAAAGUUCUCUAGAUCUAAUGCAACAUGCAAAAAGUAAUAAUUUCAAAAACCAUUUUAGAAUAAAAAUCUAGAAUUUGAAUCCAAGUCGAUGAAGAUGUCGUGAGCAUCGUAGAACUUGUCUACCUAAAAGCCUUCCACCCGAUCUCUCUUUCUAUGGAACCUAACAUGAGAGAAGAGUGAGCUUCUCUCUCUCUCUCUCUCUCUCUCUCUCUCUCUCUCUCUCUCUUUCCCCCUCCCCCAUGAGGGUGGCUAGGGUUCAUCUCUUUAGAAUAUAAAAAAUCUUACUAGAAAGAAUGAAACCUUAACCCUUUAAAGGAGUUUAUAUAAGCUUCCCCGUGGGCUUAAUUGACUUAAGUCGAAAUUGGGUUUAGGCCACUUAAUCUAACCCACUUUGGUACUAAUUAAUGCAUUAGCUCUAAGUGACUCUAAUUAAUUAAUAGCACAUUCCAGAAAGUCAAUUUAUAAGAUCUAGUUCAAGCAUACAUUUUUACCAAAACACCCUUAUGUAGACUUAUGAAUUACAAAUGCCCAAAAUACUCUCAAAGCAUUCCACCAUGAAAUAAGAGCUCAAGUAGAGACCAUUGAGACCUAUAGGAAAAUACUAACUCCUUCAAAACCUAAUGUUGAAUUUGACUUUACACUCUACUAAAGAGAGUAAACUACACCCUAAUAUCUUAUGAAAUUACAACUAGCAAAGAUCAAGUCUAUGACCUACUAUUCAUUACAUGUAAACUCUUCAUAAAUUGAUGUCUGUAAUUUAACAAAAUAGUGUUAUUACCUAUCAAGAUUAUCUUUUUAAUCCUUAAAUUAUAGAUCUCACUUCUUAUGUGAUCAACUGACCUACUUUACCUUAAAGGAGUAUUAUCUUUCGCUGUGAAAAUUUAGUGUGUGUUACUUGACUUUUUGGUAGUUCUUAAAGAAUAAUUUCCUCAAAGAACAAAAGAAGCACAUAAAAAAAAAUGCAAUAAAUAAUAAUUGUGGUGGUCUCAAAGUGACCUGGCCAAAAGUGAAAUAAUUGGAGGAUGACAACACGGAACAAGGACUUUUCAAACAGUUAUAUACAAACUUAAUAUAAUAAGGGUUUUUUUAAUGAUUAUUUUGGGAAAUUUUUUUUUAAAAAGGGGAGGAUAUAAUUAUAUAAAAAUAUGUGUAUGCAUAUCAAUACAUGUGUGUAUUUACACGUAUUUUUACAUAUUAAUUUAAUAAAGUAUAAUAAAAAUCAAUUAGUAUGACAAACAAAAUUAAAGUAAUAACAAUCCUAUAAGAAAAACAAAAAAUAAAUAAAUGAACAAAAGUAAGUUUGUGUCAAAAAAAUAUAGUAAAAAAAUAAAAAUCCUUGUGGAAAAACUAAUUGCUAAUAUUUUUUUAUUUCAAAAACAUUUCUAAUAUUAACCUAUACCGGAACCAUUUAAUGAAAAUAAACUUACUUUAAUAAAAAUAUUUUCUUUUAUGUAUCUAUAGACGAGAAAAAAAAAUUGAUAUAUGUCGAAAUUUAGUGGUUAGGGCAGGUCAAUAGAAAAUAUGAUUGGAAAUUUGGUGAUUAGAUCUAAGUGACUCUAAUUAAUUAAUAGCACAUUCCAAAAAGUCAAUUUAUAAUAUCUAGUUAAAGCAUACAUUUUUACCGAAACACCCUUAUGUAGACUUAUGAAUUACAAAUGCCCAAAAUACUCUCAAAGCAUUCCACCAUGAAAUAGGAGCUCAAGUAGAGACCAUUGAGACCUAUAGGAAAAUACUAACUCCUUCAAAAUCUAAUGUUGAAUUUGACUUUACACUCUACUAAAGAUAGUCAACUGCACCCUAAUAUCUUAUGAAAUUACAACGAGCAAAGAUCAAGUCUAUGACCUACUAUUCAUUAUAUGUAAACUCUUCAUAAAUCGAUGUCUGUAAUUUAACAAAAUAAUGUUAUUACCUAUCAAAAUUAUCUUUUUAAUCCUUAAAUUAUAGAUCUCACUUCUUAUGUGAUCAACUGACCUACUUUACCUUAGAGGAGUAUUAUCUUUUGCUGUGAAAAUUUAGUGUGUGUUAAUUGACUUUUUGGUAGUUCUUAAAGAAUAAUUUCCUCAAAGAACAAAAGAAGCACAUAAAAAAAAUGCAAUAAAUAAUAAUUGUGGUGGUCUCAAAGUGACCUGGCCAAAAGUUAAAUAAUUGGAGGAUGACAACAGGGAACAAGGACUUUUCAAACAGUUAUAUACAAACUUAAUAUAAUAAGGGUUUUUUUAAUGAUUAUUUUGGGAAAUUUUUUUUUAAAAAGGGGAGGAUAUAAUUAUAUAAAAAUAUGUGUAUGCAUAUCAAUACAUGUGUAUAUUUACACGUAUUUUUACAUAUUAAUUUAAUAAAGUAUAAUAAAAAUCAAUUAGUAUGACAAACAAAAUUAAAGUAAUAACAAUCCUAUAAGAAAAACAAAAAAUAAAUAAAUGAACAAAAGUAAGUUUGUGUCAAAAAAAUAUAGUAAAAUAAUAAAAAUCCUUGUGGAAAAGCUAAUUGCUAAUAUUUUUUAUUUUAAAAACAUUUCUAAUAUUAACCUAUACUGGAACCAUUUAAUGAAAAUAAACUUACUUUAAUAAAAAUAUUUUAUUUUAUGUAUCUAUAGACGAGAAAAAAAAAUUGAUAUAUGUCGAAAUUUAGUGGUUAGGGCAGGUCAAUAGAAAAUAUGAUUGGAAAUUUGGUGAUUAGCUCUAAGUGACUCUAAUUAAUUAAUAGCACAUUCCAAAAAGUCAAUUUAUAAUAUCUAGUUCAAGCAUACAUUUUUACCAAAACACCCUUAUGUAGACUUAUGAAUUACAAAUGCCCAAAAUACUCUCAAAGCAUUCCACCAUGAAAUAGGAGCUCAAGUAGAGACCAUUGAGACCUAUAGGAAAAUACUAACUCCUUCAAAAUCUAAUGUUGAAUUUGACUUUACACUCUACUAAAGAGAGUCAACUGCACCCUAAUAUCUUAUGAAAUUACAACGAGCAAAGAUCAAGUCUAUGACCUACUAUUCAUUACAUGUAAACUCUUCAUAAAUCGAUGUCUGUAAUUUAACAAGAUAAUGUUAUUACCUAUCAAGAUUAUCUCUUUAAUCCUUAAAUUAUAGAUCUCACUUUUUAUGUGAUCAACUAACAUACUUUACCUUAGAGGAGUAUUAUCUUUCGCUGUGAAAAUUUAGUGGGUGUAAAUUGACUUUUUGGUAGUUCUUAAAGAAUAAUUUCCUCAAAGAACAAAAGAAGCACAUAAAAAAAAUGCAAUAAAAAAUAAUUGUGGUGGUCUCAAAGUGACUUGGCCAAAAGUUAAAUAAUUGGAGGAUGACAACAGGGAACAAGGACUUUUCAAACAGUUAUAUACAAACUUAAUCUAAUAAGGGUUUUUUAAAUGAUUAUUUUGGGAAAAUUUUUUUUAAAAAGGGGAGGAUAUAAUUAUAUAAAAAUAUGUGUAUGCAUAUCAAUACAUGUGUAUAUUUAUACUUAUGUUUACAUAUUAAUUUAAUAAAGUAUAAUAAAAAUCAAUUAGUAUGACAAACAAAAUUAAAGUAAUAACAAUCCUAUAAGAAAAUAAAUAAAUAAAUAAAUGAACAAAAGUAAGUUUGUGUCAAAAAAAUAUAGUAAAUAAUAAAAAUCCUUGUGAAAACUAUUGCUAAUAUUUUUUUUUUAUUUUAAAAACAUUUCUAAUAUUAACCUAUACUGGAACCAUUUAAUGAAAAUAAACUUACUUUAAUAAAAAUAUUUUCUUUUAUGUAUCUAUAGACGAGAAAAAAAAAUUGAUAUAUGUCAAAAUUUGGUGGUUAGGGCAGGUCAAUAGAAAAUAUGAUUGGAAAUUUGGUGAUUAGCUCUAAGUGACUCUAAUUAAUUAAUAGCACAUUCCAGAAAGUCAAUUGAUAAGAUCUAGUUCAAGCAUACAUUUUUACCAAAACACCCUUAUGUAGACUUAUGAAUUACAAAUGCCCAAAAUACUCUCAAAGCAUUCCACCAAGAAAUAGGAGCUCAAGUAGAGACCAUUGAGACCUAUAGGAAAAUACUAACUCCUUCAAAAUUUAAUGUUGAAUUUGACUUUACACUCUACUAAAGAUAGUCAACUGCACCCUAAUAUCUUAUGAAAUUACAACGAGCAAAGAUCAAGUUUAUGACCUACUAUUCAUUGCAUGUAAACUCUUCAUAAAUCGAUGUUUGUAAUUUAACAAGAUAAUGUUAUUACCUAUCAAGAUUAUCUCUUUAAUCCUUAAAUUAUAGAUCUCACUUUUUAUGUGAUCAACUGACAUACUUUACCUUAGAGGAGUAUUAUCUUUCCAUGUGAAAAUUUAGUGGGUGUUAAUUGACUUUUUGGUAGUUCUUAAAGAAUAAUUUCCUCAAAGAACAAAAGAAGCACAUAAAAAAAAUGCAAUAAAUAAUAAUUGUGGUGGUCUCAAAGUGACUUGGCCAAAAGUUAAAUAAUUGGACGAUGACAACAGGGAACAAGGACUUUUCAAACAGUUAUAUACAAACUUAAUAUAAUAAGGGUUUUUUUAAUGAUUAUUUUGGGAAUUUUUUUUUUAAAAAGGGGAGGAUAUAAUUAUAUAAAAAUAUGUGUAUGCAUAUUAAUACAUGUGUAUAUUUAUACGUAUGUUUACAUAUUAAUUUAAUAAAGUAUAAUAAAAAUCAAUUACUAUGACAAACAAAAUUAAAGUAAUAACAAUCCUAUAAAAAAACAAAAAAUAAAUAAAUGAACAAAAGUAAGUUUGUGUCAAAAAAUAAUAGUAAAAUAAUAAAAAUCCUUGUGGAAAAACUAAUUGAUAAUAUUUUUUAUUUUAAAAACAUUUCUAAUAUUAACCUAUACCAGAACCAUUUAAUGAAAAUAAACUUACUUUAAUAAAAAUAUUUUCUUUUAGGUAUCUAUAGAAGAGAAAAAAAAAUUGAUAUAUGUCGAAAUUUGGUGGUUAGGGCAGGUCAAUAGAAAAUAUGAUUGGAAAUUUGGUGAUUAUCUCUAAGUGACUCUAAUUAAUUAAUAGCACAUUCCAGAAAGUCAAUUGAUAAGAUCUAGUUCAAGCAUACAUUUUUACCAAAACACCCUUAUAUAGACUUAUGAAUUACAAAUGCCCAAAAUACUCUCAAAGCAUUCCACCAUGAAAUAGGAGCUCAAGUAGAGACCAUUGAGACCUAUAGGAAAAUACUAACUCCUUCAAAAUCUAAUGUUGAAUUUGACUUUACACUCUACUAAAGAGAGUCAACUACACCCUAAUAUCUUAUGAAAUUACAACGAGCAAAGAUCAAGUCUAUGACCUACUAUUCAUUGCAUGUAAACUCUUCAUAAAUCGAUGUUUGUAAUUUAACAAGAUAAUGUUAUUACCUAUCAAGAUUAUCUCUUUAAUCCUUAAAUUAUAGAUCUCACUUUUUAUGUGAUCAACUGACAUUCUUUACCUUAGAGGAGUAUUAUCUUUCCAUGUGAAAAUUUAGUGGGUGUUAAUUGACUUUUUGGUAGUUCUUAAAGAAUAAUUUCCUCAAAGAACAAAAGAAGCACAUAAAAAAAAUGCAAUAAAUAAUAAUUGUGGUGGUCUCAAAGUGACUUGGCCAAAAGUUAAAUAAUUGGACGAUGACAACAGGGAACAAGGACUUUUCAAACAGUUAUAUACAAACUUAAUAUAAUAAGGGUUUUUUUAAUGAUUAUUUUGGGAAUUUUUUUUUUAAAAAGGGGAGGAUAUAAUUAUAUAAAAAUAUGUGUAUGCAUAUUAAUACAUGUGUAUAUUUAUACGUAUGUUUACAUAUUAAUUUAAUAAAGUAUAAUAAAAAUCAAUUACUAUGACAAAAAAAUUAAAGUAAUAACNNNNNNNNNNNNNNNNNNNNNNNNNNNNNNNNNNNNNNNNNNNNNNNNNNNNNNNNNNNNNNNNNNNNNNNNNNNNNNNNNNNNNNNNNNNNNNNNNNNNUCAAUUGAUAAGAUCUAGUUCAAGCAUACAUUUUUACCAAAACACCCUUAUAUAGACUUAUGAAUUACAAAUGCCCAAAAUACUCUCAAAGCAUUCCACCAUCAAAUAGGAGCUCAAGUAGAGACCAUUGAGACCUAUAGGAAAAUACUAACUCCUUCAAAACCUAAUGUUGAAUUUGACUUUACACUCUACUAAAGAGAGUCAACUGCACCCUAAUAUCUUAUGAAAUUACGACGAGCAAAGAUCAAGUCUAUGACCUACUAUUCAUUGCAUGUAAACUCUUCAUAAAUCGAUGUCUGUAAUUUAACAAGCUAAUGUUAUUACCUAUCAAGAUUAUCUCUUUAAUCCUUAAAUUAUAGAUCUCACUUUUUAUAUGAUCAACUGACAUACUUUACCUUAGAGGAGUAUUAUCUUUCGCUGUGAAAAUUUAGUGGGUGUUAAUUGACUUUUUGGUAGUUCUUAAAGAAUAAUUUCCUCAAAGAACAAAAGCAGUACAUAAAAAAAAUGCAAUAAAAAAUAAUUGUGGUGGUCUCAAAGUGACUUGGCCAAAAGUUAAAUAAUUGGAGGAUGACAACACGGAACAAGGACUUUUCAAACAGUUAUAUACAAACUUAAUAUAAUAAGGGUUUUUUUAAUGAUUAUUUUGGGAAUUUUUUUUUUAAAAAGGGGAGGAUAUAAUUAUAUAAAAAUAUGUGUAUGCAUAUCAAUACAUGUGUGUAUUUAUACGUAUUUUUACAUAUUAAUUUAAUAAAGUAUAAUAAAAAUCAAUUAGUAUGACAAACAAAAUUAAAGUAAUAACAAUCCUAUAAGAAAAACAAAAAAUAAAUAAAUGAACAAAAGUAAGUUUGUGUCAAAAAAAUAUAGUAAAAAAAUAAAAAUCCUUGUGGAAAAACUAAUUGCUUAUAUUUUUUAUUUUAAAAACAUUUCUAAUAUUAACCUAUACCGGAACCAUUUAAUGAAAAUAAACUUACUUUAAUAAAAAUAUUUUAUUUUAUGUAUCUAUAGACGAGAAAAAAAAAUUGAUAUAUGUCGAAAUUUGGUGGUUAGGGCACGUCAAUAGAAAAUGUGAUUGGAAAUUUGGUGAUUAGCUCUUAGUGACUCUAAUUAAUUAAUAGCACAUUCCAGAAAGUUAAUUUAUAAAAUCUAGUUCAAGCAUACAUUUUUACCAAAACACCCUUAUGUAGACUUAUGAAUUACAAAUGCCCAAAAUACUCUCAAAGCAUUCCACCAUGAAAUAGGAGCUCAAGUAGAGACCAUUGAGACCUAUAGGAAAAUACUAACUCCUUUAUAAUCUAAUGUUAAAUUUGACUUGACACUCUAUUAAAGAGAGUCAACUGCACCCUAAUAUCUUAUCAAAUUACAACGAGCAAAGAUCAAGUCUAUGACCUAUUAUUCAUUGCAUGUAGGCUCUUCAUAAAUCGAUGUCUGUAAUUUAGCAAAAUAGUGUUAUUACUUAUCAAGGUUAUCUCUUUAAUUCUUAAAUUAUAGAUCUCACUUUUUAUGUGAUCAACUUACAUACUUUACAUUAGAGGAGCAUUAUCUUUCCAUGUGAAAAAUUAGUGGGUGUUAAUUGACUUUUUGGUAGUUCUUAAAGAAUAAUUUCCUCAGAGAACAAAAGAAGCACAUAAAAAAAAUGCAAUAAAAAAUAAUUGUGGUGGUCUCAAAGUGACUUGGCAAAAAGUUAAAUAAUUGGAGGAUGACAACACGGAACAAGGACUUUUCCUUAAAAAAGUUAUAUACAAACUUAAUAUAAUAAGGGUUUUUUUAAUUAUUAUUUUGAGAAAAAAAUUUUAAAAAAGGGGAGGAUAUAAUUAUAUAAAAAUAUGUGUAUGCAUAUCAAUACAUGUGUAUAUUUAUAUGUAUUUUUACAUAUUAAUUUAAUAAAAUAUAAUAAAAAUCAAUUAGUAUGACAAACAAAAUCAAAGUAAUAACAAUCAUAUAAGAAAAACAAAAAAUAAAUAAAUGAACAAAAGUAAGUUUGUGUAAAAAGAAAAUUGUAAAAUAAUAAAAAUCCCUCUUGGAAAAACUAAUUGCUAAUAUUUUUUAUUUUAAAAACAUUUCUAAUCUUAACCUAUAUCGAAACUAUUUAAUUUUAUUACAUUUCAUGGAAAUAAACUUCCUGUAAUAAAAAUAUUUUCUUUUAGGUAUCUAUAGACGAGAAAAAAAUAUUUGAUAUAUGAUUAGAAAAAUGUUAGUGUCCGAAAAUCGAAAAAUGUCCUUGGAAGAUUGUAUUUAUUUCCCCUGAAUUUUCGGUUUAUCCGGUACGCUCCAUGCCAAACACUGCCCGUGUUUUACGCGGUUUGCAACCCAUACUCCAUGCUCCAUGUCGUAAACAAAUGAGAUUAAAGAUUAGUCUGACAGCUUCAUUGGAAAAAUUCAAAACUAAUGGAAAGAAUGAAUAAAAAAAUGAAAGAAAAUGAAUUGGUCCACAUGUGAAAAGGAGAGAGCUGGUUGUUGAAUGGGAAAUGGAGGAAAAUAGAAGAAAAAUGACAAAGGAAGGAGCCAAGAAAAGGAAGGUGAGUGCUGCCAGCUGUUGGCUCCUCUGAACCAUUCUUCCUUCUAGCCUCUGACCAAAAAAAGAUUGCUUGCCAAGAGAAGAACAGCCAUUUAGCAUUGAAAGACCCUUUCUUUUCUUUCUAAGCCUUCUUGUAACUCCUCCGGAACCAGUCCAAAAAUGGCUUCAUCUGCUACUCCCAAUCCUCAUAGUUAUGAUGUGUUCUUGAGUUUCAGAGGUGAAGACACUCGCAAGAAUUUUACUGAUCAUCUUUAUAACACUUUGGUUGCAUAUGGAAUUCACACCUUCAGAGAUGAUGAAGAACUUUUGAAAGGAGAGGACAUCAAAUCGGGUCUGUCCAGAGCUAUCGAAGGAUCGAAGAUUUUUAUUAUUAUUUUCUCAGAAAACUAUGCUGCCUCCAAGUGGUGUUUAAAUGAACUCGCAAUGAUCAUCGAGUAUACAACGCUAGAGGACAAUAAGGUUAUACCGGUCUUCUACCAUGUCAAGCCUUCAGAUGUGGGACACCAAUCGGAAAGCUUUGAAGUCGCGUUUUUCAACCAUGAGAAAGAUGCAGAUCAAGAGAAGAAGGAGCUAAUAGAGAAGUGGAGGAUUACCUUGAAGAAAGCAGCUAAGCUAUCUGGAUACCAUGUGGAUAAUCAGUAAUAAUUCUUCUCUUUACCUUUGCUUUAUUUCAUUUUUUUUUUUCUCUAAUUACAAACCUGGGUAUAUUUCCUAUGUAAAUUAUUCUUUUCUAUUUAUAUCGAAAGCUUACUUCAUGAUAUCACUAUCUAAUUUUAAACAAAAUAGAUGAAUAUGUUGAAUAAUUCUAAACUAGCCUAAGUUUAAGAUUGGAUUGUGGGCUUACCAAUCCAUUCUCGGAUUCAAUCUACUUAAUAUUGGUUUUAUUACCCAUUUGCCUUUUCUUUUAAUUUGUUUAUAUGGCUAAUUUAUUUUAGGCAAGAUGACGGGGUUUUUUUAUUCAAAAAUAAAAAAUAAAUAAACUAUGAGAUUUUGUCGAUAUAUAACAUUAAAUAUUUUGUCUAACAUGAUUUCGUAUUAACUUCAGAAGAAAUGACCUUCUGUACAUAACAGGAUGCCCGUGCCACCUAGCUAACUAUGCUUUUAUUAUUUAGGGGUACAUAUUUUAUAUAUACCCACAUCAUUAACAAAUAUCUUGUACAGUAUACUUAUAUAAAAAAUGGUUGCAUGUCAUUUUUGUCUUCUGUUCCAAUUCACUAUUAUUAUUAUUAUUAUUAUUAUUAUUAUUAUUAUUAUUAUUAUUAUUAUUAUUAUUCACUUCACUUACAUAUAUUGUACUAGCUUUUACUGCAUAAUAUUGUAGUCUAGUUUACUGAAUACCUCUAGUAAGAUAUUAUUUUGGAGAGAGGAAAUGGAAAAGGUAUCUCUAAAAUUUUAACUAUUUUUAGCAUUAGCUUAGAACUGUAGUUUACUAACUUCAUGCAUGAAGGAUUUUGUCAACUCUUUGGGAUUCCUCACACUUGUCUAUAAUCUAUGAUCUCUAUCAUAUUUAUUUUAUGACACUUUUGAUGGUCACAUCUCUUCCGAGGUUUUCCAAUCUAUCGACAUAAACCUAGUACAAUAUUGUGUAUUAUUCAUAUGUUUAACCCAUUUGUGAUUGUAUAAUGUCAAUGAAUUCCAUCAUGCUCACAUAAUACAAAGAUUCCUAUGCACCUUCCCCUAUUAUUUAGUGUCUCAAUUUUCUUAUUUUUUGUGUCAAAAUUAUUCAUAGAGUUGUUUAAUUAUUCAUAUUUAUUGCACCUUAAUGAUCAUGUUUUGAGUGUAAUGUUCUUUGUAAGCUUGUUUUGUCAUUUUUUUAUUUUAUUUUAUUUUUUAUAUAAAAAGUCUAUUCCAUUGACCUUGGGAUAAGCUAGUCCUAGGCUUAAUCCCCAAAAAGUACUCCUACUAUGCUUAUUUGGGAUUAAUCUACCAACUUUGUUCUCUUAAUGAAAACACUAACAAAUGAGUCUUCAUUUCCUUAAGUUGAUCCCCCACCCAAAAAAAUAAAAAUAAAAAUAAAAAACAAAACAAAACAAAAUUUAACUAUUUUAAUUGUCUCUUAGAAGUAUUUCAACUCUUCUUUAGUUAAAUUCAAGGUUUUUAAUCAACAAGCAAAUCCUUAAAUAAAUUCAAGGUUUUUAAUCAACAAACAAAUCCUUAAAAAAUUGGUAAGUUGAUUAAACAUGGAAACAAGCAAAUAAGAAAUUAUAAUAAACUUUUUUGCAAAAUAAAUGGUGAAAGGAAACCAUAUGAUAGCAUCAAAGAGAGUUUUUAACAAUUUUUCAAUCAAUAAAGAUGUCACUAGAUUGGGGAACUUAGAUGACAAACUAGAAGCUAUCAUAAAGCUUGGCAUAUGAGGAGUUAUCUCUACUUGGAGUCUAGUAACAUUUUAUACCAAUCAACUUCAAUUUGAACUUUUCAACUAAGCCAACAACUAAAGUUCAUAUAUUUCCACUUUUUUCUCACUUGAAUUUAUGCUAGGAAUAAUUAUAAUAUAUUUCAUUUAAUAAAUUGGCCUGAUCUUUUUUUCUAUUACAUUCUACUGUUAAAAGUUUGGUUAGUACUGUGAAUGACACCAACGUCACCAAUUUCCUUUAUAUUGAUUAUAUUUGUAACUAAUUCCAAUCUUAUGUACUUAAUGAUUGACAGACAUGAAGCAGAGGUUAUUCAAAAGAUUCGUGAAGUUAUCAUUACAAGAUUGAAUCGUAAGCCUUUAUAUGUGGGUGACAACAUAGUUGGUAUGGACUUUCAUUUGAAGCAAUUAAAGUCGUUGGUAAAAACCGAGUUGGAUGAUGUUCAUAUGGUUGGUAUAUAUGGAAUUGGUGGAAUUGGUAAAACUACCAUCGCAAUGGCUUUUUAUAAUGAUAUCUCAUCCCGAUUUGAUGGUAGUAGUUUUCUUAGAGGUGUUGGAGAGAAAUCCAAAGGUGGUUUACUUGAAUUACAAAAGAAACUUUUUAAAGAUAUCUUAAAGUGUGAAAGUACAGAUUUCGAUGAUACUAGUGAAGGAAUCAAUGGGAUAAAGAAAAGACUUUGCUCAAAAAGAGUCCUUAUUGUUCUCGAUGACGUGGAAGAAUUAGAGCAAUUGGAAAACUUAGCUGGAAAAAAUGGUUGGUAUGGGGCAAAAAGUACAAUCAUUAUAACAACUAAAGAUACAAGUUUGUUGAGCCAACAUGGAGUGAACAUACUUUAUGAGGUAAAGGAGUUGAAUCAUAAAGAAGCCAUUGAUCUUUUUAAUUGGUGGGCCUUCAAACAAAAUAUUCCCAAGCCUAAAGAAGAUUUUGAAAGCCUUUCACAUUGUGUAGUAGGAUAUGCCAAAGGUCUUCCAAUAGCACUUAAAGUUUUAGGUGGCUUUCUUUUUGGUAAGAAAAUAGAUGAAUGGAAAAGCGCAUUGCAUAAACUAGAAAAAAUACCACACAUGAAAGUCCAAAGUGUUCUUAAAGUAAGUUAUGAGAGAUUAGACGAUACAGAAAAGGAGAUAUUCUUGGAUAUUGCAUGUUUUUUCAAGGGAAAAGACAAAGAUCUUGUUUCAAGAAUAUUAGGAAGGUAUGCAGAUAUUGGAAUAAAAGUUCUUCAUGAGAGAUGUCUCAUUACAAUUUCUCAAAAUAAGUUAGAUAUGCAUGAUUUAUUGCAACAAAUGGGCCAAGAAAUUGUUCGUCAAGAAUGUCUUAAAGAGCCUGGAAAAAGGAGUAGACUUUGGGAUUCCAAUGAUGUUGAUAGUAUGUUAACAAGAAAUACGGUAAGAGCCAAAUGUCAUUUAUUGAAGAAGUUAUAUAUCUAUAUAAUUUAAUUAAUUUUUAUGUAUCUUAUUUUUGGCUUAUUCUUGACUUUUAUCUUUUUAGGGGACUGAAGCAAUUGAAGGACUAUUUGUAGAAAUUCCUACAUCAAACAAGAUGCAAUUUUCUACAAAUUCUUUCACAAAGAUGAACAGACUUAGAUUGUUCAUAGUCUAUAAUAAACGGUAUUGGAAUUGUUUUAAGGGUGACUUUGAAUUUCCUUCUUCUCAACUAAGAUACCUCAAUUUUUAUGGAUGCUCUUUAGAAUCUUUACCAACAAAUUUUAAUGGAAGGAAUCUUGUUGAACUUGAUUUAGUACGUAGCGGCAUAAAGAAACUUUGGAAAGGGGAUGAGGUACUUUUAGAAGUGUUGUUUAGUUAAUAAUUUUUAUAUUAAUUUAAAAGUUUAUCAAAAGUUAUCUACUAACACAUUUUAUUUUGUUCUAGAUUUUUAACAGCUUGAAAGUCAUCAACCUUGGUUAUUCAAAGUAUCUUGUUGAAAUCCCAGACUUUUCAAGUGUGCCAAAUUUGGAGAUCCUGAAUCUAGAAGGUUGUAUAAAUUUACUUAAAAGGUUCAUCCACUACUAUUAUUAUUAGAGUUAUUAACUAACUUUUUUAUUGAAUAUAAUAGGGUGCACAAGCCUCGAGAGUUUCCCAAAAAUCAAGGAAAAUAUGAGUAAGCUAAGAGAGAUUAAUUUAAGUGGAACAGCUAUAAUAGAAGUACCAUCAUCAAUUGAGCAUCUAAAUGGGCUUGAAUACUUCAAUUUAAGUGGAUGCUUCAACCUCGUAAGUCUUCCGAGGAGUAUUUGUAAUUUGAGUUCUCUUCAAACUCUCUAUCUGGAUAGCUGUUCAAAACUAAAGGGUUUUCCAGAAAUGAAGGACAAUAUGGGGAAUCUAGAAAGGCUUAAUUUGAGAUUUACAGCUAUAGAAGAGCUUUCAUCAUCAGUUGGACAUCUAAAGGCUCUUAAACACCUAGAUUUGUCAUUUUGUAAAAACCUUGUGAAUCUUCCAGAGAGCAUUUUCAAUAUCAGCUCUCUUGAAACUCUCAAUGGGAGUAUGUGUUUAAAAAUAAAGGACUUUCCAGAGAUCAAGAACAAUAUGGGAAAUCUAGAAAGGCUUGAUUUGAGUUUCACAGCUAUAGAAGAGCUUCCAUAUUCAAUUGGAUAUCUAAAGGCUCUUAAAGACCUAGAUUUAUCAUAUUGUCACAACCUUGUGAAUCUUCCAGAGAGCAUUUGCAAUUUGAGCUCUCUUGAAAAGCUUAGAGUCCGAAACUGUCCAAAACUCCAGAGAUUGGAGGUGAACCUAGAGGAUGGUUCACACAUCUUAAGAUCAUUAAAUACAACUUGUUGCAUAAUAAAGCAAGGUGUAAUCUGGAGCAAUGGCCGCUUCUCCUCAUUAGAAACAUUACAUCUACGGUGCAGUCAAAUGGAAGGAGAGAUCCUUAAUCAUCAUAUUUGGUCCCUGUCAUCACUGGUGGAAUUAUGUAUAAGAAACUCUGAUCUCACGGGAAGAGGAAUCCUCAGUGAUAGUUUCUACCCAUCAUCAUUGGUAGGAUUAUCUGUAGGUAACUUCAAUCUAAUGGAAGUAGGUGAUAAGGGAGAAUCAAAUGAUUCUCCCUUAUCAGUAGGAAUCCAAGGAAUCCUCAAUGAUAUUUGGAACCUAUCUUCACUUGUGAAAUUAUCUCUAAAUAACUGCAAUCUAAUGGAAGUAGGAAUCCUUAGUGAUAUUUGGAACCUAUCUUCACUGGUGAAAUUAUCACUAAAUAACUGCAAUCUAAAGGAAGGAGAGAUCCUCAAUCGUAUUUGCCACCUGCCAUCAUUGGAAGAAUUAUCUCUGGAUGGGAACCAUUUUAGUAGCAUACCUGCUGGCAUCAGACUACUUUCCAAUCUAAGAGCCCUCAACUUGAGACAUUGCAAGAAGCUUCAAGAAAUUCCAGAGCUUCCAUCAAGUUUAAGAGACCUUUACUUGAGCCACUGCAAAAAGCUUCGGGCAAUUCCAGAGCUUCCAUCAAAUUUGCUACUUUUAGAUAUGCACAGUUCAGAUGGUAUUUCAUCACUGUCAAAUCAUUCUCUGCUCAAUUGCUUGAAAUCAAAAUUAUAUCAGGUAUGAUUUUCAUGGCACAGACCUUUUACUUUUGUACCCACUUGAUUUACAUAGUGCUUUUGUGCAGGAACUCCAGAUUUCUCUUGGUGCUUCUGAAUUCCGAGACAUGGCAAUGGAAAUUGUUAUUCCUAGGAGUAGUGGAAUUCUAGAGGGAACAAGGAAUCAGAGUAUGGGAAGUCAUCAAGUAAGAAUAGAGCUCCCUCAGAAUUGGUAUGAAAACAAUGACUUGCUGGGAUUUGCUUUAUGCUGUGUUUAUGUUUGGGUACCUGAUGAAUUCAACCCUAGAUGUGAACCAUUAUCGUGCUUGGAUUGUAAAUUGGCUAUCUCGGGAAAUUGUCAAUCAAAAGAUGUGGACAAAUUCCAAAUUGAAUCUGAAUGUCAUUGCUCUGAUGAUGAUGAUGAUCAUGGUAGUGCAUCAGAUCUAGUAUGGGUUAUAUAUUAUCCCAAGGAUGCUAUUAAGAAGCAAUAUCUCUCCAAUCAAUGGACACACUUUACUGCUUCAUUUAAAAGCGUAACCCUUGAAGCGAAAGAGUGCGGGAUCCAUCCUAUAUAUGGCUGCUUCAAAUGUCGACGAGAUAAAGAAUGCCAACAGAAGCUUUGUUUAAAGGGCAGUGCUAUUAAUGAGCUUCCCUUUAUUGAGAGUCCCUUUGAACUUGGUAGUCUGUGUUUGCGGGAGUGCAAAAACCUAGAGAGUCUGCCAAGUACCAUCUGUGAGUUGAAGUCCCUUACAACUCUCUCUUGUUCUGGCUGUUCACAACUAACUAUCUUUCCAGAAAUCUUUGAGACUUUGGAAAAUUUAAGAGAGCUUCAUUUAGAAGGGACUGCCAUCGAAGAACUACCAUCAUCAAUUCAACAUCUAAGAGGGCUUCAGUAUUUGAAUCUGGCAUAUUGCAACAACCUUGUGAGCCUUCCAGAAACCAUUUAUCGUUUGAAAUCCCUCGUAUUUCUCUCUUGCACUGGUUGUUCACAACUAAAGAGCUUUCCAGAAAUCCUGGAGAAUAUCGAAAAUUUACGAGAGCUUUCUUUACAUGGAACUGCCAUAAAAGAGCUCCCAACAUCAAUUGAACGACUAGGAGGGCUUCAAGAUUUGCACCUGUCAAAUUGCAGCAACCUUGUGAAUCUUCCAGAAAGCAUUUGUAACUUGAGAUUUCUCAAAAAUCUCAAUGUUAAUCUCUGUUCAAAACUUGAGAAAUUUCCUCAGAACUUGGGGAGUUUGCAACGUUUAGAGCUUUUGGGAGCUGCAGGUUCAGAUUCCAAUCGAGUUCUAGGAGCAAUUCAGAGUGAUGAUUGCCGCAUGUCAUCAUGGAAAGCAUUAAAUCUGAGCAUCAACUAUUUUAGUAGCAUAAUUCCUAUCAGCAUCAUUCAACUUUCUAAAUUGAGAGUCCUUGACUUGAGUCAUUGCCAGAAGCUUCUACAAAUUCCAGAGCUUCCACCAAGUUUACGAAUUCUUGAUGUCCACGCCUGCCCAUGCUUGGAAACAUUAUCAAGUCCGUCAAGUCUACUUGGUUUUUCUUUGUUCAGAUGCUUCAAAUCAGCAAUUGAGGUAUGAUUUUCUGAGACAUUUAACCUUUUUUUUUUUUUUUUUUCUUUUUGAAACAUAAGAUUUACGCUACUCUUUCAUGCAGGAAUUUGAAUGCGGGUCCUAUUGGAGCAAGGAAAUCCAAAUUGUUAUUCCAGGAAAUAAUGGAAUUCCAGAGUGGAUAAGCCAACGGAAAAAAGGAUCUGAAAUAACAAUAGAGCUUCCUAUGGAUUGGUACCAUAAUAACGACUUCUUGGGAGUUGCCUUAUACUCUGUUUAUGUUCCACUUCAUAUUGAAUCCAAUGAAGAUCCUUGUAGUUUAAAAUGUCAAUUGAAUUUCCAUGUUCAUCACUUUGAAUUUCUGGAUGAUCUACCAUCUAAAUUCUGGUCUAUGAAUGGUCUUUCAUAUGAAUUUUGGCCCGUGGAUGAACUCUCGUUUAGAAGGGGUUAUUUGUGCCACCAUAAUGGUGAUGAAUUAAAUGAAGUCCGGGUGGCAUAUUAUCCGAAGGUUGCUAUUCCGAAUCAGUAUUGGUCAAAUAAAUGGAGACAUUUGAAGGCUUCAUUUCAUGGUUACUUGGGUAGUAAACAAGUGAAAGUGAAAGAGUGUGGGUUCCAUCUUAUAUCUAUGCCCAAGAUUGUCAACAGAAGCAUCCCACAAGAUAGAAGUAUAAAAGGCGUCGAGCACAAUCGUCCACCAAUAUUGAUACAGUACCCAGAUGUUCAAAGAUGCUGUGACACCAAAUCAGUACCAGAAGAUACUAAUGUUAAUGCACAGAGCUGCUGUGAUGACACACAUAGUACAGAACACAACCAUUCUCCAAUGGAUACAAUAACACAUAAUGUUGAUGAUAAUGUUGUUGAUGCCCAAGAUGAAGAAGAAGACCAUAUGCACAAGUGGUUGGACCUUCUUUGCAAAUCUGUUCAAUGGAUAUGUUGUAGAAGAUGCUAAACAUUCAUCUCAAGCUUUUGGUAAGCCACCUUUCUUUUGGUAAGCUUUUGCUAUGUUCUUUCUAAAGAUUUAUUCUUCUUCUUCUCUCUUAUUUUUACCUAGCUACUCUUUUUUGAAAGUCAAGUCCAUAGGCGUAAAAUCCAAAUUUUGUUUUAUAAAAAAAAAAAUCAUUUUUAUUAGGACUUGUUUUCGAGUAUUUUUAACAAGCUUGAUUGCACUGUUAUUUUCGAAGUAUUAAACAUUGAAUUAGAUAAGUUGGUAGAGGAAAUUACGCAUUAGCCUUGAACUUGAUCAGUUAAGCCAUGAAAGUUCUUACUAAAUAAAAUAUUUCAAGUCAAUUUUUAUUUGUUAUUAAUGUAUUGCCUAUUUGAACUCACAUUUUAUUCCAUUUUGUACUUUAUAUAUUUUUUUGGUCUCAAAAAGAGAUUAAGUCUCCAAGUAAGAAAGAUCAAUCAAAUUAGGAGGGGAAGAACAUUUCAAUUUCAAGUAUUUUCCUUUAAAAUAUUUUGAGAGGUGCAUAUGUUUUAGGCAUUCCAAAUGAGUUAACAAUUAAAUUAUGACAUUGAUUUCACUAACUAGAGUUGUUUGGAUUGAUUCUUUAGUUCAAAAGUUAUCACUUCUCUAGCUUUAACUAUUCCAUUAAACUAGUUUGAUACAAAAAAAAUUAAAUAAUAUUAUUUAAUUUUAAUAUUAUUGUGUUGUUUACUGAAUGGUACCAGAUAUAUAAACUUCAUGUUACAAAUGACACCGCUAUUGCCCAUUUUAUCUCACAACUACAACAAAGAGGUUUUCUACAUGGGGAUGAUAUGGGAGAUCGGUUUUUCAACUGCUCACAGUAAUAUCUCUCUUUUGUUUGAUGUUCUAUCUAUUAAGGAUGAAAUUUUUGUUGGUUCUAUUGGAAAAAUUAUGGUUUCAGGAACUUGCUAUGGCAUAUUGUCUCUCUUAGGAAGGAAUGAAUUCUGGAUCGUUAUCACUGCAUUCACCUCAAACAGGGUAGAACUUGUCAUUUCUUGCAAUAGAUGUGUAUGCAAAGCUUGAUAUUUUUAUUAAUACAUUAUUUAACACGUUCAUUAUCAGAACUUGUUUUAUGGUUUAUUAUUUGUUUAUCAGUUCUGUGUAAUGGAGCAUGCACCAAGUAAACUCCUCCUCUUGCCAAAGGUUUGAGAGUCUUAUAUUUGGUUUAUGUAUGUUCCUGCAUCUUUAGUAGCAAUAAUUUUAUACUAUCUUUUGGGUUUUAUAGACUUUUUUUGUAACUGUGAGAGUCAUCCAAGGCCAUAUUUCAGGUUGUUCAUUAACUGGCUUUUUGACCUUGUGUCCCCAGACCCUAUCUUGGAUGGUGCUAACUUUCAGGUAUAGGUUGUUUUCAUUUCAUGCAUUAGUAUUGUAAUAUGCAAUUUGGCAUAAACUAACUAGAUAAGGUCACUUUUCAGGUGUUGAUUGCUUUUACUAAUGCUUUCCAUGCAUUGCAGCUUCUUAAAAUCCUGGUAUUCAGGUCAGCAUGCCAUGCAUUCAAGGUUUUUCUUUCCCAAAUGUUAAAAUCUGUUGUUGCAUAUGAUUUUGUGAAGCUCUUAAGAAUGGAUUUCACUUAAAAGAGUACCCAUGUUGGAUGCUCCAAAAGGGGACAAUUUCCUUGGGUGAUUGCAGUUUUUUUUAAUUUGUUUUCAGGAAACUGAUCCAAAAGGUGGGAAAAUUCAACUGCACAUUGAGCAACACAUCAAUAUUUGUGGUAUGAUUUAAGAGCUUGUUUUUAUAUAAUGCAGAAAUCUCGUUAUCAAUCUAGAUGUUGAAUAACUGCAGCUAAGCUCUGCUAGGCCUUUUUUAGAGGAAAAAAAUACUAUUAAAAAAAUUAAUUAUAAAAUAUUUUAAAUAUAUAAUUAAAAAUUAAAUAAUAUUUAUAAUAUUAUUUAUUCAAUUUUAUAUAAAUGCAUUAAUGGUUUAAAUUUAUUAAACAAAAUAUACACAAUAUUUAAAUGUGAAAAUAUAUUCAAAAUGGUAAAAAAAAAAAAAAAAAAAUCAUAUUUUAAUACGAAAACAAAUUUUUUUUAAAAAUGUGAUUUAUAUAUAUAUAUAUAUAUAUGUAUUAUUUUUUAAAUUGCCUACUUACUUAUUUUCUUGUAAAUAUUGAUAUAAACAUGGAUGCAACACAAUAGAGUAGUUAUGUCAUUAUGACCUUGUGGUUUGUGGUUCAAACCCUCUUGUGUAGGAACAAAGUUGGUUUUUCUUUUAAAUCCCUUUACCUUGUCCCACAUCCAAAGUAAAAGGAAAAGUAAAGUGCUUUAUAAACCUCUUCUCAACCAUCCAAAGCCAAGUGGUCAAGCUAAGUGAUUGUUGGGCCUUAUGGCACAACCUUUGAAUAAGGGCCCAUUUUGCAAGCUGGGGGUGGACAUUUAAUGUUGGGCCAUGGAGGGAAUAUAGCCUAUUUUGUCAAAAAAAAAAAAAAAGGGAGGCAAUUAAUGCUGGGCGGGAGUGGUACACUUAGUAUUUUAUUACGGAAAAAUGAUUUGGUAAAAAAUAAUUGUUCACAAACUUAUAACAACAAACUUGCCACAAAUAUUUAUUUGUGAAAAAAAAAUAUUCUACCACAAAAUAUUUUCUUUUAACAAAAAAUUAAUUUAUGGCAAAAUCUCUUAUUUGUUGUAGUGAAUGUAAUGCCUUAGUUAUGGGUUUGAUUGAUAUCUAGAUGGAAUAUCUCAAGCUCAAACAAUUGAAGGCGACAAGCUCAGGCAAUUAAAUGUGAAAAGCUCAAAUGACUUGAACAUCUCAAUUGCAGAAUUUUAUCAAAGGGAAGGAGGAAUCUCAACUUAAGAACAAACUAUCAAAUUCAAGAGGAGACAAACAUCUCAAUUGUAAAAUUUUCCUUCCAAAUGUUUUAGUAGAGGAAUACAUCUUGACCCCAUACAAUGAGUUUUGGAUGAUGAUGGGUAGAGAGGAGAGACCACAUAGUACAAGUGAGAGCGAGUGUGAAAGUCCUUAUGGAGGGGAACUUGAAGCCAUCUGCUGAUAUUUGACCGAAUUGAAUCAAGAAAAGAUCCCCAUCCACCCGCAUGAUUCUACUAGCAGUAAGCUAUUGUAGUUUUCAAUUUUUGCAGUGGCUUACAAGUGAAUGAUUGUUGUUAGCUUGUCAAUGUUCAAGAGCAUUAUUGAAUCCUCAAUUUUAUUCUUGUUUUUUUUUUUUUUUUUCCAACAGAUUCAAUUCUGUUUCCUGAUGGAUCAAUUUGCACUACGGUUUGAACUCUUUCAAACCUUGGUGAGUGAGAGGAGGUAGGAUGCUUCAAAAUUUUAAGCUGUGAUGGUAUGAUCGUGUGGUAAAAAAUGUUCAGCCUGGAAAGAAAAAAAAAAUUGUCUACAACAAUAUGUAUGCCAAGACAUUCAGAGAUCUUUCAAAGAGUUAGCAGCUCUAGAUUAAUCAAUCCUGCAGGAUGAAAAUGGACGGAGAUCAAAGCCCUUUGAUUCAUAUCUGUAAUUGCAUAAACAUAUGCGCCAGUGUUGUACAAGAAUAUGAGGUUUCUGACACUACGAAAGAGGCCAAGACACGAGUGGCCAUGAGUACAAGUUGAAUUUUGGAUACAAUCCAUUACCUGGAACUAUGGAUUUUCUUGCUGUUGUUCAUCCCUUUCUGGAUUUUCUUGAAGGCCCUAUCAUUUCUUGGUUGUACUGAAUUGUUUUGAAUGUUGUAUUUCAUGCAUUAGACGAUGGAGUAGAGAUCAUUCCAAGCAUUUGUAUUUAUUUUGAAAAGCAUUUGACACCCAUAUAUUGACCGUAGAAUUUUCUUAUUUAAAAUUUAGUGUACAUAUGGAAUAUGGUAUCAUUUUUCCAAACCGAUCAAACUAUAUAGAUUUUCUAAGACUUUCAGUUUUUUAAAUAUGAAACCAAUCCACAUUGGUUUGAUCAAAAUAAUAAGUUAAAAAAAGAAAAGUAAUUUAACAUAUUUCUAUAAAAAGGUAUAAUUUAGGUUGAAAAGUAUACUUGUUUGGACAAGUUGUCAUUCUUAUACUUGUUUUAGAAAUUGGUAAGUUAAAGAAUAUAAAAAAAAAAUACUAUUUUUUAAAAAAAAGAGUGUUUGUCAAGUUAUUUUUAAAAAUAUUUUUCAAAAAAAUAAAAUAAAAAAUUAUUUGGACAAGUUGUUUUUAAAAUUUUUUAUUUUGAUUUUAAAAAUAAGUAGUUUUUAUUUUUUGUCAAAUAUGAAUAGAAAUAUUAUAAUAAAAUCAUAAAUUAUAUUUUCUUUUACAAUAUAUAUAUAUAUAUAUAUAUAUAUAUAUUAUAAAAAUAUGGAUAUUAAUAUCUUUAUAAAAAUAUGAUUGAUUUAUUUUAUUAAAAAUAGAUAACGGUAAUUUAAAAUAAUAAUUGUUAAUAAUAUUUUAUUUAAAAUGAAUUUAAAAAAUGAAGUUUUUAACAUUUGAAUGAAUUAAGUUUUUGAGUACAUACAUACAAUUAGUAGUCAAUUAUAAACAUAGUGUUAUUAAAUACUUUUAAUUUAGUCAAUAAUUAAUUAGAUCUAUUUUUUGAAUUUCAAAUUAUUCUUAAAAAAUAUAGAAGAUUAAAGUACUAAUUAUGUCUCACUUAAUUUAGAAUCUAUUUAUCUAAGGAGAAAAUUUAGAAAUUAUAAUUGUAUAUAUAUAUAUAUAUGAGAAAUAGUAAAGUCAUAACUCAUAAUAGAAAAAUUAUUGUCUAUGAUUUUCUAUAGUGAUUAGAUUUAUUUUUCGAGUUCUAAAUAAUUUUUAGAAAUUAUUCAAUACAUUAAUAAAUACAAUACUGAGUGUAGCUUGUUUUAAAGUUCAUUUUCCUAGUGAGAAAAUUUAUAAGAAUAUAGUUAUAUAUGAAAAUGCUCAAGCACAGAUUAGCAAGAAUGAAGAAUUUGUUUCUAUUUUACAGUUUUUACAGUAGACCAAUGACUAUAUAUAUAUAUAUAUAUAUAUAUAUAUUACAGUAUAACUAAUCUAACCAUCUAACCAUCUGAUAGCUUGGAACAACAGAGAGACGAGUACGAGCGGCUGAGAACUGAUAGCUUGGAACAUGUUUAGUAAAGACAUCUGCCAACUGGUCGGUAGAAAGAACAUAUUGAAUCAAAAACUCUUUGCGGAGGACCUUAUCACGAACAAAGUGAAGAUCAAUCUCUAUGUGCUUGGAGCGGGCAUGGAAGACAGAGUUAGCUGCAAGAGCAGCAGCACUGAUAUUGUCACACUAGGUCAGAGGAGUGUCCGGUUGAGGAAUGCACAACUCUUUGAGAAGAAACUGAACCCAGGAAACCUCAGCGGCGAGAAGAGCAAGUGCCCGGUACUCCGAUUCUACACUACUACGAGAGACGACACGUUGCUUGGUGGAGGACCAUGAAAUGAGAUUGGUGCCAAAAAAAAAGACAAAAGCCACUGGUGCUUCUUUUAUCAUCGGGACAUGAAGCCCAAUCCGCAUCGGUAUAGCCUUGAAGAGACCAAGAUGGUGAGGCAUGGAUAGAAAGACCAUGAGUAGCAGUACCUUUGAGAUAGCGGAGUAUGCGUUUAGCAGCUUGCAGAUGAGAAGUGGUAGGAUGAGCCAUGUAUUGACAAGCUCGAUUCACUACAAAUGAGAUUUCUGGUCUUGUGAGAGUGAUGUACUGAAGAGCACCCACAAGACUGCGGUAGUGAGUAGCAUCAAGAGCAGAUAAAGGAUCUCCAUCUGUUGCUGAUAACAAUUUUCCCAAAGCACUAGGUGUGCUAGCAGAUUUGGCCCCAAGAAGAUCAACACGCUCAAGUAGCUGAUGUAUGUAGCGUUGUUGAUUGAGAUGAAGAACAUGAGGAAGCCGGGUGACUUCAAUACCAAGGAAGUAGCUAAUAUCCCCAAGGUCUCGAAUAGCAAAAUGAGAGCUAAGCUGAGAAAUGAUAUGAUGGACCUAUGGUGGAUUACUGCCAGUAAUGAGAUUAUCAUCCCACAUAGAUUAAAAUGAUGAUAAUAUCNNNNNNNNNNNNNNNNNNNNNNNNNNNNNNNNNNNNNNNNNNNNNNNNNNNNNNNNNNNNNNNNNNNNNNNNNNNNNNNNNNNNNNNNNNNNNNNNNNNNGCCAGUAAUGAGAAUAUCAUCCACAUAGAUUAAAAUGAUGAUAAUAUCAGAUGCAGAGUGGAAAUAAAAUAAAGAUGCAUCAGCCCUUGAGCAUUGGAAUCCCAGCUAUAAGAGAAAGGAGCUGAGCUUGUGGAACCAAGUUCGAGGCGCUUGUUUAAGGCUAUAGAGAGCCUUCUGUAGACGACAAACAUGAGUGGAGCAAGAGCUAUCUUCAAAGCCUGGAGGUUGCAUCAUGAACACCUGUUCCUGAAGAUCUCCAUUUAAAAAAGCAUUGUGGACAUCUAGUUGUUUAAUAGGUCAGUUGAAAGAGACGAUAAUGGAGAGAACAAGCUUGAUAGUGCAAGGCUUCACAACUGGACUGAAUGUCUCAAAAAAAUCAAUGCCAUAGGUUUGAUGAAAACCUUGGGCAACCACCCAAGCUUUGUACCUGUCAAUGCUACCAUCAGGUUUAUGUUUGAGUUUGAAGACCCAUUUACACCCAAUAAUUUUGGCCUUAGACGGAGGUGGCACCAAAGACCAAGUUUGAUUCUUCAAUAGAGCCUAAUAUUCCUGUUCUAUAGCAAGCUUCCAGUUAGGGUCUUGAAGAGCCUGUUUGACAGUACGUGGCUCAGCUAUGAGUGAGGUAAGAUAGGUCUUCUUCUUACAGAUACCAGAUUUGGAUAUGAUAAUCAUAUGAUGGCCAGGAAUUGGAGCUGUGGAAUCCUGGAGUGGAGUAGUAGAAAUCUCAGCUGCUUCAUCCACAAAUGGCACCUGAAUGAGCGGGGGUAAAGACAAAGAGCUGGCUAGAGGUGAUGUGGGAGCAGGUUGGGAUGGGAUAACCGGAGGAAAGCUGGUUGUAGAGGGGAAGAGAACAGAAGAUGGAGGAAAAGAAAAUGCUGAAGUGACAGGAAAGUGAGAUGAUUGGUGGGAAGGAGAAUUCAAUGCCUGAAAUGGAAAUGCAGUCUCUGCAAAGACUACAUGCCUAGAGAUAUACACUCUACCAGUUGUAGGAUUAAGGCAAAAAUAACCCUUGUGAGAUGUUUCAUAACCAAGAAAGAUACAGGGUGUGGAUCGUGGCUAAAAUUUGUUGGAGUUGAGAUGUUUGAGGUGUGGUUAACAAAGACAACCAAAGACUUUGAAAUGGAAAUAAUUAGGUGGGUGUUUGUAAAGAAGAUAAAAUGGGGAGCUGUAAUUAAGCAAAUGAGAAGGCAUGCAAUUGAUAAGGGUAACUGCUGUAGUGAAAGCAUAGGACCAAAAUUUGGAUGGAAGGGCAGCUGUGUAAAGAAGAGUGAGCCUGGUUUCUACAACAUGGCGCAUCUUGCGUUCGACCCGGCCAUUUUGUUCAGGUGUAUAAGGGCAAGAAAAUCAAUGGAGUAUACCAUGAAGAGAUAGAAAUCGGGUGAGGGCAAUGAACUCUCCACCAUGGUCUGUUUGAAGGCAUUUAAUGGUGGUCUGAAACUGGUUUUCAACAAGAGUUUNNNNNNNNNNNNNNNNNNNNNNNNNNNNNNNNNNNNNNNNNNNNNNNNNNNNNNNNNNNNNNNNNNNNNNNNNNNNNNNNNNNNNNNNNNNNNNNNNGAAGCACAUUGUGUAAGACAAAGGGUUUAGCAGAAGUGUGGAGAAAGGAAUGAACAACUUGGGUUAUGGGUAGGGACUUACCAUUGCCAACCAUCACAAAGUCAGUACCAUUGUGUGGAGUACCAUUGUAGAUAUUAGCAGCCAUAUGGGAGAGAUGGUGGGUGACGCUUGAAUCUAAAAACCAGGAGUCCGUUGAUGCUGGGGAAGGUGCUGCCAUCAUGGCUUGAGUAGGAGGAGUGAGACUAGUUUGAGAGGUUGAUGAGGCUGGUGCAUGUGGCCCUUGAUAAUUCACAUCAAAUCUAUGAUAACAAGAGAGGACCAUGUGCCCAAACUUGCCACAUAACUGACACUGUGGUCGAUUAUUUCUCCGGGAUCGAUUAUUGUUGAAUCCGUUAGGGCGAUAUCCUUGAGGAUGUUGCUGUCGUGAAUCUGAAAGAGUGCUAGGUCGUGGGGUUGGCAUGAAUGACUGAGGUGGUUUCCCUUGAGAGGGUUUGCUGGACUGUGACCUUUGUGGUCUGUUAUGAGUUGCAAUAUUGGCAAUGAGGAGGUCUUCUUUAGUAGUCGUGGUUUGAAGAUGCAGCCUCUGUUCAUGAGUAAGAAGGAUGCUAUGUACCAUAUGAAGCUGAAGAUCAUCAUCUCUAGUUGUGAGAGAAGCCACAAUGGGGUUGUAUUCAGCCCCUAGUCCACUUAGUAAUUGAAGGAUUUGAUCCUUUUCUGGCACUGGUUCUCCAAUAGCUACUAGACUAUCAAAGAUAUGUUUGAGUUUUUUUUAUGUAUUCCAUCAUGGUGAGAGGGUCUUUUUUGGUUGUUUGAAAAGCAAGUCUUGGCUGCAUUGUUCUUGCUUUAGUGGAAGCAGAGAAGCUUCGUUGGAGGGUUAUCCAUGCUUCAUGGGAUAUUCGUAGCCCAACAAUUUGGCCCAUAACAUCUGGGGUGAGAGAAAAGUAGAUCCAACUCAGGAUCAUAUGAUCAUAUCUCCUCCAAAUCAAAAAAUCUAGGUUCACUUCACCGAUGGAUAUUAUUUUUAGAGGACAUGGUCUCAGACCUUCAAUAUGGUCCUCAAAUCCAUUGACAUAUAUCACAUUUUCCAUUUGUGUAUGCCAAAGGAUAUAGUUAUCUCUAUCUAGUUUGAUAAGAAGAGGAUGGUUCAGCAUGCUCAUGUUUAGGGUAAAGGUUACCUGAGAAGAGACAAUCUCCUGUGUGGUUUGUGUUGAUGAAGCCAUCGGAAACUAGGUACAGUAUGUUCUUGAAGCUUUCUUGAGGUGAGUAAGAAAAGCAGAAGGUAAUCUACAGAUGACGUAUAUCAGAAGAAAGUUGUAGCAGAAAGAGUUGUUGGAGAUUUUUUUAUCGUCUUGCCGGGAGAGAAAUAAAAAAUAAAAUAAAAAAUUCAAAAGCCUAUGGCUCUGAUACCAUUAAAAUGCUCAAGCACAAAUUAGCAAGAAUGAAGAAUCUGUUUCUAUUUUACAGUUUUUACACUAACUAAUCAUAACAGCAUUUGUUAGAGAGGAGAAGAAUCAUCUGCUGAUGCGGGUGUUUGUCUAUCAAUAUACAAUAAAGAAACUAUAAUUAUUUUAAACCAACUUUUAUUCAUAAGUUUUUUGUAUUAAUGAGGUUACUAUCCGAGGUUCAAAUUAUUUUAAAAAAUGACUAGACUUGUUAAUGAGUGAUGUAGCAAUAAGCAAGAAAGAAAAGAGGAUAGAAUACGUCUAAUCCAAGAAAAUUUGGAAUCCAUUAAAGAAACUCUCAAGAAGAGAUUUUCAUUGACUAAAAAUUCAGAACAAGACAAAGGAUCUUUUUCCACCAUUUUUUCCUCCAGUUUAUCUUAAUAACCCUUCAAUGUCUUCACAACUUCCAACAUUGAGGAAAUAAAAUCUCAAAUAUCUACUAUUAGUAAUCAAGUAUUAUAAGUCUCAAGUUUCCCAGGUAAUUUAAAUCUUAUUCUAAAACUGACUUGACUAUUUUCUUCGGAGUCCCCUCUACUUGAACAAAAUUCGAUCUUGAGUCACAAUCUUGAUAAAACUAGUUGCCUUGUUAGAUGAAUGAUACUCAUACAAAUAAAAAACAUUGAAGGUCUUAAAUUCCCAUGUCUUCUAGUAAUUUUCCUUAACACCUGAAAUGGUCCACAUUUCUUCGGCUUCAACUUUUUAUAAUUUCUAGCAGAAAACCUUUCCUUGUGUAAGCAUACCAUCACCAUAACACCUACUUGAAACACUUUUGUGUCGAUGAUGUUUAUCAACUGCUACUUUAUACUUGCCAUUUACCUCUUCUAGCCUCAUCUUUGUUUCUGCUUGCAUUGCUUGAACCUUCUCAGCUAUAUGUUCUGCUAUGGUACUCAAACAAAGAGCCCUCGAUAAUUGUAGCAAAUCUAGAGCAUGCUUUGGUGACUUCUUCAUAUCUACUACAAAGGGAGACCUUCCUAUUGUGCUAUGAACAACAUUAUUGCAUGCAAACUCUGCUUGAGCAAAUGCAAAAUCCCAGUGUUUAGGCUUGUCUCCACAAAUACUAUGAAUCAAAUUUCCCAAAGUCCUAUUUAUUACCUCAGUUUGACCAUAUGCCUGUGAGUGUGUAGUGCUACUAUAAUUCAGUGAGGUAUCAAACAUCUUUCCAAGAGUGAUCCAUAAAUGACUAAGAAACUUAGCAUCUCAAUUGGAGGAGAUAGAUUAAGGAACCCCAUACAAUCUAACAAUUUUGCAAAAGAACAACUUUGCUAUAUGUGAGACAUCAGAAGUUUUUUAGUAAGGAAUAAAAUGAACCAUUUUUGAAAACUUUUCAACAACCACAAAAACAAAGUCCGCUCCUCUUUGAGUAUAGGAAUUCCUAAGAAAAAAUCCAUUGACAAGUCUUCCCAAAUAGCAUUUGGAACUGGUAAAGGCAUGUAAAGUCCAGUAUUCUAAGCUUGACCCUUUACUACUUGGCAUGUGUAGCAUUUUUUGGACAAAAUUACUAGUAUCUCUCUUUAAUUGUGGCCAAUAAUAACGUCCUUCAAUACUGGUCACAGUUUUAUCCCUUCCCAAAUGUCCACUUAAGCCUCCACCAAGGAAGGCUCGAAUAACCUUUUCUCAUAAAGAUACUCGAGGAAUGCAUAAACAAUUUCCAUAACAUAAACAACUAUCAUGAAUAUGAAACUCGCUAGCAAGCUGCCUUUGAAUGAAUUUGUUCUAGAUUUCUUUGAAAUCAUCAUCUUUUGUGUAUUACUCUUUUAAACAUUCAAAACCAACAACUUCAUUCCUAAUUAUCACAAGUAAUACAGCCCGACAACUAAGAGCAUCAACAACUCGAUUUAGUGCUCCAGAUUUAUGUCGUGUAACAAAAGAAAAAUCUUGCAGAAAAGUUGACCAACCAACAUGAAAUUUAUCUAAAUGCUUUCAACAGUUAAUGAACCUCAAAGCUUGAUAGUGAAAAUAUAAUAUAUAAAUUCUCUCUGUAUCAAAUAAUGUUCCCAAUACUUUAAUGCUUGUACAAUUGCAUAUAGUUCCUGAUUAUAGGUACUCCAUUUUUGCCUUACUUGACUUAAUUUUUACUGAGAAAAGCCACUAAUCGUCCACAUUGAGAUAAAACAACUCCAAUUCCAAUAAUGCUUGCUUCCCACUCUACCUCAAAUAGCUUUUCAAAACUUGGUAAAACCAAUAUUAGUGUGGUGCAAAGCUUUUCUUUAAUCAAAGCAAAGUCUUUGCUUCAUCACUCCAACUAAAUCUCCCUUUCUUCAAAUGCUCUAUUAUUAGUGUCGUUAUGGUACUAAAUUUUUUUUAUAAAUCUUUGAUAAAAGGUCGCCAAACCAUGAAAGUGGUGUCACAGUUUUUGGUGUAGGCUACUCUUGUGUCUUCAAAUUGAUAAAUGGUAGUUUUUUCAUUCAUUCUUUCAUUCGUUCAUGUACAGAGUAUAUAUAUAGAGGGUAAUCACCAUUCUAAGAACGGGAAAGAAUGAUACAAGGAAAGAAUGAUAUAAGGAAAUAACAACUAAUAUCCUAGUAUCUCAACUUUCCUAAUAUCUCAAUAUUCAUAAUAUCUCACCUUUCCUAAUAUCUAAACAUUCCUAAUAUCUCAACACUAAAUAAUAUAAGGAAAGCAUUCCUAAUAUCUCAACACUCCCCCUCAAGUUGGUGCAUGGAUGUCACACAUGUCCAACUUGUCUAAAAAUUUUGAAAACACUUGACUUGAGACAGCUUUGGUGAGGAUAUCAGCCAAUUGAUCUUCUGAUCGAAUCUUAGGCAAUUCCGCAAUCUUAUCAUCCAACUUUUCCUUAAUGAAGAAUCUAUCCACCUCGACAUGCUUUGUACGAUCAUGUUGUACUAGAUUAUGAGCAAUGUCACAUGCGAAUUUAUUGUCACAAAACAAUCGGAUUGGUUGCCUAGAUAGGUAACCUAAAUCCUGUAAGAGGAGUCUUAGCCAUAAUGCCUCACAAAGUCCUAGAGUCAUACCUCUAAAUUCCGCUUCUGCACUUGAACGAGCGAUGACAUUCUGCUUCUUACUUUUCCAUGUCACAAGAUUACCACCUACAAAGGUAAAGUAACCAGAUGUAAAUCGCAUAUCAUCCACUGCACUGGCUCAAUCNNNNNNNNNNNNNNNNNNNNNNNNNNNNNNNNNNNNNNNNNNNNNNNNNNNNNNNNNNNNNNNNNNNNNNNNNNNNNNNNNNNNNNNNNNNNNNNNNNNNAGUAUAUACUUCUAUACUCUGAUGAUCAACAUUUUUAGCGAACAAAAUUCCCUUCCCAAGAGCAUUCUUCAAAUACCUCAAAAUACGCAUGACUGCAUUCAUAUGUUGCUCUCCAGGAUUAUGCAUGUAUUGACUCACUACACUCAAUGCAUAAGCAAGAUCUGGUCUUGUAUAAGCUAAGUACAUUAAUCUCCCCACAAGUCUCUGGUAUCUUCCCUUAUCGGUUGAUACUUGAUUAGGUUCAACACACAAUUUCAGACCUUCUUCUAUUGGUGUAUUAACAGGUUGACAUCCCGACAUUCCAGUCUCCUGUAAAAGAUCUAAGGCAUACUUUCUUUGAGACAGAAAAAAUCCUUCACUUGAUCGAGAAACUUCAAUCCCAAUAAAGUAUUUUAAAGGACCUAGAUCUUUCAUUUCAAAUUCUCUAGAUAGAUAAUUUUGCAGAGCUUUUUUUUCUUCAAGAUCAUUUCCUGUAACUACCAUGUCAUCCACAUAUACGAUGAGUGUCGUAAUCUUACCAUGUUGCUUUUUUAAGAACAAAGUGUGAUAUGAAUUACUUUGACGAUAGCCAAAAGCUCUCAUUGACUUUGUGAACUUUCCAAACCAUGCUCUCAGGGAUUGCUUCAACCCAUACAAUGACUUCUUCAAUUUGGAUGGGCCCUAAACAUCAGAAUGUAUAACCAUAAAAGGAAACAGACUUUUAUUCAAAAUUAACGGAAACAAAGCAUGAUGGCUUUUAGCCAAUUCACAAAUAUCACAACAGAAACUAGAAAUAUCACUCUUUGUAAACAAACUAGGAAACAAUUUUUUAAAAUAAUCAAAGGAAGUGUGUCCCAAACGUCGAUGCCACAACCAAAUUUCAUAUUUUUUUCUUCUCCUCCUCAGAUCCAUCUACCAUCAAGGCUUGUUGCAACUUAUUUGAAUCCUUUGACUACAAGUCCAAGUAAUAGUGUUUUCCCCGCUUAAUACUACAACCAAUCGUCUGUCUUGUUUGGAUGUCCUUAAUCACACAAAAUUCAGGCCAAAAAAUGACAAUACAAGAUAAGGCUACAGUGAUUUGAGAAACUGACAAAAGAUUGUAAUCUAAAGAUGGAACAACUAAAACAUAAUUCAAAUUCAAAGUAUCAGUAAGAGUUAAGGAUCCUUCCCCAAUGACUGGGGUUGUGUUACCAUUGGUUGUGGAAACAAAUUUUUGUGAGGAAGGUCUAAGGGGUGAAACCUAUCUAGAAUCAAAAGUCAUAUGAUUUGUAGCACCAGAAUCAAUUAUCCAUGCACUAUUAAUAACAGGUGUAAAAGUAUUUAGAAACUUACCACCAUGAUCUGUAGCGGCUACCAAUGCAGAGGCUUUCUCAGCAACAUUAGCCUCUGUUUUUAUUUCGGCAAUAGUUGUAGUCGAGGUUUUCUUGGAAUCCUUCUUCCGUUGAUCACGAUUAUUAUCAUUAAUAACAAAGUGUUGAUAGCCUAAACAUGAUCUAAAGGUCCAUGGUUCAAACCCUCCGUUCCUCAUUGUUUUCCUGGUCAUACCAAGAGUUGUUGCUUUGAAAUUAUGGGAUAUCCAGACUGGUGGGAUCAGUCUUAUUGCAGUGAGUGCAUUUGAAGGUUGACUUAUCAAUAUUAGGGCUUGUCUUAGGAUGGUUGAUUGUUGUUGGACUACCAUAGCGACAAAAUAUCUAGGAUUUCAGUUCCAUGGCUCUGAUACCAUCUUUAAAUUGAUAAAUGGUAGUUUUUUCAUUCAUUAUUUCAUUCGUUCAUGUACAGAGUAUAUAUAGAGGGUAAUCAUCAUUCUAUGAAUGGGAAAGAAUGAUAUAAGGAAAUAAAAACUAAUAUCCUAAUAUCUCAACUUUCUUAAUAUCUCAAUAUUCCUAAUAUCUCAAUAUUCAUAAUAUCUCAACAUUGUGGAGCUUGAACUUUAUCAUUGUCAACAUGAACUCCUUCUGAACUAAUCAUAUAUUCGAGAAAUAGCAAAUUAUUGGUCAUAAAACUGCACUUCUUCAAAUUAAUAAAUUAUUUAUUUUUUUGCAGCACUAUUAGAACUUCUCUCAAGGGUUGAAUGUGUUCUUACUCAUUCUGGCUAUAAAUCAGUAUAUUGUCAAAAUAUACAAUAACAAAUUUCCCAACAAAAGGUCUUAACACUUGAUUCAUGAGUUGCAUGAAAGUACUUGGCCUAUUUGAUAAUCCAAAAUGCAUGACCAUCCAUUCACACACAAUCUUCCUUUAAUUUUAAAGGUUGUCUUCCAUUCAUCCCCUAGUCUUAUGCAAUUCUGGUGAAUCUAGUUCCAAAACCAAUUUUGAACAUUCCAAUUGAUCCAAGACGUCAUCUAAGCACAAAAUCGAAAAUCAAUACUUUACAGUGAUCUUAUUUAAUUUAUAGAACAACUAUCUAUGCACAUAUGCCAACUACCAUCUUUGUUUGUAGUAAGCAAGGUUGGGAUUGCACAUGGGUUCAUGCUUUCGAAAAUAAAUCCUUUUCUUGCAAAAUCUCACCUUUUUUCGGGCUCAUUCUGUAAAGUGGUAAGUUAGGCAAGUUUGUUUUUGGGACUAAACCAAUAUCAUGUUGGAUGUCAUGCCUUGGAGGCAAACCAUCAAGUAAAUCACUGGCAUUGAAGUCUUUAAAUUCUUCCAACAUUGGUUGCAACUAAUUAGGCACUUCCACAAAUGCUUUCUCUUCAAAUUUAUUUUAUAACACUUACCUUAUUGGUUCUAGUUCAUUAAUGGAUAAUAUUUGUCUUUUAAUUCCUCAUCCAAAUUUUACCUAGUCUGUGAAUGUGAGUACUAAUAUCUUAACAAUAAUUCUAUAACAUUGUGGCAUAGACAUUUAGGCCACACCUCUAAAGAAAGACUAGAGAGGUUAGUUAUAGAAGAAGCUCUACCACUUUAGACUUUUGAGAUCAUGGUGUUUGCAUUAAUUGUGCUAAAAGGAAGUUAAUAAAAUCUAGAAAUAAAGGUACUACCAGGAGUCAAGAGCUUCUUGAAGUCAUUCAUUAAAAUAUAUGUGACCCAUUUCUCAUUUUACCUUAAGUGGGAAGAGAUAUUUUAUAACCUUUAUUCAUCAUAUUUCUCUUUUUGUUGUCUAUUUUAUUGGUAAAAAGAUAGAGGCGAUAGAUACUAAAAUUUUCCAAAUGAAUUAGCUUGAAAAGACAAUUGAAGUGAUACAAAUUGAUCAUGGUGGUCAAUACUACAAAAGAUACAAUCAAACAAAACAUAAUAUUCUAGAAUCAUUUUCCUUGCAUUUUCAAGAGUAUGGUAUAGUUGCUCGAUAUAACAUGUCGGGUACUCCUCAAGAAAAUGAUGUAGUUGAAAGAAGAAAUCAUACUCUUAUGGAUAUGGUAUGGUCGAUGUUGUGUAAUGCAACCUUAUUAGGAUUAUUAUGGAUUGAAGCAUUAAGAAGUGUUCAUAUAUCCUAAACCAAGUGCCUUGUAAGGCAAUCUCAAAGACUCCUUUUCAGUUAUGAACAAGUAGAAAACCAAGUCUAAAACAUCUACAUGUUUAGGGAUGUGCAACACCAAAUUAUAUAACCCACAUGAAUGAAUAUUAGAUUCUAGAAUAGUGAGUUGUUAAUUUGUAGAAUAUUUAGAAAGGUUACAGAUUUUAUGCCCAUUAUACAAUCCCAAGAUUGUUGAAACUCUAAAUGAUAGGGUCAUUAAAGAUUGUUAUGAGAUCAACACUAAGUAUUAAAGAUAAUAACAAAUUUCAGGGUUUUGGGGCUGCUGUUUAAAAGUAAAUGACGUGUAAUUCAAGAUUUUACUGGUAUUAGGAGACUGACGUGUAGUGCUUAGAGGUUCAUCCUUCACUAAAAAUAUCCACUCCUUGAGCUACUAUAUCUUCAAGGCAUUGAAGCAAUGGAUUGGGUUUGUGUUUAUGGGCUUGCAUAGAUCCAUGUUUCACUUGGGCUUCAUCUCUACGUAGGACCUUGAGUGAUUCCUUUGAGGCAUGAAUCUUGUUGGUGGGAAUUCUUUUCUUUUAAUUUGUUCUACUAAGUCAAUUCGGGAAAAGAAUAAUUUAUCACACUAAAAAACCAUUGCGAAUUUCAUAGAAAAUAAUCCACUAAAACAUUUCCAAAUUGGAAGGUGAAAUAGAUUUCCUCGAAGUCUUUAAUAUUAGCAUAUGGAUUCUCGCUCCCAUGCCUCUCAACACUGACAGCAACUGCAUUAUGUUUGGUCCGAUUAGGACAUGUUGAGUUGGGGUCACAAAUCUUUAAUUUGACCCUGGCUGGGUUUGGAUGGUCCCCCACUAAUCUUUAAUGGUAGCCUUAUGGUGCAUGAGAAAUGGAAAGGUUUGAAAGAUGAAUGAAAAUUUUUUGGGCUAACUCUUUCACUCAAUUAAUAAAUAAAUAAAUAAAAAGGUUUAUGAAUUUUCAGAAAAAAAGGAUGAGUGGUUCCAUGGACUCCCUUAUUUCCAUGAAAAGUCCAAUUAAGUUAGCACAACCGAGACUACCUAUAGGUUCUCUUAGUUGGAGAAGUUUCAAUACAAGUACAAUUUAAUUAAACCCAAUGCAUUACACUUGCAAGUUGAACCUCCAUGUGAAAUCUUUAAAGCCUCCAUUUGCUUGCCAAUUUGUGGUGUUAAGAGUUCAAUAAUGACCAUCUCAAGUGAAAAUGACUCUCACCAUUAAGCACUUGAGAUACUUUCAAUGGAACCCCUAAACUCCAAUUUCCAAGCAUCAAGGUAUGAUAUUCUAACUAAAAAUAGACAAUCUAUGAUAUCCUUGAAGCAUCCACUCCCUAUUUACUUGCCAAAUUAUAGCAUUAAUGGUCGUCUCAAGUUAAAAUGGCUCUUAUCAUUACGUUCUUGGGAUACCCUCAAAGGAACCCCUAAACUCCAAUUUUCCAACUUCAAGUUAUAGUUUUCUAAUUAAAAACGAAGAGGUCAAACUUAAAAGUUGAAUAAAUCAUUAAUUAUUCAUGGGCUAAAGGGAAGUCGUAAUGAGCCCCAUCUCCUAAAGCUUAAUCUAGUACUCGAAUGACAUGAAAAUUGAAUCAAAACAAAGAACAAAAAAAAGCAUUGAAAACAAAGAUUAAGUUUCGAAGUUAUACAACAUUAAAGAGUAAUGUAGUUAAAUGUAAAUACAGUCUAUUCACAUAGGAAAAUAACAUCCAAAUCUUAUGAAAAUUGGUGAGAAUGAACUUCUAGGAGUCUAGACUUUAAUAAAGUAUAUUUGAACUCAUUUGGAUAUCUCUAGCCACUUUAACUUUAUUAAAACUUUUAUUGGUCAAAAUAGGGUAAUACCUUUGAUUUCCCUGCAACUUUGAUCAUUUGGCUCAACUCAUAUCCACUCUUGCAUUCAGAGAGACCUGAGAGGUUCUCAAGAUUAAAAUUAUUCAUGACACUAGCAAUAAAAAACAACUAGAAAAUACGAGAAAACUGAGCAUAGACAAGGUAGUAUACAAUAAACUAGUUGCGAAGCACUUUUAAUGCUAAAAUGAAACUUACUUCUCUUUCACUCAAUAAAUUAUAAUAUAUUCCGGGAUGGAGCAAAACAAGCAAUUAUUAAACUAUUAAUAUGUAUUGUGCCUAUCUCUUAUUGAUUUCAAAUACUUAAAAGUUAUGUUUGGUUCAAAGAAAGUGUGAUGAAAAAAAAUAAAGAGAAAAAGUAAAGGAAACGAAAAGUGAAAGAUAAAUAAAUAAAUAAAUAAAUUUGAAGUCAAUCAAUAAUUUUUAUAGAUUACUUUAAACUUAUUUAACUCUAAAAGAUUAAAUAAAAUUAAAAUAUAUAAGUUUCUUACUAAUCUCAAUUAUAUUUUUCUUUCUUUUAUACUUUCUAUGAUAAAACCAAAUAUAAGAAAAUCAUUUUUACUUAACAUUUUUCUUUCCUGAAUAUAUGCUUUCUAGGAAUAAAACAAAUCCAAAGUAAUUUUUUCAUAAUGACUAAUAUUUCUAUCUUAGAAAUAACAAUAACCUCUAAUAUCUUCCUUUGUAACCAAAAAAAUCAUUAAUUUCAAUCAUAUUUCACUUUUCCAAAUACUACCUAAUUAUUAAGUAGGUAACACUCGUGUAACCCAUUUAACCUAUUUAAUAAUGAAAGUUUCUUAUUUAAUAAUUAAAUUUAGAUCUUAUAUAUAUCUAUAUGAUUAAUGUUUCUACCAAAUAUAUAUAUAAUUCAAUUGAUUUAUUUAUUUUAAAAUAAAUUUAAAAUGAGUUAAAUAGUUUAAAAAUAUAAUUAGGUAUCCCACUUACGCAACAUACAAAUGAAGUUUCCUACUUCCAGGUCUAUGUCUCCAGCAUUAUUCCCAUCUUUAUGACAAAACAAGAAAUUAUUUGCUUGAAAUUUAAAAUAUCACUAAAAAGGAAAGACAAAUAUAUAUACCACUUUGAAGCCCGCUGAUGUGUGACAUGCCAUGCAUGCUACCAUCAGUAAUACUAUUGCUUUUCCAUUGGGGAGAUAUGCAAGAUGAAAAUUUCCAGGCCCUUCAAUCUCUACGUUUGCCAUGUAUAUAUAUAAUAAAUUAAUAUAAAAUAGUGAGAAAAUGUUAUAUCAAUCCUAACAAAAAAAAAAAUUGAGAGAAUUUAUUAAAAUUUUCUCUUUUAAGUUACGUUUCAUUUAAGAAAGUACAAAGAAAAAAAUGCUUAAAAAAUAAUUUUUGAUUUUUCUAUAGAAAAUAAUGAAAGAAAAUCCAAUAUAAUUAAAAUUAGAUAAAAAUUUUAUAUUGUUAAAUUACUUAAUCUUUGCAUGAAAAAAAAAAAUUAGUGAAAUGAGUUUAAAAUAGUAUAAAAAAAUUAUUAGAAAAUAUUAUUAUAUAUGAUAAUAUAUAUUAUAAAAUAUUAAAUUAAGUAACUUGGAUUAUUUGAACUUUGCUUUGAACCUCACCCAAGUUGAGUUCAAAUUAAAAAUACCUAAUUCAAACCUAACCCAAGUAUUAAAAAUCAAGUCCACCUAAAUAUUUGGCCACCUUAAGUUGUACCAGAUUUUAAUUAUAUUUUAUUUUUUUAUGUUUUUUUAUAGUGAAAUCAAAUAUAAGAAAAGUCAUUUUCUAUAUAUUUUUUUUUUUCUUUUCUUAGUACCUUCUGAAAUCAAACAUAAUUUAAAAGAUGAUAAAUUUAAAAUUGGAAUGAAUGCUUAAGGCAUAAAAUACAUUGGACCUCUCAAUUUAUUAUUUUGCUUCAUUCUAUCCCACAUGGAAGGAAUAAUCAAAAAACAAAAUAAAAUUUAUUGAAGGGAUUCAACUUCUUCUUCGUUGGUUACUUCAUGAACUCAUGGAAUGUAAUCGGACCAUUUGAGAUCAACAAACCACAAACCACUCUUAUCAAAUAUUAUACAGCUACAUUCAAAGUACAAUACAAAUAUAUGUAAGAUCUAAAAUUGCAUAUAGUUUUUUUAAAAAAAAAAGAAAUCUUAAACAAAUGAUAGUUAAGAAUCUAUUUUUGAAAAUAUAAUAUUUUAUAUUCAUACUUAUUUAUAUUAAAUAUCUUUAGAGAAAAGUCCAACAAUCGGUUAAGAUCAGUCCAAAAAGUGUUUUUGAAAAUAAAAAUUAAGAGCAUGUUUGAUAACUAUUUUUAAAAAUAAUUUUUGAAAACUGUUUUUUAAUAUUUUUUUUUCGAAUAAAAGUUUGUUUGAAAAUUUAAAAUCUUUUUAACAUUUUAAAUAUGUUUUCAAAUUAUUUUUAUACUUCAUGUUUUAUUUUUAAUCAUUCUAUAUAUUUGUAGGGGCGGAAACAGUAAGGUUGAUUCAACGUUGAUUCAACGAAACCUUCUUGUUCUCUCUUAUUGAUUUCAUAGCCAAGAAGCACUAAAAAAAUGGAGACCCUUCUUGUUUUUAAAGACCAUAUGGAUUUCAUAGCAAUCAGUGAGUAAGCUUCAGACACGAUAGUUUCUUUUGGGGGUUAACAAGCGAAUAAAUUUCAAGAUUGAUUGAAUUCACAAGAUUUAAAACUAGCUAGAUUAACAAAGAUAAACAAAGAAACAAUUCUAUAUUUUGAUCUUCGUCCAAACGACUGGAUCAACAAUUCUAAAACCUAGAUGAGGGCUUCUCAGGUGUGGUAUACGGGAUCGAGAAGACGGUUGUUUGUUGGUAGUUCGUUGAUUUUGUUUUCUACAUGCGGACACGUGUCAUGGAUUUUCAUUCCCGCUAUUUUCCUCAGUAGCGGCACUCCUGAUCUACUGAGAUUUUAUACAAUAUUUCUUUUAAAAAAAAUACAAACUACUUAAAUUCUUUUUUUUGUUUUUUUUAAAAAAAAAAAAAGAUUUUGUACUAAAUACCCAUAUUUUUAUAACUUUUCUUUUUCUUUUAACUUAAAAAUAGUUAUUAAAAAAAUAGAAAACUAUAUAUAGUAUUUAAAUGAAUAUUAUAUUUUAAGAUUUUUUAUAUUGGUCGUAGAUUUAGAGAGAGAAUAAAAUAUUAUAUAUUUUAUUUUUAUUUGUAAAAAUUUGUGAAAAAAUUCUACUUAUUAUUUAAAAAUUAUUUUAUAUUUCACUUUAUUUUUUAAAACCAUUUCUAGAAAACAUUUUAAAAACAUCACUACCAAACCGGCUUUUAUUUUUUAUUUUUAAAAAUCAUUUAAUAUAUAAGUCAAUAAAAAUAUUACUUUCUUUCUUAUAUUUUUUAUUUAUAUAAAACAUGAAAUUUUAUAAUAUCAAAAUUUAAAAAAAAAAAAAAAAAAAAAGACUAGCCGUUGAAUUCCACUUCAACUUCUCUCCCAUUCUUUGUCUUCAAAUUUGAUAGAUUCUAAUUUUAAAAAUCAACUUGUCAUGAUAAGAACAUUUCCAUUUAUAAUGGAUAUUGAAUGUUAAAAUUCACCUAAAUGUCAUGAACCCUGGAUAAUCAUUAAAAAAAAUAUAGACUCGUUUGAUCAUGUUUUCUAAAACUUGUUUUUAAAAAUUGUUUUUUUUUAAUUAAAAAAUAAAAAAUAAUUUUUAAAACCAAAUUUAAGAAUACAUGGCCAAACCACCCUUAUUUUUUCAUGUUUUAUUUCAAACUAUUUAAUGAGAGGAGAAAAGAUAAAUUAAACUCACUUGGAUUAAUGUAUAUAAAUAAUUUAUUAAUUUUAUGCCUAAAUUAAAAAUGAAGAAAAAAAAAUCCAUUGGGAAGAUGCACCUAAAAAUAUAAUAAAGUAAAACAUAAAUGGCAGAAAAAAUAAAUAUCAAGAAAAUGAGAGACUGUAGAGAUAUCACCUGCUCUGGGUUGUACAAUUCCUACUAGGGAUGGCAACGGGGCGGGUUUUUUCGGGUACCCGCCCCGCCCCGCCCCUAAUGGGAUGGGAUAAAAAUGUAUUAAACGGGUUUGGGACGGGUAUGGGAUGUUUUUAAAANNNNNNNNNNNNNNNNNNNNNNNNNNNNNNNNNNNNNNNNNNNNNNNNNNNNNNNNNNNNNNNNNNNNNNNNNNNNNNNNNNNNNNNNNNNNNNNNNNNNGGCUUUCCUCUUGUGUUUGGUAAUGCCCAACUCCGUAUGCUCAGGCACAAAGCUUCCCCAUUUCUUUUGGUGCACAACAAGGACUCUGGAGUUUCUGGCCUUGAUUUUGGGUGUAAACUGCUUGAUGGGAUGAGGGAAAUGUCAGGUUUUGCUCACUUUGUUGUGUAACUGGAAGUUUAUUUGAAUCUUGUGGUGUACUUGAGUGAGUGUUUGUAGAUUGUUAUUUUGGAAAGAUGGUGUCAUCCGGGCCACCCACUCCCAUAGGUGGAGCCCAACCUGUUCCCCCUUCACUUUUGCGUUCGAAUUCUGGUAUGUUAGGAGCUCAGGCGGGUUCUGUGCCACCCCAAACAGGGUUCCCUUCGCUUGUGUCUCCAAGAACUCAGUACAAAUUUUUUUAAAGUAAUUUUUUUUUAAAAAAAAAAAAAAAAAAAAAAAGCUAAACGGGGCGGGGAAUUGUACUGGUUACAUAUCCAUUCAUCUAAAAAAUGGCCAAUGUGUUGGCUCCAUAGGGCAUUCAUUCAUAAUCAAUAGUCACAUGGUUAGAUAUGCAGUAAAUCCUUUGGUUUGUAGACUAGGUUAUGAGAUCUAAUUUAACCUUUAUUGGACAUAAAAUUCUUAGGAAAUGCCUUGCCUAUGAGAGCUUUUAUAGGAUGUACAAGGGAAAGUGGUGGACAUCCUCUAAAAUAAUUAUGGAGACUAUUUCCUAUUUUUAUACUAACCUNNNNNNNNNNNNNNNNNNNNNNNNNNNNNNNNNNNNNNNNNNNNNNNNNNNNNNNNNNNNNNNNNNNNNNNNNNNNNNNNNNNNNNNNNNNNNNNNNNNNAUAUAUUAAAUGAUUUUUAAAAAUAAAAAAAUAAAAGCCGGCUUGGUAGUGAUGUUUUUAAAAUGUUUUCUAGAAAUGGUUUUAAAAAAUAAAGUGAAAUAUAAAAUAAUUUUUAAAUAAUAAGUAGAAUUUUUUCACAAAUUUUUACAAAUAACAAUAAAAUAUAUAAUAUUUUAUUCUCUCUCUAAAUCUACGACCAAUAUAAAAAAUCUUAAACUAUAAUAUUCAUUUAAAUACUAUAUAUAGUUUUCUAUUUUUUUAAUAACUAUUUUUAAGUUAAAAGAAAAAGAAAAGUUAUAAAAAUAUGGGUAUUUAGUACAAAAUCUUUUUUUUUUUUUAAAAAAAACAAAAAAAAGAAUUUAAGUAGUUUGUAUUUUUUUUAAAAGAAAUAUUGUAUAAAAUCUCAGUAGAUCAGGACCCCGCCCCGUUUAAUUUUUUAAACGGGACGGGGAUGGGAAUUGAUUUUGCUAAACGGGACGGGGUUGGGAUGGGGGCGACCCGUCCCGAACCCGCCCCGUUGCCAUUCCUAAUUCCUACACGCCAAAAUUCUGACGCUUCUUCUCCUACCAUCACAUUCAUACCUUCCCUUUCCCUUUUUUCGUUCUAAUUCCGACCGCAUUACACACUCGAUACCAUCGACACAGCGUUCAGGUUUGCUAAGGAAUAAGGUCAUUUCUGAGAUAUAAAAACAAAAGGAAAAGAAUUAAAGAUGAAACUCAUAAGCUUAAACUAAAUAAUGAGGAGAAGAGAAAGAUUGAAUUUUAUAUCUUGGAAUUUCAUUUUGAAAAUAUUUUUAUUUAAAAUGAAGAUAAUUAUGAAACUUUUAAAAAUUUUGAUAUCUUCUUAUCGCAAAUAUUAUUUUCAAUAAAUCUUCAUAAAUAUUAUCCAUUCAAACAGUUGAAUUCACAUAAAUAUGGACAAAAAUUUAAUUUAAAUCCCCUUAUUUUCUCUAUUUUGAACUGUUUCAUAGUUGAAUGAGUUUAUUUAUAACUAAUAAGAGUGCAACUUGAUCGGAUUCAUAUGACAGAUGCUCAAAGGAAUAAAAGAUGAACAGUAAAAAAAUAAAAAUUAUGUUUUCACCCAAAAAAGAUUAUGACCUUUGUAUUGUACAAUAAUAUUUUUUUUUUAACUUUAUAAAAACAAAAAGAAAAAUUAUGACAAAAAAAAUAUUCCACAAAAACAAAAUUUUAAAAUCGUCAAAAAUAAAAUACCAUUGUAGACCCCAUUUGGGGCACGUUCUCAUUUUUUUCUGCAGGUCAUUUUCUUUGCCAGUGGAGGGCUCUUUCAAGAGCCACGGAGAGGCUGCCAUGGAUUCAGCUAGUGCCAUUGAAUGAGCCAAUGAGGAUGAGACGCCUGUAAAGGGGGAAUCUGCAGAAGCCGUUGUAUAGGAGCGUCUUCUGUUACCGGCAGGAGGGGUUUUUGGUAGAGAGAGGAGGUGGUUUUUGAGGUGGGUUGGCAGAGGAGGUUUACAUAGUUUAAAAAUAUAAUUAGGUUUCCUACUUACGCAACAUCCAAAAUGAAGUUUCCUACUUCCAGGUCUAUGUCUCCAACAUUAUUCCCAUCUUUAUGACAAAACAAGAAAUUAUUUGCUUGAAAUUUAAAAUAUCACUAAAAAGGAAAGACAAAUAUAUAUACCACUUUGAAGCCCGCUGAUGUGUGACAUGCCAUGCAUGCUACCAUCAAGUAAUACUAUUGCUUUUCCAUUGGGGAGAUAUGCAAGAUGAAAAUUUCCAGGCCCUUCAAUCUCUACAUUUGGCAUUUAUAUAUAUAAUAAAUUAAUAUAAAAUAGUGAGAAAAUGUUAUAUCAAUCCUAACAAAAAAAAAAUUAAGAGAAUUUAUUAAAAUUUUCUCUUUUAAGUUACGUUUCAUUUAAGAAAGUACAAAGAAAAAAAUGCUUAAAAAAUAAUUUUUGAUUUUUCUAUAGAAAAUAAUGAAAGAAAAUCCAAUAUAAUUAAAAUUAGAUAAAAACUUUAUAUUGUUAAAUUACUUAAUCUUUGCAGGGAAAAAAAAUUAAUGAAAUGAGUUUAAAAUAGUAUAAAAGAAUUAUUAUAAAAUAUUAUUAUAUAUGAUAAUAUAUAUUAUAAAAUAUUAAAUUAAGUAACUUGGAUUAUUUGAACUUUGCUUUGAACCUCACCCAAGUUGAGUUCAAAUUAAAAAUACCUAAUUCAAACUUAACCCAAGUAUUAGAAAUCAAGUCCACCUAAAUAUUUGGCCAACCUUAAGUUGUACCAGAUUUCAAUUAUAUUUUAUUUUUUUUAUGUUUUUUUAUAGUGAAAUCAAAUAUAAGAAAAAUCAUUUUCUAUAAUAUUUUUUUUUUCUUAGUACCUUCUGAAAUCAAACAUAAUCUAAAAGAUGAUAAAUGUAAAAUUGGAAUGAAUGCUUAAGGCAUAAAAUACAUUGGACAUCUCAAUUUAUUAUUUUGCUUCAUUCUAUCCCACAUGGAAGGAAUAAUCAAAAAACAAAAUAAAAUUUAUUGAAGGGAUUCAACUUCUCCUUCGCUGGUUACUUCAUGAACUCAUGAAAUGUAAUCGGAAAAUUUGAGAUCAACAAACCACAAACCACAAACCACAAACCACUCUUAUCAAAUAUAAUACAGAUACAUUCAAAGUACAAUACAAAUAUAUGUAAGAUCUAAAAUUGCAUAUAGUUUUUUUUUUAAAAAAAGAAAUCUUAAACAAAUGAUAGUUAAGAAUCUAUUUUUGAAAAUAUAAUAUUUUAUAUUCAUACUUGUUUAUAUUAAAUAUCUUUAGAGAAAAGUCCAACAAUAGGUUAAGAUCAACCCAAAAAGUGUUUUUGAAAAUAAAAAUUAAGAACAUGUUUGAUAACUAUUUUUAAAAAUAAUUUUUGAAAAUUAUUUUCUAAUAUUUUUUUCGAAUAAAAGUGUUUGAAAAUUUAAAAUAUUUUUAACAUAUUUUUAAUAUUUUCAAAUUAUUUUUAUAUUUCAUAUUUUAUUUUUAAUCAUUCUACGUAUUUGUAUAAUUAUUUUUUAAAACAAUCCAUAGAAAACAAAUGAAAACAAUUUAAAAAUAAUUUUAAAAUGUUAUUUGAAAACACUCUAUUUUUCGUUCUUAGAAUAAAAUAUAAAAAAUAAAAAGCAGUUUUUUUAUCAAACAUAUUUUUCUAAUUUUUUUUGUCCUAGAUAACAUAAAUUAUUGUCGAAAACAAUUGUCAAACAAGUCCUAAGAAUUAAGUAAAUUUUAAGAAAUAUUAAAAAAAAAUCACUCGUAAUAUUGAAAAAAAAUUUAUAGUGUUUUUUAAAUAAAUAUUUGAUAAGUGAUUCUUCUAAAAAUAUAUUUUUAAAAAAUAUUUACAUUAAAAAUAAUUUAAAUAAAAAUACAAUCGGUGAUAAAAUUUAAAAAACAACCUUUAGAAAAAAACAUUAAAAUAUUAUAUUAUAAAUACUAUAUAACUUACCCAACAUCUAAAAUGAAGUGUCCUACUUCCAGGUCCACUCUCCAAAAUCAUUAUCAUCAACACCAAGCUAAAAGGAAUUUAAAACAAAACAAGAAAUUAUUUGCUUUAAAUUUAAAAUAUCACUAAAAAGAAAAAGACAAUAUAUAUAUAUAUGCCAAUUAGAAGCCAGCUGACGCGUGACAUGCCAUGCACGCCACUGUCAAUAACACUAUUGAUUUUCCUUUGGAGAGAUAGGCAAGAUGAAAAUUUCAAGGCCCUUCAACCUCUAAGUUUGCCUUGUAUGUAUAAUAAAUUAAUCUAAAAUAGUGAGAAAAUGUUAUCACAAUUCUAACAAAAGAAAAAGAUUGAGAAAAUUUAUUAAAAUUUUCUAUUUAAAGUUAUGUUUCAUUUCAGAAAGUAAAAAAGAAAAAAAUGCUUAAGAAAAAUAAUCCAAUAUAAUUAAAAUUAGAUAAAAAUUUUAUAUUUAUAAAUUAUUUAUACUUUUUUUUAAAUUUCUAAUACUAUUUGGUUGUUGUUUUCUGAAAAUAAAUUUUAAAAACAAAGUGAAAUAAAGAGCAAUUUUUAGAUAAUAUGUAAAAGCUAUUUUUUCUAGUUUUUAAAAACAAAAGGAAAACAUAGACCCAUUUAAAUAUGUUUUUUAAAACUUGUUUUUAAAAAAUUGUUUUUAAGUUGAAGAAUAAAAAUCAAUUUUAAAAACAAAUUUUAAAAUAUAUGACUAAAUAAGCCCUUAGUUUUUUAAUUUUAUCGCUCCAAUGGAAGCUCACAAUGAAGAUAAAUUUAUCAAAUGUUAUUAAUAAUUAAUAAUCUUUUUAUAUUUUAUUUUAUAGUAAUUUAAUAACUGAAAAAACUUCGCUCCCUAUUUACUAUAAUCUUUUUUAUAUUAUAUUUUAUAUUAAAAUUGAUAAUUUUAUAUUUAAUUAAUAAUGAUAUCAAAUAAGUGAUGAGAUCAUCUAUUUGAAUUUAUUUUCACAUAUUGUGGAUUGAGAUUUUUUUAUUUUUUUAUUUUUCACUCUGUGUUUUGUCUUAAUAAUAUUUUGAUUAUCACAAAAUAAGAUUAUAUGACUAAUAAAAUUUUUAAACUUUGAUGUUGAAUUUUGAAGGAAAUUAAGUCAAUCAAGAAAUGUCAUAAUGACUCAUUUAUGUAAAAUUGGUGCACUAAAACUUUUUUUUAUUAAAGGCACCUUUCAUUUAUUAAAAAUGUUCUUAAAAUCGAUUUUAUUCAUUUGUAAUUUGGUCAAAAAUUUAUUUGAAGAAAAAACAUGAGCUUAAAGUGGCCUAAAAUAUUUUCAAAAUUAAUAGGAGUUAAUAGUGGUUUGUGCCCUUGCUUUUGAGUCAAAUAAAGAAAAAUUACAUAAAUGGUAAGAGAUAUUUUUGGCAAUAACUUUGCAUUGCUCAAACAAGUUUUUUUUUUUUUUUUUGCAAUAACCACCAGUCACCACCUAGAUCAAUUGGUUUGAGGUGCUUGGCCUCCAAUGAGUAGUUGUACUUCUUGCUACUAAUGGUUGAUAUACCAAUUGAUUAUCAAGGAACCUGUAUCUAAACGAGUAGUUUUCCAAUGCAUCUUAUAAACAAAUGCUUCAAAUUUCAUUUAAUGCUAAAAAGGCACCUUGAAUCUAUGGCUUAUCAAUCUUAAGUGUUGUACAUUAAAUCAAAUAUCAAUCUACACUCGCACACUUAUUAAUAUUAGAUAAUUGUGCUUUCAAGCCAAUUGGGUUUGAUGAUUGGCCCAAGUCCUAUCACUCGUUGUUGGAAACUUGAAUUUCUCCAUUCUUUUAUCCUAGAUCAUAUAAGUGCAAGCAAAACUUAUUUUUACAUGUGAUAACAAUGAAAAAAUUAUUACUUGAGUUUUAUCUAUCAUUCCAGUUACAAGGGAUAUUUCUUAAUAGAACAAAAAUUGUUCAAAAAAGUAUUCAACUAAGGGAUUUUUUCAGAACAUGAAUAAAACCUAAUUAAACUCAAGAACGUCAAUAUACUAAAAAUUAUUAUUUGAGUUUUAUCUAUCAUUCCUGUUACAAGGGAUAUUUCUUAAUAGAACAAAAAUUGUUCAAAAAGGUAUUCAACUAAGGGAUUUGUUCAAAACAUAAAUAAAACCUAAUUAAACUCAAGAACGUCAAUAUACUAAAAAUACCUAUGAUCUUAAAAUUUUACCUUCCAACGAGAAUAAGUUGUCUACAUCCUCUGAAGUUUGUUCUAGUGUUCCUACUACAAUCUAUAAAAAAAAAAAAAUUAAAAAAAAUAAUCAUAUUUUUAGAAAAGAUAGGUAUAAAAAAAAAAUCUCAAAUAUGAAAAGCACCAAAGUUGCUUACUACUUUGUUACCAACCCUGCUGUCACAGCGUAUUGCAUUCAAAACAAUGCAUAUGCCGCUAGACAGAUACGCUGUGGAAACGGCUCUUUCAUCCAUCCUCACGUUGGCACUGUUUUAUAAAAAAUGAUUGACAAAAUGCACAAUGAAAAAAUACAUUUAAAAAGAAAAAAAAAAACUUACGCCUCCCUAACCAGAAACGUAUUCGGGAAAGGUUCACCGUUCAUGGUACACACUGGUCCGAGACUCUGAUUGUGGGUACAGAAGGGCAUAAAUGAUAAAACAGUGUAGACACCCAAGUAUUCUCACGGGAACAGCGAUGGUUGUUUGAGUGGCAUAUAUCGGUUGAAGGUGUUCAUCCAUAAUCUGCACUACCGCAUCUGCAAUAAUUUCCGGUCUCGUAAUACGUAAUGCCAUGUUUUGAGCUGCAAAACCGAGAGUGCAAAAUUUUCUUUCCUCGUGUCACUGCACAGGAGGAAAACAAAAAGGAAUUUUUUUAUUUCUCCGUAUAUAUUCCAGAAAAUUGUAAGGAAAACUUUACUUUUUUUUUUUUUUUUUUUUGUGCUUUUUCCCUUGUUUGGUAACUCGGCAUCAUCUGUCUCAAUGGAUGAUGCCUCAGUACCCUAGAGGCGGAAACAGUAAGGUUGAUUCAACGAAACCUUCUUGUUCUCUCUUAUUGAUUUCAUAGCCAAGAAGCAGUAAAAAAAAUGGAGACCCUUCUUGUUUUUUAAGACCAUAUGGAUUUCAUAGCAAUCAGUGAGUAAGCUUCACGAUAGUUUCUUUCGGGGGUUAACAAACACCAUAUGGAUUUCAUUUCAAGAUUGAUUGAAUUCACAAGAUUUAAAACUAGCUAGAUUAACAAAGAUAAACAAAGAAACAAAGAAACAAUUCUAUAUUUUGAUCUUCUUGGUCCAAACGACUGGAUCAACAAUUCUAAAAGCUUCUCAGGUGUGGUAUACGGGAUCGAGAAGAGAUUUUGGAGGAUAAGAGAGCCUUUUAUAACCAUGACGGUUGUUUGUUGGUAGUUCGUUGAGUUUGUUUUCUACAGGCGGACACGUGUCAUAGAUUUUCAUUCCCGCUAUUUCCCUCACUCUUGAAUUCAUUUCAUGUACACAUGCCAAUUUUUUUGUUUUUUUUUUUAUUUUUAAAAAUAUUUUUCUCUAAAUACCCAUAUUUUUAUAAAAAUACCAAUAUUUUUAUAAAAAUACCAAUACUUUUCUUUUUCUUUUAACUUAAAAAUAGUUAUUAAAAAAAAAUUAGAAAACUAUAUAUAGUAUUUAAAUGAAUAUUAUAUUUUAAGAUUUUUAAUAUUGGUAGUAGAUCUUAGAGGGAAGAGAAUAAUUCAAAUUUAUCUUUUUGUUAAUAUUAUUUAUUUUAUUUUUAUUUUUAAAAAUUUGUGAAAAAAAUUCUACUUAUUAUUUAAAAAUUAUUUUCCAUUUCACUUUAUUUUUAAAAACCAUUUCUAGAAAACAUUUUAAAAACAUCACUACCAAACUAGCUUUUUAUUUUUUUUUAAAAAAAUCAUUUAAUAUAUAAGUCAAUAAAAAUAUUACUUUCUUUCUUAUAUUUUUUAUUUAUACAAAACAUGAAAUUUUAUAAUAUCAAAAUUUAUAAAUAAAUAAAUAAAUAAAUAAAUAAAUAAAACUAAACUAUUGAAUUUCACUUCAACUUCUCUCCCUUUCUUUGUCUUCAAAUUUUAUAGAUUCUAAUUUUAAAAAUCAACUUGUCAUGAUAAGAACAUUUCCAUUUAUCAUGGAUAUUGAAUGUUGAAAUUCACCUAGAUGUCAUGAACCCUGGAUAAGGUUCAUUUGAUCAUGUUUUUUUAAACUUAUUUUUAAAAUCUGUUUUUUUUUCUUUAAUUAAAAAAUAAAAAAUAAUUUUUAAAAACAAAUUUAAGAAUACACGGCCAAACCACCUUAUUUCUUAUGUUUUAUUUCAAACUAUUUAAUGAGAGGAGAAAAGAUAAAUUAAACUCACUUGGAUUAAUAUAUAUAUAAAUAAUUUAUUAAUUUUAAGCCUAAAUUAAAAAUGAAGAAAAAAAAAAAACUUACCCUUCUUUGACAUGAUGCAAGUUAGGAUAGGGUUUUCCAUUGGGAAGAUGCACCUAAAAAUAUGAUAAAGUAAAACAUAAAUGUCAGAAAAAAUAAAUAUCAAGAAAAUGAGAGACUGUAGAGAUAUCACCUGCUCUGGGGUUCUACAAUUCCUACAUGCCACAUUCAUACCUUUUUUCGUUCUAAUUCCGACCGCAUUACACACUCGAUACCAUCGAUACAGCGUUCAGGAUAUAAAAACAAAAGGAAAAGAAUUAAAGAUGAAACUCAGAAGCUUAAACUAAAUAAUGGGGAGAAGAGAAAGAUUGAAUUUUAUAUCUUGGAAUUUCAUUUUGAAAAUAUUUUUAUUUAAAAUGAGGAUAAUUAUGAAACUUUUAAAAAUUUUGAUAUCUUCUUAUCCCAAAUAUUAUUUUCAAUAAAUCUUCAUAAAUAUUAUCCAUUCAAACAGUUGAAUUCACAUAAAUAUCGGUAAAAAUUUGAAUCCCCUUAUUUUCUCUAUUUUGAACUGAGUUUAUUUAUAACUAAUAAGAGUGCAACUUGAUCGGAUUCACAUGACAGAUGGUCAAAGGAAUAAAAGAAGAACAAUAAAUAAAUAAAAAUUAUGUUUUCACCCAAAAAAGGAAAAUUUAAUAUAAUAUAUAACAUAAUAAUAAAAAUAUACUGAAAAAAUAUUAAUAAUUUUUUAUUUUUUUAUAGAUAAAAGAUUAAAAUAUAUUUUAUUUAAUAUAAGGAGAUUGAUGAUUAAAAAUACGAUUAUGACUUUGUAUUGUACAAUAAUUUUUUUUUAAAUUUUAUAAAAACAAAAAGAAAAAUUAUGACAAAAAAUAUUCCACAAAAACAAAAUUUUAAAAUUGUCAAAUACGAUUAUGACCUUUGUAUUGUACAAUAAUUUUUUUAUUUUUUUUAUUUUAUAAAAACAAAAAGAAAAAUUAUGACAAAAAAAUAUUCCACAAACAAAAUUUUAAAAUCGUCAAAAAUAAAAUACCAUUGUAGACCCCAUUUGGGGCUCGUUCUCAUUUUUUCUGCGGGUCAUUUUCUUUGCCAAGUGGAGGGCUCUUUCAAGAGCCACGUGCUGCCUCAAGAGAGGCUGCUAUGGAUUCAACUAGUGCUAUUGAAUGAGCCAAUGAGGAUGAGACGCCUGUGAAGGAGGGAAUCUGCAGAAGCCGUUGUGUAGGAGCGUAUUCUGUUAGGAGGGGUUUUUGGUAGAGAGAGGAGGUGCUUUUUGAGGUGGGUUGGCAGAGGAGGGAGGUGCGUUUUGAGACGUUUUGGGAGGAGAAAAGGUUAGCUUGAGAGGAGAGUUUUGCUGGAGGAGAGGAGUUGCAGGGAUAUUUUCGGAGAGGGAUUCUUUCUUGGAGGGCACGAGAGGGGGGAUGCAUUUUUGAAGAUCUACAGAGGAGGCUUCCUGGAGCAGAGAGAGGAAAGAGCCUGAGAUAUUUUGAGGUUACUAGGAAGAGAGAGAGUUGCAGGCAGCUUAAAGGAGAAGAAGGUAAAGGUAUGACUGCCACUAAUCCUUUGUUUUGCUUCGUUGGUAAAUAGUCUCUUUCUCUUUUCUCAAUAUUUUCUGUGGAUUGCUUGACUUGUGUUUAGCUUUUAUGGUUCAUGUUUGGUUGCUAUCUCCUUCAUUUUCUUUGGGAUGAUUCGAGAGUAGCACAGCUCUGGUUUAGUUUCACUAUGCAUCAUGUGGAAGUCUUGUUAUUUUUAUUUCAAUUCCAUGGGAUACUUGUUUGAUUUCACUCACCCUCAUCUAAGCCCAUUGAUUCAAACAUGAAAUGUGGCUUUGUAUGGGUUCGUUUUAUCCCCUCCCCUUGUGCUCUGUUUUCUCUGUUUUUCCCUGUUCCUGGUACCCAUCCAUGGUGUGCAUCAGUUUUCUCAUCGGUGUCUAAGGAAGGAGGAAGCAGUAGCAUCAUAAGUCGCCAUGGUGAAGUACUCUAGAGAGUCAGACAAUCCCACCAAGUUUUGCAAGACCAGGGACUCAGAUUUCAGAGUUCAUUUCAAGAAUACCAGGGAGACUACUGAUGCAACCAGUAGGUUGCUUUUGACCAUGGCCAGAGAGUAUUUAGAGGACGCCCCAGUCCACGAGCAAGCCAUGCCUUUCACCCGGUUUUGUAGAGGUGUUGGACGAACUGCUCAGGCAAAGAAUAGACAUUCAAAUGGGCAAGGAUGUUCGUCUGUCAAAUCUGUUAAAUACAUCCUAGUUUUGCUUAAACACGCUGAGAGUAACGCAGAUUUGAAAGGUUUGGAUGUUAAUUCACCCUACAUAUCUCACAUCCAAGUGACUCAGGCAUAGAAACAAAGGACACCAGAUAAAAUCGCAAGUGUAUGGCCCUACAGAACCAAAACGAGCAUGAGCUCUUUAGCUCUCAUCGUUUUGCACAUAAGCAGCUCACUUUGUAGAGCGCAUGAAGAAAAAGGACUGACAUAGAGCCAUGCACUGGAGGUUUUCAUUUCCGUUCUCUAUACCUAUCCCACAGUUCCUCCUCCCUCUUUCCAACCCCUGAUCAAAACCAUCGGCACUACGCUCCAUUUCCGCAGCCGGCAAUGUCGGCUACCGCAUUAUUGCAGAAGGCAGCACAAAUGGGGGCAGCCGCAUCAAACGCGUCCUUGCUUCGGGGCUUAGGAUCGGCAAUGUCACCGUCUUCGUCUGCACAGCAAGAUAGCAGCACCACCCAGUGGAGCGGGCAUGUAAAGGCAGAUAACAAUCCGGUAGGAGCUGGGCUGGGAUUGGGACUUCCCUCGGAGGGAGGCCCUGCUUUAGUCGGGCUAAUGAUGGGUCCAUCAUCGCUAUUUGUGAACAAGCCAACCACUCUUGUUCUCCUCGGGCUGGGUAUGGUUCCUGGUGGCGCUUCCACGGCUGGACUCUCUGCACUGCUUGCUUCUAUCAGCGGUGGCGGCCUUGAUAUUGCAGCUGCCGGAUCCCCUUUUGGAGGAGCAGCAACUGCUACUGCCGAGGCUGCACCUGAUAAAAAGCAUAAUGGGCCUGCUCUCCUAUAGAAGAUAAUUUCCUGUAUUUUUAUUAUGGUGGGGUUAACGCCUGUCAUGAUCCUUCCUCCAAUAGACGUAAUAGCGGGUCAAAAACGACACUACAAUAGGAAGACCCAUGCAUCACAAAGGAGAGUCCUCUAAUACAGUGCAGCCAGUCCCUAAUACUAUGAGCAAGCAUCCAUUUUCUAUGUCCAGAUGCCAACCCAAUGGCACUGAACCCGAAGCUUUCUGCCAGUCCACUCAUCGAUUGAGGAGACCAUACCCAUAUGCAUGACCGUUUUUUGACGCAUGCAUGACCUUCUUGAAAGAUAUGGAGAUGUUUGGUGCGCCUAGAGCUUGACUGGCCACAUGUGAUGGGAUUUAGAGAGGGUAUUUAGUGCCGACAUACUGAACCUUUUGACAAAGCUGUACGUGAAGGAGUAGCAUUAUCAAUCCCAUUCAGUUUCAAAGACGUCCACUUCCCUGAAACCAUCAAGUCUGGUGGCAUCCUUGUGGGUUCAUUUCAUGUUGUGGGUGUUUCGGUUGUUUGUGUGGCAGGAAACAAAGCCACAGAGCUUGCUUUUAUAUCGAUGUACCAAUGUAUUAAAGCUGGCAGAUUCGGGAUUGGCAAGUGCACUUAGUUUCUGUUAAGACAUUCAUACAUAAGGUGAUGGUUUUUGUGGUGUAGAGCACCUAAAAUACUGCUUGGACUACGUCACUAUUCCUCUCCUGCUGGUGUGUAGUCUGUGGGUUGCAUAUUUGCUGAGAUGGAGAACCAGCUAUCAUUGUUUCCCGGGUCUUCAAAGCGGGAUUCAUUUAGGCAACCCCAUGGUAUCCAAUCACAUAUGAUGCCGGAAGAGGUGGGACUGGUUCAGCCUAUUCAGGUCAGUUUUCCAGAGGAGCGGCUGGGUAAGGAAAUUCAAGUUGUAGAUGCAGAGAGCAUGGUGGAAGUGAAGGAUCUUUCGCAAAUCUGACUGGUAAUGGUACUGUUGAAGGAUGUGUUGAUAGUGUUCCAAAUGGUGAUGCUGGUGUGGAAGAGCUACAGGAGAGUGGCAAUGGCUACAUGGCAGACGCACCUCCCAAGUUCCUAAUCAUUGAUGAUGAUUAAAGGAGCCGAUCGGUAAAGAGAACAAGGAUCCCAUAUGCGAUUUCAUGAGACUGCAUGCAACUCUGAACCAGUUGGAAGCACUCCUCUCAGUUUCGCUGCCAAGUCUGCAGCACUAGAAGAAGUCAUUGAUGACCUUGCAUGGCCACUAUCCCUCCAUUCGGGACCAUUACAUGUUUGCUGAUUUGGAUUUGAGUAGAAAGAAAGGUGGGAAAGGUGAUCCUGAGUGCUCGGGUAAUCAUGAAACGACUCGUGAUUAUGGCAAGCUAAUUGAGGUCUUCAUAGUAGACAAGCCAGCCACUCUAACUGAUUGGGAAAGGUCGUUAGCUUUCAGCAAGGAAUGGAGUAAUAUCCACCCUCAUUUCUACAAGCGCUGUCAGUACCUAGCAGAUAGUGAAGGGGAUACUGGGAAUAGACACAGCCUGCUCCGUCUUGGUAGGAAGCUAAAGGAGAUUGAUGAAGAUGUAAAAAGACAUAGUGAGCUUCUGGAAGUGAUAAAGGGGAACGACACCAGUUGACAUCAGUACAGUUGUUGCCAGGCAUUGGAAGGAAUUCUACUUCUUGGGCUUUUGGUUAAAAGCAAGGCAGUACAUAAUCAAUCAAUGAAUCUGUCAGCCCUGAUUGGAAACAUUGAGAAUCAGAUCAUCACAAUGCUCGAAACACUGCCAGGUAUUUCAUGGAUCAGUUGGGCCAUAAAAUUGAAACUAGAAGGAAUAUGUUGUCCCAGAAAGAAAUGAAACACCUUGAAGUGGCCCAAAACCCAAUGCUCUGCAAGUAAAGAUCCAGUGACAGCACCCACACACCAGUAAUGCAGUCUCAAUCAUACCUAUAGGCCCCACUCCUACAUGGCCACUUCCUCUCCGCAUUUCACAUUUCCUUGUGAUUUUUCAUUCUAAAUUGGUUUUCUAAAAUCUGCUUUCCAUCAAAGCAAUCAGAAUUUUUUUUAACUUCAUCCUUAAGAGUUUUUAGAUACUUUUUGCAAGCCACUUUCGAAUUUUCUUUGAUUUUCAAAAUAUUUUAGAAUAAGGGUGAAUUUAUUUUUCAUAAUUCUUGGUGAUGAAAUUUACAAAAUCGAUUCAUUCAAAAAUAAAUUGGGUUAUGGUGGGGGCUCGACAUCAAAUAAAUUUCCUUUAAAAUAAAAAUGGAUUUGAAUGAAAUAUCAUGCAUGCUAUUGGUGGUUCUUCAUCUUGUUUGGUGAUAUGAGUGAUAUAUUUUGUAUUCAUUACUGUGCACUAACCCUCUCUCUUGAUAGCGCAUGGUGGCUCAUUACCCAAGUAUGCACCCACUUUCACUCUGGUCAUUGUCUAUACAUGUUUUGAUUCCUACAUGUGCAUGAUUGAUUUGGGUAUCCAUUGAUUUUUUUAUUGAUUGUCACAUUAACUUUAUUUUAUUAGUAGAGACUCGUCUAUAGGGACUUAGAGGGGUGCUACAAUCUUGUUCAAAUUGAUGAAUGGUAGUUUUUCAUUCAUACUUUCUUUCGUUCAUGUACAAAGUAUAUAUAGAGGGUAAUCAUCAUUCUAAGAAUGGGAAAUGAUUAUACAAGGAAAGAAUAAUAUAAGGAAAUAACAACUAAUAUACUAAUAUCUCAACUUUCCUAAUAUCUCAAUAUUCAUAAUAUCUUAACUUUCCUAAUAUCUAAACAUUCCUAAUAUCUCAACACUCUCCCUCAAGUUGGUGCAUAGAUGUCACACAUGCCCAACUUGUCUAAAAAAUUUUGAGAAUACUUGACUUGAGACAGCUUUGGUGAGGAUAUCGGCUAACCAAUCUUGCUUUCCACCUUGGAUCAACUAAGGCUUCCUACACACCGUUAGGAAUAACUACAGUAGAUAAUUGAUUUACAAAUGACUUAUUUGAUUCAGACAAAUGAUGGUUAGACACAUAGUUGCUCAUGGGAUAUUUGACUUUGGUAGACAAAUCAGGUUCAUAUGUGGGUUUAGGAAUACCUCUAUUAUGACGAUGUGGUAACGGUUUCAUGAAUGGAUCGGGUUCCAAAUUAAGAACUCCCUCAACAGACGACGAUUGGUUUGGUAUUUCAGUGAAGACAUCUUCGGACCCAAAUUGUUGACCACUCAAAUCCAACUCACCCACUUCCUGGUUCACUAGUUCAGAUUGUCCAGAUUCAUCUUCCUUAGAGAUAUGAUAAUCAUAAUCAAGAGUCUGAAUUUCCUUAUGGUAGUCCCCCUGAAGUUCAUACUCAGAUGAAAAAUAUAUCGAAUCUUCAUGAAACACCACAUCCAUUGUAAUAUACAUUUGUCGAGUUGGAGGAUGGUAACAUCGAUAUCCCUUUUUGUGCAAUGCAUAUCCAACAAACACACAUUGCAAUGCAUGGGAAGUUAACUUAGUGCAUUGGUGCUUGUGUAGAUGCACAAAUGCCACGCAACCAAAAACACGAGGAGGUAGAUUUGGGACGGUUAGGGCAACUACGACAUUAGUAAGAGCUUGGAGAGGUGUUUGAAAGUUAAUUGAGUUAGAAGGUACCCGAUUGAUCAAGUAUACGGCAGAUGUGAUUGCUUCUCCCUAAUAAGAUAUCGGUGUUUUUGCUGCUAUCAAGGAAGCACGAACAACCUCUAACAAGUGCCGAUUUUUUCGUUCAACGAUUCCAUUUUGCUGGGGUGUAUUGGAACAAGUAGUUUGAUGAAUGAUGUCAUGUCCUUCCAAAUACUUUUGAAGAUCAGAACUUUGAUAUUCUCCACCAUUAUCACUACGCAGAACCCAAACCUUUGCAUUGUACUGAGUUUCAAUCAUUUUAUGAAAUUUUUGAAAUAACAAGUUCACUUCAUCUUUGGUCUUCAUCAAGCAUAACCAUGUCAUUAUGGUACAAUCAUCAAUAAAAGUAACAAACCAACGCGAACCACUCAAAGUUGGGACUUUGGAUGGGCCCCAAACAUCAGAAUGUAUAACCAUAAAAGGAGACGGACUUUUAUUCAAAAUUAAUGGAAAGGAAGCACGAUGGCUUUUAGCCAAUUCACAUAUAUCACAACGGAAACCAGAAAUAUCACUCUUUGCAAACAAACUAGGAAAUAAUUUUUUUAAAUAACCAAAGGAAGCAUGUCUCAGACGUCGAUGCUAUAACCAAAUUUCAGACUUUUUCUUCUCCCCCUCAGAUCCAUCUGCCAUCAAGGCUUGUCGUAACUUAUUUGAAUCCUUUGACUGCAAGUCCAAAUAAUAGAGUUUUCCCCGCUUAAUACCAAAACCAAUCAUCUGUCUUGUUUGGAUGUCCUUAAAAACACAAAAUUUAGGCCAAAAAAUGACAAUACAAGAUAAGGCUGCAGUGAUUUGAGAAACUGAUAAAAGAUUGUAAUUUAAGGAUGGAGCAACUAAAAUAGAAUUCAAAUUCAAAGUAUCAGUAAGAGUUAAGGAUCCUUCCCCAAUGACUGGGGUUGUGUUACCAUUGGCUGUGGAAACAAAUUUUUGUGAGGAAUGUCUAACGGGUGAGACCUAUCUAGAAUCAAAAGUCAUAUGAUCUGUAGCACCAGAAUCAAUUAUCCAUGCAUUAUUAAUAACAGGUGUAGAAGUAUUUAAAAACUUACCACCAUAAUCUGUAGCGGCUAUCAAUGCAGAGGCUUUCUCAUCAACAUUAGCCUCUGUUUUUAUUUCGGCAAUAGCUGCAGUCGAGGUUUUCUUGGAAUCCUUCUUCCGUUGAUCACGAUUGUGAUCCCACCAGUCUGGAUAUCCCACAAUUUCAAAGCAACGACUCUUGGUAUGACCAAUCUUAUUGCAGUGAGUGCAUUUGAAGGUUAACUUAUCAAUAUUAGGGUCUGUCUUAGGAUGGUUGGUCUUGGAUUGAUCCUGCCAAUUUCGGGUUGAUUGUUGUCGAACUACCAUAGCUAAGGUGUCAGGGUUGUCAGAUUCUGCUUUCAUACUAGCAUGACGUACUGUCUCUCGUCGAAUCAGUGCAUAGCAUUCUUCCAAAUCGGGAAGAUGAUCUUUGCGUAGAAUCUCUCCUCGAACUUGCUCAAAGUCACCACCCAAUCCAGCAAGAAAGAUGUGCACCCGUUGUCGUUCAAUGGAUUUCUGGUAUGCUGCAAUGUCUUCAGGGUCUUUCAUGACUACCUUAUCCCGAUGAUCCAAUUCGCAAAAGAUUCAGUUAACUCUUCAUAAUAUUCAGAAAGAGAUCUGUCGUUUUGUUUGGCAGUGAAGGCUUUUUGAUUCAAAGUGAAAACUUGUAAUUCAUCACUUCCAUCAUAGAAGGCCUUUGAUAAUGCACUCCAAAUUUCUUGAGCGGUGGGUAAGCGUAAGUAACGCUUCAUAAUUUCUGGACUCAUGGACAUUAACAACCAUCUCUUCACCUUUUGAUUCUCAGCAUACCAUUUUUCAUAUCCAUCUUCUGACUCUUUUGGUAGAUUUGUCUUACCACGGAUGUAGAAAAGUUUUUCCCGUUCGGCAAUAUGCAUCUCUACGAGUUGUGACCAAACGUCAUAGUUUGAUUCAGUCAAAAUAAUUCAUGGAUUGAAAGUACCUUCAGAUUGAAAAACAAUAGUACUUUUUUCACUCAUUUUUUUUUAUCUCUCAAAGGAGGGGCAAUUGUUGGCCUUACGACAAAAUAUCCAGGAUUUCAGUUCCCUGGCUCUGAUACCAUGUUCAAAUUGAUGAAUGGUAGUUUUUCAUUCAUACUUUCUUUCAUUCAUGUACAGAGUAUAUAUAGAGGGUAAUCACCAUUCUAAGAAUGGGAAAUGAUGAUACAAGGAAAGAAUAAUAUAAGGAAAUAACAACUAAUAUCCUAAUAUCUCAACUUUCCUAAUAUCUCAAUAUUCAUAAUAUCUUAACUUUCCUAAUAUCUAAACAUUCCUAAUAUCUCAACAAAUCUUUGUCAUACUUUCCCGAUAAGUAACCUGACCCCCGAACCCGAUCCAGUUUUUCACAGACCACCUUUUUCAAAUAAUGAGUCACACUUAGGGUUUUCUAUCUUAUUUUGUUUACCCUUUUAAAAAUAAAACAAAAAUAAGUGACGACUCAAAGUUAUUUUCUAAUAAAUAAAAUCAAUUUUUUAAAUAAAAAUCGAGCUCGCCAUCGAGUGGAAGCGCAUGAGACGAAAUGCGAAGUCCACAACCAUAUAAGCAUAUAAAUCAUUAAUUAAUUAAACUAAAAGAUCUUACAAAAAUAAAAAAUCACAUAAUUUCAUAAAUCAAUAAAUAAUUAAACUAUAGAUAUUAUCUACACACUUUACUUUUUGCCUAGCAUGUCAAGCUUCCACAAUUUUAGAUUCAAAAAUAAAAGAACUGCUCCAAUGGAAGUUGACAAUCAAGACAAAUGUAUCAAAUGCUACUGAGAAAUUCACUACAUAUAUUGAAAAACUUCAAUCCCUAAUUAAUACUUUUUUUUAUAUUCUAGUUUAUAUUAAAUUUAAUAAUUUUAUAUUUAGUUAAUAACGAGAUCAAAUAAGUGAUGAGAUAAUUUGUCUGAGUUAUCAAUGUUUAAUAAUAACCUAGUUCUAUUGUCUACUUGAGAAUCAUUAUUAGUGCUAUAGUGUUCGGAUAUAUAGUUAAAUUCUUUCUUUAAACAAUCACUAAUAAGACUACAAAUUAAAAAAAAAAAAAACCAAUUCACUCCAAAUUCUUCUUUCCUUUUUUUGGAUCAUUGCGACCUCAACUUUAUCUCCAUAUAUGAUUGAAUUAUAAAAGAUGCCUUAUUAGCUCUAUUCUUUAUGGAAUCAUAAAAAUUCUUAAUAUUAUAUAUGUAUGAGUUCUUCUUCAUGUUUGCACUGUUUAAUAAAAAAUGAUUGACAACAUUCAUAAUGAAAAAAAAAAAAAAAAACAAGCUACGAAAGAAAAAAAAAAUUUACAUGUGGUAACAAUAAAAAAAUUAUUAUUUCCUUAUAUUUUUAGUCAUCAUUCCUGUUAUAAGGGAUAUUUCUUAACAUAACAAAAGUUGUUCAAAAAAUUUAUACUACAAAGAUUUGGUGUGAAGAUAUGACACGUGCAAAAAAAAUCAAGUCGGUUAAGGGAUUUCCUCAGACAUCCUGAAAAGCAUAAAUAAAACCCAAUCAAACUCAACAACGUCGGUAUACUAGAGAGACCUAUGAUGUUAAAUUUUACCUUCCAAUGAGAAUAAAUUGUCCCUUGCUUACAUCCAAUGAAGUUUGUUCCCAUGUUCCUACUGCAAUCUAUAAAAAAUAAAGUAAAAAAAAAAUAUUUGUAGAAAAUAUAGGUAUUAUAAAAAAAAUCUCAAAUAUUAAAAGCACAAAGUUACUUACAACUUUGUUACCAACCUUGUUGUCACAGCCUUUGGAGCGUAUUGCAUUCAGAAUAAUGCAUAUGUCGCUAGGUAGAUACGUCGUGGAAACGGCUACAUAACUUUCAUCCAUCUUCAUGUUUGCACUAUUUUAUAAAAAAUUAUUGACAACAUACAUAAUGAAAAAGUAAAAUUAAAAAAUAAAAAAUAAAUGUGGUAACAAUGAAAAAAAAUUAUUAUUUCCUUAUAUUUUUAUUCAUCAUUCCUCAUGGGAUAUUUCUUAACAAAACAAAAACUGUUCAAAAAAUUAAUACUACUUAGAUUUGGUGUGAAGAUAUUGCGCGUGCAAAAAAAAAAUCAAGUCGUUAAGGGAUUUCCUCGGACAUCCUAAAAAGCAUAAAUAAAACCUAAUCAAACUCAACAACGUUAGUAUAGUAAAGAGACCUACGAUCUUAAAUUUUACCUUACAACAAGAAUAAACUAUCCUUUACUUACAUCCUCUGAAGUUUGUUCCCGUGUUCCUACUGCAAUCUAUAAAAAAUAAAUUUAAAAUAAAAAUCAUAUAUUUAGAAAAGCUAAGUAUUAAAAAAAUAUUAAAUAUGAAAAGCACAAAAUUACUUACCACUUUGUUACCAGCCCUGCUGUCAUAACCUUUGCAGUGUAUUUACAUUCAGAAUAAUGCAUAUGUCGUUGGGCAGAUACAUUGUGGAAAAUAACUGCAUAACUUUCAUCCAUUUUCACGUUUGCUCUGUUUAAUAAAAAAUUAUUGACAACAUACAUAAUGAAAAAAUAAAUUUUAAAAAAAAUAAAAGCAAUAGAAUUUUAAGAAAAUAAAAAUUUACAUGUGGUAACAAUGAAAAUUUUUAUUAUUUCUUUAUAUUUUUAUUCAUCAUUCCUGUUAUAUGGGAUAUUUGUUAACAGAACAAAAACUGUUAAAAAAAUUUAUACUACUUAGAUUUGGUGUGAAGAUAUGGUGCGUGCAAAAAAAAUAAAGUCGGCUAAGGGAUUUCCUUGGACAUCCUGAAAAACAUAAAUAAAACCUAAUCAAACUCAGCAACGUUAGUAUACUAAAGAGACCUAUGAUCUUAAAAUUUUACCUUUUAACAAGCAUAAACUCUCCCUUGCUUACAUCAUUUGAAGUUUGUUCUUGUUCCUACUGCAAUCUAUAAAAAAUAAAUUUAAAAAAAAAUCAUAUUUUUUAAAAAGAUAAGUAUUUUAAAAAUAAAAAUAAAAUCUCAAAAGCACCAAAUUACUUACCAAUUUGUUAUCAACCCUACUAUCAUAACCUUUGCAGUGUAUUGCAUUUCGAAUAAUGCAUAUGCCGCUAGACAGAUAUGCCAUGGAAACGGUUGCUGAACUUUCAUCCAUCUUCACGUUUGCAUUGUUUUAUAAAAAAAUUAUUGACAACAUACAUAAUGAAAAAAUAAUUUUUUUUUUUUAAAAACAAAGCAACGGAUGAAAUAUAUAUAUAUAUAUAUAUAUAAAUUUUAUUAAUUCCGUAUAUUUUUAUUUAUCAUUCCUUUUACAAGGGAUAUUUCUUCAUAGAACAAAAUUGUUCAAAAAAUUUAUACUACAUAGAUUUGGCGUGAAGAUAUGGCACGUGCAAAAAAAUAAAAUCGACUAAGGGAUUUCUUUUGACAUCUUGAAAAGCAUAAAUAAAUCCUAAUCAAACUCAACAACGUCAGUAUACUAAAAACACCUAUGACUUAUAUUUUUAUUUAUCAUUUCUGUUAUAAGGGAUAUUUCUUAAUAAAACAAAAAUUGUUCAAAAAAUUUAUACUACUUAGAUUUAGUGUGAAGAUAUGGUGCGUGCAAAAAAAGUAAAAUCGGCUAAGGGAUUUCUUCGAACAAACUAAAAAGCAUAAAUAAAACCUAAUCAAACUCAACAAUGUCAGUAUACUAAAAACACAUAUGAUCUUAAAAUUUUACCUUUCGAAGAGAAUAAAUUGUCCCUAGCUUACAUCAUUUAAAGUUUGUUUUCGUGUUCCCUUGCUUACAUCCUUUAAAGUUUGUUUUCGCAUUCCUGCUGCAAUCUAUAAAAAAUAAAUUUAAAAAAAAAUCAUAUUUUUAGAAAAGAUAAGUAUUAAAAAAAUCUCAAAUAUGAAAAGCACAAGGUUACUUACAACUUUGUUACCAACCCUAUUGUCAUAGCCUUUGCACCGUAUUGCAUUCAGAAUAAUGCUUAUGUCGUUGGGCAAAUACGUCAUGGAAAUGGCUGCAUGGGAUAUUUCAUAAUUGAACAAAAAUUAUUAUUUCCUUUUAUUUUUAUUCACCAUUCCUGUUACAUGGGAUAUUUCAUAAUUGAACAAAAACUAUUCAAAAAAUUUAUACUACUUAGAUUUGGUAUGAAGAUAUGGUGUGUGCAAAAAAAAUCAAGUCAGCUAAGGGAUUUCCUUGGACAUCCUGAAAAGCAUAAAUAAAACCUAAUAACACUCAACAACGUCAGUAUACUAAUCAGGCGUAUGAUCUUAAAAUUUUACCUUCCAACGAGAAUAAACUCGCCCCCUUGCUUACAUCCUCUAAAGUUUGUUCCCAUGUUCCUACUGCACUUUAUAAAAAAUAAAUUAAAAAAAAUCAUAUUUUUAGAGAAGAUAGGUAUUAAAAAAAAAAAAAUCUCAAAUAUGAAAAGCACCAAGUUACCUACAAAUUUGUUUCCAACCCUACUAUCACAACCUUUGCAGUGUAUUGCAUUUAGAAUAAUGCAUAUGCCGCUAGGCAGAUACGCCGUGGAAACGGUUGCAGAACUUUCAUCCAUCUUCACAACCUUAUUAUCACAACCUUUUCAAUGUAUUGCAUUAAAAAAAAAAGCAACAGAAGUCUAUAUAUAUAUACACACGCAGUAACAAUGAAAAAAAUUAUUAUUUCCUUGUAUUUUUAUUUAUCAUUCUUGUUACAAGGGAUAUUUUUUCACAGAACAAAAAUUGUUCAAAAAAUUUAUACUACUUAGAUUUGGUGUGAAGAUAUGACGCAUGCAAAAAAAGUAAAGUCAGCUAAGGGAUUUCCUCAGACAUUCUGAAAAGUAUAAAUAAAACCUAACCAAACUCAAUAAUGUCAGUAUACUAAAAACACCUAUGACUUAUUUUUAUUUAUCAUUCCUGGUACAAGGGAUAUUUCUUAACAUAACAAAAACUGUUCAAAAAAUUUAUACUACUUAGAUUUGGUGUGAAGAUAUGGCGCGUGCAAAAAAAGUAAAAUCGGCUAAGGGAUUUCCUCAGAUAUCCUGAAAAGUAUAAAUAAAACGUAAUCAAACUCAACAACGCCAGUAUACUAAAAACACCUAUGAUCUUAAAAUUUUACCUUCCAAUUAGAAUAAACUGUCCUUUGUUACAUCCUUUGAAGUUUGUUCCCAUGUUCCUAUUGCAAUCUAUAAAAAAAUAAACUAAAAAUAUAUAUAUAUUUUUAGAAAAAAUAGGUAUUAAAAAAAAUCUCAAAUAUGAAAAGCACAAAGUUACUUACCACUUUGUCACCAACCCUGCUAUCAUAGCCUUUGCAACGUAUUGCAUCUAGAAUAAUGCAUAUGCCGCUAGGCAGAUAUGUCGUGGAAAUGGCUACAUAACUUUCAUCCAUCUUCACGUUCGCAUUGUUUUAUAAAAAAUGAUAAACAUACAUAAUGAAAGAAUAAAAUUAAAAAAAUAAAAAAUAAAUAAAAAAACAAGCAACGGAAGCAAAAUACAUAUAUAUACAUAUAUAUUUACAUGUGGUAACAAUGAAAAAAUUUAUUAUUUCGUUAUAUUUUGAUUCAUCAUUCCUAUUACAUGGGAUAUUUCUUAACAUAACAAAAACUGUUCAAAAACUUAUACUAUUUAGAUUUGGUGUGAAGUUAUAGCACGUGCAAAAAAAAUGAAGUCGACUAAGGGAUUUUCUCGAACAUUCUAAAAAGCAUAAAUAAAACCUAAUCAAACUCAACAAUAUCAGUAUACUUAAGAGACCUAUGAUCUUAAAAUUUUACCUUCCAACUAGAAUAAACACUCCUUGUUUUACAUCCGAAGUUUGUUCUCGUGUUAUUACUGCAGUUUAUAAAAAAUAAAUUUAAAAAAAAUCAUAUUUUUUAAAAAGAUAGUUAUUACAAAAAUAAAAAUAAAAUCUUAAAUCUGAAAAGCACAAAGGUACUUACCAAUUUGUUACCAAGCCUAUGUCAUAGUUGCAUUUAGAAUAAUGCAUAUGCCGUUGGCCGGAUACGCUGGGCAGAACUUUCAUCCAUCUUCACGUUCACAUUGUUUUCUAGAAAAUGAUUGAUAACAUACUGAAUGAAAAAAUAUUAAAAAAAAAAAAGAAAAAAGAAACAAGCAAUGAAAGCAAAUAUAUCUAUAUAUAUAUAUAUAUAUAUAUUUACAUGUGGUAACAAUGAAAAAAUUUAUUAUUUCCUUAUAUUUUUAUUUAUCAUUCCUGUUACAAGGGAUAUUUCUUAACAUGACAAAAAUUGUUCAAAAAAUUUAUACUACUUAGAUUUGGUGUGAAAAUAUGGUGCAUGCAAAAAAAAAAAUCAAAGUCAUCUAAGGGAUUUCCUUGGACAUCCUGAAAAGCAUAAAUAAAACCUAAUCAAACUCAACAACGUCAGUAUACUAAAAACACCUAUGCUCUUAAAAUUUUACCUUCCAACGAGAAUAAAUUGUCCCUUGCUUACAUCCUUUGAAGUUUGUUUCUGUGUUCCUACUGCAAUCUAUAAAACAUAAAUUAAAAAAAAAUUCAUAUUUUUAGUAAAGAUUGGUAUUAAAAAAAAUCUCAAAUAUGAAAAGCACAAAAUUACUUACCACUUUGUUGUCAUAGCCUUUGUAGCGUAUUGCCUUCAGAAUAAUGCAUAUGCCACUGGGUAGAUACACUGUGGAAAUGGUUGCAUAACGUUCAUCCAUCUUCACGUUUGCACUGUUUUAUAAAAAAUGAUUGACAACAUGCAUAAUGAAAUAAAAAAAUUAAAUAAAAAAAAAAACAAGCAACAAAAGCAAUAUAUAUUUAUUUACAUGUGAUAACAAUGAAAAAAAUUUAUUAUUUCCUUUUAUUUUUAUUCAUCAUUCCUAUUACAUAAGAUAUUUCUUAACAGAACAAAAACUGUUAAAAAAUUUUAUACUACUUAGAUUUGGUGUGAAGAUAUGGCGCGUGCAAAAAAAAAUCAAGUCGGCUAAGGGGUUUCCUCGGACAUCCUGAAAAGCAUAAAUAAAACCUAAUCAAACUCAACAACGGCAGUAUACUAAAAACACCUAUGAUCUUAAAAUUUUACCUUCCAACAAGAAUAAAUUGUCCCUUGGUUACAUCCUUUGAAGUUUGUUCUCGUGUUCCUACUGCAAUCUAUAAAAAAAUAAAUUAAAAAAAUUAUAUUUUUAGAAAAGAUAGGUAUUAAAAAAAUUUCAAAAAAAAAUCUCAAAUAUUAAAAGGAGAAAGUUACUUACCACUUUGUUACCAACCCUACUGUCACAACCUUUGUAGUGUAUUGCAUUCAAAAUAUAAUUCAUAUGUCGCUGGAUAGAUACGCUAUGGAAACGGUUACAGAACUUUCAUCCAUCUUCACAUUUGCACUGUUUUAUAAAAAAUGAUUGACAGCAUACAUAUUAAAGUUUUUUUUUUUAAAAAAAAAAAAAAACCAAGUGACGGAAGCAAAAUAUAUAUAUAUAUAUAUUUUGCAAGCAGUAACAAUGAAAAAAAUUAUUAUUUCAUUAUAUUUUUAUUCAUCAUUCCUAUUACAUGGGAUAUUUCUCAACAGAAAAAAAAACUGUUCAAAAAUUUAUACUACUUUGAUUUUGUGUGAAGAUAUGGUGCCUGCAAAAAAAAGUCAAGUUUGCUAAGGGAUAUCCUCGAACAUCCUGAAAAGAAAAUAAAACCUAAUAAAACUCAACAACGUUAGUAUACUAAAAACACUUAUGAUCUUAAAAUUUUACCUUCCAACGAGAAUAAACUGUCCCUUGCUUACAUCCUCUGAAGUUUGUUCCCGUAUUCCUACUACAAUAUAUAAAAAAUAAAUAAAUAAAAAUCAUAUUUUUUUGAAAAGAUAGGUAUUAUAAAAAAAAUCUCAAAUAUUAAAAGUACAAAGUUACUCACCACUUUGUUACCAACCCUACUGUCAUAGCCUUUACAGUGUAUUGCAUUCAGAAUAAUGCAUGUCGUUGGGCAGAUAUAUCAUGGAAACGGCUACAUAACUUUCAUCCAUCUUCAUGUUCACAUUGUUUUAUAAAAAAUGAUUAACAACAUACAUAAUGAAAUAAUAAUUUUUUUUUUUAAAAAAAAAGCAACGAAAGCAAAAAAAUAUAUAUUUUUGCAUGUGGUAACAAUGAAAAAAACUUAUUAUUUCCUUAUAUAUUUAUUCAUCAUUCCUAUUACAUGGGAUAUUUCUUAACAGAACAAAAACUGUUCGAACAAUUUAUACUACUUAGAUUUGGUGUGAAGAUAUGGCUAUUAGACUAUUAGAAUCUUUGGCAGAAAAUCCAGGAGUAUUUGCACCAAUUCUUCACUCCAUCCAUUCUUUUUCCAAUUCAAAAUAAUCUAGCUAUUAGCGUAAAUUUCUCCUACAAAUGUGUGUUUGAUUGUUGAUUGUAUUUGAUUGUUUCCUUAUUAUACGCUUGACAUUUCAAUUGUACAGUUAUAAAUAUAAUGGAAAAUUACACGACUAAGGUAUGUUAGCCAAGUCAAAGAUAUCUCGUGUUCUCAUCAAUCUGUUGAAUAGUUAAGAUCUUACAUGGUAUCAGAGCAACAUCCUAUAAGCUCACGCUUUUCAAACGAUCAUUUCUCAAGCUUCCGCAUCAUCCAAAUGGCCAACACCAAUGACACCUCCAUCCCUGAACCCUAUCUCCAUCUACCACCACUAAUUCUAUUAAGCUAGACGGCUCUCAUAAUUAUUUGGCAUGGAAAAUGCAGUUCCUUAAUCUCCUUCGAGGACAGGACUUAGUUGGCUUCAUUGAUGGUACUGACACUUGUCCUCCAAAAAAUCUUACCUUUGGUUCAUUAAAUUCUACCUAUAUUGUUUGGCAGAUGAAAGAUGUUUGUCUCUUUAGAUGGAUCUUGCAUCUCUUUUGGAAAAACUUGUUUCCACUGUUUAUGGAUUGGAAACGUCUAAGUAAGUCUGGAUUGCCCUACAAACUUGUUUUUCUUCUCAAUCUCAUUCCCACAUUUCCCAUCUUAAACCUCAACUUCAAACAUUAACUCAAAGUACCAAAUCCUGUUCCGAGCAUCUUGAAAAUGCCAAAAAUAUUGCAGAUCAAUUAGCAGCAAUUGGUAAGCCUAUUGACGAUCAAGACUUGAUCUCCUUUCUUUUUGGUGGCCUGCAAUCAUCAUACACACCGUUUGUCACAUCUUUUAAUUUUCCAUCCUAUGACACUGACUUCACAUUUGAAGACUUUCAAGCUGAAUUGCUAGGCUAUGAAAAUCUUUUGGAUGUUAAUCAAUCUAUUCCUAGCACAGAUAGUACUCAUUUUGCAUUUGCUGCCAACAAAUCUAAGGCACCUAUUUAUAUGAAAAAGAAAGAAUCUCCACUCCCUCCCACAAAAAUGAAGAAUGCAUGUUCCUCUAAUUAUCGACCACACUAGUAGACCAGAUCUACUCCUCCAUAACUCCCCAACAACUGUCCGGUUUUGUCAAAUUUGUGGUAAAUUUAGUCAUACUACUAUUGAUUGUUUUCACCAUUUUGAUUGUUCAUAUCAAGGUCGUUUCUCUCCUCAAGAUCUCACAGCAAUGGUGGUUGAGACUAAUGCCACAUUUGAUCAUCAAGUGUGGUACAUGGACAAAGGCGCCAAUCCCAUAUUACAUCAGAUGCAACUAAUCUCACUCAUCAGCAGCCCUUUCGUGAAUCAGAAACUAUAACUGUCGGAAAUGGUUCAGGUCAGCAAGUUCUAAAUACUGAUUCUACAACCUUUAACUUCGGCCAAUCCAAUUUUCAUCUAAACAAAAUUCUCCAUUGCCCACAAGUAGCUACCGAUCUUAUCUCUAUCAAUCAAUUUUGUUUAGAUAAUAAUUGUUACUUUAUAUUAACUGUUAAUGAUUUUAUCGUGAAAGAGAACCUAACAGGCUGAAUUCUACUUCAAGGUGUGGUUGAAAAUGGCCUAUAUCCAAUAGUUGGGUGCAAGACUUCUCAUAAGAGCCUCACAUGUCUUUCGGCAACAAUAGGGGUUCGAGCUAAUGCAGAUACUUGGCACUCAAGACUAGGACAUCCCUUUAGUGUCAUUUUAGAUAGUUUGUUUCAUUCAAAUAAAUUCUCUGUCAAAGGUCCUUCAAAUAAAAUAAAGUUUUGCUCAGCUUGUCAACUUGACAAAGCUAAGAAACCACCUUUUCCAGAGUCUAGUCGUCAGUCUUCUGUUCCUCUUACUUUAAUCCACUCUAAUGUAUGGGUUUCCCCUGUACAAUCAACUAGUGGUUGUUCCUACUAUGUUUUGUUUAUUGAUAAUUAUUCGAGAUAUUCCUGGCUAUAUCCUUUGCACAAAAAAUAUGAUGUGUUUGCAACUUUUAUUAAAUUUAAAAUCAUUGCAAUUUUUUUUUCUCAACAUCAAUAAAGCAAAUCCAAAUAGAUAAUGGUGGAGAGUUUACUUCCAACCAAUUUAAAAAAAAAUAAAAUUGACUACACAAUGGAUAUACCAUAGGUUGACUUGCCCACACACUUCUCAACAAAAUCGAAUUGCCAAGAGGAAACAUAAACAUAUCCAAGAAAUGGGACUAACACUUCUAACCCAAUCAAGCUUGUCCCUCCCCAAUAUUGGGUUGAUGUGUUCCUUACUUCAGUGUUCUUAAUAAACAGAUUGCCUACCAAAGUCUUAGAUAAUAUGACACCUUACUUUUCACUUCAUAAAACUGAGCCAACUUAUAUGGACUUGCGUGUUUUUGGAUGCGCUUGCUAUCCACUCCUUUGACCAUAUAACGACCAUAAGUUAGCAUUCUAAAGUAAAAAGUGUCUCUUCCUAGGCUAUUCUAAUUGUAAAAAAGGAUUUAGGUGUCUUGACUUAGCAACUAAACGGGUAUACAUCUCACGACAUGUCAUCUUUGAUGAGAAAUCUUUCCCAGCUAAGGAACUAGCCGAGAACACCACAUCUCGAAGAACAAAUCCUAUUGUAGAUAAACCAUUGACAAUUCCAAGUUCAGUUAUAUCUAGUAAUUUAUCAUCUAACAUUUCUGCAGUUGUGCCACCUCAAAAUGAUCAUUCUUCUCCUUCAGUUGAAAUGCCAAUUCUUGCAGCAUCAAACUCUACACAACAAUCUCCACCUCCUACAUCCAAUGAUUAUUCUCCUUCUCCUCCUCCCACUUUAAAUUUUGAAAAUUCCAUUGACCCAAAAAUUGUCAUUCCACAAAUAUCUCCUUCUCCACAGGUGCCACAAGAACCCGAUAAUACCUCCAACAAUCCAAUUGUCUAGCCUACCUUCACUCAAAUUCAAACACGUUCCAAAACAAGUCACUCUUGACCAAAAUCAUUUCCUAAUUACAAAUUAUUCUAUAAUACCCGACAUCCUUUGCAAGUUUUUUCUACAAUCUUGGAUACUCUUAAACCAAUCUCCUACACUCAAGCAGUUUCGGAUCCACAAUGGUGUGCUGCAAUGGGAAGCGAAUUUGAUGUAUUGAUGGAAAAUGGGACUUGGUCUCUAUGUCCUCGUCCACUUGAUAAACACAUUGUCCGAAACAAAUGGGUAUACAAAAUUAAGAGAAGACCAAAUGGCAAUAUUGAACAUUUUAAAGCCAGACUCGUGGCCAAAGGGUAUGAUCAAAAGAGUGGUGUGGACUACCAUGAAACUUUUUCACCCGUGAUAAGCCAACUACUAUUUGUUUAGUUUUGGCUAUUGCAGUUUAUUUUCACUAGCCCAUUCGACAAUUGGAUGUGUCGAAUGCAUUUCUACAUGGAUUUCUAGAUGAAGAGGUGUUUAUGGAACAACCAAAAGGUUUUGUUGAUGAGACCAAACCGAACUAUGUUUGCAAAUUACAUAAGUCUCUUUAUGGUCUUAAACAAGCCCUAAGAGCCUAGUUUCGAUGAUUAUCACAACAACUUAUUGAGCUUGGUUUUCAAGAAUCCAUCAAUGACUACUCUCUGUUUACUCUACAUACUGAAAAUGUCAGAAUUUUUGUCUUAAUAUAUGUAGAUGAUAUAAUGGUGAUAGGAUCUGACAUCUCAGAAAUUACCAAACUCAUUCGACAUCUGUAGAGUAUUUUUCAUGUCAAGGAUCUUGGUUUUCUGUCUUAUUUUUUAGGUGUGGAGGCUGAUAAGAGCUCACAAGGACUACAUUUACAUCAAACCAAGUACAUUUGUGAUCUCUUAGAUCGGACUCAAAUGGCUAGUGCCAAGCCACUUGCAUCGCCGACGGUGGCAAGUACCAAACUGUCCAGUACAGAAGGAGAACUAAUAUCUGAUCCUUCUAUUUAUCGACAAAUCAUUUGGGCACUCCAAUACUGCACAAUAACACGUCUCGAUAUUUCUUAUGUUGUUAACCAGUUAUGUCAGUAUAUGCACCAGCUAAGAACUUCAUACUAGCAAGCUAUGAAGCGAGUUCUUCGCUGCUUAAAGGGCACUGUAAACCAUGGAUUGUUCUACACACCAUCUCCUCUACAAUCAAAUACCUACUGUGACUCAGAUUGGGCAUGCAAUCCAGAUGACAGAAGGUCUACUAGCGGCUAUGGAGUUUUUUUGGUGCAAAAACCUAGUUUCUUGGAGCUCUAAGAAACAAAAUGUGGUCUCUCAUUCGAGUACCGAAGCCGAGUACCAUUUAAUGGCACUUGCUACAGCUAAAGUCUACUAGCUUAGAAUGCUUUUCAAAGAAUUGGCUAUUAGUAUAGUCCACAUACCGACUAUAUGGUGCGAUAACAUUGGGGCAAUUGCACUCGCUUCAAAUCCAGUGUUCCAUGCAAGAACGAAGCAUGUAAAGAAUGACUAUCAUUUUAUUCGUGAGAAAGUAUGCAACAAUGAUAUUAAAGUCCAACAUGUCUCAACUGUGGAUCAAGUAGCGGACGUCUUCACCAAAGGCCAAACUGAACAACGUUUUCAGUAUCUAAAGAGCCAAUUAAUGGUUUGCCAAAACCCCAUUAAUUCGAGGGGGUGUUAAACUAUCAGAAUAUUCAGCAGAAAAUUCAGGAGUAUCUGCACCAAUUUUUCACUCCAUCCAUUUUGUUACCAAUUCAAAAUAAUCCAGCUGUUAGUGUAACUUUCUCCUACAAACAUGUAUUUGAUUGUAUUUGAUUGUUGAUUGUAUUUGAUUGUUUCCUUAUUAUACGCUUGACAUUUCAAUUGUACAAAUAUAAAUAUAAUGGAAAACUACACGGUUAAGGUGAGUUAGCCAAGCCAAAGAUAUCUCAUGUGCUCAUCAAUUUGUUGAAUAGUUAAGAUUUUACAAUGGCGCUUGCCAAAAAAGUGAAGUCGGCUAAGGGAUUUCCUUGAACAUCCUGAAAAGCAUAAAUAAAGCCUAAUCAAACUCAACAACGUCAGUAUACUAAAAAGACAUAUGAUAUUAAAAUUUUACCUUCCAACAAGCAUAAACUAUCCCUUGCUUACAUCUUCUGAAGUUUGUUCCCGUGUUCCUACUGCAAUCUAUAAAAAAUAAAUUAAAAAAAAAUCAUAUUUUUAGAAAAGAUAGGUAUUAAAAAAAUUUUAAAAAAAAAUCUCAAAUAUGAAAAACACAAAGUUAUUUACCACUUUGUUACCAACUGUCACAACCUUUGUAGCGUAUUGCAUCCGCCAUGGAAACGGCUGCAUCAUCCAUCUUCACAUUCGCACUGUUUUAUAAAAAAUGAUUGACAACAUACAUAAUGAAAAAAAAAAAUUUUAAAAAAAAAACAAGCAACAAAAGAAAAAAAGAUAUCUUUACAUGUGGUAACAAUGAAAAAAUUUAUUAUUUCCUUAUAUUUUUAUUCAUCAUUCUUGUUACAUGGGAUACUUCUUAACAAAAUAAAAAUUGUUCAAAAAAUUUAUACUACUUAGAUUUGGUGUGAAGAUAUGACGUCUACAAAAAGAAUAAAGUCGGCUAAGGGAUUUCCUCGGACAUCCUGAAAAGUAUAAAUAAAACCUAAUCAAACUCAACAACGUCAAUAUACUAAAAACACCUAUGAUCUUAAAAUUUUACCUUUCAAGGAAAAUAAACUGUCUCUUUCUUACAUCCUCUGAAGUUUGUUCCUGUGUUCCUACUGCACUUUAUAAAAAAUAAAUUAAAAAAAAAUCAUAUUUUUAGUGAAGAUAUGUAUUAAAAAAAAUCUCAAAUAUGAAAAGCACAAAGUUAUUUACCACUUUGUUACCAACCCUGUUGUCACAGCCUUUACAUUGUAUUGCAUUCAGAAUAAUGCAUAUGCUGUUGGGUAGAUACGCUAUGGAAACGGUUAUAUAACUUCCAUCCAUCUUCAUGUUCACACUGUCUUAUAAAAAAUGAUUGACAACAAACAUAAUAAAAAAAUAAAAUUGAAAAAAAAAGAAACGUAUUCUGGGAAAGGUUCACUGUCCAUAUUACACACUGGUCCGAUUUUGGGUGCAGAAGGGCACAAAACAGUGUAGAGAACCAAGUAUUCUGAUAACACAAUUGUACGAUUUGAAUAAUGAUUUCAUUAAUUUAAUUUGCUGUACAGGAUCACUGUAUAUAUACAAGAGCUAUGCAAUUUGUUAGACGUAAAGAUGCCUAUAUACAAGGAAAAGAUAAAAGACUUUUGAAUUACAAAUUGGUUAUAACAGAUUAAGGGAAAGCGGUGGAGAUAAAAUAGGAACUGAAUUUGUUGAAGCUGCUGCAGCUGAAUCGUCUGAUUGGGAAAAACGGAGACUGAAGCUUGAGGAGGGCAUCUGCAGAGAUAUCUUUAACAAUGGGAACAGUGAUGGUUGUUUGAGUGAAAUGUGUUGGUUGAAGGAGUUCACCCAUCGUCGCCGCUACCGCAUCUGCAAUAAUUUGCGGUAGUAAUAUUUUAUAUUUUAUAGUUGUUUAUAUUAAAUAUCUUUAGAGAAUUAGAGAAAAGUCCAAGAAUAUGCCUAAAAGUGUUUUUUAAUAUAAAAAUUAAGGAAUUAUUGGGUAACUAUUUUCAAAAAUAAUUUUUAAAAAUGACAUGUUCUCUAAUAUUUUUUUAGAAUAGAAGUAUGUUUGAAAAUUUAAAAUAUUUUUAACUUAUUUUUAAUAUUUUAAAUAUGUUUUAAAAUAAUUUUAUAUCUCAUGUUUUAUUUUUAUACAUCCAUCGUAUUUGUAAAAUUAUUUUUUUAAAUAAUUCUUAAAAAAUAAGUGAAAAUAAUAAAAAAUAAUUUUAAAAUAUUAUUUUAAAACAUUCUAUUUUUUAUUCUUAAAAACAAAAAAUAAUAAAUAAAAGCAAUUUCUUUUUUUUGGUCAAACAUGAUGUUUUUUUUAAAAUUUUUUUAUUCUAGAGAAUAGAAAAUUAUUUUAGAAAAUAAUUAUCAAACACGUCCUAAGUAUUUAACAAAAUUUAAGAAAUAUUUUUAAAAAUAAAAAAAAUCACUUAUAAUGUUAUAAAAAAUUUAUAGUGUUUUUCAAAGAAAUAUUUGAUAAGUGAUUAUUCUAAAAAUAUAUUUUAGAAAAGAAAAAAAAAACAUUUAUAUUAAAAAUGUUUAAAAUAAAAAUAUAAUCAUACACACACAACAACUUAUAAUAAAAAUUUAAAAACUACCUUUUAAAAAAACAUUCAAAUAUUAUAUUAUAAAUAUUAUAUAACUUACCCAUCAUCCAAAAUGAUGUAUCCUAUUUCCACGUCCACGUCUCCAAAAUCAUUAUCAUCCACACCAAGCUAAAAGGAAUUUUAAAACAAAACAAAGAAACUAUUUGCUUUAAAUUUAAAAUAUCACUAAUAUAUAUAUAUAUAUAUAUAUAUAUAGAUAAUUAGAUAUAUGUCACUUGGAAGCCUGCUGACGUGUGACAUGCCAUGCAUGCCACAGUCAAUAACAUUAUUGAUUUUCCAUUGGAGAGAUAAGCAAGAUGAAAAUUUUCAGGCCCUUCAACCUCUAAGUUUGCCCUGUAUGUAUAAUAAAUUAAUAUAAAAUAGUGAGAAAAUGUUAUCUCAAUUCUAACAAAAGAAAAAGAUAGAGAAAAUUUAUUAAAAUUUUCUAUUUAAAGUUAUAUUUCAUUUUAGAAAGUAAAAAGAAAAAAAUGCUUAAGAAAAAAUAAUCCAAUAUGAUUAAAAUUAGAUAAAAAUUCUAUAUUUAUAAAUUAUUUAAAAUUUUUUUUAAAAAAAAUCUAACAUUGGUCAUUGUUCUCUAAAAAUAAUUUUUAAAAACAAAGAGAAAUAAAAGAGCAAUUUUUAUAUAAUAAGUAAGAGUUAUUAUCCCUAGUUUUUAAAAACAAAAGGAAAACAUGGAUUCAUUUGGACAUGUUUUCUAAAACUUGUUUGUAAAAAUUAUUUUUAAGUUAAAGAAUAAAAAUCAAUUUUUAAAAACAAGUUUAAAAAAAUAUGGCUAAACUAGUCCUUAGUUUUUCAAUUUUCUGGCUCCAAUGGAAGCUCACAAUCAAGACAGAUUUAUCAAAUGUUAUUAAUAUUUUUUUUAUAUUUUAUUUUAUAGUAAAUUUUAUAAUUGAAAAAACUUCUCUCUCUCUAAUUACUAUAAUUUUUUUAUAUUAAAAUUGAUAAUUUUAUAUUUAAUUAAUAAUGAUAUCAAAUAAGUGAUGCGAUCAUAUAUUUCAAUUUAUUUCCACAUAUUGUGGAUCGGGAAUUUUUUUUUUUUUUUCACUCUGGGUUUUCUCUUAAUAAUAUUUUGAUUAUCACAAAAUAAGGUUAAAGACUAAUAAAAUUUUUAAGCUUUGAUGUUGAAUUUUGAAGGAAAUUAAGUCAAUUAAGAAAUGUUAUAAAGAUCUAAGUGCUUUGAAGACCUUGAGGUAGGGAUGACAACGGGGUGGGUUCGGGAUGAGUCACCUCCAUCCCAACCUUGCCUUGUUUAUUCAAAAUAAUUUUCAUUUAAAAAAUAAAAUGGGACGGGGCGGGCCAUGUAUGAGAAAUUCUCAUACUCGCCGUCUCGCCCUAUUUAACUUUUUUCUUUCGAAUUUUUUUAAUUUUUUUUUAAAAAUUUAAUUACAUUAAAAUAAAUAUAUAUUAUAAAUAAUUAAAUUAUUAUAUUUUUUAUAACUUAUCUACAAAAUAUUUUCUUAUUAUCUAUAUAAUAAAAAUAGUAAAAUAAAAAUUAAAUGAACAUAAUUUUAAAAAUUAAUUUUAUAUAUAAUCAGCGGGUGGGGAGAGACGGGACAACGCAAUACCCAAACUCGUCCCAAACCCACCUCGGGUUUUAAAAAAAUUUUCAAACCCGUCACAACACGUUUAAUUAAAAUUAAAACACAUUCCAUUAGGAGCAGGUGCGGGUACCGAAAAAAAUCCACCCCAUUACCAUUCCAAGACUCGAGAAAUGCAUUUAUGUAAAAUUGGUACACUAUAACUAUUUUUUUUAAGGCACCUUUCUUUUAUUUUUAUGUUCUUAAAAUCAAUUUUACCCAUUUGUAAUUGGGUCAAAAAUCUAUUUGAAGAAAAACUUGAGCUUAAAGUGGCCUAAAAUAUUUUCAAAAUUAAUAGGAGUUGAUAAUGGCUUGUGCCCUUGGUUUUGAGUCAAAUAAAGAAAAAUUACAUAAAUGGUAUAAUUUAACCUCAAUCCAAUUUCUUACAUUAAAUCACGUCAAAUCAAAUUAGACAUGCUAUGAUUGGGAUUUAGUUAUGCUCAAUUCAGAGCAUCCUCUCAUUUUCUUAAAUAUUAAAAAAGAAUGUAUUUACAUGUAUAAUAUCAAGUAAAAUCUUAAAGGUAAAGAUGAAAAAAAAUAAAUAAAUCAAUAAAUGAGUUAUAAGAGAGUUAUUGACCCUUGACUGCUUCCAAAAGAAUCCUCUUAUCAUCCAAAUAAAUAAAAAAUUUAAUCUCACUAUCAUUCAUUGAUUAAAAAAAUAGUUAACAAUAAAGAACUCACUAAACCAAAUGACUUCUAUCAAACCCAUCAUACCAACACCAUGAUUGCUAAAAGACAAAGGGUGGGGUUUUAACUUUGCUGUCUUGAAGUACUGGCUCCUUCAUCACCCCCGCACAAGCCUUGUACAAGCUACAGCAUAGAGAAACGAAUUAGUAAAGAGAAAAAGCUAGACUUACCCGCAUUGGCUGGAUUAGCCUUAAUCAACCGACUCAGAUGCAACGCUGCUCACUGCCCCACCUUUUUGCAAUUGCUGGCCAGUAAAUAUUUCUCAGCUAUUUCGGCCUUUUAGAGGUCUUUGGCAGAGAAGAUACAGAUGGGAUUAUGGUUGCCACCCCAUGAGGAAAUCAGCUGCUCUAGCAUUAAUCUUCCAAUCCUGAAAAAAAAUAAAAAUAAAAAUAAAAAUAAAAAUAAAAAUAAUUGCUCUUUUUCACUAGUCUAUGCCACCAAAUUUAACCCAUGAAUGAGUUGUUAAUUGAAGGAAAAUAAAAGUAACAAAAUAACAAACACAUAUUUUUCAUGAUUGUUAGAAAAUGGCUUUAUUUUUCCUGAUUCAAAGAGAAGAAGAUUGAAUACUUGGUUUCAAUUGCACUGAUGACUGACGCAUACAAUGAAAAAUUAUGUUGACUAUCAUGUGGGAAUUCCUUGAAAAUUCUUCAAAUAGAAAUCCGUGGAAAUUUCAUGUUUCUUUCACACUUUUUAAUUCUAAAGAUUCUCAAAUUCAAACUAGUAUCGAUUUCAAAUCAUUUGUAUAAGCAUCUAUGUUCACAAAUUCCUCUUAUUAUAUUAUUUUUUCAAUAAUUAGAUAACAAAAAAGGCGGCCUUGGAAUAGAUGUCAAGUGAACUCAUUGGAAUAAAUAUUAUAAAAGGAAACAAAAAAAAUUACAAAAUAAAGAUACAUCUCAAUUAUAAAAUUUCAUUUUUCUCGAAAUCUUUUACUUUUUGGGAAUAACAUAUAACUUAAAGAAAAGAAGAUGAAAUUUUUUAAAAAUAAUUAAUUAUUACUUCGCUAUAAUUUCUAUAAGCAUCUAUGUUCAUAAAUUUCUUUAUGAUAUUAUUCUUGCAAUAAUAAAUUUAAGAACAUGUUACUAAGCUUUGAAAAAAAUUUGAAGGAAAAAAAUAUAACGUUUUACUAGUAGAAUACCCAAUGAAUAAAAUUUAAUGAGGAUACUAAAAAAUAUCCUUUUUAAUUAAAGGAUGUGGGGCUGGCUGUUUGAUCCCAUGCACAUGCACUUGAGUUUGGAAUGGUGGACCUUACAACUUGGGCAAUGCAUCCUAUGGUUUAAAUUUGAGCAAACAAUUUUUAUAUAAUAAUAAAAUGAAAUAUAAAAAUAAAAAUUUAAUAAAUUUAUUAUUUUUAAUUAGUUUUGAAUGCCCCUCAAGCUAUUUGAAUGCUAUUCCUUUUUCUCUUUGCAUUUCAAUCCUUGCCUAUGACUUUUAAUUCUUAACACAUCUUAAUUUCAUAUAUUAGACAUUCCGGGUCAUUGGCUCUACCAACACCAAAUAUAUAUAUACCUUGAAAUUCACUAACUUUGAAGUGGUCAAAAUUUGAUUUAAGAAGAAUAAGACCCAAGAAAAUAUGAUGCAUUAGAGUCAUCAAUAAGAAAUGAUAUAAAAUUAUUAAUUUCAACUAAUACAUCAAUAAUAAUAUUACCAAUGAAAAAGUUAUCCAUGGUUUUACUUGGUAUAUUUUAAAAUAUUAUAGAUGAAGUUUAGAUAUAUACAUGCCACUCGAUUUAGUGAAAGUAGAAUUAUGAAGGAAUAAGGUUAGGUAUAUUAACAAAAAUUCCUAAAUAGAAUGUUUGAUUACCAUCGUAACUUGAUUAAAGGAUCUCAACCAUCCACACUAAUGAAUUUAUCUUAAUUUAUAUAUUUGGAUGAAACCCAUCACAUGAUGAAUACAAUCUUAAGAGCCUUUAAAAUUUAUGGUUAGAUUCUAAUAAAAAAAUGGUUAUUGAACUAAUAAUUCGAUGUGAUUCAAUAACAAAACAUAGCAAUCCUUUAAAAAAUAAGAAAAAUUCCAUGUGACAUUUAAGUUACUUAUUGAUGUAAAUCAUUAUCCAAAAAAUUAAAAUUAAAAAGAUAAAUGGUGCAUGUAAAACCUCCAAAACUUUCAUCCCUCAAAUGAAAGGUCUUCCUCAGAAAACGUAUUGAAGCAAUGUCAUUGGCUCAAUUAUUUUUAGACGAUAGAAAAUAAAAUAUAUGAAUAUAUUUAGUGUAAAAUUAUUCAAUGAAAAAUAACAUUAGUGCAAAAUUAUAAAAUAUACUUCAAUAGGGAACAUGGCAUUUGAUUGUAGCUCCUGAGGAAACUACACUUUUAACCAUUAUCUACGGGAUGCAUAUGAAUUUGGUUUAGUAAAAGCUUAGAGGAAUUUUAUCAAAUUUUGUGAAAAACCUUUUUCUUUUACCAUAGUCGUGAUCAUGAUAGGAAUUUCUAUUUUUAUAUUUAUUUAUUAAUAAAAAUAAUUAUAAUUGAAGACCUUUGAUCAGAUAUUUUCCCACUUUAAUGACUUGGGUUCAACAAGUGUUGAUUUUAGAAAAAUAAAAUAAAAUAAAACUCUUAAAAGAUACUAUUCUUCUUUGGAAAAAUUGAAUGGUAACAAACAAGAACAAAAAAAUGUUGCAAAAUAAAUAAUUAAAAAAUAAAUAAAAGAUUGCAUUUACAGGUAUUAGUAAAAUCUAAAAGAGAAAUGUGAAAAAUUUUAAAUGAAUAAGAGUUAUAAGAGAAUUAUUAUUGACUCUUGACUCUACCAAACCAAUUCAUUUGGUCCCACAAAAGAGGAAGUUCAAUCCCACUAUCAUCCAAUAGUUUAAAAAUAAUUAAAAACAAAAAAUCACACAAAAAUUAAUGAUUCAUGUCAAACCCACUAUGCAAGCACCAUCUUAGAAGUGAGCCUCACAAAUGAGCCUCACAAAAAUUUAAUAAUAAUAACAUAUAGCUGUGGCUAACUCCAAAAUGCAACUAUAUUAUAUAUAUCAUUUAGUGGGGGUCAAAAACAAGAUGCAGCUGUAGGAACCAUUUGCUGACCUUUACUGUGGCUGCUACUGUUGCUUUGACUUUUGUUGCAAUUUACAUGUGGUUGAGCUAUAGCUGUGGCCAACUCUAAAAUGCAACUAUAUGCUAUUUAGGGGGGGUAAAAAACAAGAUGCAGCUGUAGGAACCAUUUGCCACACUUUACUAUGGCUGCUACUAUUGCUUUGACUUUUGUAGCACUUUGCCUAUGGUUGACCUAUACCUGGGGCAACUCCAAAAUGCAACUAUGUGCCAUUUAGUGGGGGUCAAAAACAAGAUGCAGUUGUAGGAACCAUUCGCUGCACUUUACUGUGGCUGCCACUAUUGCUUUGACUUUUGUUGCACUUUACCUGUGGUUGCUUACGGUCACCUUCACAACUGCAACUAUAAAAAAUAGUUGCACCACCUAUUGUUACACCAUGUGGCGGUCAGCUGGGUGUGCAACCAUAAUUUGCAGCCACACCAUUUCUGACCUUUAGUGAGGAUCACUAGCCGCUGCUAUAAGACAUUAUUCCUGUAGUGUUUAUAUAUAUUUGUAAUAGAACUUUCGCAUGCACAUUAUUUUCAUGAUUAGGAAUUAGAGAUAGAAGAUUUUGUAUAGAUUUGAAAAGAAUCGUGGAAGAAACUCAACUUAAUUCCCAAUUUUAAAAAGAAUUGUGGAAGAAAUUCAACUUAAUUUCUAAUUUUAAAAAAGAAUUGUGAAAUAAAAUCAAUUUAAUUUCCAAAAUUAAAAAGAAUUGCGGAAGAAAUUCAACUUAAUAUCUAAUUUUAAAAAAGAAUUGUAAAAUAAAAUCAAUUUAAAAAGAAUUGUGGAAGAAAUUCAACUCAAUUUCUAAUUUUCAAAAGAACUGUGAAAGAAAUUCAAAUUAAUUUCAAAAUUUAAAAAGAAUUGUGGAAGAAAUUCGAACAAUUAACACACCUUUUUGGCAAGGGAAUCUACCGCAUUCGUGAACAGACUUAGUCCCAUUUUCCUAAUCAACUUAGCACGUUGUUUGAAUUAAAUACCUGCGGAUUGAUAUUGGUUUGGAUAUCCUGAGUGAAUUUGACCAAAGAAACUCAAGCAGACCAAUAUUUUAUAGUCUAUUCUGAGCACGACUGUUUCACACCGUGGGCCACAUACCAUUUAACUUAACAUACAGCUUCUCUUUCAUGUCAUCAAUCUCUUUCAUACAUUAUAUUCAACAACUUACAGCUUCUGGAGGCCAUUGCUGCCCUAUAAAUGUAAUGGAGCUUCCCAAGCUUUUGCACUCAUACUUUCCAAGUCAGUUUUCAAAGAAGUGUUCUACUACCAUUCCAAAAAAUUAACAUGUCGGGUCAAGUCUUAGCAAGCCCUCUAGGCCAAUUUCCGGAACUGGAAAAUCGUCCGGUGGUCAAGUAUCACCCUAGCAUUUGGGGUGACCAGUUCAUGUCCUACACUCCUGAAGACGAGGUAAUUGAAUGAAAACCUGUGUUAAAUACCUAUAUAUUUGAAAGUUGUUUUUCUUGAUGUGUUGUUUAGUAAAAUUACUUGGUUGCCAUAGGUAACACGUGCCUGCAAAGAGAAGCAACUUGAAGAUCUGAAAGAGGAAAUUCGAAGGAAGCUAAUGAAUACAGCUGGUAACACUUCCCAAAAACUAAAAUUUAUCGAUGCUGUGCAACGUCUUGGGGUGGCAUACCACUUUGAAAGAGAGAUAGAAGAAGUGUUACAACAUAUUUAUGAUAGCUAUCCUAAUGGCGAUGAUAUGGAAGGUGGUAUCUAUAAUGUUGCUCUUCAAUUUCGGUUACUAAGACAAGCUGGGUUCAAUAUUUCAUGUGGUAAGAGCCCAAAGAAUUAUCAUGUAUAAGCUAAAACGUAUCCUUCUCAUAAGUCCAAUCUUAUGUAUGUUUAAAUUACGGUAUUUAUGUAGGCUUGUUCAAUGAGUUCAAGGAUGAAAAGGGUAACUUCAAGAAAGCUUUAGUCAGUGAUGUAAGAGGCAUGCUAGGCUUGUAUGAGGCUGCACAUCUCAGAGUUCAUGGAGAAGACAUACUGGAUGAAGCACUUGCUUUAACCACCACCCAUCUUAGGUCCAUGGUAGAACAUUUAGAAUAUCCUUUUGCAGAACAAGUUGCCCAUGCCCUGAAGCAGCCCAUUAGAAAAGGUUUAGAGAGGCUAGAGGCAAGGUGGUAUAUAUCUAUCUACCAGGAUGAAACUUCGCAUGACAGAACUCUACUAAAGCUGGCCAAGUUAGAUUUCAAUCUAGUGCAGUCCCUACACAAGGAGGAGCUAAGCAAUAUUACUAGGUUUGCUUUCAAAUCACUAGCAGAUAUGCGUAGUCACCUUCUCAUUUUAACCUGAGCUAAUAUCUUUCAAUGAAUUUUAGGUGGUGGAAACAAUUAAACUUUGCUACAAAGCUACCUUUUGCGAGAGAUAGAUUGGUGGAAGGCUACUUCUGGAUACUUGGGGUGUUCUUUGAGCCUCAAUAUGCCUGGGCUAGACGAAUUGUAACCAAAACAAUUGCCAUGACAUCCACUAUGGAUGAUAUAUAUGACGCAUAUGGCACAUUUGAAGAACUCGAGCUCUUCACCGAGGCCAUUGAGAGGUUUGAUGCAUGCAAAUUACCAACCUUCAUCAUUUGUAUUGUAUGUGAUACUUACAUUAGGCCUGGUUUUAUUUUCAGGUGGGAUAUUAACAGCAUAGAUCACCUUCCAGAAUACAUGAAACACUUUUAUGUGGCACUCUUAGAUGUGUACAAAGAAAUUGAGGAAGAGAUGGAGAAAGAAGGAAACCAAUAUAGGGUUCAAUAUGCGAUAGAAGCAGUAGGACAUUCUGCAUUGACUUUGUUUUGUAUACUAACAUAUCGUUGGGAUAUAGAUGUGACUUGAUUGAAUGUUUGACAGAUGAAAAAACAAGUUAGAGCUUAUUUUCAUGAGGCUAAAUGGCUCCAUGAAGGACGCAUACCAACAAUGGAAGAGUAUAUGAGUAUAGCACGGGUAUCCUCAGGUUACCCCAUGCUUACAGCCACGUCUUUCAUUGGUAUGGGAAAAAUCGUAACAAAGGAGGCCUUUGAUUGGGUGAUCAGUGACCCCAAGAUUGUCACAGCAUCAGCUGUAAUUGCUAGGCUCAUGGAUGACAUCACUUCACAUAAGGUAUUGUGAAUGUAGUAUUUCUUGUUAAGCUAUAAUUUGACCUUAACCUUAAAUCUCAAUCAAAUAUAUUUACUGCACUGUUCUUCUAAACCAUAUAUGCAGUUUGAGCAAAAGAGAGGACAUGUUGCCUCAGGCGUUGAAUGUUACAUGAAGCAAUACGGUGCCUCUGAGGAAGAGGUAUACGAUAAGUUUCAGAAGCAAGUUGUGGAUGCAUGGAAGGAUACUAAUGAGGAGUUCCUACGACCUACGGCUGUUCCGAUGCCUCUCCUUAUGCGUGUGCUUAAUCUUUCUCGAGUGAUGUAUGUGAUCUACACGGGGGGAGAUGGGUACACUCAUGUUGGAAAAGUGAUGAAGAAUAAUGUUGCAUCACUGCUCAUUCACCCUAUCGCAUGACCAAAUGGAUCAAGUUGAUGAGCAUCUACAUAUUCUGCCAUACCUAAGGAGUACUAAGAUGAAUAAAUAUGAUUGUCUCCAUAUAAUGUUUGAUACUAGUUUCUCUCUCGGUUUGGUCGUGCUUUGCAUCAUACUAUCACUUGGGCUAAAUGUAUUAAUGCUGUUGCAUCCAUUUUAAUAUAUAUUUAAAACACAUGGAUCAAGUUUGAUACUUUUCUGCCAUUUAAAGUUCACGUGAUCAGGGAGAAAAUUCUCCAUAGAAAAUCACUUGGAAGUUACCAGGAAAGAGAUGUUUUGGUCAGACCGCUUAUAUGGCCUUAUUAGCAGAAGAGGGUUUAGAACAUACAAAGACAUAAAAAAACUAAAAAAUUCAUCCUAACGGGUAAAAUAUUAUUAUUAUUAUUAUUAUAAUAUUAGACAUUCUAAAAGUUUUAUUAUAUACCAUGUAAAAAAUAAAAGUUAUGACUUUACAUAAGAUUGGAAUUCAAAGUUCAAGCACAUUAAAUUAUGCAGAGUUUAAAUUUUUGCCAAAAAAUAACAAGGAAAAAAAAUGGAGAAUCAAUUCAAUCAACUCAUCAUUUUCCUAACAAGAAUUACGAUAUUGAAAAUUAUAGACAAGGUAUAGAAAAAAAGACUUACAAAAAGAAUUAUCAUGAGGUUUUAUUUUUUUAACAAUAAGUCAAAAUAAAUUUGAAAACAAAAAAAGAUAAUUAAAAUUAAUAUAUUUUUUAACAUUUUAUUUAAUAUUUAAUAUUGUGCAUAGAUAUGUCAUAAGAUUAGGAUAAAUAUAGUACAUGUGAUUGUAAACAAUAAGGCCAAGUAGCCUAGGUGGCAAAGUAGCACCUCCCUUCCUACAUGCACUUUCAAGUUUUUUCAGCAUGCUAAUGUAGCUUAAAUAACCAUAAAUUGCCAAAAUUAGUGAUUAAUUGAAAAAAUAACAAAAGAACAUGAUUAAUCAAAAUAGAUUAUCAAAAUUUAGACAAAAAUUCAUUGAGUGAAAUUCUCCCAUAAUUUCCUAUAUUGGUGAUAUUUCGGGAACAUUAAUCAUGAUUUCCAAGUUCAAAAGUUUACGGUAUCUACAAAUUAACAUAUCGAAGAAGUUCGAGAAUAAUUUUUAGAGGAUUAUAAAUGUCUUUUAAUAAUUAAAUUCACUUUACAAAUAGCUACAUGUUUAAUUAAUAUUAUAUUCUAAUGGUGUUGAAAACAAAUUAAGAUGAGGCUUCAAAUCAAAUGUACUUUGCAAUAAAACAAAUUAUGCUUAGUAGACAUAUGUAUGUUUUUGAAAAGGAUGGAUGCUAAUUUCAUAUUUUGCUUUGAAAUUAAGCCACCUAGCUCAGUUGUCUUUUAAAGACUUUAGUGAAUGCAACUUCAAAUGACCAAUAAUGCACGGUAGCAGUAAGCGAAGACUCAUUAUUUUGACUUCAAGGCAUUAAUUCAUAUUUUAUCCAUUACACAACAGAAUAUAUAUAAAUAUCCUUAUAAAAAAUAUAUAUAUAUAAUAUUUAUAGGUAGCAACUUUCUUCUUAAGCAAAGCAGCCAAGUAAGACUACGAAAUCUAUACCAAACAGAAUAUCUACUAGGAAUUAAAUUGAUUGGCUCGAAUAUAAAAAUAUAUAUAUAAUAUUUAUAGGAAUUAUUUCUAACACUUAAAUUGAUUGAGCUUAGGUUAAAGUACUCUUCAAAUUGAUAAAUGGUAGUUUUUUCAUUCAUCUUUCAUUCGUUCAUAUACAGAGUAUAUAUAGAGGGUAAUCACCAUUCUAAGAAUGGGAAAGAAUGAUACAAGGAAAGAAUGAUAUAAGGAAAUAACAACUAAUAUCAUAAUAUCUCAAUAUUCCUAAUAUCUCAAUAUUCUUAAUAUCUCAACUAUCCUAAUACCCAAACAUUCCUAAUAUCUCAACACUAAAUAAUAUAAGGAAAGAAUGAUAAAAGGAAAGCAUUCCUAAUAUCUCAACACUCCCCCUCAAGUUGGUGCAUAGAUGUCACGUAUGCCUAACUUGUCUAAAAAUUUUGAGAACACUCGACUUGAGACAGCUUUGGUGAGGAUAUCGGUCAAUUGAUCUUCUGAUCGAAUCUUAGGCAAUUCCACAAUUUUAUCAUCCAACUUUUUCUUAAUGAAGAAUCUAUUCACCUCGACAUGCUUUGUACAAUCAUGUUGUACUGGAUUAUGAGCAAUGUCACAUGCGGCUUUAUUGUCACAAAACAAUCGGAUUGGUUACCUAGAUAGGUAACCUAAAUCCUGUAAGAGGAGUCUUAGCCAUAAUGCCUCACAAAGUCCUAUAGCCAUACCUUUAAAUUCCGCUUUUGCACUUGAACGAGAGCGACAACAUUCUACUUCUUGCUUUUCCAUGUCACAAGAUUACAACCUACAAAGGUAAAGUAACUAGAUGUAGAUCGCCUAUCAUCCACUGCACCGGCCCAAUCAGCAUCAGUAUAUACUUCUAUACUCUGAUGAUUAACAUUUUUAGCGAACAAAAUUCCCUUCCCCGGAGCAUUCUUCAAAUACCUCAAAAUAUGCAUGACUGCAUUCAUAUGUUGCUCUCCAGGAUUAUGCAUGUAUUGACUCACUACACUCAAUGCAUAAGCAAGAUCUGGUCUUGUAUGAGCUAAGUACAUUAAUCUCCCCACAAGUCUCUGGUAUCUUCUCUUAUCGAUUGAUACUUGAUUAGGCUCAACACACAAUUUCAGACCUUCUUCUAUUGGUGUAUUAAUAGGUUGACAUCCCGACAUUCCAGUCUCCUGUAAAAUAUCUAAGGCAUACUUUCUUUGAGACAGAAAAAUUCCUUCACUUGAUCGAGAAACUUCAAUCCUAAGAAAGUAUUUCAAAGGACCUAGAUCUUUCAUUUUGAAUUCUCUAGAUAGAUAAUUUUGCAGAGCUUUUCUUUUUUCAGGAUCAUUUCCUGUAACUACCAUGUCAUCCACAUAUACGAUGAGUGUCGUAAUCUUACCAUGUUGCUUUUUCAGGAACAAAGUGUGAUCUGAAUUACUUUGACGAUAGCCAAAAGCUCUCAUUGACUUUGUGAACCUUCCAAACCAUGCUCUUAGGGAUUGCUUCAACCCAUACAAUGACUUUUUCAAUUUGCACACCUUCUGACAUUGCUUUUCUGACACCAUGCAUCCUGGUGGAAGAUCCAUAUAUACUUCUUCAGAUAACUCGCCAUGCAGAAAGGCAUUUUUCACAUCGAACUGUUAUAAUGGCCAAUCUAGGUUUGCAGCUAAAGAUAGUAAUACUCGAACUGUGUUGAUCUUAGCUAUAGGUGCAAAUGUCUCCGUGUAGUCAAUUCCAUAAGUUUGAGUGUACCCUUUUGCUACCAGUCUUGCUUUAAAUCGUUCAAUACUACCAUCUGCCUUGUACUUCACAGUAUAGAUCUAACGACACCCAACUGGCUUCUUUCCUGGUGGACAUUCUACAAGUUCCCAUGUUUUAUUCUUCUGCAAUGAUUUCAUCUCUUCAUUCAUAGCUGCUUUUCACCUUGGAUCAGCUAAGGCUUCCUGCACACUGUUAGGAAUAGCUACAGUAGAUAAUUGAUUUACAAAUGACUUAUUUGAUUCAGACAAACGAUGGUUAGACACAUAGUUGCUCAUGAGAUAUUUGACUUUGGUAGACAAUUCAGGUUCAUAUGUGGGUUUAGGAAUACCUCUAUUAUGACGGUGUGGUAACUGUUUCAUGAAUGGAUCAGGUUCCAAAUUAAGAACACCCUCAACAAACGACGAUUGGUUUGGUAUUUCAGUGAAGACAUCUUCGGACCCAAAUUGUUGACCACUCAUAUCCAACUCACCUACUUUCUGGUUCACUAGUUCAGAUUGUCCAGAUUCAUCCUCCUCAAAGAUAUGAUAAUCAUAAUCGAGAGUCUGAAUUUCCUUAUGGUACUCCCCCUGAAGUUCAAACUCAGAUGAAAAAUACAUCGACUCUUCAUGAAGCACCACGUCCAUUGUAAUAUACAUUCGUCGAGUUGAAGAAUAGUAACAUCGAUAUCCCUUUUUAUGCAAUGCAUAUCUAACAAACACACAUUGCAAUGCAUGGGAAGUUAACUUGGUGCGUUGGUGUUUGUGUAGAUGCACAAAUGUCACGCAACCAAAAACACGAGAAGGUAGAUUUGGGACAGUUGGGGCAACUACGGCAUUAGUAAGAGCUUGGAGAGGUGUUUGGAAGUUAAUUGAGCUAGAAGGUACCCGAUUGAUCAAGUAUGCGGCAGAUGUGAUUGCUUCUCCCCAAUAAGAUAUCGGUGUUUUUGCUGCUAUCAAGGAAGAACGAACAACCUCUAACAAGUGCUGAUUUUUCUGUUCAGCGACUCCAUUUUGCUAGGGUGUAUUGGAACAAGUAGUCUGAUGAAUGAUGUCAUGUCCUUCCAAAUACUUUUGAAGAUCAGAACUUUGAUAUGCUCCACCAUUAUCACUAUGCAGAACCCGAACCUUUGCAUUGUAUUGAGUUUCAAUCAUUUUAUGAAAUUUUUUAAACAACAAGUUCACUUCAUCUUUGGUCUUCAUCAAGCACAACCAUGUCAUUCUGGUACAAUCAUCAAUAAAAGUAACAAACCAACGUGAGCCACUCAAAGUUGGGACUUUGGAUGGGCCCCAAACAUCAAAAUGUAUAAUCAUAAAAGGAAAUGGACUUUUAUUCAAAAUUAACGGAAACGAAACACGAUGGCUUUUAGCCAAUUCACAAAUAUCACAACGGAAACCAGAAAUAUCACUCUUUGCAAACAAACUAGGAAACAAUUUUUUUAAAUAACCAAAGAAAGCAUGUCCUAGACGUCGAUGCCACAACCAAAUUUCAGACUUUUUCUUCUCCCCCUCAGAUCCAUCUGCCAUCAAGGCUUGUUGCAACUUAUUUGAAUCCUUUGAUUGCAAGUCCAAGUAAUAGAGUUUUCCCUGCUUAAUACAACAAUCAAUCGUCUGUCUUGUUUGGAUGUCCUUAAUCACACAAAAUUCAGGUCAAAAAAUGACAAUACAAGAUAAGGUUGCAGUGAUUUGAGAAACUGACAAAAGAUUGUAAUUUAAAGAUGGAACAACUAAAACAGAAUCCAAAUUCAAAGUAUCAAUAAGAGUUAAGGAUCCUUCCCCAAUGACUGGGGUUGUGUUACCAUUGGCUGUGAAAACAAUUUUUUGUGAGGAAAGUCUAAGGGGUGAAACCUGUCUAGAAUCAAAAGUCAUAUAAUCUGUAGCACCAGAAUCAAUUAUCCAUGCACUAUUAAUAACAGGUGUAAAAGUAUUUAAAAACUUACCACCAUGAUCUAUAGUGGCUACCAAUGCAGAGGUUUUUUCAGCAACAUUAGCCUCUGUUUUCAUUUCGGCAACAAUUGCAAUCGAGAUUUUCUUGGAAUCAUUCUUCUGUUGUUCACGAUUAUUAUCAUUAAUAACAAAGUGUUGAUAGCCUAAACAUGAUCUAAAGGUCCACAGUUCAAACCCUCGGUUCCUCAUUUUUUUCCUAGUCAUACCAGGAGUCGUUGCUUUGAAAUUGUGGGAUAUCCAGACUGGUGGGAUCAGUCUUAUUGCAGUGAGUGCAUUUGAAGGUUGACUUAUCAAUAUUAGGGCUUGUCUUAGGAUGGUUGAUCGCUGUCAGACUACCAUAGCAAAAAAAUAUCUAGGAUUUCAGUUCCAUGGCUCUGAUACCAUCUUCAAAUUGAUAAAUGGUAGUUUUUUCAUUCGUUCAUGUACAGAGUAUUUAUAGAGGGUAAUCACCAUUCUAAGAAUGAGAAAGAAUGAUACAAGGAAAGAAUGAUAUAAGGAAAUAACAACUAAUAUCCUAAUAUCUCAAUAUUCUUAAUAUCUCAAUAUUCUUUAUAUCUCAACUUUCCUAAUAUCCAAACAUUUCUAAUAUCUCAACACUAAAUAAUAUAAGGAAAGAAUGAUAUAAGGAAAACAUUCCUAAUAUCUCAACAAGUACUACCAAGGUUGUUACAUCUCAAAUCUUACCAAAAGUUGACAUAAUAUUUAUAUAAUAAUUAUAAUUUAUAUUAUUAUGGACUCAUGCACAUUUUUCACAUGUUCCUACUCAAUGAGGAUACUCAUUUAUUAUGAAAAAUGAUUAUUUGAAAACCCUUUUUAGGUUUUUUUAGAGUGAUCAUUUAUUUUAUUUAUUUUAUAAAAAGAAAAAAAAAUAAGAAAAAAAAGAAGAAGAGAAAAACCUUAUAUAACUCCUUAUUUGAAAAAAAAAAAAAAAAGACAAGUUCAUAAACCAAUAUUGAGUUAAAAGUCAAAUUACUUAUUGAAAAAAUACGAAGAUAAGUCAUACAAAACAACCCUCUAAGCUUAUAUACCUAUAGUCUUUACUAAGCAAAUGAAAUGAAUUAUGACGAUUAAAUAAUUGAUCAUGGAUGCUCAAGAAAAGAAAAACACAAUUAUAAAACAAGUCAUGGUGUUUGUAUCUUACAAAAAUGUAAAAAACAAAUGAUAAGAGAAUUUACAUAAAUUGAUUUAUGAAACUAAUUAAAAACAUGGGUUUAAUUAUUUCUAAAUUCAAAGGAUUAAAAAGUUAUUCCAAUUUGAUGAUUUCAAUUGAUUUUAAGUACAAAAGAAAGUUUUGAUUUCAUUUUUUUUUAAGAAAAAAAUACUUUAAAUUAUUCUAUUUAUAAAGAAAUGGUUUUUAUUUACUUUUUCUUAAAAAAAUAUAAUUUACACAAAUUCUAUUUACCUUAACAUUCCUUUUUUAUUUUUAUGCAGAAGAGAAUACUUUUAUAAUUUUUGUUACAACAUGAUUUUUACAAUUUUAUUUUAAAAGAAAGUAUCCAAAUCUAAUCUUAUGUGCAUGAGAAUCUUUUUCCAAAUUAUUUAGGAAAAGGAUUUUUAAAAAUUUAUUUAAAAAAAUAUUUACAAAUUACUUUAAAAAAGAUUUGUACAAAUUUAUUAACAAAAAAUAAAUAUUCAGAUCCAAUUUUAUUUACAGAAAAAAAAAAUGAUUUUCUUAGUUUUUAUUGAAAAUAAGACUUUUACAAUUUUAUUUAAUUAGUAUGAAAAUCCAAUUCCAUUUUAUUAAUACUAGAAAAAAAUUAUUAUUAUUUUUAUUAAGACAUGAUUUUUACAAUGUCAUUUACAAAAAAAAAAAAAAAAAGUUUACAAUUUUAUUUUAAAAAAUAUUUUGAAUUUUUUUUUUUAAAAAAAUGGUUUCAAUGUUUUAUUUAAAACAAAAUGCUUUUUAGAUUUUAUUUUUAAAAAAAUGAUUUUCACAAGUAAAAAAAAAAAAUUAUAGUUUUAUUUUUUUACAAAAAAGAAAAAAAUGAAUUUCCAAUUGUAUUUACAAUUUAUUUAAAAAUGGAUUUUGCAGUUUUAUUUAGAAAAACACUUUAUUGUUUUAUUUCAAUCUUAUUGUUUUAUUUUUCUUUUAAAAAAAAAAAAAAGAAGUUCAAAUUUAUUUUUCUCCUCUCUCUCUCUCUCUCUCUCUCUCUCUCUCUCUCUCUCUCUCUCUCUCUCUCUCUCUCUCUCUCUCUCUCCACAUACGCUCAUUAGUUUUGAUGUUACGGUAUCAGCCCAAUUGACAUGAUUUAUAUUGACUUGGUCUUUGGUCUAAUAGUGACCUGUGAACCUUACUGAUAUUACGCAAACCCUACCAUUUAUUUAUAAUAUUGUCGUGAUAAUAUUGAAAUAUGGGAAAUUUUAAUAGACCAGACAGACAUCAAUAGACCAAAGCCACCAAGCAGGAAUUGAAGAAACCAGAAAGCGUUUGUUCCAAACAUAGUAUACUGUAGAACAUGAAACAGAAGCUAGAGUAUACUAUCUUUAUUUGUGUCAUAUAUAUCUCCACUCUCAUAUUGGCACAGGGUCUAUGAGCAGCAUUGAAAUAUUAUUUUUCGUCACUUCUCCAGGAUGUGUGAAUAUAUCUUUGUGGCUCUUGUACAUCACAUCUCCUGAUCGAGCAAAAUUGAGAAGACGACUAAGGAGAAGCAUUGGCACUGUAGUAGGUCUGAGGCACUCUUCAUUUAUAUCCUUCCAUGCAUUCUCGGUUUGCUUGUGAAACUCAUCAUAUGCUUGCUGCUCCGACACACCAUGUUGCUUCAUGUAACAUUCGAUGCUUGAUGCAAUAUGCUCUCUCUCUUGCUCAAACUGCAGAAAUAGUAAUAUAAGGUGUUAAAAAGAAAUUGAUAUACAAUAGAUUUUCUUUAUCUUUAUGGGAUUGAUAUCCAAGUAUCAGUAGGAAGUGUUGUUUCAUUGUACCUUGUGGGAAGCCAUGUCAUCCAUGAGCCUAAUGAUUAUGUAGGUAGCUCUAACAAUCUUAGGGUUUUGUAGCAGCCAAUCAAAGACUUCUUUGGUUGCAGUCUCUCUCAUGCCAAUAAAAGACAUGAUUGUUAACACGGGGACACCAACUGUUACCAUUGCGAUACCCAUGUACUCUUCUAUUGUCGGUAUGUAUUUUCCAUGCAACCAUUUGGCUUCAACCAAGUAAGCUUGGACCAAGCUUUUAAUCUAGGACAAAAAUUCAGCCAAGUAAAUAUAUCAUGCAAGUGUUAUAUAUAGCAUUUUAUUUACAGUACAAUAUAGGAUAUCAUAAACACAAAAGAGUUCGAAGAAUCCUACUGCAUCUUUUGUGUGGUGGACACAGUAUGAUCUUUCUGUGUUUUCCAUCUCCUCAAUUUCUUUGUAGACAUCUAAGACUGCCUGAUAGCAUGGUUUCAUGUAUUCAGGAAGCUGAUGUACGCUGUUUAUAUCCCACCUGAAAAUCAAGUACCAAGUUCCCUUUUGAAGUUCAAAUAUCAAAAUCAAUUCAUUGGUUGUGGGUAAUUUGAAUCUAGCAUAUAUCAAACCUCCCGAUUGCCUCUGUAAAGAGCUCCAGUUCUUCAAAUGUUCCAUAUGCAUCAAACAUAUCAUCCAUAGUUGUUAUCAGAGCAUGUAAUUUGGUCUGUAUUCUUCUAGCAUAUGAAUACUGGGGCUCAAAACAACAUGUUGCUAUCCAAAAGUACCCUUCUACCAAUCGAUCUCUGGCAAAAGGUAGCUUUGAAGAGAAAUCUAGGUCUUUCCACCACCUGAGAAAAUACAUUAAUCCACAUAAAAGACCUGGUAAACUGUUGAUUUGAAUUUAAGUGCAAGAAUGAUUUGAGAACUAACCUCGAGAUAUUACUCAGCUCUUUCUUAUACAGUGACUGCAGUAGGUUGAAAUCUAACUUUGCAAACUUCAGUAAAGCUUUACUAUGUGAAGCUUCAUCUUGGUAGAUAGACAUGAAAGGCCUUGCCUCUAGCCUCUCCAAGCCUUUCCUAAUGGGCCGCUCUAGGGCAUGAGUUACUUGUGCUGCAAGAGGGUAUUCUAAAUGUUCUACAAUAGACUUGAGGUGAGUGGUGGUGAAAGGAAGUGCUUCAUCUAGUAUAUCUUCUUCCCACACCCUGAGAUGUGCAGCUUCAUACAAGCCUAGUAGGCCA
rnacentral:lncRNA from 1 species